CCAUAGUACAAUACGUUCAUAGAUAGGAUGUCAUAGAUUACACAUCUUGGUUUACAGAUCCACUCAAACUCAAACAUAAUUACAUUACAUCAGACUUUUAUUCCCACCAUCUUGGUUGGUAAAAGCACACACAAACCAAAUAGAAACACAUGAACACUUAAUUAAGCAGAGAAUAACAGCUUCUGCAAUCUGCGUAUCGCAGCUUGAUAGUCUGAUUAGUUCUUUCCUUGAGAAAUGAAAAUGAGAUCACUUUGAGACAUCCAAUGGCAUGCUUCACUUUGGCCAGGAGAAGUUUUCAAUAUCUUCAAGGCCACAUGAUCAGGGGACCAGCCUGAAGUAUCCAUAUGACAUACCACCGUGACUGUAUUAACUGGAACUUUGGUCCUAGGUUCAACAACAUCUACUGCAUAGACUUCAAUAUUGGACAGCAAAUGGCAGAAAUAUGUUGCAAAAGGAAGAAAUAAUUGAUGACAUGCCACAGUUUUUCCAUAUUUAAGCUUUUCCACGCGUCCAACCAUCAAUUCUUUUCUAGAACCCUCUGUGUUUUUCGAUGCCAAUGCCACCAAAUUCUUGUCACCUAUGGCAGUUUUUGAAAAUUCAAUCAUUUCCUCAAGGGAUUUUGCACAGCUCUGAGGCUCUUCCUUAAGAGCAGGAGUAUUGCAAUAAAUAAGGGUGUAUUGAAUGGCAUCUUUUGUUUGCGGGCUUUCAAAGGAUUGAGGAAAUAAUUUUCGUAGGUCAUUUUCCGUAACAGAGAUCUUUGAUGCCGUUUGAGAAGGAAGAAAUGACUGUUGGGGCAAUUGGUUUUCCAAGCUUGAGAGAUGCACCAUGUUUCCUUGUUUGAGAAGUGAGAGUCUGAAGAAAGAAAAAGGAUCAACAUGUAGGACAACAUUUGGGCUAAUUCUGCCAUAGCCGUAAUUAUUCUUGUCCAAGAAACUAUCAACACGUGCUUUGGAUAAACAAGCUAGGUUUGCAAGAGAGCAAAGAUUUGCAUCAAAUGGAAGAUUUUUCUCGGACGCUAAUGAAGUGAAAUGUUCAGCUUGUUCCUUGCUCAGUGGAGAUAGUUUGGACAGAAGAUUUCCAGGCAUGGUGCCUUGGACAUUUUCUGACCAAUAUUUGAGCUGAUUCAAUGCAGUGAAUGAAGAAGAUGAAAUGUGUGCAGCAAAAUGGGACGUAGGAAACGUGAGGGCAAUGACAAAGAGAACGAUAGCAAACGUUGAAGAGGCCAUUGGUUUCAUCGACACUAAUAUUGAGCUAAUUUUCUUCAGUGGAUGAAGUGCUGAUGACUUUGCUAGUGCAGCUUCUAAUUUAUACUAGUGCUCGAGCCUGGACACAGGGCCUCACCUGCCCAUUUCAGGAUAAAAUGGUUACUCUAAAUUUUUUUUACAUCUUGUUUUAGUUGGUAUAUAUCUUUACUUCAAUUUAUUUACAUCCCACUCCAACUUAUUUGUACCUUAGUCUAAACCGGUUGGAAAUGGAACUUGUGAGGCCUCAUCCCCCACUCUAGCCUUGUGUUUGCUCCAGCUAUAAUCUCUAAAGGGAAACCGUUCAAAAUGUUCCUUAUAUUUUGUCAUAUAAAUUUUUUCCUUCUUGUUGUCCCUAAAAAUUAUCAAUCCUCAAUCAUUAUUGUCCCUAAAUAAGUAGAAUCUAAUCCAUACCAUGUUCAUUUUUCUCCAUAAAAAAGUGGAAUAUGACCCAAUCCAUAUUUAUUUUUGCCACAAAAAAAUGGGAUCUACCCUUUUUGGACAUAAAAAAUAACUGUAUAUAGGUCACAUGGUGAUUUUAAACUAGUCAGAUAUUUAGGUUGGAACUAAAUUUUGCUAAUUUGAAUUUUUAAGUGAUUUAAUUUGAAGUUUAUAUUUUAAAAGUGAAGAACGAAAAAAUUUAUUUGAUAAAAUGUGUGGCAUGUUUUGAAUGAUUUUCUCAUCUUCACAUGUAUAUAUUGUACAAUUAAUCCAAAACAAAACUCCAAAUGUACCUGUGUUUACUAAUCCAGAAAAAAAGAGACAAAAUUGAAAAAUAAAUUUAUUUGAAUAGACAAUUUGCAACUUGUUCCACGUUCGCAUUUGAAUGGGUUAAAUACACUAAUCAUACAUCCACGUUAGACAAUUUGCGGUUGUCCCAUUUUAUGCUCUCAGCUUGCGGUCCAUAACCUGAGAUAUGUGGUAGUUAAAAAGACAAUAUUUGUAAUCUCGAAAGUGACGGACAAUACAGUCCCGCACAUUUAGUGCGUCUUGUAGGUAUAUAUGGACAACCGCAGCAAGGAAUUACAUCUCCAAAUACGAAAAUUUCAUGAAAUGAGAUGUAGGUGUGUGUAUAUGUAUAUAGGUAUAUAAAUAUGUAUGUAAGUUUGGUUUAUAAAAUAUUAGUCAAUACUAAUCGUUCAAAAUGACCAACAAAUUUCUUAAUAAAAAAACAUUGAUAUCCUUGGGGAUACUUUUUUAUCCAAUAAAGCAGCUGAAAAUUGUGUAAAAAAUGCAUGCUUCCUAUAAACAAGAUUGGAAAAGAAAACGAAAAUGAAUAAGUCACAUGCUAUGAAAGUCAGUUGAAAAGGAAAAGAUUGGCUCGUGUAGCCAAAAAUUCAUAAGCAUUGCAGUUACCAGCAACACGUAUUUCCGAUUUUCAGAUGUCCACGAUUUGUAUAAGGGUUCUAGUCUGUUGCAUUUGCAUCCCACAUACAUUGAUAACUCCAUUUGAUUUGAAGAGGAACACCUUGCGCAAAAGAAAGAUGUUGCAGAAAUUUGAGACAUGAAAAAAAAUUUAGAGACUAGCAUUGAAACUUUUCCAUUAAGGAAAUAGAAAGUUUAAGAGCUAUCAAUUGCUACAGCUAAAAUAAAAUAAGAAUGAGACAGAGAAAUAGGUUUUGAAACACACUGUGUGAAAAAUGGAUUUAAAAUGUGGUCAAUUGUUUGUACUAGUAGCAAAGGGUAAUUCCAACAGUCCCAAACGUAGGGGCAAGUGUAGGCAUUUAACAAAAGAAAAUUCUAUAUUAAGUGAUAUACAAUAAUACAAUAAUCACAAUUUAAAAGAUGGCGUACCUCAUGAUAUCUAAGAGUUCUCAUAUUUAAAUUUGAUAAAUGGGAACGUCAUGCAAGUUGUUCUUAUAGCAUGCAAGUGUUUUUGGAGUAAAUCGAUUUUAGAAAAGUUUAGAACAGUACUAAGAAAAGUUGCUUUCUAUAAUUGGUUAUCAGUUUUAACAGCAUUGAUUUGGUUUAGUUACUAUUACACUAUAAUGUCUUAGGGAAACAAUUAUCUGUUCACAAAAAGAUAUUAAAGUGCUACAAUUAACGAACUCUUUAAUAGGCUUUGUUGAUUAAUUCUAGAAUUAGAUGAUUGUAAAAAACAAUUAGACUAUUAACAUCGAACUUUUAUUUUUUUUCUUCUAAGAACAAUAGGAAGGAAUAGCCUUACAUUCUUUGACAAAAAGAAAGAAAGUAAAAAUCCCUAGCUACAUUAUUUGAGUUCUCAAGUACUACUGAUUAUGGAUGGAGAAAGAUUGCUCAAAAUUGCUGUCCUUUUGAAAUUCAUGAAAUUAUUAAUCAAUUGGCAACUUUGGUUGACUGGUCUUUUAUUGGGCAAUUUUUUGACAGAAGUUUGUCGGAGAAUAUCCUCUCCUUCAAUUUAAAAGAAGAAAAUUUUGAAGUAAUUCCUCCUACACUAGCCAAAAAUCUUUUCUAUGUUCUUCAGCUUGGGCUGGAUAGUGACCUGAUCGAGUUUAGGUAUUAAGAGCCAAUGAGUUCGAUCGAUUAGUUCGGGAUCUAGCUGAAUGAUGUCAUAAUGAUGCCAUAAAUAUAUUUUAAUUAUCUAUAAAGUAAAAAUUAUAUAUAAAUUACACAUUAGCUUGACAUAUUUGGUGAGUUUAUAACAAAUAUGAAGAACUCAUUCAAAUAGUUGUACAAAUUUAGGCUGGAAAUAUAAUUUGAUAAGUAUUUGUGGUUUAAUAUAUAAUUUUUUUGAAACAAUUCAGUGUCAAUUCUUGAACUUAAAGUCCAAAUACACAUUGAUGAGCCUAAAACUUUUUAAUAGGACAAUUCUUCAACAAAAUUGAGGUUUGUAUGUAAAAAUACAAAAGUUAGAGUUGCGUAGAGUAAUUAUAAAAGAAGUUUGGGAGUAUAUUUAUGAUUAUAAAAAAUGGAGGGUCAAAACAAAAUACUAGAAAAGUUUUAUAUUUAAUUGGCAAUUUCUUCUCCACCAUGCAUCUUCAUCAGCCAGGAAUCGGGAGGUUUCAACCUUCAUCUGCAUUCCCCUUUUUUUUGGUUUCUUUUUGUAAUGAUUUCAUUGUUUUUUUGUCCCUUUUCUUCAACUGGGUAAGAAUCUUCCCCUUAUUCUUUAUUUUCGUUCUCUCCUGUUUUCUUCUUUUUCUAUUUAGAUCUAUAAAUCUUUGAGAGAUGACAAUGAUAGAUUUAUAGAUCUAUUUUCUCUUUUCCUUUUUUCUUCUCUUGCAGUAAUUGAAACUUUUUAUUAUGAUUUGUCAAAUAUCUUACCACCUUUUUUUGGAGAGAUAAAAUUAGGCUUUAGAAAUGAAGAAAAUUUUUGGAAAAAAAUCACAAAUCAGCAAUGAAGAAAUUCAGGUAAAAUGAGGUUUUUCCCGAUUUUAUUGAUUCCCAGUUUAACACUCGAUUUUUUAAGGUGACUUGGACCGAAUGCUUGAUCGGUCUUGGUUUGCCCGGUCAGACUGAUUAGUCUAAUCCAAAUUUUAAAACAUAGGAUUUAAAAGGACAUAUUUGACUUGGGGAUCUAGCAGCAGAGCAUUUGAGACUGAAAAUAUAUAUGGAUGUUAAACAAGGGCGGCAAUGGAAAGAUAGUCUAAUGCUAUACCAAAGCAAGGAAACAAAAAGAAAAAGGAUUAAAAGUAAAAUUAGUUGUGACCAAAUAAAUGUAGCCAACUUGAACAUGGUAUAAAAGCAAUUGAGCAAAUGCCUUGUUCAAUUCAAGAUAAUUGAGGUACAAAAUCUAGAUUAACACAGCAAAUUAGGUUGCAGAAUGUUGGGUGUGGGCCAGCUCAUUUGUGAGCCAAACUAGAAAAUCAAAUAUUUUUAGGUUUAAGUCAAAAAUUUGACUUAAAUAAAAAAGGCGAGCAGCCGCAUGAAGUAUGAUUCUUCGGUCCUUGUGCGAGAAAAAAGAUUUCAGCCGCCGCUCUUGCUGGCUUGGUGAAGAAGGAAAAGAGAAAAAUAACUGGGAGAUCUUGAUUGGAAGGUGAUUCGAAUCCCGAUUGAAAUAAAAUUUUACAUACGCGAUCCUCUCAUCAAUCUCUACUCAUCUACUGGUCCAGAUUUUAGAUUUCCUCUUCGUUUGGUGACACCUUUCUAAACUCACUUCUUUGAUAGUUGUAGUUUUUGGGGGUGAUUUUGUAGUAAUUUCGUUUGAUUGGUAUUGGUGAUAUUAUUGUCAACCGAAUAUUUUGGGUAGACCUGUGUAUUCCUAUUGUUGUGAUAGUGAAGAUUUUUGACUGGACUAGAUCCCGUGGUUUUUCCCAAUUUGGAUUUUUCACGUAAAAAUCUUGGUGUCAUGUGCCUUUUAUUUUUCUUGCAUUUUAUUAUCACUACUGGUAUUAUUACUUGGUGAUUUGAUUUAUUCCUAUUUUUAACCGGUACAUAGAGAAAGAGAAAUUUGUCUUGGAUUAACUCUGAUAUUGUGUGUCUAUACCCAUACCUCUUUCCCAACAAAUGGUAUAUUAGACAAUCUUCACAUUUUGCACUUUCAUAAAGCAAUUACACCACAACUAUUCAGUUUUAGAUCGACAACUUUGUAUGCUACAGUUCCUUAGGCUGUCAACCACGUAAAAGAUGUCUUUCCGCAUCAUAUUGAAUGCGUUAGUUACUUUGUUUAGCAAAUUUAUAAUUAUUGAGAUGCAUGAAAUACUUUUUUUUCUGCAAGAAGAAUGGUUAAAUUCUCAAUUACAAUGAAAACAGAUAAUAUAGUAAUCCCACCAAUAUUGUUUCUUUAAACAUUUUGUUGUAAUACUCUCAACCUUUUGCUUUUCUGGUAAUAUACUUUCUUUUCAUUUCCUUUCCUUCAAUUCAAAAGGUCACUAAAUUUUUUUCCUCAAAUGGCGCCUAAAUUACUUUAAAAGCAAAGAUAACUAGUGAGAUGCCAAAAAUUUCCAAUCAAUUAUAUGCUUUACUUUGAAACUUACCGGUAGUUCCACUUGUUUUAAAUUUGUAUUAUUUAGGUAGGUUAAAAAUCGAACCAAACUAUUCGAUAUUUGAAAUAAGUUUGGUUCAGUAAAAACUUGUUCUAACUUGAUUUAUGAAUUAAUCAAACAAAGUUUGAACAUCAUUUUGUGUUCAAUUAACUUUUAAACUCUAUUUAAUCCUGGUACAAUUAGCAUAAAACUUGAUUUUAUAAGUAAAAAAUUCAAGCUAUUUGAGCUCAACUCAAAUCUGGCUUGAUUAAAGUCAACAUUAAAUAUAAUUUCAAAUUUGCUAAAAUAAUUAAACAAAAUUGAACGCUAACUUGUCCUCAAUCUUACUAUUGUCCUUAAAUGCAGCCAUGCUGCAAAAUACCUAUGCAUUAUUAGUUGGCCACUUACUUCGACAUCUUCUUAUCCUCAACUUCUUUUGCCUUUCUUUCCUUUUUUGUCUUCUUUUGUUUUUAUGUUACAGUACGGUACACCUACAAAAUUAUUUUGCUACCCACUUUACCCCGCUAUACAACACGGAUGAAGGUUACUAAAUACAAAUUAGGGACAUGAGACUUAUGAAAUAGAGGCCGUAGAAAACAAAUGGGAGAACAAGAAAUCUAUAUUCUUUCUGUCAACUUGCAAUACUCAAUCUCCUUCAACUUCAAUUUCCUUCAAAGUUUCUUUUAAUUUUUUCUUGGUGCUUUAAACAUGACACAUUUCCUACUACCUUUUCUUUAAAAAAAAAAAAAAAAAAAAAACAUUGGCACGUGAAGUUGGCAAUUGGCACUUAUCAUACAAGUGGCUCCGGAUGUGCGGUAUCGUUUGUUUCUUUUGUUUCCUGGGGAUGAGUUUUUGGACUUGGACCACUCAUAAAUAAAGUUGUUUCCUCCUGUGCGGUAUUUCUUGUCAUGGUUGCUCUUACAAUACAGCCAGCCAAUGAAAGUGAAUGUGACAGAGAGAUAUACGCACGGAGACAAAGACAAGGCUGCUCGUGUCUCAUCGUACGAUCCAAUAAUUUGGGAAUUCGAAAAAUCUAAAACCAAAGGAGAAAACAAAUGUAAAUGUGUAAAUUUACAAGUAACCAGUAUUGGUGUAAUCAAUGCAUAAAUGUGUACAUUACAACUGAUAACAUGCAUAAACAAGAUAAACUCACAUUUAACGAGACUUGACUCAACGGUUAUGAUUGUUGAAUCUCAACCUUGAUUUUCUAGACGAACAUCUCGCUGUACAAAUUAUUUAAAUUGCUAUUUUUAAAAUUUUUGUAAAAAAAUAUAUUAUAGUGAUUUGAUAUAUGUGAAAUAAAAGGGUGAUUGAAAAAUUUAUUUAUAAAAAAUCUAAAAAAUUAUCUAUAGAAAAUAGUAAUGGAAGCAAAGGUUUUUGAAUUAUUGGAGCACCCCUAAAUUAGGAAGGACGAAAAUUCAUUAUCACAUCAUAGGACCAGCUAGUCUAUUAUUCUACAAGGUGAGAUAAUUAUGAAAUUGACAUGAAGAAAUACUUCCCACACGAGUCAUGAAUCGAUCAGAUGUGGGACUGGUGGCGGCCGCCAUCUCAAAAAUUAUCAUACGACAAGACGUGUUUCAACACCAUAAGUUGCUUUCGAAGAAUAUUAAAAAUAAUGUUCUGCACAAUAUUUGGACAAGGUCACAAGAAUGGCUCAAAUCACUGAAUCAAAAAAUCCUUUAGCUGCUCAGCUUGAGUUUCACUAAAUAUUUUGAAUUGCAGAGACCUAGUCAAAAAUCGAGUUUGAUCAUGAAAAACAAGGAAAAAAUAGAAAAGUUUUUCAUUUUUUGGUGAACCAUUUUCUUUUUUCUAUUUUGUUAAAGUUUUCCAUAAAAUAUGUUUACCAUAGUUUGAUGGGUUAGAUGCAAAACUUAGCUCUUAAUUAUAACAAAUUUUGCACUUUACUCCUUAAAAUUAUCUUAUUUUGACUUUACUCCACUAUUAGUCAACUCAAACAUUAUAUACCCAUAACCUGAAAAAAACAUUCAUCCUGAGGGUUAAUGACAGUAAAUCCCCUCAAGGUAUUGCAUGUUUUAUACUUUACUCUAUAAAGUCAUCUUUUCUCAAUUUGUAGGUUUGUCCCAAGACCAUUAGUUAACUCCAAUAUUCUGUAACACCCAAGAAAAAACAAUAGCUAAGAGACAUUUAUAUCCUUGACAGGAUAGUGAACUGAAUAAUAUUUUAUGGAUAUGAGUCUAGUUAAAUUUCAUCUCGUAAUUACACUUUUUUAAGACAGGGGGAAAUUUCUCGAUCAUUUUAUGCCUUAAGGAGGAAAAAUAAACAAAAUAUUAUUUAAAAAUAAAAUAUGAAAACUGAAAAUAUUACUAAAUUUGUAAAACCCGCUUAAAAACUGUCAAUCUCUCUUUUCAAAUGUGCAUAUAGGUUUGCUUUUCAUUUAAUGGCUACAUUUUUGCUUUGCAUAAAAAAUAUACACUUUUCGUUGUUAGUAACACUACAAAGGGGCAAAAACAUGAUGGAUUUGGCAUUCCAAAGCUUUAUUGUCACUUGUGCUCAGAGCGCACCCGACGUGUGUACAAUCAAAAAAUAUAUAAUAUUAAUAGUCAUAUAUUUUAAAUAAAAUUUUUAUUACUAAAGCAAAUUUUAAUCUUUUAAAUAUUUUUCAUAAAAUAAUUUUAUAUUGGUAGUUAUGUUGAAUACAUAUACUUAAAAGUAAAAAUAGUCAUGGGUGGUUAUAGAUAGUUAAAGUAAAAGUAAUUUUUAUAAGGGCAAAAAAGAAAGUUCAUAAAGUGACGAUAAAAGUUAACCCUAAUUUUAACCCCAAAUCUCUUUGUCAAGCUUUACAUAUAACUAGUGCCAAAGGCACACCCACAUGUAUGCAAUUUAAGAAUAAAUUAAUUUUUAUGAAAUUUUCUUUAAUGAAUUGAUAGUUAGUAUUUUGGUAGUUAUGUCAAUUGGUAGUUAUCUUGGUAAUUAAACUUUUUUUCAUAAUAAAAAGUUUGGAUGUUUAAAUUUUAAACAUAUUGGUAGUUGCAACAAAAAUUAUGUUGGUUAUAUAUAAUUGGAUAGUUAGGAUAAAAUUUAAUUUUGUGAGGAUAAAAAUGGAAGUUUAAAAAGUGACAAAAGGUAUUUACCCCACCCUUUCAUUUCCUAGAGUAAGUAAGGGUAAAUUUGAAAACACACAAAACUAACACCAAGUUAACUACCUACACAUGUUUUAUUAUUUUAAAGAUAUAGAUUUUGUAAUGCUAAAAGGCACUUUUCUCAAACUUCAACGGUUUACUACAGAGGCAUUUUUUUUACAAGUGCUCAAUACACACCCAAUGUGUGUGCAAUCAAAAAAUACAUAAUUUUUAUGGUCAUAUAUUUUAAAUAAAGUUUUUAUUACUGAAGCAAACUUUAAUCUUCUAAAUGAUUUUCAUAAAAUAAUUUUAUAUUGGUAGUUAUAAUGUUUAGGGGUAGUUAUGUUGAAAACAUAUAUUUAAAUAGUUGAAAGUAAAAAUAAUCAUGAGUAGAUAUAGGUAGUUAAAGUUAAAGUAGUUUUUAUAAGGGUGAAAAAGGAAGUUCAUAAAGUGAUCAUAAAUGUUAAUCCCAAAGUUAACCACAAACCCUUUCCUUAGACUUUAUAUGUAGUAUAGAUAUUGGUGAAUUUAACUAAUGAGGGAACAAAGUGAUAAAAAGAUAAUAAAAUUUGGAAUUCUAUGGGGGAAUUCUUAUAAAUAACCCGAGUUUGAUACUAAAAAAAUUAAUGCCUUGUUUAGAAAGAGAUUUUUUAUCAAAAAAUCUAUACGUUUUUCAUAAACACAUUUUUUAAUCACCUUUUUACCUCACAUAUAUGAAAUCGCUACAGUUUAUUUUUUACAAAAAUUUCAAAAAAUUGCAAUCCAAACAUAACCUAAACUUUUAUAGUGCGCCCAUGGAUAAUUAGGAAACUGUGAUGAUCUAAUAAAAGUUUUCCAGGGUUAAAAGUAAUAAGCCCCCAAAACUUUUGGGAUGCUUUGCACUACAGUCUCUAACGUUGAUUUUGUGCCAUUUAGUACUUUUGUUUUUUUAAAUGAGAUGUCUUAAAUUCAAAACUUCAUACUUACAAUUCCUUCCACCUCACCACUUAACCAUACCCUCCACCCCAAACUCCAAUUUUAGUACUUGUGUUAGUCAACCUCAACAUUUGCCGUUAAAUGGUACUAAUUUCUAAAAUUACCCUGAUUUCUAUGACAAAAAUACCUGUUGUCCUAAAUACAAUAAAAAGAUCUCCACAAAACCCUGCAAUCCUUUUGUUUAAUAUAAAAAAGUUUAAAAAAAAAACCGCAAGCAUUUUGACAGUGCCAAUACAACAAAACCACAAUCUUCCUUUAAUUAACUUAAAUGCAGCGAAGUAUUUCUUCCAAUCUUCUACUCCAUAGUCUUUUUUUUUUUUUUUUUGGAUUAACCGUAGGAGAGCGAAGUACUUUUGUCCUUUUUCUCCUUUUUAUCAAUCUCACAGCUGACAAAACAAAAAUUUUCAAAUAUAUCUAAACUAGCAGUUCCGUCUCUCACUUAUCUUUUUGCUUUCAACAGGUUUUGUACCUAAACAUUAUGUUUUUUUUUUCCCGCAAAAUUAUGUGCUAAGUACAUUCAUUUCCAGAAUAGACAAUUAGAAACAGCAAUGCUAUUAUUCAUGUUCAACUCGUUUGAAUUUGGAAAAGGUUUAAUCACAGAAUAAACAAAUAAAACUCGAAAACAAGAUUGAUUUGGAACCAACACACAAAUUUGGGUGCAAGCGGAUUGAAUAUGUUAUUGAACCCCACAAAAAAUUAUAUUGUUGCCCCACUUUGCCCCCUUAUUCUCCUUACCAGUAUUGCAACUAGAGGUGUUAAAAUGGAUGAUUUGGACGGGUUUGGAUUGGCAAAAAUGGAUAAUAGGUAUAAGUAAGUCAACCCAUUUAUACCUAUUUAAUUAAAUGGGUAUAAAUAGGCAAGCCAAAAAUGAAUUGGAUAACCCAAUUACUCAUUUAUAACCCAUUUAUUUUAAUUUUUUAUAAACUCAUUUAAAUUCAUUUUGCAAACUAGGUUAUCAAUUUAUACCACCCUUUACACCCAUCAUUAGUUUUAAAUAUUUACUUAUAAUGCUCAAUAAGCCUAUUUACCAAAUUUUUUUCCAUCCGUACUCUAUGUCGUAAAAUUACAUGCUAUUUAAUAAUUGAACAAUCAGAAUAUAAAAAUUUGAACUAAGUACUAUAAAAGUUAAACAUAAAAAUUUAAUCCAAAAAUUUUAAACUCCUAGCAUUUUUUUCAUGUGUAAAUUUAAAAUUUCAUUUUGAAAAAGUAGGAAAAGAGGCUAAAACUUGUCAUAAAUUGGUAACACUAAAGAGUAAGUUAACAAACUAAGAGAAAAAAAAAUGAUAAGAUAAAACCAACCAAUGAUAAUAAUAAUGAAACAAAAAUAGUUAACAUCAUAACAAAAUGAAGAAUCUGAAAAAAAAAAUGGGUGGGAGAAGAGAGAAUGCUUGGGGGAAGAUAAUUCUAAAUGGAUUAAUUGGAUUUGAUGGGUUAUCAAUAAUACCCAUUUAUUUAAAUGGGUAUUAUUGGAUAAUCCAUUUAUACCCAUAUGCAAAAACUUAAGAUACCCAUAUCCAUAUAUUCAUGGGCGGGUAUGGGUAAAUUUAGUUAAAUGGAUUCAUUUGCCACCUAUAAUUGCAACCAAUGCAAGUAAAAAUUGCGAUACUUGUUUACUACAAAAUAAGGACGUGAAUUUAUCAAAUAGAAAGUGGAGAGAAAAAAAAGGGCAAAAUACACUUAACUCUCUUGUGAUUUAUUGAUUUUUUACAUAACCUCCCUAUAGUUUCAAAUACUAUAUAUAACCCCCUCAUAAUUUGCAUUAAAGUUUCAAAGUGACAAAAGUGAUUAUUUGCAAUGAAACCCAUGAAAAUAUCGAAAUUGCCUUUGUUUAAAACCUAAAAUGACUGAACUGAUCAAAAAAUAUAAAUAUAAUAUGCAUGACACUCUAACAUCGUAUAGUUUUAUAUUUUACUAUAUAGUCCCCUUAUAGUUUAGUGUUUUACCAUAUAAUCCCCUUAUAAUUUUUAAAAUAUAUACAUAAUCUUUUAUGGUUAUAAAUAAUUUUUAACUUUACAUAAGAGUAUUUUUAACAUUCUAGUUGACUCCAUUAUGGAAUACAAAUUCAGUUAUUUUAAGACUUUAAUUCAAAUCAUGAGAGGGGUAUGUGUAUCUUUUGAAACUAUAGGAGAAUUAUGUGAAAAAAUAUUAAACCAUAGGGGGUAAAGUGUAUUUUUCCAAAAAAAAAAAAGGAAAAACAAGGAGUGAGACCAUUUUCUCAUUUUAUAUGUGCACUUUAGUAAAAUAGUUAAUCAUUUUUCUUCUUUUAAAUUGUAAAACUCAACCUCUUUUAAUUUAAAAUUUCAUUCGAAUGUUAUUUUAAUUUUGAUCUUAGUUCUUCAAAAUUGGCAUAUUAAUUUCCUACAAUUUUUGUAAGGAAAAAAAAAGCAUAAAACAUGGCACUUGAAGUUGGUUGUCGGCACUUAUAGCUUGUAUCAUUUGUUUGCUGGGUACAAGUUAUUGGACUUAGACAACUCAUGGAUAAUUAAGUUGAUUUCACCAGUGGGGUUUAUGGUGGCUUAUCUCCUUCUUAUCAUGUUUGUUCCGACGAUGCAGCCGGCCAAAGAAAUAGGAUGAGAAAGAGAAAUGGGCGCAUGGAGACGAAGGGCCGGCGGCUCCUUUUGAUAUAUCAUCGGUCCCAAUUGUUUGGGAAAUCUAAAAGCGAAGGAGAAAACAAAUGCAUGCAAUUAUGCGAAUCGGAAGAGAUCUGAAUUUUUUUGGAUCAAUUCAAGAACUCUCUAUAUUAGAAAGGGCAAUAAUGCAAUGUCACAUCCACAGGACCAGCUGGUCGUUUGUCAAUUAUUUUACAGUGGGAAAUUAUGAAAUUCGCAUAGGGAAAUACUUUCCUGCUCAUGAGCCGAUGAAACAGUGGAGUGGCGGCAGCCGCCGCCCUUCGAAAAUUUAAGUUUGUUUUUGGAUUGUAAUUUUUUUUAAAAAAAAUUCCUACGUUUUUUGUGGAUAUAUUUUUCAAUCACUUUUUUAUUUUACAUAUAUUAAAUCGCUACAGUAUUUCUUUUACAAAAAAUCCAGAAAAAUGCAAUUCAAACAAAGCUUAAAAUUUUAUUUAUAUCAGAUUUUUUUUUGUAAAACAUUAUAAUUUUAUUAAAUUUUGUAUUAAUGGCAAAAGUUACAUCAUCUGAAAAGUGGAUACUAUAGAUAUGAAAAACAGAUAAAAAUUACACUGUAAAAUUCUAAAAAAUAGUUUAAAAAAUGAGAUAAAAUAAUUGUAACCUCACGAAUAUCUAUGCAUGCUUGUGAUCGUCAAAUCUAUUGAUUAAUUUUUUCAAUUCUGAAUAUUAUGGUGAGAUUUACCAAAUAAACUCAAGAAAUUCCAAAUUUGAUAAAUAAAAUCUAAAAAAAAAGAGUUAGAUCGAAUAAAAGAAAAUAAAAAAAACUACCUAAAGCAUUCAUUAGAAAUCUCUAGGAAAGAAGAAAACUCUCACUAGGUAACACUAAGAGAGGAAAAAAUUCUCACUAGAAAAUUGUAAGAAAUUUUAUUUGUACAAAUGAAAAAAAACUAUAGAUAAAGCUCCUCCUAUGGAGAAAGAUUGAAAAAAUGUGAUUUCUCACCCGAAAGAAUUGAAUGAAGUUUUGGUUAGAGAAUUUUCCUAAAGAGAAACUAAUUCUCUCUUUCUUCUCUCAAGAAUUGGUGGGAGGUUUUUUUUAUGUCUUAUACAGUUCUUUCUUAUUUAUAUCAGAAUUAAGAGAAUGGAAAGUGAUAAUUUGGAGAAAAAAAUUUGAUCAAAGCCUUGAUAAUUGUAAGGUCCAAUUAAUAUUCUAGAUCUUGGCCAUAUUAGCUCGAGCUAAUCUAGGUCAUCCAUCUCUUUUCUAAAGAAAAUUUAUAUUUUUUUUUUGUUGUAAAAGUUAAUGGCCAGAUUUGGACCACAUCAGCAAAACUUGAUUUGAACCAUUAAUUGUACGUAUGCCAGGCAAUCGUGCAUUCUCCUAAAAGUAGCCAAUUGCCAUGGAAGGUUGUAAAUGACCAUCUUAAUCCCUGAAUUAAGAAACAGUCAUCCCAUAAAUCCUCUUCCUCCUUCCACAUUCGAAGACCGCCACCGCAGCUUACUCCACCCUUCAUUCACAAACCCAGUCAACAAUUUUUGCCUACAUAUCAAUCUUGAUUACCUUGCUAUAUCCCCUUACUCUUCCCUUCACGCUAUCUUCUUCCCAUAUUGAAGAAGCAAAACCAUGAUGAAAUAUUGUUUUGGGACAGGAAUAUGUCCAAAAGGGUGAUUUUAGGGCUAUCAAUGGGUCCGGACCCAAAUCUGAUCCAAUAUGCUCGUUUGUUCGAACCUGACCAAAUCCAAAUUAUAUGCAUUCUAAAUGGAUCGGGUAUGGAAUGACAUGUUCCGAUUCAUUCGGAUCCGAUCCAAUUAAUUGGACAUAUAUAAGUAAUAAUUAUAAUAUUCAUUAUAAAUUGUUACUAACCCACAUGUUUUCUCUUUGAAAAAAAAAGGAGGUACUCUAAGAACCAAAUAAUCUUUGGAAUUUUUCUCAUUGUGUAGUUACUAUUUUAUUAACAAAAUUUGUGUAAAAAUAGAAUUCAAAAAUUAUCAAAAAUUUUGUUAUACUAAAUUGAUUUUAUGGAUUGGAUAUAUCCGAAAUAGAUUUGAAUCCAACAGAAACUGGAUCCAGAAAUACAUAUUAAGACUUCAUUAGGUAAAUGGAUUGGGAUCCAAAAUAAUUAUUACCUGUCGGAUUUGUGUUAGCAGUUAUCAAUUUUACCCAGAAUCAACCCGAUGAGUUCUUAUUUUGUUUCUUUUUGGGCAAAGCUCAUACUAAUGGAGAGGGAUGCCAGUCCCAAAUUUAUUACUAAUAGAGAAAGGAAGGGCCAGGCAUUAAUCUAAACUCUAAUACAAGAAAAAGAAGCUAAUGAAAUGGAAAAAGGAGUACUACUCCCGUGCCGAUCUUAAUCUAAUGUUUGGCAAACUAAUACUAUCAACAGAAAUAAUAGCUUUUACUGUGAAGCAUGGUUCAAAGUCUCGGCCGACUCGUCACCGUCUCAGACCCUUCGAUACGUCACUGUGAACGGUUGAAACGGUCGAGUUACACUGAAUCACUCCGAGUCAUCCUAAGUCAACUCGAUUUUUUAUUAUUUUUACUAAUUUUUUAAUUAAUUUUGUUUACCAUAUUUUUUAUAAAUUUUAGAAUAUUAAAUAUUUCAAAAAUUCGCGUCUCACCGAGACUGCAUGCCAAGAUCGAUGUAGAACGGUCUAGGCCGCGACCGCGACUUUGAACCAUGCAGUGAAGGCAAUUCCGACGUAGAAGUGUAAAUCUGCUGCCGAGAGAGAGUUAAAGAAACAAGAAAGUAAACUGAAAAACUUGCUCCACCAUAAAUGUGAUGAACAAAAACCCGAUAACACCUUGAAGCAAAUGACGAAUUUGAACUAGGGCACUACACAUUGGCCAAUUAGCUAAAGCAUUGGUUGAUAAAGGUGCACAGGUAGCUUAGCAUCCACCUGUACCAGUACAUCAUCAGUAGUGCAUUAUUUUCUACCAGCAAAAAAUUUGCCUUGUCAAAUUCUUCAUAAAAUACAAAGACAAUCCUAUCAAUAUUAUGAUGCUAAAUGAGAAAUUUUGGGUUCGAGUCCUUCCAUCUAAAUUAUUUUAAAAAAAGCAAAAAAAAAAAUCCAUGAUGGUCUUGUAGAAGACUCUCUCGAGAUGAAGUUAACCUUUUAGUACUGGUAAUGGUAUUGAGUUUAUAAUGCUUUUCCAUGGUGGAAACCAUCAGACAGCCAUUACCGAUGUCCUCAUGGAAGUUUCUAGCCUAAAAAACUUUGCAGUAUAAGUAUUCUAAUCACUUAUUACAUAAAAUCCUAUCACCAAGGAACGUGCUCCUAACACAGCAAGACAAUUAUCAACCUUCAAAAUAAUCUUAAAAGCGAGCGAAGAGAUUCUUUGAAAAUGUGUUUCGUUCUUUCCACACCAUGAAAACCACAAAGCUAAUAUAGGUAAAAUACAUCUAAUGUGAUCAAGAGGUGCUUUAUCUAGAGACAAAUUAACAAGAAGACAUCAGCAAAGAAGAGAUACAUGUAUGAGGCUAGAAGGGAAUUCUGAAAACUGGGAAGUAAUGCCCGGCAAACUUGAACUGGAAUCGAGCCUUCUGUUAAAGUAUGCGGCAAAGAUGUUGUAAAAACUUGAUAUUUCAAAAGAUUUUUCGUUUGUUUCGGACUAGAGCUUUAUCUGAUAAUAUUUCAUCAGAUAUGGUUGUUUCUAUUUUGAUGGAGAAGUUUUCAAAGAUAAGGUUUUGACUAAAAGGCAAGUUCAAGUGCUAGAUAGGAAGUUAAGCUUCGGAUGGCCUUUUUUCAAAUGACUUGACCUUUUCCAAACUUAUCACCACAGAGGAUAGACCUCUGACUACUUCAAAAGAUAAAGUCUGGCACGAAGCAAGCCUAUUCUCACGGAAAAUUAGCUUUCAAAAUUCUAUCUUCUUCCGUCCCGUGAAGCUUAUAAAUAGAACCAGUUGCCAGGCUCAUUUCGCACUGCAAAAACGAAGUCUACACUUUAAAACACUCUCUACCUCCUCCUUUGUCUAUCCUUCACAACAUUCUUGCUUUUCUGCUGGGUUAGAAACAAGAUUUUUUUUGCUGGUUCUAUGUCCCUCUCACAAAGUAGAGGAAAACUUGUUUAAUUCUGGGGAAACGUUUCAAUACCCUGAAAUAGUUUCUUAGGACAGUGCUUUCUAGCACGACUCAAGUAUCCACGUGUUGACAUUGUUCGGGCCGCUUUAUCCAACAAUCUAAGAAACUAUGGCAUCUAACAAUGUUAGCACCCCACAGCCUUCAUCAGCAACUGUUGCAGUGGCACUACCAUUCGCCAAGCUCUUUCCGGAUGUAUCCAAAAUUGAAAUUUUCGCCAAUGAAAAUUUUAAAAGAUGGCAAGAACGUGUGCACUCUCUACUUGACAUCCAUGGAGUAGCUUAUGCGCUCACUGAAUCUCAACCUUCUGCAACUGCGGAUGCCAAGAGUCAAGAAGCAUGGCAAUAUGCCAAUAAGGUAUGUCGACACACUAUCCUUCAAACACUCUCUAAUGAAUUAUUUGACGUCUACUAUAGCAGCAAAGAAGCCAAGGCAAUUUGGGAAGCCUUGGUAACAAAGUUUACUGCCGAAGAUGCAACCAAGCAAAAAUUCGUCGUAGGAAAAUACAACCAAUGGCAAAUGACUGAUGACAAGGAAAUGAAAAUUCAAAUCACCGAAUAUCAAAUGCUGCUAGAGGACUUGAAAAAUGAAGACAUCAAUCUUCCUGAGAAAUUCGCUGCAAGCAUGCUGAUUGAAAAACUACCAGAGUCAUGGGCCGACUAUAAAAACAACUUGAAACACAAGGAGAAAAAUUAUACCAUGGAUGAGCUCGUGAAGCACAUCCUCAUUGAAGAUUCAAACAAAAGGGAGUUAAGAGCUACCAAGGCAAAGGAGACGGCUUUCAAAGCCAAUCUGGUACAAGGUAAUAAUAAAAGGUACGCCAAUAAAUCCCAGAAUUACAAGCCCAAAAAUUUUAAUUUCAAGCCUAACAAUCCCAACUUUAAGAAAAGGAAAGGCAAUUGAUUUUAUUGUGGAAAACCAGGACAUCAUGCAUUACAAUGCAGACAUAAUAAAGGUGACAGAGCAAAUGGUAAUCUUCCUAAGGUGCACUUAACCGAAGGAGAUGAUAUAAUUGCUGCUGUCAUCUCUCAAGUGAACAUUGCAGCCAAUGUCAAAGAGUGGGUGGUAGACUCUGGGGCUACUCGGCACAUAUGUGCAAAUUGAGAAGCAUUUUCCUCCUAUACUCCUAUAGGGGAUGAUGAGGAAGUUGUCUACCUUGGUGACUCACGAACUGCUAAUGUUCUGGGUAAGGGCAAAAUAUUCUUGAAACUCACUUCAGGAAAAACUUUGGCUCUCAAUGAUGUACUGCAUGUGCCCAACAUUCGGGCAAAUCUGGUUUCCGUAGGAUUGCUAGGAAAAGUUGGAGUGAAAGUGUCAUUUGAAUUUGGAAAGAUCAUAAUGACCAAAAAUAAUGUAUUUGUGGGCAAGGGCUAUUGUAAUCAGGGACUCUUUGUACUUAACAUUGCCAAUGUGAUCAAUGAGAAUGCUUCUUCUUCUGCUUAUAUUAUUGAUUCAAUUUCUUUAUGGCAUGCAAGAUUAGGACAUGUUAAUAUGAGUUAUAUAAAGAAAAUGCAAUCUUGUGGCCUGAUUUCUGGUGUUAAUGAUAAAAUGGAUAAAUGUGAGAUAUGUGCAGAAACUAAAAUGACAAAGAAGACUUGUAUAACUGUUCAAAGAGAAACUGAACUAUUAAAUUUAAUCCACACAGAUUUAGGUGAUUUAAAACAAACUAUGACUAGAGGAGGAAAAAGAUAUUAUGUCACUUUUAUCGAUGACUACUCUAGAUAUACUAAACUUUACUUACUUAGAAAUAAAGAUGAUACUCAUAAUGCCUUUUUAUCUUAUAAGUCUGAGGUAGAAAAUCAACUUAAUAAGAAGAUAAAAAGAAUUAGGUCUGAUAGAGGAGGCAAAUAUUUAGCCCUAGAUAAAUUUUGUGAACAUGAAGGCAUAAUACACGAAACAACACCUCCUUAUUCGCCAGAAUCUAAUGGAGUAGCUGAAAGGAAAAAUAGAACAUUAAAAGAAAUGAUGAAUUCUAUGUUAGUUAGUUCUCAUGCUCCUGAUAAUUUAUGAGGAGAAUCUAUUUUAUCUGCAUGUCAUUUACAAAAUAGGAUACCUCAUAAGAAAACUGGCAAAACUCCUUAUGAGUUAUGGAAAAGUUAUAAACCAAAUUUGAAAUAUUUAAAAGUAUGGGGAUGUCUUGCUAAAGUAUUGUUGCCUGAACCUAAGAAAAGAAAAUUAGGUUCUAAAACUUCUGACUGUAUGUUUAUUGGAUAUGCUGAACAUAGUGCUGCAUACAGAUUUCUUGUUUUAAAAAGUGAUACGCUUGAUUGUAAUACAAUUAUUGAGACAAAGAAUGCUGAAUUCUUUGAACAUAUUUUUCCAUUGUCGAGUAAAAUUUCUCAUGCACCUGUUGAAAUAAAUAGAGAAAUAAUUCCGAAUGAGGAAUUAAGAAGGAGUAAAAGGCCAAGAAAAGAAUUUUCUUAUGGAAAUGAUGUUCAAACUUUUCUUGUUGAUAAUGAUUCUUUAACAUACUCCGAUGCUAUUUCUUCCCCUGAUUGUAAAGUUUGGAAAUAAGCAAUUAAAUCUGAAAUUGAUUCUAUCUUGUCAAAUAAAACUUGGAUUUUGGUGGACUUACCUCCUGGUGCAAAACCUAUUGGUUGCAAAUGAAUUUUUAAAAGAAAAUAUAACUCUGAUGGCUCUAUAGAAAAGUACAAAGCUCGUUUAGUAGCAAAAGGAUUUUCUCAAAAACAAAAUAUUGACUAUUUUGAUACAUUUGCACCAGUAACAAGAAUUGCGUCUAUUCGAGUUUUAUUUGCUUUAGCUUCUAUCCAUAAACUUGUUAUUCAUCAAAUGGAUGUCAAAACAGCAUUUCUAAAUGGUGAUUUAGAGGAAGAAAUUUAUAUGUUUCAACCUGAGGGGUGUAUUGUAUCUGGACAAGAAAAUAAGGUUUGUAAACUAAUUAAAUCUCUUUAUGGCCUAAAACAAGCUCCUAAACAAUGGCAUGAGAAAUUUGAUCAAGUAUUGAUAAAAGAUGAAUUCUUGUCUGUAGAAGUGGAUAAAUGUGUGUAUGUCAAAAUUAUAAAUGAUCAAUAUGUGAUAAUCAGCUUAUAUGUGGAUGACAUGCUUAUAUUUGGUACUAGUCUAGAUAUUGUAAAUAAUACUAAAUAUUUUUUGUCCUCUAAUUUUGAUAUGAAAGACUUGGGUGAAGCCAAAAUGAUAUUGGGUGUUAAAAUCAUAAGGAGAGGUGAUGGUAUAAUGUUGUCACAAGAACAUUAUACAGAGAGACUUCUUAGGAAGUUUGAAAAUUAUGAUGUGACACCUGUGAGUACUCCUUAUGACGCUAACAUUCAAUUGAGGAAAAAUAAUGGCGACCCAAUUGCUCAGUCUAAAUAUGCUCAGAUCAUUGGGAGUCUGAUGCAUCUGAUGAAUUUCACUAGACCGGAUAUAGCUUAUGCUGUAUGUAGACUGAGUAGAUAUACUCAUAAUCCCAAUCGUGAGCAUUGGUUUGCAUUAGUCAGACUAAUGAAAUAUUUGAGAGGUACCAUGAAUUUUGGUAUACUAUAUAGUGGAUUUCCCACUGUAUUAGAGGGUUACAGUGAUGCUAACUGGAUCUCUGAUCCAAAUGAUACAAAAUCCACUAGUGGUUAUGUGUUCACCCUUGGUGGUGGUGCGGUAGCAUGGAAAUCAGCCAGACAGACAAUUAUUGCUCGGUCAACUAGGGAAUCGGAGUUCAUAGCUCUGGAGUUAACUGGCUCUGAGGCAGAUUGGUUAAGAAAUUUCUUAGUCAAUAUUCCUCCUAUUAAGGAUCUGUUGUCUCCUGUGUCUAUACACUGUGACUGUCAAGCGGCUAUUGCUAUUGCAAAAAUAAAUCUUAUAAUUGUAAAAGUCGACACAUGAGAUUAAGACAUGAUGUCGUAAAGCAGCUGCUUAGAGAUGGAAUUAUUUCCAUUGAUUUUGUGAAGUCAGAGUUGAAUUUGGCCGAUCUUCUGACUAAACCUGUAGGAAGAAAAUUAAUUCUUCAAACUACAAGGGAGAUGGGACUUAGGCUAACGGUUGUCAAUAGAGAUGGUAACCCAACCUAUGUGAUUAGUGAUCCCAUGAAAUAGGUUCAUAUGGGUAAUAACAAGUCGAUAUUGACUGUAAAAGCACUUGAAAUUUAAGUCCCUUCAAAAUUAAGUGCUUUGACUGCCAAUAAUUGUGAGGCUGAGUUUAAUACUCUUAAUGAAUUUAUAUUCCUUCAGGAAGGUGUAUUUAGGGCAGUAUACACUUGAUAAAUUCACCUAUAUGUGAGUGGAGUGGGGCCGCUCCUAUAAGAUUUUUUGGCCGAAUCUUUAGAGCUCUCAUGAACAACCAGGCGGGCGCACGACCUAAAUGCGCGAAACUGCAUUGAACAGCAAAAUUAUGGGUUAUAAUGUGAUUGAUAAGAUCUCUGUCAUACAAUAAGAAUUAUUGGUUCAUAGAAAGAUAUGUUUUCACCAAUAAUUCUGUAAGACAUAUUUUAUCAAUUUAAGUUUGGUUCAUAGUCCAAAAGACACCAAACUCAUUACAUUGAGCUCAGACAAAUCCAGCAGAUGUUUAUACUCUUUUGUCCAAAAUCUUUUGAAAUAGGUGGGAGAUUGUUGUAAAAACUUGAUAUUUCAAAAGAUUUUUCGUUUGUUUCGGACUAGAGCUUUAUCUGAUAAUAUUUCAUCAGAUAUGGUUGUUUCUAUUUUGAUGGAGAAGUUUUCAAAGAUAAGGUUUUGACUAAAAGGCAAGUUCAAGUGCUAGAUAGGAAGUUAAGCUUCGGAUGGCCUUUUUUCAAAUGACUUGACCUUUUCCAAACUUAUCACCACAGAGGAUAGACCUCUGACUACUUCAAAAGAUAAAGUCUAGACGAAACAAUCCUAUUCUCACGGAAAAUUAGCUUUCAAAAUUCUAUCUUCUUCCGUCCCGUGAAGCUUAUAAAUAGAACCAGUUGCCAGGCUCAUUUCGCACUGCAAAAACGAAGUCUACACUUUAAAACACUCUUUACCUCCUCCUUUGUCUAUCCUUCACAACAUUCUUGCUUUUCUGCUAGGUUAGAAACAAGAUUUUUUUUGCUGGUUCUACGUCCCUCUCACAAAGUAGAGGAAGACUUGUUUAAUCCUGGGGAAACGUUUCAAUACCCUGAAAUAGUUUCUUAGGACAGUGCUUUCUAGCACGACUCAAGUAUCCACGUGUUGACAUUGUUCGGACCGCUUUAUCCAACAAAAGAUUCAAUCGAAUAGCUACUAGCCAAAUUAUCUGAACAAGAAGAGCAUUAUUUGGAAACCAAAAUAAUACCAUGGACAUGAAUAUCCUCAUCUCAACGGCUAGAGGGAAUUCCAUGUGAUCUUCAAAACAAUGGAAGAAUUCUUCUUCUUUCUCACCUCCCCCCUCCCAAGCCGAAGCUAGAGUAAAACAACCAAAGGUAAAUAGCUGCCACACCAACAUAUCUUCUUGAUUUGAUCAAACCCUUAACUUCAAAAUUGCAGCCACUAUACGAAGAGGAAGCCGGUCAUUCAGCCGAGCAACAUUCCAAUCGAAAUUCAUAAGAAAAACUCAGCUACUAGACAAUAUGGUGGAUAAUCCAUAUCACAAACAACAGCAGAGGGUUCAUCCAAGACCCAUCUAUCAAACCAAAAAUCUAUCAUUCUCUACUCUACGCACCAAUCGAUAUUCACUUCAGCAACUCCUUUAAUGUAAAACAAAUGUUUUCAAACAACUUAACCCACGCAAGAUUGAACUUGCGUUGGAUGAAGAGCAUGAAGAUAUUUCCGCUACGUAAACUUUGCUUAAACUGUUUUUUUUUUCUAAAAUUCUAUCGUAGCUUAAUACUGAAAGCAUGGAUCUAAUCCCUUGACUUUCUCUACUAGAAAACGUAAGUUUUCCCAAGAAGACCAGUGAAUAUGCCUCGAAUUAUCUUUAACAUCUGACAGAAAGCUAUUAUACGUACAUUCAAUAGUUCUAACCACCACUUUUGGAGGAGAUAGCACUUGCAACAAGUACAUAAGAAUUUAAGAAGGGACAUGUUUCAGUAUAAUUAUUUUCCCACUAGCUGAUAAGAAUUUAGAAUGCCAACCAGAAUUCUCCCUCUGAUUUUCGAUACAAUGCUUCAAACAUUACUCUCUUUGAUCUACUCUCAUAUAAAGAAACUACCAAAUAGGAAAAGGGGAGACAUUGAAGUUGAAAUCCCAAAUAGAACAUACCAUACACAUCUAGCAGUCAAGAUCUUAUCGGAACAAAUAAAUAAGCUAUUUGCAACCUUGAUCCACUGAUCAGAUUAGUAGUGAGAAAGAAAGUACUUUAUCGCCUUCAAACACCUCUUCAAGCAAUGUGUAAAAAUGAUUGUAUCAUUAGCAAAAGCAAGAUGCAAAACUUGACCUCCUGAUAAUGUAAAAAACAUCCUCCUCCCAUUUUCAAAUAAAUCAAUCAAUCCAUGACCAAGAUAUUCAGCAGCUAUCACAAAUAAAGUUGGUGAUAAUGGAUCUCCUUGACGACGAACACCACGAAAGGACUUUAAGAAUCCCACAACUCCACUAUUUAAACUAAAUGAAAACCAAUUGUUGGAGACAAUGCGAAACACAAGAUCAUUCUUGUAUUCGCUAAACCAGAAAUCUCAAUAUUUGCAUAAUGAGAGACCAAUUCGCCUAAUCAUAUGCUUUCUCUUAACACAUUCAGUUCCUGGAGUUUCUUAUCAAUCUCAGCCACAAGCUCUUGAGCUAACAACAUGAAAUCAUUAAUUCGUCUUCCCAGAAGAAAUCCCGUCUGCAAUGGGGACAGAAAGAUAAUUUAUGGGAGAAUUGUUGGGUUUGUGAGUCCAACCCAUUUGUUGGGCCAAGUCACAAUUAGAGCCCAAAGCCCAUGGUCAUUUGGUUUCCGAGUCAAUAUUUGACUUGAGAUUAUAGGAAGUGACUAGUCAAUUAACUAAAACUUGAAGUCGCACAAAAGGGAAUAAAUAUCAACCUAUGAGAUUAAUUGCAACGUUAUUAAACUCGAACGGGAUAGCGACUUGGCUAAACUAUUGAAUCAAGGGUCAACUAGUCGGAUCGGUUGGACCGCUUUUAAAAACCCGCUCAUGUCAACAUGUCGUCAUAGUUAUUUUAUUUUUUUUUAUAAAUUAUAGAAAUAUAGAAAUUAACUUCUUAGUUAUAUUCGAUCAAUCAUAGAAAAUGUUCCAAAAAUAUUAGACUUGCAAUCAAAUAUACACCUAAUAAUUAUAUAUAAAAAUGUAAAUUCAUGGCUAAAAUAUGUCCAUUCUCCAAAACUACUUGAAAAACUAAAUUAAAACAAAUUAAUGCAAGUUGGAAUCACUGAUGCUAAAAUGAUAAGAUCAUAUGGAUGAAAACAUUUUGAUUUAGAGAUCAUUCAGGAAAGGGAAUGAUUUUUGUAUUUACACUAAGUGGAUGGCGUUUUCUUAUUCCUAUUAAUAAAUAAGACUCAAAUUAUGUUUGGGAAAAAGAAGCAAGAAAAGUUUGAAAAUUAGGUCAAUCAGUUGAACCGGGUCACUGGUUUAGUCAAUUUUUGACGGUUUUGACCAAAGCGAUUUUGUACUACAAACUAGCUCGGAAAGAUGGUCGAUUCAUAGUCGGACAGGUUGUCAGGACAGAAGAAAUAAGCUAAAUUUAAGAAUACUUUGUAACGGUGACGUUUGGGGAAUAAUUGUAGUGCAGCGAUGACGUUUUGUGAAAUGUUAGUAAUAAAAAGGGAUAAGUGGAACGGUGUCGUAUGAAAGGCUGAGUUAGUUAGAACAGUCACGUGGGUUGUGACAGAAAUUGGGUAGCGGUAGUUAAUUCAUCCUAUUUGUACACGUUUGAUUGGCUAAAGAGGCAUCAGAGAAUAACAAUUGCAUUUUCCCUCUUUUCCUACUUUCUCUUUCUACUCCCCUUACUCUCUGCAACUUCUUUUCAAUCUUCUCUCUCACGAAGCUCUUCUGAGCUUCUCUCCUUUCUCCAAUUCAGGGAUAUGGUCGUAGGAGCCUGACAAGUGAUAUCAGAGCUUGUCGAAUCCUUGGAAUUGAACAGCAAUGGCGGAGAGUACCAGAUUCAAGACUCUGGAAGAACAGAUCAAGAAAUAAGAUUCCAAGCUCCAGGAGGUAAUAGAAAGUCUGUAGGCUUCGCACCACCAACAACAGCAGCUUCGCGAGGAGCUGCGAACAGAACUCGAGGAGAACAACCAGAAAAUGGAAGGUCUGGUAAUAAGAUUGAAACAAGAGUUCAGCGCCUUCAUGAAGAUGAUGCUGGAAAGAGAGAAACUGAAUUAUGAACCAGGAAGAACCCUGAGUGAUCAACCACCUCUGCUGCCAACACCACCGCCUAGUCAGAGGCUGCAAGUUGGACUCGAAGGUAUCAAGAUUGGGAGGAGAGAAACAAACAAGGCACUGAUUCCAAAUCCCCCAAAAAUUGACUUGCCUCUAUUCGCUGGGGAAAGUCCAAGGGAAUGGAUCAGGAAGUGCAACAAGUAUUGCAUAAACUACCAAAUUCCUAAGGAACAGAAGGUAAAGGUGAUCGAGAUGUACUUGGAAGGGAAGGCGGGCAGGUGGUUCCAGGGAGUUAAGGCGGAGAAACCUGAAAUCACGUGGCCAAUGUUUGAAGAAUUAUUGGGCAAAAGGUUCGAUAACAAGGCAGGUAAGGAUAUUGUGGAGGAAUUUAACAAAUUGCACCAGACAGGGAAGGUGGAGGAGUAUCAGGAAAGGUUUGAGGAGCUCAAGGUCCUCAUGACAAUGAAGAAUCCGCAUCUGAGUGAAGAAUAUUUUGUAUCCAGCUUUAUCAGUGGAUUGAAAGAUGAAAUCAAGACUAUGAUCAAAAUGUUGAGGCCUACCUCUCUGUCCGAGACUUUUGAAUUAGCAGUAUUGCAGGAGAAUGCACUGAACCUUGUGAGGGCCUCAAAAUUUAUUAUUUUAAUAAGAAUAUUAUUAUUACUAUUUCAUUUAUUUAUUUUAUUGUUUUAUUUAUUUUAUAUAUAUAUUUUUUGAAAAGUUAAAUAAUAAAUGUGAAUACAAUUAUAUUAUGUAUUUAUAUAAAAUUACAUGAUCUUUAUGUGCAUAGUUCGCAUUUUCAUAAUUAAAUUAUUUUCAUUCGAACAAAAUUCCAAUGUUUGACUGACUAGUGCUAAGUUCAGUUUUUAAGCCGUGUCGAGGAAUUUAACUUUGGUGAAAGAUUAGUCUAUGAGUAGCUUUAAAAGAAUUAUAAAUGAGAUAGAACUAAGAUAGAUAAGAAAAGUGUAGUGGACAAAUUUAAGUGGAACAUAAGCAUUGGUCAAAGUUGGACAAUUUCCGCUAAAACUAAGUUUUAAUCUUGCCAUUGUUUCUUCCAUUUAAUUUCCUCCAAUUCACUUCAAUUUCUUUUCCUUUCUUCCUUAUUAUAGUCGAGAAUCCCCCUCCCUCAUUAGCCAAGAUAAUCACUUUCAUUCCCACUAAAUUUACUCUUAAGACAUUAAUAUGUAAGAGGGGACAUGAUCCUUAAAAUAGGGCUUUAAGUCCUAUCCUUCUCUUCCCAAUAUAAUGCUCCCAAUUUUUCAAACAUUUCAUUCCUUUUCUUCUUCCCUUAUCAGCCGACCACCCUCACACACUCUCUCCCUCUUUCUAGCCAAAGCUCUAUCUUCUUCUUCCUCAACUCAAACUCCAUGACCAACCAACUUCUAGCUUCACUCCAUCUCCUAUUUUUUUUUCUUGUUGUUCUAGCCGAGAGAAUGAGAGGGAGAAACCGAGAGGAGCUCUUUGUGGUGGCUGGCCAGAUUCUUGGAGAAGGAAAGAGAUCUCUUCGUGGUGAAGAUUGGACAUCCUAGCCUUGGGAAAAUCAGCUAGAACCUGAGGUAGUUCUCUAACCCAAAAGCUAGAGCUUUCAUGUUAUCUCUUGAAGAGUGAAUCUUGAAACUUCAUUGGGUUGAAUUCUUGUUGGAUUUGGUUAAUGUACGGGUUCUUGGGAUUCCCACAAAUGUAUGAUCUUGGUUGCUAGCAUGAUUUUUGAUUGGUAUAUGUGUGAAUAUUUGGAGUUGUGGCUUGAACUUUGGAAGGGAAGAACCUUAACAGAAAUCGGGAGAAAGAGGGGGAGAGAGAGAGAGGGGGGACCAAAAUGGUUUCUGUUUUCUCUAUUUUUCUUGGCUGUGUUUUCACAAAUUUAAAGAUUGAUUUGGGAGCUAAAAAUUUAAGCUUUAAGCUGUCAUUUUCUCUUACAAAAAAAAAAAAAAAACCCCUUCAAAUGGCGUUGCAAAAUGGUUCCAAAAGAAGGUUUCAAACCUGGAAAUUUCAAAUGAGAGUACGGUCCGAAAUUUCUGUGAUUAUUCGAAAAUGUUUGGGGCUCAAUUAGCCUUAGCACAUAACAUGAAAGUUGUAGAGAAUUGAGUUUAAAUUAUGCCUGUAAAGUUUCAGCUCAAUCGGAGCUGGGUAUCCUGUGAAAUGACAAAAUUGCCCCUGCUACCCUGUUUCUAUCAGAAAUGAUAAUCAGCCUCUGUAAUUGGUUAGUUUGACCGGGAAUAUUACUGAAUUGGUUGUCAAUGUCUUCUUAAGAAUUGUAGCCUUGUAUCUUAGCUUUGAAAUGGCUUUGGAAUCACCUGAAUCGGAGUUGUGUGUGCUGAGUUAAGAUUAACUGAAUCAGGACUAUCAGUAAUUGUGUCAGUGAGAAUUGAACCAAGAAACUUGGGCUAUUUCGGUAAAUUUGAUCUAGUUAGGGUGAGAACUGGGUUGAGAUGUCUUCACAAGAAUGGUAGAUCUAUGUCUUAGCUUCGAAACGGUAUAUUUUUUGUUUCAAUCCGAUAAGUGUAGCUCGAGUUGUGCUUAAAUUCCUAAAAGGAUUUGGUAAAUGGAUUUACGAACUGUACUUUCUUAUUAGGUGAGUGUGUACGUUAUCACACUCGCCAAAGGACAUGUGACUUUUCACUAUUUGAGUGACCUAUUUACCAAUGUGUUUAUGUGGUCAAUGUGGUUACUGGACGCUUGGUUUGAGGUGAUUAUUGUGAUUAUUGUGGCUGAACCCCUUGAGCAUUUGUUCGGGGUGACUAGCUUGAGGAUUUUAAUUGCUUUCUUGUUUUUGGCUUGAUGAUAGGUAGAGGUCUGGAGGUAUAUUGAGCUUUAGAUGCAUAUAUGUGAUAAAUCUUGCUUUAUUACAUGUUUGGCUUGUUAAUUAUUGCCAGAUAUUCCUUUAUUUGGAUAGAUGAACUUGUGUGUGUUUAAGUAUAGCAAGAGGAAAAAUUUUUGUUUUGAAUCUUUCAUGUUGGCCGAAAUUUUUGGGACAAAAUUUCAGAUUUUUGGAGCUUUUAUUUGAGUUAAAGUUGUGCCAAAAUAAUGGAUUCUAAGUGUAUUUGGGUUGAUUAAACCGAUUGGCUCUUCAAAGGAAAAAAAAGGAGUGAACUUGCUAAAGUGAAAACUGGAAAUCUGCUUUCUGGAACAACAGACCAGUUUCGGAAAAAAAAGUUAUAUUUUCAUGUAUACCACUCCAAAUCGAGUCCCAUUUGUUUUUUUUUUUUGAAACUAGACACAUAAGGUUACAAAUCAUGUAAAUUUCAGGGGCUAACUCAUUUUCUGUGAUUUUUGGUGUUUUUUUAAAGUCCGUUGGAAAAACGGAAUUUUACCUGCCCUGCAUUUUACUGUAGCAGUCUAUUGACGGAAACACUGGGCAAAAUUCGUAUGGAAUGUCAUCAAGGUGUCUUCUACAAAGUUUUAGCCCUUUCAAUUAGGUUUCCAACGGUAUCAACUAUGCAAAUUUUGGACUCGUAAAUAUUAAGUUACGAUUUUCUAAAGAUUUCUACCAUAAACCUCCAGUUUCCUGAUUUUUACAAUAAACAUGAAAACGACUUGAUAUUUUUGCUUGGCCUUGAAUAUGCACGUGAAUGAUCGUGAUUAUACAUGUCUCAGGUGAAUACGAGAACUCCGAAGAACCCGUUUAGCCGCUUAACUUUUUCUCUCUCAUGACUUUUGGUGAGUGUCAAAUGCAUGUUAAGUGUUUAAAUGAAAUGUUUCUCGUACUUGCUAGUUCAUGAGGGUAGAGUGUACUUUACCGCCCUUGUCCUCUAUUUCAUGAAAUUGCUUGCUUGAUAAGUGAUAAGUGUUACAUGUGAAUGUAAAUGAAAGUGUUUUCCGUGAGCAUUGAGCAGCAGAAUGUAUCACACCCUUUUAGGGUUGGAGGUACCGCUCAUCCCGUCUCAAUGCUAUGACCAAAUCUUGUCGAUUGGAGAUUCGUCUCAUCGACCCAAAAGUGAAUGGGGGGGGGAUGCCCCAACCCAUUGGCUAGCCUUGUAACUCGAGCCGGCAAGGGCUUGGUCGAGAAACUUGGUGAACCUUAGGCAGUGUUAUAACUUGAUCCAAAUAAGAUGUCUUGCUAGGUAUCCUUGUUAAGUGAUACCACCUACAAGCUUGUUUGGUUACGGAUCCAAGAGGGUGUCAUGGUGGCUGGAGGUAGUAAGUGGAGUUCUACAUGGAUAACUGUAAAAGUUGACGGAGGGUCAACUACCUGAGCUUGGAUAGCGCGUGGAUUAGCUCCUGAGAGCUCUCGUAUCCUUUUAAUUGUGAUUAAAUUCCUUACUUGCUAAAUGUUUCGAAGUUACUUGUUACUCAAGUUAUUGCUUUAUAUUGUGUCUUUGCUCGCAUGCUUGCAUGUUUUUCCCUUGGCCUCAUUGAGCGUCAGCUCACCCCAAUUUGUUUUCCUUAACAGGUUUGGAAGUGGAAGUUCUGAGGCUUAAUUAGUGACAAUCCCUUUGGGUAGAACUAGUCGUUAUCUUUAAUUCUGGGACUCCAUAGUGUAAAACUUAUGAUUAUUUUGGGCUUUCGGUAUUGUAAAAGUACAUUGAAAAUCUUGGAUGUAAUAUAGAAGCAUGAAUUGUUCUUUUAUAUUUUAGAGUACAUGAAUGUUUUAGUGGAGUAUUUCAUGUGAUAUUGGAGUUUAAUUUGUAAUUUACUUGAAGAUUGUAGUGAGUCCCGGCGAGAGUUGGGCAGGCGGUCUGCCGAACCCUUUGGUUCGCCUUAGGGGGAGGUGGGGUCGUCAUAGUUGGUAUCAGAGCUCUAGGUUUCAGAUCUCUGUAGUGUAUCCUAAGUUCUAAAAGUUGAGGAUGCCACACAGUGGGAUUCGGGUUCGUUUGAAUGUUAAGUGAAAAAGUGAAGUAGUGAGCAAUUGUGGUUUCGAUGGUUAUUAAGAUUCAAUAAUUGAGGAUUAUUGUGCUAGACUAGCAAGAGAGAAGAAGAUUGUAAGAGAUUAAACACUAUUUAAAAGAUAGUAAGUAAAUUUCUUGAAUAAUGGCAUUUGCUAGGAGGCGUUCUUGAUUUAAGGACUUAUGGGGAAAUAAAUGAUUAAUUUGUUUGGGAUAACCUUUAGUGCUUGAUCGUUGCCACUAGAUAUAUUUUAGAGUUGAUAUACCUUGUUCUUGCCUUGGGAACAUGACUGCAAUUAUGUCUUGGAAUUUGGAAGGCCUACCUUUUGUAGUACCUAGUUAAGUAUGUGGUGACUCGUGCUUGUUAAAGGAUAGAUAUUAUGAUGGAAUGCGGAACUUUAAUUGAAAAGAUAGUUGAUGUAGCUCUAAUGUUCAAAAUGAGGUUGGCCUUACCUAAGGGAAUUAAGCCCCCUCGCUCAGUUGCAAGCUAGACUAUGGAGCACGACCUUUUAUACCUUUUGUUUAUGAUAGUUGGGGUGAUGCUUGUGCUUUGGCCUGUAUAUUUUGUUAAGCAUGAUAUUUGUUCCCUUUUGAAGUAUUUGAAUGCUAUAAAUUCUAUACCUGAUCAUGUUGACUUGUUAAUUUGUUUGGUAGUACACAUGCAAAGUUUUAUUUUCAUUAUCGACUCAUGCAAUGACAUGCUCUCAUUUUGGUUGAUUGUUCUCCCUCUUGUAUGACCUUGUUCAUAAAAAAAAAAUUUGAUUUGUAUGUCAUCUGAUCUAUUGACUGUUCCUGUGAAAAUAUGAAGUGUGCUUUGAUUGCUUUUCAAGUUUUAAAUUCCAUUUUUCCUUCAUUGGACAUAUUUAGAUUUAUAUAUUUAUAUAUUUAUUCAUUUACUAGAGUUAUCCAUCUAUUAGUUAUUUAUUUAUUUAUUAUUUUUGGUCCUCCGUAAGAAUUAGAAAUAAAGGGUAGAAAGGAUCGAGACUGUGGGCCAGAGGGGCCAGGCAAACCCCAAAGCGUGGAAGAUAAUUGGGAAAUAAAGUUGAGGGUUAGUGAAUGAUGACAAAGAGAUAACUAGUGGAGUAUAUAUUGAAUUAUUAUAAUUAAAGAAAAAAAAAAGAGUAACUGCAAGGAGGUAAACUAGUGGAUAAGAUAAGCUGUUAUUAAGAAGUUUCAUUUAGUGCGAGUGUGACAAAAUUUAUGGUAAACUUUGGAGAUCUAAGACUUGUUAUAAUUAGGGUUGGAGUUUUGGAUGAGAUAGGUGUUUGAACUCAUUAGAUUUACAAGUUUAUGGUUAAAUUCAAUGAUUCCCGGUUAAUUGAGCUUGGGUUAUGGAAGAUAUUCCUUGGACUUUGAUUACUAGGCUAGAUGCCUCGGGAAUUCUCUAUGCUUCAUAGUGUAAAAUUGUGGUGAAUCUUGGCGGAUAAGAUAAGAGAGCUUGAUAUAUGUUGAUUAUUGGAUAUUGUGGUUAAUUCAUGAGAUUGAUGAAUUAUAAUAGGAAAGUGAUGAUAGGAUCGGUGAAAAUUUUUGGUAGUAUCUCUGCUGGCCGAACAUGUUUAGUUACCUUUAGCCCUGUUUUCUUACAAAUCAUUGGCAAAAUUUUGCUUAAUAUUUUAAACGUUGAUUCUUGAAAAUGAAAUUUGAAGUUGAAAGGAAAUAAUUUUUAAACCUGGUUUUGCUAAAAAUUUUUCCAAAAAGGAACACCGUACAGUUUUAAAAUUUGUGAUGCAUUGGUGUAAUAUAUAUAUAUAUAUAUACACAUAUAUACAUAUACAUAUAUCAUAAAAAAAAUCCAAAAUUUAGUUUCGUUUAUUAGAUUUAAAAGUUGACAAUGGCUCUUUUCACCGUGUAAAAUUUUCAAAUUUUCUUAAAUUCUAUGAGCAUCGGAAAUUUUCCUACGAUAAAUGAAAUGUCAAAUCCAUUCUUGCUUUUCCUAUUUGUUAAAGCUGUAGUUUAAGGUCAAGAUCCAUUUAUUUACAAAUUUAAUCUUGAAAGGAUGCCUUUUGGGACAAAUGUAGAACUUUUGAAUGGUAUAGGACUGGUGAUUUUUGGAUUUAUGGAACUUAAAAAUACAGACAAUUUUAGUUUGAAAUAAAAGUGUCCUUUUAAACCUUACGACCUUAAAUAUGAAAAUAUUGAUCCGAUUUGAACUUGAAAAGAGACACGAGAAAAAGUUAAGAUUAACUCGUCAAAGGAUAUUAAUGGUUCGAAACCGUUAAAAGAGUUAUACAGAUAAUAGAAGGAGAGAUUGAUAGAUAGUUUUGUAUAAUCCAAUGGGAUCCUAGUACUUGAUCUAAGUCGAAACCGAACGAGGAGAUGAGAUCUAUUGGUAUUUUGAUGGAUUGACCUAGUUGAGUAACUAGUAAGGUUCUCCCUUGUGAACUUAAUGAUUACUUUACAUAUAUCUUGUGAUUGGCCCUAUAGGCAUGUUUUAAACUUGUACGAAUAUUUGAACUUCCAAGUUUUGUAUUCAUUAUUUGUGGUGUGACCUGGAUGGAAUGAAAGUCCUUUCAAUUUUUGCUUAACCAUUACUGUGUAUAUAUCCAAUUACUUGUUGUUCCUUUUUACAAAAAAAAAAAUAUUUAUACAAAUGUAUAUACUCUGAACUCGCAUAAAAAUUGAAAAUCAGGCAGAGUUUGGGUUUGGACCUUUUCUUAGAAAUAAGAAUGAAUAUUGGUCGUGAAUUGGAGAGUAAAUAGUUAAGUUUUAUGUGGCAUAAAAGCUAAUUCUCAGAUUAGGUGUGAAGAGUAGAGGCGUUGGACCGAAGUUUAAGUAAAUAUGAACCUGCAUGUCUGCUUAUUUUCUUAAAAGCAUUUUAUUCUCAAAAGUGAUUUGUGGGGUUAAAUGAUUUUUCUUGAUCAAACGUCCAAAUAACAAAUGUUAAACUUCUUACCAAAAGUCGAAUGCAUUUAGAAAUUUUGACUAUCAAGAUCAGAACCAAUUUCUUUUCUUCUUGUCUUCCAUUCGAAUAGCCAUUUUAUUUAUAUAUAUAUAGACCACAAUUUUUCCAAAUGUGUAUUUGAUAUCCUGUUAUUAGUUUGGUUACGAAAGGUACGUGAAAAAGCUUUCCUCGAACAAAUAAGAUUUUCAGUUGGCCGUUUUGGGACAAAAGAAACUGGAUCAUUUCUAAAAUUGUUAAUUUUGAAAAUCGAAUACUAGUAAAUAAUUUUGGACAAUUUGAGUACAACCAUUUGGUGAGUGAAACCUUUUAUAGAAAAUAUAUCUUUGUACUCGAGUUUUGAACUACAUGAUUGAGUCAUUUGAUUUAGUCGAGAAAAAACAAAGUAAAUUUCGAGGACGAAAUUAUUUUAAGGAGGGAAGGAUAUGAGGGCCUCAAAAUUUAUUAUUUUAAUAUUAUUAUUAUUAUUACUAUUUCAUUUAUUUAUUUUAUUGUUUUAUUUAUUUUAUAUAUAUAUUUUUUGAAAAGUUAAAUAAUAAAUGUGAAAAUAACUAUAUUAUGUAUUUAUAUAAAAUUACAUGAUCUUUAUGUGCAUAGUUCACAUUUUCAUAAUUAAAUGAUUUUCAUUCGAACAAAAUUCAAAUGUUUGACCGACUAGUGCUAAGUUUAGUUUUUGAGCCGUGUCGAGGAAUUUAACUUUGGUGAAAGAUUAGUCUAUGAGUAGCUUUUAAAGAAUUAUAAAUGAGAUAGAACUAAGAUAGAUAAGAAAAGUGUAGUGGACAAAUUUAAGUGGAACAUAAGCAUUGGUCAAAGUUGGACAAUUUCCGCUAAAACUAAGUUUUAAUCUUGCCAUUGUUUCUUCCAUUUAAUUUCCUCCAAUUCACUUCAAUUUCUUUUCCUUUCUUCCUUAUUAUAGUCGAGAAUCCCCCUCCCUCAUUAGCCAAGAUAAUCACUUUCAUCCCCACUAAAUUUACUCUUAAGACAUUAAUAUGUAAGAUGGGACAUGAUCCUUAAAAUAGGGCUUUAAGUCCUAUCCUUCUCUUCCCAAUAUAAUGCUAUCAAUUUUUCAAACCUUUAAUUCCUUUUCUUCUUCCCUUAUCAGCCGACCACCCUCACACACUCUCUCCCUCUUUCCAGCCAAAGCUCUAUCUUCUUCUUCCUCAACUCAAACUCCAUGACCAACCAACUUCUAGCUUCACUCCAUCUCCUUUUUUUUUUUUUGUUGUUCUAGCCGAGAGAAUGAGAGGGAGAAACCGAGAGGAGCUCUUUGUGGUGGCUGGCCAGAUUCUUGGAGAAGGAAAGAGAUCUCUUCGUGGUGAAGAUUGGACAUCCUAGCCUUGGGAAAAUCAGUUAGAACCUGAGGUAGUUCUCUAACCCAAAAGCUAGAGCUUUCAUGUUAUCUCUUGAAGAGUGAAUCUUGAAACUUCAUUGGGUUGAAUUCUUGUUGGAUUUGGUUAAUGUACGGGCUCUUGGGAUUCCCACAAAUGGAUGAUCUUUGUUGCUAGCAUGAUUUUUGAUUGGUAUAUGUGUGAAUAUUUGGAGUUGUGGCUUGAACUUUGGAAGGGAAGAACCUUAACAGAAAUCGGGAGAAAGAGGGGGAGAGAGAGAGAGGGGGGACCAAAAUGGUUUCUGUUUUCUCUAUUUUUCUUGGCUGUGUUUUCACAAAUUUAAAGAUUGAUUUGGGAGCUAAAAAUUUAAGCUUUAAGCUGUCAUUUUCUCUUACAAAAAAAAAAAAAAAACCCCUUCAAAUGGCGUUGCAAAAUGGUUCCAAAAGAAGGUUUCAAACCUGGAAAUUUCAAAUGAGAGUACGGUCCGAAAUUUCUGUGAUUAUUCGAAAAUGUUUGGGGCUCAAUUAGCCUUAGCACAUAACAUGAAAGUUGUAGAGAAUUGAGUUUAAAUUAUGCCUGUAAAGUUUCAGCUCAAUCGGAGCUGGGUAUCCUGUGAAAUGACAAAAUUGCCCCUGCUACCCUGUUUCUAUCAGAAAUGAUAAUCAGCCUCUGUAAUUGGUUAGUUUGACCGGGAAUAUUACUGAAUUGGUUGUCAAUGUCUUCUUAAGAAUUGUAGCCUUGUAUCUUAGCUUUGAAAUGGCUUUGGAAUCACCUGAAUCGGAGUUGUGUGUGCUGAGUUAAGAUUAACUGAAUCAGGACUAUCAGUAAUUGUGUCAGUGAGAAUUGAACCAAGAAACUUGGGCUAUUUCGGUAAAUUUGAUCUAGUUAGGGUGAGAACUGGGUUGAGAUGUCUUCACAAGAAUGGUAGAUCUAUGUCUUAGCUUCGAAACGGUAUAUUUUUUGUUUCAAUCCGAUAAGUGUAGCUCGAGUUGUGCUUAAAUUCCUAAAAGGAUUUGGUAAAUGGAUUUACGAACUGUACUUUCUUAUUAGGUGAGUGUGUACGUUAUCACACUCGCCAAAGGACAUGUGACUUUUCACUAUUUGAGUGACCUAUUUACGAAUGUGUUUAUGUGGUCAAUGUGGUUACUGGACGCUUGGUUUGAGGUGAUUAUUGUGAUUAUUGUGGCUGAACCCCUUGAGCAUUUGUUCGGGGUGACUAGCUUGAGGAUUUUAAUUGCUUUCUUGUUUUUGGCUUGAUGAUAGGUAGAGGUCUGGAGGUAUAUUGAGCUUUAGAUGCAUAUAUGUGAUAAAUCUUGCUUUAUUACAUGUUUGGCUUGUUAAUUAUUGCCAGAUAUUCCUUAAUUUGGAUAGAUGAACUUGUGUGUGUUUAAGUAUAGCAAGAGGAAAAAUUUUUGUUUUGAAUCUUUCAUGUUGGCCGAAAUUUUUGGGACAAAAUUUCAGAUUUUUGGAGCUUUUAUUUGAGUUAAAGUUGUGCCAAAAUAAUGGAUUUUAAGUGUAUUUGGGUUGAUUAAACCGAUUGGCUCUUCAAAGGAAAAAAAAGGAGUGAACUUGCUAAAGUGAAAACUGGAAAUCUGCUUUCUGGAAUAUCAGACCAGUUUCGGAAAAAAAAAAGUUAUAUUUUCAUGUAUACCACUCCAAAUCGAGUCCCAUCUGUUUUUUUUUUUAAACUAGACACAUAAGGUUACAAACCAUGUAAAUUUCAGGAGCUAACUCAUUUUCUGUGAUUUUUGGUGUUUUUUUAAAGUUCGUUGGAAAAAUGGAAUUUUACCUGCCCUGCAUUUUACUGUAGCAGUCUAUUGACGGAAACACUGGGCAAAAUCCGUAUGGAAUCUCAUCAAGGUGUCUUCUACAAAGUUUUAGUCCUUUCAAUUAGGUUUCCAACGGUAUCAACUAUGCAAAUUUUGGACUCGUAAAUAUUAAGUUACGAUUUUCUAAAGAUUUCUACCAUAAACCUCCAGUUUCCUGAUUUUUACAAUAAACAUGAAAACGACUUGAUAUUUUUGCUUGGCCUUGAAUAUGCACGUGAAUGAUCGUGAUUAUACAUGUCUCAGGUGAAUACGAGGACUCCGAAGAACCCGUUUAGCCGCUUAACUUUUUCUCUCUCAUGACUUUUGGUGAGUGUCAAGUGCAUGUUAAGUGUUUAAAUGAAAUGUUUCUCGUACUUGCUAGUUAAUGAGGGUAGGGUGUACUUUACCGCCCUUGUCCUCUCUUUCAUGAAAUUACUUGCUUGAUAAGUGAUAAGUUUUAUAUGUGAAUGUAAAUGAAAGUGUUUUCCGUGAGCAUUGAGCGGCAGAAUGUAUCACGCCCUUUUAGGGUGGGAGGUACCGCUCAUCCCAUCUCAAUGCUAUGACCAAAUCUUGUCGAUUGGAGCUUCGUCUCAUCGACCCAAAAGUGAAUGGGGGGGGGGACGCCCCAACCCAUUGGCUAGCCUUGUAACUCGAGCCGGCAAGGGUUUGGUCGAGAAACUUGGUGAACCUUGGGCAGUGUUAUAGCUUGAUCCAAAUAAGGGGUCUUGCUAGGUAUACUUGUUAAGUGAUACCACCUACAUGCUUGUUUGGUUACGGAUCCAAGAGGGUGUCAUGGUGGCUGGAGGUAGUAAGUGGAGUUCUACAUGGAUAACUGUGAAAGUUGACGGAGGGUCAACUACCUGAGCUUGGAUCGCGCGUGGAUUAGCUCCUGAGAGCUCCCGUAUCUUUUUAAUUGUGAUUAAAUUCCUUACUUGCUAAAUGUUUCGAAUUUACUUGUUACUCAAGUUAUUGCUUUAUAUUGUGUCUUUGCUCGCAUGCUUGCAUGUUUUUCCCUUGGCCUCCCUGAGCGUUUACUCACCCCAAUUUGUUUUCCUUAACAGGUUUGGAAGUGGAAGUUCUGAGGCUUAAUUAGUGACAAUCCCUUUGGGUAGAACUAGUCGUUAUCUUUAAUUCUGGGACUCCAUAGUAUAAAACUUAUGAUUAUUUUGGGCUUUCGGUAUUGUAAAAGUACAUUGAAAAUCUUGGAUGUAAUAUUUAAGCAUGAAUCGUUCUUUUAUAUUUUAGAGUACAUGAAUGUUUUAGUGGAGUAUUUCAUGUGAUAUUGGAGUUUAAUUUGUUAUUUACUUGAAGAUUGUAGUGAGUCCCGGCGAGAGUUGGGCAGGCGGUCUGUCGAACCCUUUGGUUCGCCUUAGGGGGAGGUGGGGUCGUCACAAACUUACAGUCCAGAAAUUCUAAGGAAAAUGUAAGGACUACCUCAGAGAACAGGUUUGGAAUCUCUAAAAGUUCAUCUCAGCAGUUGAACCACAUUUCACACUACAAAGUAUCCCCUAUUAGUUCAUUCAGAAAUACUCAUUUCAAAGGUAGACCUGUUUCAACUACUGAAGCAGAACCUAGAAGAAUUUCAGCACAAGAAAUACAAUAUAGAAGGAACCAUGGCCUAUGCUUCAAGUGUGGAGAGAAGUUUGGGCAGGGACAUCAAUGCAAACUGGGCCAUCUGAACUUCCUGAUCAAUGAUGAGGGAGAAGAAUCUGAAUUCGAAGAUGCACUGGGAGAGCAGGAUGAAACCACAGGGAAUCCAGGGCAGAUCAUGGAGAUGUCCUUACACACACUGUCCGAGGCACUUAAACGAAAAACAAUCACACUGGUAGGAAGACUAGAUGGGGAAGAGAUGCUGAUACUGGUAGACACAGGCAGUUCUGAUAGUUACAUAAGCAGUGAGAAGGUAAUUGCCUUUGAUAUUCCUUAUAAAUUAGUCAAUCCUUUUUCUGUGGUUUUUGGGAAUGGGGCUUGUGUAACCAGCAAGGCCAUAUGUCCUAAGGUGGUAUGGGGAAUUAAUCAGCAUAGGUUCUGUUAUGACCUCAAAGUGAUGGAUCUAAGUGGAUGGGACAUAGUGCUUGGGGUGGACUGGAUGACUCAGUUCAGCCCUAUCACUUUUGAUUUCCACAAGCUGACUAUCUUCUUGCAAGAUCAAGGGGAAGCAGUGCACUUGCAUGGCCAAGCUGAAGACUGUGACUUAGAUCUAAUCAGAGGAGGCGACCUGAGGACAUUCAUUGAAUACAAGAGACAGUUGUGCAUGUCCAUGAGAUUGGGACAGGGUGAUCUGAUGCAGGGAAAUGACAUUCCUGCAGGAGUCCAGGGCAUCAUUGAAGAAUUUACAGAUGUGUUUGUAGCACCCUCUGAGUUACCACCAGCAAGAAGUAUAGAUCAUGAGAUACCACUAAAACCUGAGGUUCAACCCUUCAAGAUGAAGCCGUACAGAUACCCUCACUCCCAAAAGAGGGAAAUUGAACAACAGGUUAAGGAUAUGUUGCAGCAUGGAAUCAUAGUGCACAGUAACAAUCCUUUUGCCUCCCCAGUUCUGCUUGUCAAGAAGAAGGAAGGGACCUGGCAUUUUUGUGUAGACUACAGGAGACUGAACGAGAUGACCAUCAAGGACAGGUACCCCAUACCUAAUGUAGACGAACUGAUCAAUGAGCUAGCAGGAUCCAAAUACAAAUCAAAGUUGGACCUCACUUCAGGCUACCACCAAAUCAGGGUCAAGCCUAAGGAUACAUACAAAACUGCAUUUCAAACACACUGUGGCCACUAUGAGUUCUUGGUAAUGCCUUUUGUGUUAAGAAACGCUCCAGCCACAUUUCAGUCCCUCAUGAAUCAGAUAUUCCAGCCUUACCUGAGAAAAUUUGUUCUAGUUUUUUUUGAUGAUAUCCUAAUCUAUAGUCCUACAUUAGAGCUACACCAGCAACAUCUGAGGAUAGUCUUGACAGUAUUGAGGGAACAUAAGUUGUUUGUAAAACGUUCCAAGUGCUCGUUUGCACAGUCAACAGUGGACUACCUUCGUCACACUAUCAGAGAGAGUGAUUCAAGAAUAACCACACAAUGAAACGUAAUUUACCACAAACUUCAGAUACCAAAAGUAAUCAUGAAAUGCUUCAUGAUCCAAUCAACGCGAGAAUAAGUAAUUUUGACAGAAUAAUUAUUGACUUUCUUCAUCUCUUUAGUAUUAUUUAUUUUUCCAAUUUAUUGUUUAGAACAAAAAAAAAUAAGUCAAUUCAAGAUAUGAACAUAUGAAAGGCUCAACAGCUGGAUAAUACUCAUUAACGACAGAGGCUAUUAAUCCAAAAGGACUAAAAUGGAGUAAACUUUAUAUUCCAAAAGGCAUUUAUGGUGGGGGAAAAAGAUAGAAUCUAAUAUGGCAUUAUACGUCCUUUCAAACCUUAAUAACGAUUACAAAUAAUUCAUAAAGACGCCAAGACUUUUGAAAGGAUUUAGAUUUCGUUGCAAUUUAGCCUUUACUCAUGAAAGGGAUGGUUGGAUAGGAAUUCUGUAGCAUGCCGGUAGCAGCCAUCCAAAAAGAACUAGUCCAUUUGUGCACAAAAUAAAGUGAAUAUAAUGUGUGUGUGUGUGUGUAUUAAAAAGUAAUCAAUUGGGUUAGAUUUGAUGAUUUGUGAUUACAGUGUAAUCUUUUAUAUAUAUUUUGUAACUCUAUUAAAUCUAAUAUUUUUCAAAUCAAAUAUAUCUGUGACAUAUUCAAUGUAUUUUUUGACAUUGGUGCAGAUUACUUUGUUAAACAAAUCGUGCUGGAUGAUGUAAUGGCUGCUUCAGCAAGAAAUGAAGAGGGAGUUAGCAGAAAGGGAAAGAUGGGAGAGAGACUUGAGAGGGAAGAUAGAAAAUGCGGAAAAUGAGAGAACUGAAUUUGUUGUAUCUGAUAGCAUGCCCCUCACGUCUUACCUUUAGGCUUAUUCAUACAGGAUUCAUCCUCUAGAUCCUUCCAUGCCUUAGCUAUAACAGAAUGCUUAACAGAACGAUCACGCAUGCAUGCAUGCAGUGCAGUAACUAACUAGCCAACUAACUCUCUGAUAUGCUAACUGACUUCCAGAAAUGGAAACCAUGGCCACUACAUUAUUAGCUAUAAAUAACUAGGGAAUAUCUAAAAUAUCUAGAGGAAAUAUCCAGAAUAUCUAGGAUCAUUACAAUACCUCCCCCUCAAGAAUCCUAGUCACUAGGAUUGAGUUGGAAAUCUGGAAAUUGUGAUUGUAUCACUGUGAUAUCCUCCCAAGUUGAGUCUUCAGUGCCUAGGUUCAACCAUUUGAUCAACACUUGAGUUACCUUGUGUCUUUUCCUCAUGAUUUCACGAGUAGCAAUAACACUUUCAAGGGCAAUUUUAACCUGUCCAUCCGUAGUAGUCAAAGGUAGUUCUUGAGUAACUACAUGAUUCUUGGCUGAGGGCUUGAGUAAGGAGACAUGGAAGGUAGGGUGAAUCAAGGAGCCAGCAGGUAAUUCCAACCUAUAGGCUGCAUUUCCCACCUUCUAAAGAACUUUGUAGGGUCCAUAAUAUUUUGAAGACAAUUUCAGAUUCUUUUUGACUGCCACAGACGAUUGUCUAUAAGGUUGCAGUUUCAAAUAGACCCAAUCUCCCACUUGGAAACUCCUUUCACUCCUGUCCUUGUCCGCAAACUGUUUCAUUCGAUUUUGUGCUUUGAUUAAAUUCCCCUUCAGCAGCUCGUUCCAUUUUCUUCUGUCCCCUAGCCAUUGCUCCACAGCCGCUACUGGAGUCCCCAAGGCAUUGAUGCCUAGUUGAGAUGGUGGAUAUCCAUACAGAGCCUCGAAGGGAGUCAUUUUUAAGGCUGUGUGAUGGUUGGUGUUGUACCACCAUUCAGCAGCAGCUAGCAAGGACUUCCAUUUAUGGGGUUGCUGGAAACACAGGCACCUCAAAUUUGUCUCCACACAUCUGUUCAACCUUUUUGUCUGUCCAUCUGUUUGGGGAUGGUAAGCAAUAGAGUAGUGCAGCUCCGUGCCUAACUUCCCAAACAACUCCUGCCAGAACAAGCUGGUAAAUAGCCUAUCCCUAUCAGAUACAAUGCUCAGGGGUAAUCCAUGUAGCUUAUAGAUGUUUUCAAAAUACAUGUUAGCCACCGACUGUGCAGUAUACUUCGAUGGUAAUGCUAGGAGGUGAAAGUACUUGGUGAACCUAUCAAUGACAACUAGCAUUCCCUCAUACCCCUGAGAUUUAGGUAACCCCUCAAUGAAAUCCAUUGAAAUAUGCUGCCAUGCUUGUUCAGGAAUAGGUAGAGAUUGUAGCAGUCCUGGUGUCUUGCAAUUUUCUACCUUGCUCCUCUUGCAAACAUCACACUGUUGUACCCAUUGUUCUACUUCUCUUUUCAUUCCUGGCCAGAAGAAUGGUCCCUUUAAUCUUUGGUAGGUCCCCAGGUUGCCUGAAUGACCCCCAAUGAGAGAGUCAUGAAAGCAGGCUAUCAGUUUCUGUCUCAAGUUCCCUGAGGAACCAACGUACAUCCUGCCUUUAUACCUGAGUAAAUUCCCAGCAAAAGAAUAAUUUGGGAGAGAAUCAGGUGAAGUAGUCAGGCCUUCAGUCAACUUAGUCAUAGAACCAUCCCCUUGGUAACUCUCUAGGACUUCAGACAGCCAUGCCGGUUUCAUGACUGAGAUGCUAUGUGUAAAGCUGUCCUCUUCAUAGCAUCUUCUAGACAGUGCAUCAGCCACCAGGUUUUCAUUUCCUUUCUUGUACUAUAUUUCAUAAUCUAGGCCCAAUAACUUAGUGAGCCAUUUCUAUUGUAGGGGAGUAGUUAUCUUCUGUUCCAAUAGGUACUUUAAGCUCUGGUGAUCUGUCUUGAUGAUGAAGUGGCUUCCCAACAGGUAAUGCCUCCACUUGGACACAGCUGUAAUAAGGGACAACAACUCUUUUUCGUAUAUGGACAGUCCCAAAUUCUUAGGUCCCAGAGCUUGACUGAGAUAGGCAAUAGGCCUCUCUUGUUGCAUUAGGACUGCACCAAUAGCCUUCUGACUAGCAUAUGUUUCUAGAGAAAAAGGUAAAGAAAAGUUAGGAAGUGUUAGGACUGGUGUGCUACUCAUCAGCUACUUCAGUUUUUGAAAGGCUAGCUCAGCUUGUUCAUUCCAGUGGAAGUUUUCUUUCUUCAAUAACUCAGUGAGUGGUUUGGCAAUGAGUCCAUAUCCCCUCACAAACCUCCUGUAGUACCCUGUGAGUCCCAAAAAUCCUCUCAAUGCCUUUAGUGAUGUAGGGGUAGGCCAUUCUACCAUGCUCUUGAUUUUUGAGGGAUCUGCCUGCAUUCCAUCUCCACUGAUAAUAUGCCCCAAAUAUUCUAGUUGAGACUGUCCAAAGAUGCAUUUGGAAAGCUUGGCAAAUAGGGAGUGAGCUUUGAGUGUUUCUAGGAAAGUUUUGAGGUGCAAAAGGUGAGUGUCUGGAUCUGAACUGUAUAUGAGGAUGUCAUCAAAGAAAACUAACACAAACUUCCUCAGGUAAGGUUCAAAAACAUGGUUCAUCAGGCUUUGAAAUGUUACAGGUGCAUUGGUAAGACCAAAUGGCAUAACAGUGAACUCAUACAAUCCUAGGUAAGUUUUGAAGGCAGAUUUUGGGAUGUUAGUCUGGAGCAUUCUGAUCUGAUGGUAUCCAGCCCUUAAAUCAAUCUUGGAGAAGAUCUUAGCUCCAAACAGUUCAUCGAGUAAAUCAUCAAUGAUAGGUAUUGAAAAUUUAUCUUUGAUAGUCAGGUCAUUUAGUUGUCUGUAAUCAACACAAAAUCUCCAAGUUCCAUCUUUUUUUAACUAAUAGAACUGGAGAGGCAAACGGGCUAUGGCUAAACUGAAUAAUGCCACUACUGAGCAUGUCCUUCACUUGCCUUUCUAUUUCAUUUUUUUGGUUGUGAGGGUACCUAUAAGAUGCUAGCUUGAAUGGUUUGGCAUUUGGCACUAAGGGAAUUUGAUGGUCAUAGUUUUUGGAAGGGGGAAGGGAUUGUGGUUCUCCAAAUACAUCUUUGUAGUCUUCAAGUAAAGCACUUAGGGACUGUUGAAAACCAAUGUCUAGAUGAGUUACAGUGUUUACCUGAGUUCCCUUCAUUUUCAGUCUGCACGCGUGUUUCCAGAUUCUGGUGCUCAACCCCUCCUUCUCAGUACUAUUACUAGGAAGUUUGAGAACAGUCUCCUUAGACUCUCCAUGUAACAAGAUCCUCUCCCCUUUCUCAUCAAAGGACAUGUUCGGCUGCCUAAAGUCAAAGGUGAUGGGGCUGUGUGCAGCCAUCCAGUCUACUCCUAUAAUCACAUCAUAUGGCUCCAAGUUAAUGACAAACAUAUCAUGAGUGAACUGUUUACCUUGCAUUUCCCUGCUCAUAUUCGGAAUCAUCUUGUGACAAGUCAAGUGCUCCCCAUUAGCCAUCCUGACCCUGAAAGGCUUGAUAGAUUGGACCAGUUCUGGAUAGAGUUGUGCCACUGCCCCUUUGAUAAAAUUGAGUGCUUCCCCCAUCCACCAGGAUUGAUAGUGGAGUUUCUUUGAUCCUCCCCUGUAGCUUGAUGGUGUUGUAAGUCAUCUUCCCAGUCAGCGCAUGUAUCUCCAUUUCUACCCCCUUGGCCGACUGUGCUCCUUGGUACUCGAUCAUCUCCCCUUCUACCAGAUCCUCAGGACUAUCUUCUACUGCUACAAUCAGGUGGAUUUCCUUUUGCUUGCAUUGGUGGCCUGGUCCGAACUUUUCCCCACACCUAUAGCAAAGAUGGUGCUCCCUCCUGUACUGCAGCUCUACUGGUGUGAUUUUCUUGAAGUUCUGAGGAGUCUGUUUCUUUACAACAUUGGCAAUAAUAGGUUUGGUAUGUGGAAUGGUGUACUGCGCAACAGACUGUGGAGUAUUCCCCAAAGAGAGGGAUUUCGGAUGAUGUUUGUGCUUCUUGUGGUAGGCUUCAAAGGCAUUCUCUUGCAACCUGGCCAACUCAAAUGCUUUGGAUAAUGUCUUGGGGUCAUGAGUCUUCACCAUUGAUCUCAAUUCAUCUAGUAGUCUACUCAAAAAACAUGAAAUGUAAUAGUUUUCUGGAAGGUGUGGGGCUCGAAUCAUUACCUCUGAUAGUAGUUCCUCAAAUUUUUCUUGGUAGGCUAGGACUGUGGAGGAGAGUUGUAACUUAUUGAAUUCCUCCAUUGGAUCCAUUUGUCCCAAUGUUCCAAACCGCUUGCACAACUCUCCAGAGAACUCCAUCCAAUCCAUCUUGUUACCCCUAGUAGACUUGAAUCCCUGAUACCACACUUCAGCUUUACCUUCUAAAUGGAAUUCUGUCAGCUCCAUCCAUUGCUCCAUAGGAAUAUGCAGAAGCUGGAAAUACUUCUGAAGUUUUCUGAUCUACUUCCUAGGAUUGUUUCCUCUGAACACUGGUAUUUCCAGCUUAGGUGCACUAGCGUAGAAUGAACUUCUGACAUUCCUCUCUCCUUGCUCUCGAGUCACCAUAUCUGAGCUCCUGGAGUGACUUCCCUCUGGCGAUCCCAAUAUUCCUUUCUCAGGAUUUCCUCGGUUCAAACUGGAGAGCUGUUGAGAAAUGGCUACCAUGAAUGCAUCUAACUUAUUGUUCAGCUCCAUGCUUACUGCAUCCAACCUUUCCUCCAUGAUCUGUUUGUUUGCGGCCAUGGAUUCCAAAAUUCCUUGGAGUCUGCUGUCUUGCUUGCGUAGCUGUUCCUCCAUGGUCUUCAUUCGAGUUUCAUCUGCCAUUGUUAUAUUGAUUUCAGCUUCUUAGUCCAAGGACCGGAAGCUCUGAUACCACUUGUAAUGGCUGCUUCAGCAAGAAAUGAAGAGGGAGUUAGCAGAAAGGGAAAGAGGGGAGAGAGACUUGAGAGGGAAGAUAGAAAAUGCAGAAAAUGAGAGAACUGAAUUUGUUGUAUCUGAUAGCAUGCCCCUCACGUCUUACCUUUAGGCUUAUUUAUACAGGAUUCAUCCUCUAGAUCCUUCCAUUCCUUAGAUAUAACAGAAUGCUUAACAGAACGAUCACGCAUUCAUGCAUGCAGUGCAGUAACUAACUAGCCAACUAACUCUCUGAUAUGCUAACUAAUUAACUUCCAGAAAUGGAAACCAUGCCCACUACAUUAUUAGCUGUAAAUAACUAGGGAAUAUCUAAAAUAUCUAGAGGAAAUAUCUAGAAUAUCUAGGAUCAUUACAGAUGAUUUCUAACUAGUUUAUUAAUAAUAUUGACUUCUUUUUUAUAAAAAAAAAAGUAAUCAAGGAAAAAUGGGGAAUCUAACAGUCUAAUGCUUGCUUGCUUCUUUUUAUUGUUUGAAGUGAUUUUGGUGUCUUGCUAGUUUGUAAUUGAUUCAAGGUGGAUAGAAAGAAAUUGUUCAGAAAUGUGAAAUAGGGUAAGUAUCCCAGUUUGGUUUUGGAUUUUGAAAGUUAUAAAAACGAAAAUGAUGUCAGUGAUCCUCUUCAAUUUUUUAUCACCAACCAAAGCAAUGAUUUUUAAGAAUAAAAAUAACAUUUGAAAUCAAAUCACAAUCUUUAAAGAGAGGAAAUAGAUGGUUGAGGGCGAAAUGGCCAUGGUGAUGAAUUGACAUCAUGGAAAUCAAACUGUGCUUAGUAACGCCAAAACGUCACCAUAACUCACAAAUGAGUGACUAAUGUGAUGCCACAUUAAGGCUUCAAUCUACUAUUACAAGUUUUACUAUGGACUAAAUUGUGUGGUAAAUUUAGUACUACUAAUAUUAAGUUUAUGUUUAAAACAAGUAAAUUUCAAUAAUUUAGGUAACUUACUCUUUAAAUAACAAAUUUUACUAAAAUUUUAACAAAAAUUGCCACUUUUUCUUCGAAACUUACCAUUUUCUAUAUAAAACUUGCUAAUUUUUCAAGUAAAACAUAUGAUUUUAUUAGCAAAUCAUACCACUUUUUUUAGUAAAAUUCACUAAAUGGUAAGUUUUCAAAAAAAAACUUACCAUUUUUAAUGCAAAUCUUACUACUUUUUUCAAGCAAAAUGUAUGAUUUUAUUAACAAAUGUUACCAUAAUUUUCGUAAAGUUUACUAAAUCAUUAACAAAUCUUACCAUCUUUCAAGCAAAACUUAUCAUUUUCUAUACAAAACUUACUACUUUUUGGAGGCAGAACUUAUGACUUGAUUAUUAAAUCUUACCUUUAUUUAGGAAUAAUUUUGGAAACCUCCCCUGAGCUUUAUGCUAAUAUCACAUAACACUUCUAAAUUUUAAAAAUAUCACUAGCCUUCCCUUGAGUCAUAUUUUUUUGUAAGAAUUUGACCCCUAUAUCAAAAAUAAAUACUCCUAACAUAAUUUUUUAAAGGAAAAUAGAUAUAUUUUUCUUCUAGUUUUACACUUUUGUGUUGUCUUAUUUUUUAAUUUUCUGCCAAAUUGAUUUUAAGAUAAGAUUUGAAUGAGAAAGACUUAAAAUGAUUUUUUUUAAGGGGAGAAGGUGUUAAGUGCUAAAGCAAUUGCCAGAAUAGCGAUUUUUUUAUUUUUGGUUUAUCCUAGAUUUUUUCCUAAAUAGUUAUUAGAAUAACAAAGAAAUUAAAUUUAAUAUAAGAUUGGUAUAGGAAGAUCAAAGAAGGCAGAGAAGACAGAUAUUUGAAUACAAAACUAAUGGUUUUAGUAGGCAUUUCUAUGAAUUCAGAUUUAUUAUCUUCUAAUUUUUGUGGCAUAAAUAAUUAUUUGAAUAACAAUUAAAAUUUGAGAUAAGGUUGCCAUAGGAAGCUUGGGAGGGGGAGAAGGGUAUUAAAGGCAAAAAAUGAUUAUUUUAGUAGACUUUUCUUAAUAAUUUCCUUUUGUUCAAAUUUUUUUGCACAAGUAAUUGUUAAAAUAGUAAAGUUAAAUUAAUAAAUGCUUGGCAUAAUACUACAAAAUAAAGGGGUGUUUAAGUGAAAAUAGUAAUUGAUAGAGCAAUGUUUGGGCAUCUUAUGCGCUGUUAUGUGGUCAUAAUUUUGGCUACUUAUUAUGCUAAGUAUUGAGGUUUUGUUCAUGUUUGAUAUUUGUGUAAAUUGUAGGCAGUUGGUGUCAAAAAGUGAUCUCUGAAGGUGAAUUUCCAGAAGACUUUUAUUUCAGGGCGUGCCCACGCCAAAAACUGUUCAAGAGACGCCUCAAAGUCGGACCAUGGGACUAACUAACUAACUAAACUCAUCCUUAUUCCUGCGGGAUGCGGUUGGAAGUGCGUCAAAACAAAAAGGCAGCAAUUUCCAGUGGAUUUGGUAACAACCAAUAAGGAGGAUGCGGGGAAUUGGGGAAAUAUUUGGAAAAGCUACUAUUUUCUCGUGGGCCAAGAAGGGUGUAACAGACAAGUAGUUUUAGUCUUGCAGAUAGCUUUUUAGUUUCUUACGUUUUCUUUGGAGGGCUAUCUUCUGGGAACUGGCAAAAAGCCAGAUUCAUGUGGGAUUAGGAAAUUAUCUUUAGUUUUGUUAUCCCUUGGUAGAGGAUUUGCUCUCUGUUUUGUUAUUACAAUUUUCUUUAGACCUUUGCUUUACUUUUUCCGAAUGGACACAAAACAAAAAAAGAAGCAAGACAUUUUCUUUUGUUUCUUCAUCACUUCAUCUUUCCCAACUCUCUUGUGAUUGUGUGGAUGGAAUCAAUCAAAUCCCGCGAGAUUGAUAUGAUGAGGAGCGGUUAGGUUUCUCUUCUACCCAAAGGUCGACGCGAAGGCACGGUCCAUAACAUCUGUGAGAUUUAAUCGAACUUUCACUAGUUCUUCCAGUCCGUUACUAUUCGUGUGUUUCCUGGAUUAACUGUUUAUGAUUAUUUUAUUAAUUGAGUAUCAACGGCAGGACAUUUAAUUUAAUCUAAUAGCCUACUGUCACGUUAACUAAAUUGAAUCCGUAAUUAUUCGUUUAGUUGAUAACUAGUGACAACCAUCAUAAUUGGCUUUAUGUUAGGGAAACGUAAGAUCUAGUUUAAAUAAACCCUCUUAGCGUGUUUAUUGGUUAGGGUUGGGUUUUUCUAGUUUUAAUGCAACCGGAUAAUUAAAUUUAUUGGUUAGGGUUGGGUUUUUCUAGUUUUAAUGCAACCGGAUAAUUAAAUUCCUACGAUCGUACCUAAAGCUGUUUUCUAGUUAGAGAAACAGUCAACGGUCGUACCUUGGCUGUCGAAAAAGUAAGGAAGAACUGGCUGUCAGAGCUUGUUGAUAGCUAUAACUAACCUAGUGACGAAUGAAUGAAAUAUCUUUGUAUCGAUGAUCAUUUAAUUGGACCGCGCCUAAAAAGUUGAUCCUUUGGGUAGAAUUUUACUAAUUGCUAUUUUUAGUGAAUUGUACUUGGUGAGUUAGCUUUUGAAUUUUGUUUAUUCUAUUUUCUUUUUCAGUCCAUUAAAUAUUCCCCAAUUUUGUUCUAUUGACUUGGAAAGAAACAAGUUCCUACCCGUUCCCUGUGAAAUCGACCGUACUUGCCAUUGUAUGCAAAUUUAAUAUUUUUGUAGACAAAUCUUGUAUAUCGAAUCAAGCAUACUCUUUGGGGAGACAGGGUGAAUAUAGUAACCCAUUGCACAUCUAGAGUCACUGCUCCAGUACUUAGAUUUGUUCUAUAAUUAAUUAUGGUAGUAAUUAGGACUUUUUAGUAAUUAUUAUUGCACAGGUUCGACACCUGUCAAUUUUUGGCGGCAUUGCUGGGAAGAAAGUGUCGACAAACUGGUGAACAUGGGAUUCUGGCUUACAAGGCAUGCCCACGCCUUGCAAGACGCCCUUUCAAAAAAAAAAAGAAAGACAAAAAGAGAGAGAAAAGAGUUUCGACACUUGCGCAGUAGGUAUAGCAAAUGGAAAUGCCUUGCUUGUGGAAUUUCUCCAGUAAAGCGUUGAGGUUAUGUAGUAGAUAUCGGACAUUCUCUUGACAUAGUGCACCCUCUCUUUACCUCCUUAUCCCGCCUUUCACCCAAGCCCUAUUACAACCCUAUUAAAGUCCCUUUGAUUUAUGUAUUGAGUUCACUUUUGAGUGGUGGAGAUGUGAUAAAUGUGCAAGCCUAUGGUAAUGUCAUUCCGUGGUGUUGAUUUGAGCGUUCCUGGUAUCUAUACAUUUUCUUGAAAGUGAUGAGUAUUACUACUCAUACUCUUUGGAUAACUACCUAUCCAGUGUGCUCUAACUUUGGCGACAUUGUCAGGAAUGCAGGAUGCUUGUGUUAGUGUAGAUCACCGCAUAGUAGUUCCUUUCGUGAUUGAACUUCUGAGCUUCAAAAUGCUUGAGGACAAGCAUUGCCUAGGUGUGGGGGGAUUUGAUAGAGCAAUGUUUGGGCAUCUUAUGUGCUGUUAUGUGGUCAUAAUUUUGGCUAUUUAUUAUGCUAAGUACUGAGGUUUUGCUCAUAUUUGAUAUUUGUGUAAAUUGUAGGUGGUUGGUGUCAAAAAGUGAUCUCUGAAGGCGAAUUUCCAGAAGACUUUUUAUUUCAGGGCGUGCCCACGCCAGAAACUAUUGAAGAGACGCCUCAAAGUCGGACCGCGGGACUAACUAACUAACUAAACUCAUCCUUAUUCCUGCGGGAUGCGGUUGGAAGUGCGUCAAAACAAAAAGACAGUAAUUUCCAGUGGAUUUGGUAACAACCAAUAAGGAGGAUGUGGGGAAUUGGGGAAAUCUUUGGAAAAGCAGCUAUUUUCUCGUGGGCCAACGAGGGUGUAAAAGACAAGUAGUUUUAGUCUUGCAGAUAGCCUUUUAGUUUCUUACGUUUUCUUUGGAGGGCUAUCUUCGAGGAACUGGCAAAAAAGCCAGAUUCACGUGGAAUUGGGAGAUUAGCUUUAGUUUUGUUAUCCCUUGGUAGAGGAUUUGCUCUCUGUUUUGUUUUUACGAUUUUCUUUAGACCUUUGCUUUAUUUUUUUUGAACGGACAUGAAACAAAAAAAGAAGCAAGACUUUUUUUUUGUUUCUUCGUCACUUCAUCUUUCCCAACUUUCUUGUGAUUGUGUGGAUGGAAUCAAUCAAAUCCCGCGAGAUUGAUAUGAUGAGGAGCGGCUACAUUUCUCCUCUACCCAAAGUCGACGCGAAGGCGCGGUUUAUAACAUCUGUGAGAUCUAAUCGAACUUUCACUAGUUCUUCCAAUCCGUUACUAUUCGUGCAUUUUCUGGAUUAACUGUUUAUGGUUAUUUUAUUAAUUGAGUAUCAACGGUUGGAUAUUUAGUUUAAUCUAAUAGCCUACUGUCACGUUAACUAAAUUGAAUCCGUAAUUGUUCGUUUAGUUGAUAACUAGUGACAACUAUCAUAAUUGGCUUUAUGUUGGGGAAACGUAAGAUCUAGUUUAAAUAAACACUCUUAGCCUGUUUAUUGGUUAGGGUUGAAUUUUUCUAGUUUUAAUGCAACCGGAUAAUUAAAUUCCUACGGUCAUCCCUGAGGUUGUUUUCUAGUUAGAGAAGUGGUCAACGGUCGUACCUUGGUUGUCGAAAAAGUAAAGAAAAACUGGCUGUCAGAGCUUGUUGAUAGCUAUAACUAACCUAGUGACGAAUGAAUGAAAUAUCUUUGCAUCGAUGAUUAUUUAAUUGGACCGUGUCUGAAAAGUUGAUCCUUUGGAUAGAAUUUUACUAAUUGCUAUUUUUAGUUAAUUGUACUUGGUGAGUUAGCUUUUGAAUUUUUGUUUAUUCUAUUUUCAUUUUCAUUCCAUAAAUAUCCCCCAAUUUUGUUCUAUUGACUUGGAAAGAAACAACUUCCUACCCAUUCCCUGUGGAAUCGACCUUACUUGCCGUUGUAUGCAAAUUUAACACUUUUGUAGACAAAUCUAGUAUAUCGGAUCAAGCACACUCUUUGGAGACAGGGUGAAUAUAGUAACCCAUUGCACAUCUAGAGUCACUACUCCAGUACUUAGAUUUGUUCUAUAAUCAAUUAUAGUGGCAAUUAGGACUUUUUAGUAAUUAUUAUUGUACAGGCUCGACACCUGUCAAUUUUUUGCGUCGUUGCCGGGGAACGGUGUUUUGGUUAAUUUUGUUUCUUUUCAAGUUAUUUUCUUUGGAUUUGUCUGGCACUUUUCUAGUUUAUGCCUCGUUUUUCUCGUACAUGUGAAUUGAUUUUCGACCUGGAAGUAAAGAAGAUUGCGCGCCGAACUAGGAAAGAAACUAAACAGCUCAGAGAGGAGCAAUCUAGCAUUGCAUCUCAGAUGCUGGAUCCAGAGGUUGAGUCAACAGAUUCGAGUGGUGAUAAUUCAAGUGACUCAGGCCAAGAGGACAUCCCUAUGGCGAAUCCAAGAACACUAAAGGAGUUGGCUGCUCCGGAAUUGACCCAGCAGCUUUUGUGCAUUACAUUUCCAACUCUAGCUGAGAAUACCUCCUUCGAACUGAAGUCAGAGUUAAUUCAUCUCUUACCCUCAUUCCAUGGCCUCUUGAGUGAGGAACCCCAUAAACACAUCCAGGAGUUCGAUGUGGUAUGUUCUAGUAUGAAACCUCCAGGGAUUACUGAAGAGCAGAUCAAACUUAGAGCAUUCCCUUUCUCCCUCAAGGAUGUAGCGAAGGAUUGGUUAUACUACCUACCUGCAGGUAGUAUCAUAACAUGGGCCCAACUGAAAAAGAAGUUUUUGAAAAAAUUCUUCCCGGCAUCCCGGGCUGCAAGUUUGAGAAAAGAGAUAUGCAGCAUUAAGCAGUAUCCCAGGGAAUCCCUAUAUGACUAUUGGAAAAGGUUCAAUAAGUUGUGUACUAGAUGCCCACAGCAACAAAUUAGUGAACAACUAUUGAUCCAAUACUUCUAUGAGAGACUUCAGUCAUCUGAUAGAAAUAUUAUUGAUGCUGCAAGUAGGGGAGCACUGGCAAAUAAGACACCGAGAGAAGCAUUGCUGCUUAUUGAAGCAAUGGCAGAAAAUUCUCAACAGUUUGUGUUAUUCUUGGUUUUGAUGAUCACAAAAGUUCGUUGAAAUGUUUAUACAGACCAAGAAAGUGAACACUUUGAUCAGGCCUGAUGGAACAAAGUAAGCAUAUGUUCGAUUAACUCCAGACUACGAUGCUUUGGAUGUGGCAAACAAGAUUGGAAUAAUAUAAACAAAUUUAGUCAUUGUUUUGUUCCGAUCAAAGAUACUGUCUUUUAAGUAUGACAAUUUUGUUAGUCUUGGUUCCUUGAAAUGUUUUAUCUAACUUUCUUCAAAUAUAAGUGUUGUUGCCUAUCAAAGAAUCAGGUACGAAUAUGUCGUGAGCAAAAACAGGACACUCAUGUCGGACGGCCGAAAGGAAUCUGUCGGACGUCCGAAGGGAUGAAGAACAUCAGGAAGGAGUUUCUGUCGGACGCACAUCGAUCGUGUCGGACGUCCUAAAAAUUCCACAAAGCUUUGAUGACUCUCUGCCAAGACACUGUCGGACGCUCGCAAGGAAGCAUCGGACGUCCUGAAGGAUCGGACGCAUGCUUCGGACGAACAUCAAUAUCAUUGGACGUCCUAAAAAUUCCUCGAAGAUUUGAUAACUCUCUGGACGACGUUCGAACACUGAAGCUCGGACGAUAAAAUUCCAUCGAACGUCCGAACUUCAAUUUGGCUGUUUUUCGGACGAUUGGUUCGGACGAUAAUUUGAUCGUCGGACGUCCGAAAGCCCCAACGGCUAGCUGACUCUUCAUCUGCCUUCUAUCCGUUGGAAGCUUUAAUGAAGCCCAUUUCUGUUCCCCUUUAAAAACAAACUGUUCUGAACGAAGUAAGAACUUUUGCACACUUGGUCUACAAGAUCUCAAGAGAUAUUUUAGCUAGAAAAUAGUCUCCAAAGUUAGAUUUGUUCUCUAAGUGGUGUGAACUUCUGGUGAGCUUUUCUCUUGUGGUUGAAAGUUUCAUUAGUGUAGCUUUGUUGAGGGUUAUCUGAGUGUUUGUAAAACUUCUUAGCUUGACUAAGUGAGGUUUAGGGCAAGGAGGAAGUGCUCCCUCCAUUGUACAUCUAGUUGAUCAUAUUUCAUCAAAGAGAAGUUGCUCAACCUUGUGAUUGGUCUUCAAGUUUAAGGAAAGCUUGGUAGACAAUCGGUUUGAUUUCCUAUUUUACUUUUUGUUUAAUAAAAUUCUCAUUGCUUAUAUAUACUUAUUUUUCUGAUCAAUAUUGCUAUUGUCUUCUAAUCUACUUGGUUGAUCUUUACUAGAAAAGAAGGUAAAUUUUUAUUAAAGAAAAAGUGCAUAAAUUUGGUUAAGGUUUUAAUCAACCCAAUUCACCCCCCCUCUUGGUUGUCUUUGGGACUUACAAUUGGUAUCAGAGCUUGGUCUCCUUGAGAUUAAGCUCUAACGGCUUGGAGUAAAGAUGACAACCAGUCAUGCUAUGUUUGUUGAGGGGCAAUCUGUUACUAGGCCUCCCAUGUUCAGUGGCUCCAACUAUGUUAGCUGGAAAGAACGGAUGAUUAUCUUUUUGUAAUCUAUUGAUAUUGAACUAUGGUUUAUUGUGAGUGAAGGACCGCAUGAAGCUAACUUUCUUGAUGCAGAUACAGGGUUGCUUCGGCCAAAAAUGAGAGCUGAAAUGAAUGCUCAAGAUAGGACUAACCUCACAUUGAAUGCCAAGGCCAUGAAUGUUCUUUAUAGUGCCCUAGAUUCAAAUGAAUCAAUUAGAGUAAAAGGCUGCAAAUCGGCCAAAGAAAUGUGGGAUAAACUAAGAGAAAUCCAUGAGGGUGGUGACAACGUGAAAGAACAGAAAAAGGCUAUCUUGGUCACAAAAUAUGAAUCAUUUAGAAUUGAACCUCUUGAGGAUAUUGACAAAAUGUAUUGCAGGUUCACUGACUUGAUCAAAGAUCUCGAGGUGUUGGGCAAAGAGUACACCUUGGGAGAGAAGAACAGGAAAAUUCUCAAUGCGUUGGGCAAAGAAUGGGAAAAUAAAGUGACUGCAAUAGAGGAGGCUAAGGAUUUAAGUUCUGUGGCUAUUGAAUCUAUCAUUAACUCACUAACCUCUUAUGAGUUGAAACUGAAAUCUAAAGUGCAGGAGGAAGAGGAAGCUAGAGCAAAGAGAAACAUUGCUCUAAAGACUACUCAAGGUGAAGAUGAUACAGCUCACUUGGAUGAUGAAGACUCGGAUGGUGAUGAUAAUGAUCUUGCUCUCAUCACCAGAGGUUUCAAGAGAAUCUUGAAUAAAAGAAAGUUUAGAAGGGGAGGACCUAGCAAUCAAUUCCAGAAUCAGCCAUCUAUCGCAAAGUACAAAGGAAAACAGGAUUUCAACAAGAAACAGUUGGACAAAUGCUUCGAAUGUGGACAGCUUGGACACUAUGCAAAUGAAUGCCCCAUGAAGAAGAUGAAAGAUGGAAAAGCUGAUCGGAAGCCAAGAUUCAACAACUUUCAGAUUACUUGGAAUGAAUGCAACUCCGAAGGGGAAGUAGAAGAAGAAGAAGAAUCAGCUCAAAUGGCCUUCAUGGCUAUUGGAAAUAAUGAGGUAACUUCCACACAUUCUCAAUCUGAAAGUGAUGAUGAUGAAGAUGAUGAUCUUGAAUCCUUUGUUGAAAAACUGCAUAAUGCCUUGAAGGAAUCUUAUGAUAAAAACAAGCAGUUAAAACAGAAAAUGGCUUUUCUCAUUCAAGAAAAUGCAAGUCUUUUUCAACAAAAUAAACAACUAAAGACUGACAAUGAAAGUCUUGUAAGAGCCGGAUGUAAUGUUCAAAAUGAGCUUGAUAGAAAGACAAAUAUUUGUGAAAUGCUGAAGGAAAGACAUGGUGAUUUGAAAAAAAGAAUGGACAACUUGGAUGAGACUUUGAAAGCAAGAAAGCAGGAGUUUAUCAAAAGGAACAUGUCAUCUACACAUCCUACUACUUUUCAAAGAACAUUUGCACACAACAAAAAUGCACAUGGUUUCACAACAUAUAGAAGAGGUGGAUUGAGAUAUGUCAAACCAGUACAUGUUAAGGACUCUUCCAUUAUGUGUGGUUUUUGUUGUCAAAGAGGGCAUUUGAAAGGUGAUUGCUAUGUGAAAAGAAAUCUGAACAAAGGGAUGAAAUGCAUGUGGUUAGUUAGAUACAAUGCUAACUAUUGCGGACCCAAAAAUUAAAAUGGGUACCAAACACUUUCUCUUUUCAGGAAAAAUGCUCAAACAAGUCCAAAUGGUUUAUUGAUAGCGGUUGCUCAAGGCAUAUGACCGGUGAUCCCUCUUUGUUCAUAAAGCUGAAAUCAAAGUCAAGUGGAAAAGUGACAUUUGGUGAUGAUGUGAAAGCUAAGACAAUUGGAAUAGGUGAUGUUGGUAAGGAUGGUGAUACUUUUGUCCAUAAUGUGCUCUUAGUUGAUAACUUAAGUUAUAACUUGCUUAGUGUUAGUCAAUUGUGUGAUAAAGACUUGAAUGUGUUGUUUAAAAAACAUGAAUGCAUUGUGCUUGAUUCCAAAUAUAAUAUUGUGUUCAAAGGUAAGAGAUUCAACGACAUAUAUAUUGUGGUUCUUGAUAAAAUUGAUUCUUCUAGCUUAAAAUGUCUUAAAGCUUCAAAUGAAGAUCCUUGGUUGUGGCAUAGAAGACUUUGUCAUUUUAACAUGAAUUUACUAAAGGAAAUUUCGAAAAAGGAGUUGGUUAGAGGCUUGCCAAAAAUCAGUUUUGAUAAGGACAAAAUAUGUGAUGCAUGUCAAUUUGGGAAGCAAACAAAAAAUUCCUUUAAACCUAAGAUGUGUGUAUCUACUUCUAAACCUUUGGAACUCUUGCAUCUUGAUUUAUUUGGUCCCACUCAAAUUACUAGCUUGGGAGGUAAAAGAUAUUGUUUUGUAAUUGUUGAUGAUUAUUCUAGAUACACUUGGGUGAUAUUUCUUGCUCAUAAAGAUGAUGCCUUCAAGAAUUUUACUUCAUUGUUUGCUAAAAUGCAAAAUCUGCUUGGGUUAAAAAUUGUUAGGAUUAGAAGUGAUAAUGGGACGGAAUUCAAGUAUUGUGGUUUUCCAGAAUUUUGUGAUCAUAAUGGUAUAACACAUGAGUUCUCUAUUGCAAGGACUCCACAGCAAAAUGGUGUUGUAGAAAGGAAAAACAGGACUCUUCAAGAGGCUGCUAGAACUAUGUUGAAUGAAUGUAGGUUGCCUAAAUAUCUUUGGGCUGAAGCGGUAAACACUGCAUGUUAUGUGAUGAAUAGAAUACUCUUGAGACCUAUUUUAAAGAAAACUCCUUAUGAGCUGAUUUUUGAUAAGAAACCUACGGUUGGUUAUUUCAAAGUAUUUGGUUGUAAAUGCUUUAUUUUGAAUCUAAAGGAACAUCUUGGUAAGUUUGAUAAAAAAUCUGAUGUAGGAAUAUUUUUGGGGUAUUGUGAGAAUAAAAGACGAUAUAGAGUUUUUAAUAGAAGGACUCUUGUGAUUGAAGAAGCUAUACAUAUAACAUUUGAUGAAACCAAUGAUGAUAAUUCCAAAAGUUCGUGUGAGGAUGAUGAUGUAGGUGUUCGAGAAGCAAUGAAAAACCUAUCAAUUGGAAAUGAAGGAAGCUCUAAACCAGCAGCAACUGAAAUGGAAAAUGAAGUUCAUAAUGAUCAAGAAGAGGAAGAUGAAGACAAAAAUGAUGAUCCACUCAAAGAUCUUCCCAAGGCUUGGAAAUUCAGCCAAAAUCAUCCAAAAGAGCUUAUAAUUGGUGAUCCAUCCGAGAAGGUAAACACUAGUUCCUCAUCUAGAAAAUUGAUUGACAAUUUUGCUUUAGUUUCUCUUUUUGAACCCAAAAAUAUCAAUGAUGCUUUAAAGGAUGAAAACUGGAUUUUGGCAAUGCAAGAGGAACUUAAUCAAUUUGAGAGAAAUGAAGUUUGGACACUUGUUAAUAGACCUCAAAAUCAACCUAUCAUUGGCACAAAGUGGAUUUUUAGAAAUAAGUUGGAUGAUAAAGGUGUUGUUGUAAGAAAUAAAGCCAGAUUAGUUGCUAAAGGAUAUGCACAAGAAGAAGGAAUUGAUUUUGAUGAAACAUUUGCUCCCGUAGCAAGAUUAGAAUCUAUUAGAAUGCUUCUUGCUUUUGCAUGCUUUAAAGGCUUCAAAUUGUUUCAAAUGGAUGUUAAAAGUGCUUUUUUAAAUGGUUUUAUUGAUCAAGAAGUAUAUGUGGAUCAACCCCCCGGUUUUGAAAAUACAAAAUUUCCAAGUCAUGUGUUUAAACUAUCUAAAGCUUUAUAUGGUCUAAAACAGGCUCCAAGAGCUUGGUAUGAAAGACUAAGUGGUUUUUUGAUUGAAAAUGGUUUCAAAAGGGGUGUUGUGGACACCACACUUUUUACUAAGCAAGUGUUGAAUGACCUUCUUAUUGUGCAAAUAUAUGUUGAUGAUAUUAUUUUUGGUGCUACUAAUGAGUAUCUAUGUAAGGAGUUUUCCACCACUAUGCAAAGUGAAUUUGAAAUGAGUAUGAUGGGAGAAUUAAAUUUCUUCCUUGGACUUCAAAUACAUCAAGCUCUUGAGGGAAUUUUUAUAAAUCAAGCAAAAUAUACCAAGGAAUUGUUGAAAAGGUUUGGCAUGGAGGACUCAAAGCAAGUUGGAACUCCAAUGUGCACUUCUACAAAGCUUGACAAAGAUGAAGAAGGUAAUCAUGUGGAUGAAAAGCAUUAUAGAGGUAUGAUCGGAAGCCUACUCUAUUUAACCGCAAGUAGACCUGAUAUUAUGUUUGCUGUUUGCUUGUGUGCUAGAUUUCAAUCUUGUCCAAAAGAAUCACAUUUGAAUGCUGUAAAAAGGAUUUUUAGGUAUUUGAAAGGUACAUUAGACUAUGGUCUUUGGUAUGCUAGAUCUAAUGAGUUUGCACUAUAUGCUUAUUCGGAUGCUGAUUUUGGAGGUUGUCGUGUGGAUAGAAAGAGUACUAGUGGAACUUGUCAUUUUCUUGGAAAUUGUUUAGUCUCUUGGUUUAGCAAGAAACAAUGUGCAAUCUCUUUGUCUACAACCGAAGCGGAAUAUAUUGCCGCUAGUGCAUGUUGUGCUCAACAUUUAUGGAUGAAGCACACCUUGAAUGAUUUUUGAUUGUUGUAUGACUGCAUGCCUGUAUUCUGUGAUAAUACUAGUACUAUAAAUUUGACCAAAAAUCCUAUUCAUCAUUCUACGACAAAGCACAUAGAUAUAAAGCAUCACUUUAUUCGUGAUCUUGUUCAAAAAGGUGAAAUAUGUGUAAAUUAUGUUUGUUCUAAAGAUCAAUUUACGGAUAUUUUUACAAAAGCUUUGCCAUUAGAUCAGUUCAUUCAUCUAAGAUCAAAAUUAGGAAUAAUCGAAAAAUCAUCUUAAUUUUUGGGUCUUCGGACGUCCGAAAGAAGAUGAACGGACGUCCGAUGAUGUUCUUCAGCCAUUUUCCAGAUUGCGCCUGUUCGGACGCAGCUGUCGGACGCACAACGUCGUUCGGCCGUCCGACAGUGCAACGGAUCAAUUUUUUAAAUAACUUUCUUUCUCAUUUGCUUCAGACUCUUCCUAUUCUAUUUCCUCUCGGACGAAAACUCUCUCUUCCCUCACUCUCAAAUUCGUACCAUUUUGAAGCUCUCAUUCUCAAAUUGACUCAAACAAAACUUUUUCUGACUGAUUGCGAUUCAUUUCUCCUGAUCAUUUUCCCGAAUCGCAUAACAUUUCACAAAUUCCCAAAUUUCCUUCAAAACCCUACUUUCUCAUAACCGCUCUGCCAAAUCUUGUUUAAGGCCUUUUUGUCCCAAAAUUUCUGUGCAAAUCACUUCCCUACCACUGUGUGCAUCAUUUGCAUUCUUCAUUCCACACAUUUCACACAAUGGUGAAUCUGAGAGGAGGAAAGGUUACUGCCGGACGCAAGCAUCCACUCAGGGAUGAGGAUGAGGAUCUUCCUACGGUCAAACGUUCAUCCAAACGCUUCAAGAGAGGAGCCAUAAAGGGUCAAAUGUCACGGCCUACUCCUCAACCCACCUCUCAGCCUGAAUCUGGACAGGGAACCUCUGCUCAACCGCCUCCAAAAUCAGCCCCUCCCCCUACAUUCUUUGAUGAUACAGCAAGAGACAAACACUCCUUGAUAUCCCAGAAAGGUGUCAUCCCUCAACGUACUGUAAACCCUUCUGAAUUUCGUCUCAUAGGUUUAGAAACCAUUCUGAAGUUAUUUGCUUUUCAGAAAUGGUCGCAUAUCAUUUCUAUGCCAAAUGUUUACUAUCCUGAAAUGCUGCAUCAAUUUUUUGCUAAUCUUAGAAAAGGGUCUGACCAAACUGAAAUCUUUUCCAGGGUUAAUGGGGUAGACUUAAUCUUUGACUCUGAAAUUGUGAAUUCCAUUUUAAAUACUACCAUUGAACGUGGGUGCAAGGAUAAAAUUACAAAUUUCUUUUCCUAUGAAGAGCACCCUAAUGCUGAUAAUCAUUUUGAUGGGGCUAAAAUGAUGACCUAUUUUAAAAGAAGUUUUUCCUCCCCUGCUGAUGCUAAACUGAAUGAUCUUGCCCCUGUGAAUUUAAUUGCUUUUUCUAUCAUUUCAAACCUGCUUGUGCCUACUGAUGGCCAUAGAACUGAUGCAAACAAAAUGGAGUUGUACCUCUUUUAUUAUUUUCGAGAAAAAAUUUGGAUUGAUUUUGGUUUUGUCAUGUGCAAGUUUUUACUUCGCUAUACCACUGACUCUCGCAGAAAACUAUCCUAUGGAAAGUUUCUUCAAAAGAUUUUUGAGUUUUUCAAAGUUCCAAUUUUAGGUGUUUGUCCCAAAGAAGCAUCUUCUUAUGCCUUUACCAAAGGAUACUUUGAAAGGAAAAAUCUUGUUUUUAAAGAUAAUAUGUGGUCUUAUAAAGAGGCAUCGUCCAGUGAACGUAGGUCUAAGGCUGCACAUGAUCCUUCAUCUAUUCCACUCACUCCCAUUCAUCCUAGGAAAUCUGCCACUAAGGCAUCUUCCUCCUCCAAUGAUGGAGUGAUUGAGCUUCUUCAUGAACUCAAACAGCAUGUUCUUCUUCUAGAACAUGGCCUAAUGCUCACCAUGUCCUCUGAGCAACAAACUGCCUUUCUAGACAAAAAGAACCAUCUCUUUCCCCCACCUGUGGUUGAGGAAGUGUCCCAUGACAAAGAGCCACACCCCACUGAUCCAAGCUCAUCAAUUCCAGACCCUGGUUCAUCAACUCCUGUGACUCCUCAUGGUCCUUCCACAGCAGAUAAAGGCAAGGAACCAGUUGAAGUGGAUGCUGAAGCUGAUGAAGAAACUGAAGAGGAGGACCUCUCCCAAUAUCAGCUCUCUCGAAGAACUCCUGGAUCCACACAGUUCACUACUUAGGACAUUUGCAUUCUGUUUGUCUAUUUUAUGUGUUUGUAAUGGUCAACAUUUGUAACCUUCUUUUAAUGUUUCUCUUGUUGGUACUGUAUGUUUAUGUUAAGUAUUUUGAAUGAUGACUGUGUUUAUGGAUGUUUAAGUAUUUUGGUGCAAUGAAUUUGGUUUUCAUUGAUGAAUGUGUUUGUGGAUGUGUUGAUGUGAUUGGUUGCCCUUUUGUGAUGACAAAAAGGGGGAGAGGACUGGAUUGAUGAUUGAUGAUUGGUGUUGAGGACUGGAUUGAUUGAUGAUUGAUGAUUGGUAUUGAUUGAUGAUUGAUGAUUGGUGAUGUUGGAUAUGUUGGAUUGAUUGUUUAAAUUUGGAUUGGCUGAUAUGCUUAAUUGUCAUAUUUUUAGAAAAUUGUUUAACUCGGAUGGGCAGCCAAGUGAGGGGGAGCUUUUUCAAAAUUUUCAAAAUUUUAUGAUUCACUAAAUAAGGGGGAGUUCGUGAGAAAGGGGGAGCUUAUAAUGCAAUCAUCAAAUUUCAUUUCAAACUUUUGUUUUGUCAUCAUCAAAAAGGGGGAGAAUGUUAUUCUUGAUUUUGAUGAUCACAAAAGUUCGUUGAAAUGUUUAUACAGACCAAGAAAGUGAACACUUUGAUCAGGCCUGAUGGAACAAAGUAAGCAUAUGUUCGAUUAACUCCAGACUACGAUGCUUUGGAUGUGGCAAACAAGAUUGGAAUAAUAUAAACAAAUUUAGUCAUUGUUUUGUUCCGAUCAAAGAUACUGUCUUUUAAGUAUGACAAUUUUGUUAGUCUUGGUUCCUUGAAAUGUUUUAUCUAACUUUCUUCAAAUAUAAGUGUUGUUGCCUAUCAAAGAAUCAGGUACGAAUAUGUCGUGAGAAAAAACAGGACACUCAUGUCGGACGGCCGAAAGGAAUCUGUCGGACGUCCGAAGGGAUGAAGAACAUCAGGAAGGAGUUUCUGUCGGACGCACAUCGAUCGUGUCGGACGUCCUAAAAAUUCCACAAAGCUUUGAUGACUCUCUGCCAAGACACUGUCGGACGCUCGCAAGGAAGCAUCGGACGUCCUGAAGGAUCGGACGCAUGCUUCGGACGAACAUCAAUAUCAUCGGACGUCCUAAAAAUUCCUCGAAGAUUUCAUAACUCUCUGGACGACGUUCGGACACUGAAGCUCGGACGAUAAAAUUCCAUCGGACGUCCGAACUUCAAUUUGGCUGUUUUUCGGACGAUUGGUUCGGACGAUAAUUUGAUCGUCGGACGUCCGAAAGCCCCAACGGCUAGCUGACUCUUCAUCUGCCUUCUAUCCGUUGGAAGCUUUAAUGAAGCCCAUUUCUGUUCCCCUUUAAAAACAAACUGUUCUGAACGAAGUAAGAACUUUUGCACACUUGGUCUACAAGAUCUCAAGAGAUAUUUUAGCUAGAAAAUAGUCUCCAAAGUUAGAUUUGUUCUCUAAGUGGUGUGAACUUCUGGUGAGCUUUUCUCUUGUGGUUGAAAGUUUCAUUAGUGUAGCUUUGUUGAGGGUUAUCUGAGUGUUUGUAAAACUUCUUAGCUUGACUAAGUGAGGCUUAGGGCAAGGAGGAAGUGCUCCCUCCAUUGUACAUCUAGUUGAUCAUAUUUCAUCAAAGAGAAGUUGCUCAACCUUGUGAUUGGUCUUCAAGUUUGAGGAAAGCUUGGUAGACAAUCGGUUUGAUUUCCUAUUUUACUUUUUGUUUAAUAAAAUUCUCAUUUCUUAUAUAUACUUGUUUUUCUGAUCAAUAUUGCUAUUGUCUUCUAAUCUACUUGGUUGAUCUUUACUAGAAAAGAAGGUAAAUUUUUAUUAAAGAAAAAGUGCAUAAAUUUGGUUAAGGUUUUAAUCAACCCAAUUCACCCCCCCUCUUGGUUGUCUUUGGGACUUACAGUUUGGCUCCCGCGAGAGUAACCCUACCCAUAGGGUUAACGAGGUAAAGACGUCGUCCAUUCAGCAGCAGCUAUCGGAGUUAACAUCUUUUGCUCAGCAGUUAGCUGUGGGGAAUAUGCAUCAAGCAAAGGUCUGUGGAAUUUGCACAAACAUGGGCCACCCCACUGACUUAUGCCCUAUUUUGCUAGAGGAUGGGGCUGAACUAGUAAACAUGGUUGGGGGCGUGCCCACGCCCCGUAGGUAGUACGAUCUAUACUCGAACACGUACAAUUCGAGUUGGAGAGACCACCCCAACUUCAACUAUGGGAACAGGCCACAGAAGUCAUUCUCAAAUCGUCCAGCAACCAUGGCAACCAAAGCUUCAACCUUCGUCCUCCAAUUCAGGAGGCUCUUUGGAGGAUAUUGUCAAGAGCCUGGCCACGAGUACUACUCAGCUCCAGCAAGAAACUAGAUCCUUGGUCACGAGUACUGCUCAAUUCCAUCAGGAAACUAGAUUAGGCAUGAAAAAUCUGGAGACUCAAAUAAGUCGUAUGGCAACUGCAAUUAAUCGGUUAGAGUCUCAAGUUUUUGAAAAAUUGCCAUCGCAACCCGAGGUAAAUUCCAAGAAUGUAAGUGCCUUGACAUUGAGGAAUGGCAAGGAAGUGGAGGGGCUUAAGGCCACGAACCUAAAGAGUAAAAGUGAAGAAGAGAUCGAAAAGGAGAUUGAAGAAGAAGGACGCAUUCGUGGAGACCCUAAGGUAACUCUUACUCCAUCAAUUCCCAUUGAAUCUAAUUUACCUCCUUUUCCAUACAGGUUGGAAAAGACAAAGAAGGCGGAGAUGGAAAAAGAAAUCCUAGACGUAUUCUGAAAAGUAGAGAUCAACAUUCCCUUGUUGGAUGCAGUUAAGCAGGUACCAAAGUACGCAAAUUUUUUUAAGAAUUUGUGCACCUAUAAGAGGAAGUUGAGACGGGACAAAAGAGCAGCAGUGGGAGAAAAUGUAUCAGCUAUACUCCAAAGAAAACUCCCACCCAAGUGUGGAGAUCCAGGUAUGUUCAUGAUCCCAUGCAAAAUAGGAAAUACACCGAUUAGAAAAAUAAUGUUGGAUUUAGGGGCAUCAAUCAACGUAAUGCCAAGCACCAUUUAUGUUUCUUUAAAUCUUGGGCCACUAAAAGAAACAGCCAUCAUAAUCCAACUAACUGACCGCACCAAUGCUUAUCCAGAGAGGCUAGUUGAGGAUGUCUUGGUUCAGGUAAAUGAGUUAGUUUUUCCAACAGAUUUUUAUAUCUUAGGUAUGGGAGAUGAAAAAUUGUUAAAUCCGUCACCUAUUUUGUUAGGUAGGCCAUUUCUUAGCACUGCUAGGACUACAAUAAAUGUGAAUGAGAGUACUUUAUCAAUGGAGUUUGAUGGCGAAAUUAUAAAUUUCAAUAUUUUUGAGGUGAUGAAGUAUCCGGAGGAAUCUAACUCAGUCUUUGCAUUGAGUGUUAUUGAACCUAUUGUAUAGGAAACUUUCGAAUUAGACUGUGAAGACGCAUUGGAAGUGGCCUUUAUCAAGCAUCUUGAAAUGGAUGUAACUCUUAAUGUGGACAUGAGGGAUGAGUUGCACCAUACAGUUGAAGCAUUACAUUCACUUCCAACCAUUCCUUCGAGGUAUGAGCUUACCUCUCUUUUUGUGCCAAAAACUCAGACAAAGUUGUUGCCUUCAGUUGCACAGGCACCGGAGUUAGAGCUUAAGACUCUCCCGAAACAUUUAAAGUACGCAUUCCUGAGAGACUAAGAGACGCUUCCGGUGAACAUUUCUGCACACUUAUCUCCAAGUCAAGAGAGCAAACUGGUGCGAACCCUUAGGGAUCAUAAGGAAGCGAUUGGGUGGAGUAUAGCAGAUAUCAAAGGAAUAACUCCGUUCUUAUGCAUGCACCAGAUACGGCUCGAAGAUGAUGCGAAACCGGUAAAACAGGCGCAGCGGAAAUUGAAUUCGCUAAUGAUGGAAGUAGUGAAAAAGGAGAUACUUAAAGUCCUGGAAAUAGGAAUUAUCUUUGCUAUCUUGGACAGUCCUUGGGUGAGUCCCGUUCAAAUAGUCCCAAAAAAAAUAGGAGUGACUGUAGAGGAAAACCAGGAGGGUGAGAUGGUUCCAGUCAGGAAAGCUACAGGUUGGCGCCAGUGCAUUGACUACCGGAGACUAAACGCUGUGAUGAAAAAGAACCAUUUUUGAUGUGAAACCCCGGUCUAGACAACCAAAACACCAUGGCUUAGGCAGCGGAAAUUUGACCCAACUAAUCCCUAGAAGUCACGAACAAUUUUGAUAUUAUCUCAACCCGUAACUACUCGAAUUAACGAACCAAAUUGGAGGUAGUAGAACGCCACAAUCAAGGAGAUACUCGAUUGAUAAGUUCGGGUGAAUAACUUGAGAAGAUUCUCAAGUAUUCAAAGGCAACUCUCUUGCCAAAGAGAAAGUGAAAACUCACUAAUUGUAUUUAAUAGCCAAAAACUCGUCCCAAAACAAAGAGGAAGUGAGGCAAUUUAUAGCCCUUACAAGCAUUAACCCUAAUCCAAAAGUUGACCAAACUACCCUACAUACUUAAGAAAGAUUUUGGGCCUUACUUACUAACAAAUGGGCCGCAAUUAAACUAUCUUAAUUACCUAGAUUUUUAAAACAAGAAAUAACCAAAAUCAACGAGAAAAAUCAAAUAAUCCUACUAAACUCAAGCAUUCGUGCAAUCAACUAGUCUUCACUUGAAUCUUCCAAUUCCCCGUGUGCUUGAAUGGGCCUUGGUCUUUAUAUUCUCAUCAUUCCCCUCCUCUUAAAAGCAAUUUGCCCACAAAUUGAAGCACGAAUGGUGACAAGACGAGUUACAUGCCUUCGACUCAAUCUUGUUAUGAUGGCUACAGAUGGCAUCCAAUGCAAAACCCAUGUGCUAAGUUGGAAAAUAACCCUCGUCGAACCUUGAAUCUCACAGACCAUCUUCAAUGUAUGCUCAACUUUAUUGUUUGUGGUCAUGAGAUAAGGGUCCUCAAAGUGGUAUGAAGUGUAUCCCGUGAAAUCGAACUCCGGCUCGAACACACUUGCAAGGUACCAAGGCGGAUUUGGUGAUGUUGGAGCUUCAUGUGGACUAAGAGCAAGACGAAAAGCAUAAUGGUCAUUGAGGUACUUGUUCUUUAAACGAACCCUUGGUACACAACCAUUCCUAAAAUAUGGAGUGUUCCCUUCAAGAUGAGCUCGAAUCAACUCCCCUUUGGUGUGGACUGAUUUAAGUUGACAUUGUUCCAUGAAUGGAUACCAAGGGGGUUUAACUCUUGGAGUACCAACUCCAUGGAGGCUUGCAACGUCUACAAUUGAUUUUGGAAUGGAACACACCAAGAUCAGCUCAACUUGCCUUUGCUUGAUCUGUAUAAAAGAAGAAACACUAAACAAAGCAAAGGUAAGUUUGUUAAGAAAAUAAUAGGCCUUCACCGGGUUGCUCAAGAUCAGCCCACUUUCUCUUCUUUCUUCCUUUUUACCACCAAUCUCAUUAGAUUUUUCCAUCUCUUUUCCUAGUUCAACAGCUGACCCUUUUAUCUCAUUACUUUCAACUUCCUCGGGUUUUACCUCUGCAGGCACAAUUCCCUCAUCUAGCUUUUUCUCCAUUCUAUAACGCUCAAACUCACUUUUCAUGCAUGCUAGAUCAAUACAAAGUUGGUCAUAAGUAAGUGAUACAAGUGCAAGACGACGACUAUUAAAUAAGAAGGAAUACUUAUUAGUAUGUCCAUCAAUUUUAACUUCUCGCCUCGACAUCCAUGCUUUGCCCAACAACACAUGUGUCACUUGAAUUGGGACUACAUCACACAACACCUCAUCCACAUAUUUGCUGAUUUGAAUAGGUACAAGUGUGUGCUUAGUAACCCAAACAUCCCUAUGAGUGCUCGUCAACUUGUAAGGUUGAAGAUGAUCAAUGGUUGGAAGAUUUAAUUUCUCAACCAUGAUAGCACUUGCAAGAUUGACUUCACAACUACCAUCAAUGGCCAAGCUACAAAUUUUAUCUUUGACACCGCAACGAGUAUAAAACCAACCAAGCAACUGAGAUUUGACGAGGUCCAAUUGCUCAUCUACACCACGUAAUGCCACUUCUUUGACUCCCUUAGGAUCAGGAAGACAAUGUUGUGGGCUAGCUUUUAUGUGUCUUAUACUCGCCAUGACGUAUGAGGGAACCUGCAAAAAGUUAGCAACGAAACCGAAGAUAUUGCCUUUCACGCUCCCUUACGUGUAUCCACUCGCACUCGUGUAUAUGGAUGUCACUCUAAUGGACUUACCAAAUACCUUUACCUGUUGGGUUAGGUAGUUGAGAAAUGCUGCUCAAGUCCAACAACCGUUACCAACCUUUCCACAAGUGUAAUCACAAGAAUGUAGGAGAAAAUGUAUGAAAGUGUUCCUAGAAUCUAGGAAGAGAAUAUAGGAGAGUUUCAUAAAGUGGAUGAGAGAAUAUAGGAAAGGUCCUAAAAAUGGAUGAGAGAAUUUUAGGAGAGUUUCCUAAAAAAUGGAUGAGAGAAUUUAGGAAAGUUUCCAAAAAAAUGGAUGAGAGAGUUUAGGAAAAUUUCCUAAAAAGGUAGGAGAGAGAGUGUCCAAGUGAGUACAAAGAGUUAUCCAAGUGCUUUACUUAGUUUCCUAAUUGAUUUUGGAAACAAGUUAGUUUUUGGAAACCUUUUGAAAAUCCUCUUCCUCUUGAACAACUUUUGGUAACCUUCUUGAAACAACUUUUGGUAACCUUCUUGAAACAACUUUUGGUAACUUCCAAAUUCUACUCCAAGAAAGAUUGCACAAAUCAGAUUUGGUUCUCUAUUCAAAACAAUUCGGUUGCCCCUUUCUUUCCUUGCCUUUUUUUUUUUCUCUUGCCAACCAAUUCCUCUUUUCUUUCUUCUUUUUUUUUGUCUUUUUUUGACUACAACUAUCAACCACGACACAAAACAAGGAAGUCCACAAAUAAUAACAACCAAGAACUCCAAGAUCUUUCAAGAACGUUCAAGGAAGUUGUCAGGAACUUCAGAAAUUUCAAGAUUGUGGUCAAGAAUUCAAGAAGCUCAAGAUUAUUGUAAGUUCUCUUCACGAUUCACAAAAUUCCAACAAUUUUUGCCAAAAUUCAGAUUUGAAAACCAAGUAAACAAGUUGGAUAACACAAACAACAAGGCUGGACAGAUUUGUAUUCGGAUGAACAGAACCCUAUGAACAGUAUCAGUGAACAGUGUCGGUGAACAGUAACGAUGAACAGUAAUAUUUUUUUUUUUUUUUUGGUUCUGAACAAACGAACAGAUUGGGAUAAACACAUAUGACUCGAAAUAAACGAAAACAAAAAAAAAGAUAUAACCUGGUGGUUGUCAACUAGCUCUGGUACCAACUGAUGUGAAACCCCGAUCUAGACAACCAAAACACCAUGGCUUAGGCAGCGAAAAUUUGACCCAACUAAUCCCUAGAAGUCACGAACAAUUUUGAUAUUAUCUCAACCCGUAACUACUCGAAUUAACGAACCAAAUUGGAGGUAGUAGAACGCCACAAUCAAGGAGAUACUCGAUUGAUAAGUUCGGGUGAAUAACUUGAGAAGAUUCUCAAGUAUUCAAAGGCAACUCUCUUGCCAAAGAGAAAGUGAAAACUCACUAAUUGUAUUUAAUAGCCAAAAACUCGUCCCAAAACAAAGAGGAAGUGAGGCUAUUUAUAGCCCUUACAAGCAUUAACCCUAAUCCAAAAGUUGACCAAACUACCCUACAUACUCAAGAAAGAUUUUGGGCCUUACUUACUAACAAAUGGGCCGCAAUUAAACUAUCUUAAUUACCUAGAUUUUUAAAACGAGAAAUAACCAAAAUCAACGAGGAAAAUCAAAUAAUCCUACUAAACUCAAGCAUUCGUGCAAUCAACUAGUCUUCACUUGAAUCUUUCAAUUCCCCGUGUGCUUGAAUGGGCAUUGGUCUUUAUAUUCUCAUCAAUUUUCCUCUCCCUUUUAUUGACCAGAUGAUAGAAAGAUUGGCUGGUCGUGUUUACUAUUAUUUUUUGGAUAAUUUUUCAGGGUACUUCAGAUCUCGAUAGCACCGGAGGACCAGGAAAAGACCACAUUCACCUGCCCAUUUGGUACUUUUGCGUACCGUAGGAUGCCUUUCGAUCUUUGCAAUGCUCCAACAACUUUUCAAAGGUACAUGGUAAGUAUUUUCUCCGAAUAUGUAAAAAGAUUAUUGAUGUGUUCAUGAAUGAUUUUAGUGUAUACGGGGAUAGCUUUGAUGAAUGUUUCGAUAAUUUAGCUGUAAUUUUGAAAAUGUGCAUAGAGACGAACUUAGUUCUUAAUUGGAAAAAAUGCGCUUUAUGGUAGAGUAUGGUAUUGUCUUAGGGCACGUUGUGUCGGCUAAGGGAAUAGAGGUAGAUAAAGCAAAAAUAGAUCUAAUUUCUACUUUGCCUUACCCUGUAUGUGUACGGGAAGUACGUUUCUUUUUGGGCCAUACAGGAUUUUAUAGGAGGUUCAUCAAGGAUUUCUCAAAGAUUGGAGCACCCCUAUUCGAGUUGCUGCAAAAGGACGUGACAUUCGAUUUCACCAAUGAAUAUAAGGUGGCUUUUGAUAAAUUAAAGGAGUCGUUGACAUCGCCGCCCGUCAUUCAACCCCCAGAUUGGAGCCUACCGUUUGAAAUAAUGUGCGAUGCGAGUGAUUAUGAGGUAGAAGCAGUGUUGGGCCAAAGGAUUGGCAAGGUGGCGCAUGCAAUUUACUAUGCGUCGAAAGCAUUGAGUGGAGCUCAACUUAACUACUCCACGACGGAGAAAGAAUUACUAGCCGUUGUUUUUGCACUAGAAAAAUUUAGGUCAUAUUUAUUAGGUGCAUGUAGACACCAAAAAUUUCAUCGAUUCAGUUUUAGCUUUAUUCAUUCAAUUUUGACUUCCUUUGAUUCAAUUUUUAGUUUUAUUAUUAUUAUUUAUUCUUGUCUCAUAUUUAUUAUUUUUAAUUGAUUGGAGGUUGCAAAUGGUAAUUGAUGUUCAUUCUUAUUUUAAAUGCAUUAAAAUUCAUCAUUUUCUUUUUAAAGCAAUUUUACACUAAAUUUUAGGAAAAUCCCGAAUAAAGAUCCAUUUUAUCUUUUUAAAAUUUGAUUUUUUCUUGCUAAGGCAUUUUGCAAGGUAAUUUUUAAAAAUUAAGCAUGUUAAACAAGUGUGUCAAUUGCAUGUUGAACAAGUGUGCAAAUAAGCAUUAGACAAGUGGUUGAGGAAUGGUAGGACAAGUGUAUAGGGGGUAGCUGUCAAGGACACUUGGGGGGUUUUUUGGGGGGCAUCGGAAAAAAAAGGAAGAAAAAACCCUCGAAGAGGCUUGAAAACAGGGGGAAGAGAAAAGAGCUAAAAACAGGGAGGGGGCUUCGGAGGAAAGGGGAGAGGAAAAACGAAAUCGAAAAAGGAGGGGAGAGUAGGGAAAAAUCUGGGGAGAGUCUGUGGGCUAAGAAAAACAGCGGAGAGAUAGCGGAAAAAAAGGAGAAAAAGAACGGCUGAGGGGAAGGCUAAAAAUCUGAAAAGAGAAGAAGGCUUCGGCUGGGAGAAGCUGGAGUGGAAAAAAUAGAAAAAGGGAGAACGGCUGCGGUUGAGGGCCGAGAGAGUGGAGAGCCGAGGAGGAAAAAUCAGAAAAGGAGGAGAAAAAUCAAGGGCGGCGGAUGAAGGGAAAAGCUGGGAAAAUUAGAAACAGAGAAAGAGAGGAUAGCAGCGGACAAAGAGCUUGCGACUGAGGAAGCAGAGCAGCUGGAACUGCCGUUCGCGGGAAGCUGUUGCCGCCCUCUUCCGUCACGCGCGACGCCAGCUUCAUCGCUUCUUCCAUCAUAGUUCAAGCUCCGCCCUCUGCCGGCACAAACAAGUGGCCAACCGCCCGCCCAAGCAACCAAAUCCGAGAUCAGCACCCGCAAAAUUUUACCAAGAAACAAACGGUAAGCCACCAUCAUCCUUCAAAUUUCAGUUUUCAUGUAAGUUUUCGAAGCGUGUUUUAUUUUUCACGUUGUGGCUUGUAGCCAUUUCUCUGUUGAAUUAUUCACUAAUUGGAAGUAUGUAUGCUUUGAAUGUCGAUUGGACUGGAGUUUUCUUGCAUUUGAUGAAAUUUUGGGUGCUGAUUCAUGUCAAUUGAGCGAGAAAUUGGUGAAGUUUUUUAAUGGCUGUUUGUUGUUCGACAGAAUGCUUCAAUGAAAGUUCGGCCUGAAGAAUGGAUUAAUUUCUGAUUUAUAUACGUUCGACUGUUUCAUGCUUGUCAAAAUAAUUGAUUCGAAUGGGUUUGUUUGGGCGUCCGUUUGUUUUGGCAAUCUGCUCCGCUUCUCGUUUGUUUGGUGUUCCUCUUGUAUGGAUUUAAAUUCAUGACAUAAAAUGGCGUGCGAGGGGAUUCAUGUGAGAGUCAUUUGUUUUGCUUUUGUUUUGUUUUGUUGAUUGGAGUCCGAAGUUGAAUUUUCUGGUUGCAAAGAGGAAUGAAAUAGCAGCGAACGUUGAGCCAAUUUGGGAAGAAGAGGAUUGCUUGAUUAAAUUCAUGAUUCCAGUCCCUCAAUUUCCCUUUCCAUUAUGAUUUAACCCCAGAAUUUUAGGACUUCAUAAUUUUUCCUCCAACACCUUCAUAAGUCCUUCAAUUAGGUCCCUGCUCUUGUUGCAUUUUAACCCCUCAGCUUCCCCUUGUUCUGAUAUGACCCGAAAAGUGGAAAAAGUGCGUUUGUUUCUCCCUUCUAGAUUUAAAUCAUCUUCUAAUAAGCAUGAAUAGUCCUUUUACUAGAUUAAUUCUUGUUUGUAGGUUCUAAUUGUGGUUCAAUAAUUUAUUUUGAUUUUAUCAUGUUGGGUUUAAUGAAACAAGUGCCUUGGGCUAAGAGGUUAUUUUUGUUUGGGUUUAAGAAAGUCGUUUUAGUUUAUUUUGUUUGGUUUUUUGGUUCGGGCUAGAGGGUCAAGGCCCAUCUAUUUGGUUGGCUAAUUUUUGGGCCAGGAUAUUAUACUAGCCCACUUGUUUUCCUUGGACUUUCGAUUGGGCCAAGUUAUCUUGGCCCAAGAAAGGUGAAGAUGGCCCAUUCCCUUUUUGUUUUGGAUUUUCGGUUGGGCUUGUAAGGCUUUGGCCCAAACAAAUAAAGGAAAUGGCCCAAUGGCUUGGUCCAUUAAGAAACCAGAAAACGAUUUUGCAAAUCAGUCCCUGAAUUUCUCCCUAAUUGUAUUGUGGCCCUGGACAUUUUCAACUUCUUUCAAUUCGGUCCUUGCUUUAAUUGCAAAUAGGUCCCUGAACUUUAUUUUUCUUUAAUUUUGACCUCCAAACUUUGUCAAUCUUUGCAAUCAGGUCCUUUCUUCUCUUGACUUCUUAAAUGUGAAUUGUCGACAUGAUUUAAUUGAUUCAAAUUCAUGCUUAUUUUUUAUCCUUUGUGAUUAUUUGCCAAAUAAAUUGGUACCUUGACCUUUUUAUUGUUUUGAAGCUAAUAUCUCAUUUACUCGAUUUCCGUUGCGAGGGAGGUAACUUCUAUAUUUUUGAGUUUAUUUUUUCCUACGUGCUCCUACGUGUUAUGUGAAUAUGCCUGUCUACUUUGCUUUCUUUGCCUUUCUUUAAUUCUUUUCAUUUUUUUUUACUUACUUUUGCUUUUUAUUUAAGUUAUUCAUUAUGGGGUAUGUGUACACCUCUUGGCUUGUAAUAGUUAGGGAUUUAAUUAUUUUAUUCUUUUCCCCCUUUUAGAUUGUAGUGGGGUCUCCCUAAUGUAAUAGAUAGGGUUUGGAGGAGCAUUCAAUGAAGACCUAUCGAAGACUUGUGCCUAGCUAGCAAAUGUAAUAGUUAGGGCUUUAAUUGUCUCAUGUGCCUUGCAUGCUUAGUUGCUACGUGUUAAUUUGCUUUGCUAGGGCCUUGCAUCUAGUCGAGCAUGCAAAAUGUUAUGUGCUAUGUGUUUAUAAGUGUUUGGCAUGUCUACUCGCUUUCCAUAGCCUGAAUAAAUGUGAUGGAUGAAUGUACGUCACCACACUAGUCCAAUGCUAGUUGUGGCUCAUUAUUUCAUUAGGAAUUCAUAGAAAGGGCUAGUCCAACGCUAGACCCAAUAGGAUUUUUCCUUUGUUUUUCAUUAAUGCAUUAUUUGCCUGUUCACUACAUAUCAUGCAUUUUUCCUUAGUUUUAUCAUCUGGCAUGCUCCUCGAUUCCCCUUUCCCCUCACUUUAGGAUUUUUGCAUUUCAUGCUAGUUAUAGGGUUCAUUUGCCUGAAGAGUCCCCUUCUGAUAAGGGAAACGAGCGAGUGUGGCUACUCGAUAGCCUUAGCACGCUAGUUUCGCCUUCUAAUCAAAGGGAAGAUUAAGUCACAAAGUUAGGACUCCCCGUUCCCGUCUUGAUGCAUUCCUAUAGGAUUCAUGCAUUCUAUUCAUUCACUAUCACAUACACUUACUUUAUAUUCUAACCCUUUUUCCACAUUCUCACUUCACACUACUUUUACACGUUUUCAUUUAACUACUCACACUCUAUGCCAUAUCACUCGCACACAUGCACUUUAUAUUAUUUUCACAUUAUCAUUCUUUACUCACCUUACCUUGUAAAUACAUUUGCACACCUCCACUUUUCUCACUUCACAUAAACUUACAUUUUCACAUGACAUGCACCCCAUUCAUUUUUACGUCAUUUAGGAUUACGUGUGACCUCUCCAAAGGAUCAUUAUUGGGCUUCACAAUUAAUGUGAUUGGCACCACUCAACCUUUGAAGAGAAAUUUCCCCCAAUACCCCUAGGUCUAGGGUUUUGCAUUCAUAUAGACAUAUCCAACACGCGAUACAUACCUUGGGUAGAAAAAUUAGGAAAAAUUGGUUUAAGUCACGCAACUAGCCUUGGCUAGGUCGAAGGGGUGCCUUGGAUUUUUUAUCCUUGCCUUCCCCUUCGUCAAAUGUGACCCCCGAUCCCUCUUUUUGGUUACGUAGACCCAAAAGUUCUUUAAAAGGGUUUAUUUACUUUUUUUAUUCAAAAACAAAAAACCAUUUUUUGGGUGACUUGGUACACCCUAACCCUAUACCAAGUGGCGACUCCAUUUUUGAUACAAAAAACCCUUUUUGAACUUUAUAUGGCCAAACCGUCGCAUUAUCAAGUCCCAUGGCCUUUUACUUUUCAUUUACACACGUUCACAUUCCAUUACACCACUCACAUCUCACACCACACACACACCACAACUCAUCAUCUUCGAAAAGUGGGGCGCGACAGUUGGCGACUCCACUGGGGAAGCUCCUAAGUGGGUCCGAGCAUUUGACUUAGCCAUUCGUUUCCUUUUUCUACCCUUUUUAUGCAUUGCACUUGGAUAUUAGGGUUGCAUUUUUUUUAUUUUAGGCCUUUUUGCCUCGUGCGCGUAUCCAACUAUUCCCUCACUCACGUACGUGUGAUUGGUUGAUUGGAUGUAUGUUUACUUGUUUAUCUCGCGCUUGCAUUGCAUUUGGGAGGGGGCGUGUCACCUUUAGAGCCUCACGUUGGUUCUCAACCCCUUCCCUCAAAAUAGGGGAGCACUUCAUACGUGCACGUUUACUUGCUUUUAUCCCAUUUUAUUUUGUUUUUCGUGGGCGUUUCCCACACCGCCUUGUAGGAUUAGGAUCGAUUGCCUUGGGUAGGCGGCUGGUGUGCUCUGCGCCCAUAACGCUACCUAAGGGAUCACUCGAGCCACCGAUCAAAGGCCUUGGGAGUGAUGACCCUUUGCCUUUAGGUCUGAAGGCUUGGGAGCCGAAGCUUUAUCGAGUCUAGGCAUUAAUGAACCAAACCUCAUGCAUCCAUGUUAGCAUUUGCCUAGGGUAGAGUCAGCCUCACCCUUUUUAAGCACAAUUAGGCACGAGGGAAGGGGUUCCACCCCUUUUUAUUGGCUUUUAUUGUAUUUCUUUUUCUUAAUUGCUCCCAAUAUGUUAUGUGUAUUACCAAUUGCACUAACCAUUCUUUUGUUUUCUUGGCUUGCAUUCAUAUGCCCUAGCAAUAAGAGGCCCUUUUGGCACUCUUUUAGUGACCUAUCCACUAGAUAACUCACAUGUUUAAAUUUCAGUCAUUAUACUUAAUAAAUACAUUUCAUUUUAGACCUUUUUUCCCCCGAUGCAUUAUUUAUGUCCCUUAGGUCAUAUUUGUCACAUAUUUACAUCGCUUUAAUAAAUGACAUCAUGCAUAAACCCUAGAAAGGGAAUGCCAUUUAGGGGAUCCCGUGUCAGGAAUAAGCCACCUUGUGUCUCGGAUACUUAAUCCAGUGAGACUUGCACGUUUACAUUUUGUACCAUCCAAAGGGGGUAGUGCACAAGGUAAGGUAGGAUCCGAUCAUUUUCAUAGAGUGAUCUUUGGGAUAUGAGCAUCUAAUAAUCACUUUUUGGCCAUUUUAUCAAAAAUUGGUAAAAAUUCCUUGCGUGAAGGACAGUAAUUUGAAGAAAUUCACAAAUGAUUCCUUCUAUUGAGACGAUAAAUAAAUUGAGGCCAAAAUUUGAUUUUUAGAAGCUCAUAGACUAAUGCAUCUCAAUCAUUUUGAAAUCACCAAUGGCCGGACAAUUCAACCAAUCCAUUUUACCCAUUCAUUCAAUAAAUCAUCAAUUCAUUUGAUCAAUUUACCCUUUUUAGGGUCAUCCGGUCGAUUUUGAAUAAAUCGUCAAUUCAUUUGACCAAUUUACCCUUUUUAGGGUCACCUGGUCGAUUUUCAAUAAAUCAUCAAUUCAUUUGAUCAAUUUACCCUUUUUAGGGUCACCUGGUCGAUUUUGAAUAAAUCGUCAAUUCAUUUGACCAAUUUACCCUUUUUAGGGUCAUCCGGUCGAUUUUGAAUAAAUCAUCAAUUCAUUUGACCGAUUUACCCUUUUUAGGAUCGUUCGGCCGAUUUUUGAACAAGUCACUAAUUCAAUUUCAUUCAUUUGGCCAAUUUACCUUUUUUUAGGGCAACCGAGCCGUUUUUUGACCUGUUUCCCUUCUAGGGUAAUCCGGUCGAUUUUCAAUAAAUUGUCAAUUUCAUUUGACCAAUUAGGAUUUCAAUGUCGAAUUCCAAAUUGGGAAAUCUAGUCAAUUUUGAAGAAAACCGUCCAUUGCAUCCAAUCACUUGAUCAAUUAGGGUUUUUGACCCGUAAUUCACUGAGAAAUUUUAUCAACGAAUUCCAAUCUCUUCGAUAGGAGUUCGUCAAGGUCAAACCCAUGCGUUUUGCAAAUCAAAGGUGAUCAAUCUAUUCGGACGUUGUCCUCAUUUUGACAAAUCUCUUGCCACUCCAAUGGCCAAAUUUUUCAAAUUAUUUUUCACUCAAUGAGUUGAUCAGAUCCGUCAGGUAUGGUAUAGUGCUUCCCUAGAGGAUUGCAUUUUCAUGCUAGGCCUACCCUUGGCAUAAAAAGGGUUCCCCCAUAGGACAUGCAUACCGAUUUUUUUUUAUUCUUACUUACUGACUCUGGGUAUUUUUCUUUUUGUUUUCCCCUCCCCCUGCAUUUAUAAAAAUGUUUCAAUAAGGCGAGAAUAUUCUUCUAUAUCUGAUAAUUUUGAUCCAAUAAAGCUUGAAGAUUACAAGUAUUACUUGAUUUUUAGGUAGACAUUGCCGCGAAAGCAUAAAGGGGAAAUUCUAUUUAUUUGAUUUGUUAAUACAUUUUGUUCCAAAAGAAAAGGAGACAAAAAGUGUAUGUGUUGAGCUCUUUACGAGUUUCUCUCUUCUCAUUUGUAUCAUAAUUGAUUGAGCAAUUUUGUUUCAAACUUUUUCAACAAUAAAAUUUUUUGGAUAAUUUUUGUUUUGUGUAUAUUUAUGUACAUUUCAUUCUUUAUUCUUACUCAUUGGAGAUUUCAUGAUGAUUUUUGAGAAAUAAGACCCAAUUUGAGAUUUUUCAACCUAUAGCCUGAAUUUCACAAGUGUGUGCUUCCUAAAAUCCUUACACUCGAUUGGUGUUCCAACCUGUACAAUAAGAGUGCUCAGAAAGAAAGAGAGUGAACGGUCACUCAAAAGGCCCUAUGAGAUACCUUUCUCCUUCACUUAAUUCCAAAAUAAAAUCAGUCACAUUGAUUGAUAAAUUGUAAAUUGGGGUAACUUUUGCUUGAAAAUGUUCAAGGCGUCUAAUCUGGUUCAAUCACAUCUAAGUGAAAGCAAAAAUGUGCAUUAUUCUUAUUUGUUUGGAAAAUUUGGAAUGAUACUUCAAGCAUUCGUUUCAUUACCUGUACAGAUUUUUAUCAUUUGCUCUCCCAUUUGAGCUUCUAAAAGAAUAAUUUCGUUUCAAAUAAGGGUCUUAAUGAUCACUACCCGUCAUUGAAAAAUUUUCAAAUAUCAAAAGAAGAAUGGGUUUUCAAUGACCAUUUCGCUACUUCGGUUGUCAUGAGGUAUAAGAAUGAUACUUUGGCCGUCAGUUCUACAAUCUAAACACUGAUCAUCCCUUGCAUCCUCGUUUGAGCUAAAUUGGUGGUUCUUUUCGAGUGCACAUAUGAUCGCACCCCACAUUGGGGAAGGAGAUUGGGAAAUUUUGAAAAAAGGGAAAAGAAAAGGGGAAAAGCAAAAAAUGCUAGAAUAAGGAGGGAACCGCAAAUUUGGGGAAUUUGAUUCCACUUGGGUUCCAAUUUUGAAAAAAAAAAAGAAAAGAAAAAGAAGAAAACAAGUUCUAUCCGGUGGAUCACUUAUGUUUCAUAGACAUGAAUGAGCAAGGGUCUUCCUCAGUCAGUUAAUUCAGAUACAUGCCAAAAAUUUCCCAUUAAUGAAAAUUUCUUUUCAGAGUUAAUGUAAGGAACGGAAUACAAGUCAGGCCAUCUUCUUUUCCGAUCAAGCAUCUAUCCCUAGUUAUCCCUUUUGAGCAUUCAGAAUGAAAUACUUCGUUUGGCAACCCCUGAGAAUCGCAAACCCCACACUGGGGCAAGUUGGUUUGAAAAAGGAAAAUUUCAAGAAGCGGAAAAGUGAAAAGCCACAAAAUCAAAAGGCAAAGGAAGAAAAGAGAACCUCAGUUCAAAAAUAAACUGGGGCAAAUUUUGUGAAAGUUCGAAAAAAUGGCCGAAGGCCGAAAAAUCAAAAGAAAGAAAAUAAAAGUGAAAAAGCCUCAAUUGAGCAAAAACUGGGGCAAAUUCUGAUUUUACCCUAAAAUAGGGUUGACGCAACAAUGCGAUUUCAGAUUCUUCAAACCACUUUUGAAAUCCGCUUUCAAGCCUUAACUUUUCUAAGCACCCCACCUGACCCCAUUACAAAAGCCAAAAGUCCUGACUUCUGUUCUUUGCAAUGGCCCUGUCAAGAAAAUUUCUGAUGCCGGAAAAUUUUAGCUGUAUUGCUGAAUUGCUUGAGUAUGAGGUUGGCGCUACUCAUGUGAAAACCCAUCAGCUCGAGGGAAAAGAAAAGAGGCAAAAAGCAAAGCAAGAAAAGUAAAUGCAAGGAAAAUGCAAAAAGACUUGACGCUGAAGUCCCUGGGGAAUGAUGAGAAAAUCCAAACAAAGUCUGAAAUCUUUUGAGUUCAAAUAGGGGCAAUUUUGGAAAAAUGUGAUCUUCGGUGCAAUGUCCUUGAAAGUUUUAUUCUUUAGCUAUCGUUUUUCAAGCCAAAUUACAAGCUAAGAAAGUCCAUCGUUGACUUAUUCCUUCAUGACAAUCCAAAGUGAGGAUCAUACUCAUAAGAAAUUCAUCAAAUCAUUUGUGAUCAUAAGGGUAUAACCCGUUUCCACAUGUUUAGCUAUCACUUCUGUCCAUACGUUACAAGCCUAGAAAGCUGGUAUGUUGACUAAGUUUUCUUGAAAAAUAAGGGUGACAAACUCUUUGCUUUCACUAAGAUGUGACAUUGAAUGGAUUACAUACAAUUGGGGCACAAAAAUGAGACAGAUUCUGACCUCUCAUUUUCCUUCAGCCACUUCCAAAUCAAAAAUAAAGUCACUUGAUUGGUCCUGAAAAAUGAGCCAACCAGAAGUGGUGACCCGUUACCCUAAACACCAAUGCUAAAAGUGAGGAAGAAAUCUUCUUGAAUUUGGUGUUACUUCGAGGAAUUCAUCAUGAAAUUUCUGCAUGAGUUUCAAACUUGACGUUUAAAGUUUCUUCACAUUGUUGUAUAUGUGCACUCUUUUCUAAAUUUUAGAAAGUGCGGUUUUUCUUUGUUCAAAUCAAUGGGAAAUCAUCUGAACAAAUUUUUGCAAUUAAGGGAGCCCACACUGGGGCAAAAAUUUUAUUUGUGAGAUUUCAUGAAAUAAGCCCAUACUGGGGCAAAUUUUUUGUAAUACAUUUGAGAUUUGUGUCCAAAAAUCAAAUAAUAACAUUUUUCGAAACAAUCCCGCUGCUCUUUUCCUGGAAUUUAAGUGCAUGUCAUACUUUGAUGAACCCCUUGUACAGGUAUUCAUGAUUCAAAAUGACGAAAGGCAUCCAGUAAGGCGGAAGGCCGAUACUGCAAAGAGAAGCAAGAAGAAGGAGGAAAAAUGGACACUACACUUGGGGCAAAUUAUUUUUUUAAAAUUUUUGAAAAAAGGGAAAAAAGAAGGAAAAAAGAAAAAAAGAGAAAAAACCAAAAAUCAAAUCAAAAAGUCAAAAAUCAAGUUCAAAUUCUUGUUUCUUGAAAAAUCAAAUUUGAUUUCUUGUGGGCGAAGCUCCAAUGCACGCCGCGCAUCAUUCUGUUCCCCCCUUCUCUUGACAUUCCAAAUCAAGUUGGGCCUGGAUUUCGUGCCACCAACAUCAUUUUAUCACGUUGGGCCUGGACUUGGUGCCGCCAACAUCACUUUAUCACGUUGGGCCUGGACUUGGUGCCGCCAACAUCACUUUAUCACGUUGGGCCUGGACUUGGUGCCGCCAACAUCACUUUAUCACGUUGGGCCUGGACUUGGUGCCGCCAACUUCACUUUAUCACGUUGGGCCUGGACUUGGUGCCGCCAACAUCACUUUAUCACGUUGGGCUUGGUUUUCGUGCCACCAACUUCGCUUUGUCACGUUGGGCUUGGAUUUAGUGCCACCAACAUUACAAAAGUCACAUUGGACCGGGUUUUAUCCCGCCAAUCUCGGCAGGACCGGGUCUAAUCCCGCUGACCGCUUACAGGACCGGGUCUAAUCCCGCUGACAGGCAGGACCGGGUCUAAUCCCGCUGACCGCUUACUUCGGCAGGACCGGGUCUAAUCCCGCUGACCGCUCACCUCGGCAGGACCGGGUCUAAUCCCGCUGACCGCUCACCUCGGCAGGACCGGGUCUAAUCCCGCUGACCGCUCACCUCGGCAGGACCGGGUUUUAUCCCGCUGACCGUCCACACCCCGUCGGCCUCAGAUGUUAUCCCACCGACCAAUUCAUCACACUGGGGCAAAUUUUUUAGAUAAUUUUUCAAACAAGUCCUAUACAGUUCUCUAUUUAAUUUUCUGUUCGGGUCUAUCCCAUGGGUCUGUCCCAUCUACAUUUUUAUCCGAGUCUAUCGCAUUUACAUUCCUGUCCGGGUCUAUCCCGUUUACAAUUCUGUUCAGGCCAGUCCCAUGUUUGAAAUUCCUUGUUUAGGUCAGCCCUCCGAAUAGGGGCAACCGAAUGGUACAGGUAAGCAUUUGGUGUCUACUUCUUUGUCUCAAGUUUUUUCAAAACUCAGACAAAGAGGGGCAAACUGUAGACACCAAAAAUUUCAUCGAUUCAGUUUUAGCUUUAUUCAUUCAAUUUUGACUUCCUUUGAUUCAAUUUUUAGUUUUAUUAUUAUUAUUUAUUCUUGUCUCAUAUUUAUUAUUUUUAAUUGAUUGGAGGUUGCAAAUGGUAAUUGAUGUUCAUUCUUAUUUUAAAUGCAUUAAAAUUCAUCAUUUUCUUUUUAAAGCAAUUUUACACUAAAUUUUAGGAAAAUCCCGAAUAAAGAUCCAUUUUAUCUUUUUAAAAUUUGAUUUUUUCUUGCUAAGGCAUUUUGCAAGGUAAUUUUUAAAAAUUAAGCAUGUUAAACAAGUGUGUCAAUUGCAUGUUGAACAAGUGUGCAAAUAAGCAUUAGACAAGUGGUUGAGGAAUGGUAGGACAAGUGUAUAGGGGGUAGCUGUCAAGGACACUUGGGGGGUUUUUUGGGGGGCAUCGGAAAAAAAAGGAAGAAAAAACCCUCGAAGAGGCUUGAAAACAGGGGGAAGAGAAAAGAGCUAAAAACAGGGAGGGGGCUUCGGAGGAAAGGGGAGAGGAAAAACGAAAUCGAAAAAGGAGGGGAGAGUAGGGAAAAAUCUGGGGAGAGUCUGUGGGCUAAGAAAAACAGCGGAGAGAUAGCGGAAAAAAAGGAGAAAAAGAACGGCUGAGGGGAAGGCUAAAAAUCUGAAAAGAGAAGAAGGCUUCGGCUGGGAGAAGCUGGAGUGGAAAAAAUAGAAAAAGGGAGAACGGCUGCGGUUGAGGGCCGAGAGAGUGGAGAGCCGAGGAGGAAAAAUCAGAAAAGGAGGAGAAAAAUCAAGGGCGGCGGAUGAAGGGAAAAGCUGGGAAAAUUAGAAACAGAGAAAGAGAGGAUAGCAGCGGACAAAGAGCUUGCGACUGAGGAAGCAGAGCAGCUGGAACUGCCGUUCGCGGGAAGCUGUUGCCGCCCUCUUCCGUCACGCGCGACGCCAGCUUCAUCGCUUCUUCCAUCAUAGUUCAAGCUCCGCCCUCUGCCGGCACAAACAAGUGGCCAACCGCCCGCCCAAGCAACCAAAUCCGAGAUCAGCACCCGCAAAAUUUUACCAAGAAACAAACGGUAAGCCACCAUCAUCCUUCAAAUUUCAGUUUUCAUGUAAGUUUUCGAAGCGUGUUUUAUUUUUCACGUUGUGGCUUGUAGCCAUUUCUCUGUUGAAUUAUUCACUAAUUGGAAGUAUGUAUGCUUUGAAUGUCGAUUGGACUGGAGUUUUCUUGCAUUUGAUGAAAUUUUGGGUGCUGAUUCAUGUCAAUUGGGCGAGAAAUUGGUGAAGUUUUUUAAUGGCUGUUUGUUGUUCGACAGAAUGCUUCAAUGAAAGUUCGGCCUGAAGAAUGGAUUAAUUUCUGAUUUAUAUACGUUCGACUGUUUCAUGCUUGUCAAAAUAAUUGAUUCGAAUGGGUUUGUUUGGGCGUCCGUUUGUUUUGGCAAUCUGCUCCGCUUCUCGUUUGUUUGGUGUUCCUCUUGUAUGGAUUUAAAUUCAUGACAUAAAAUGGCGUGCGAGGGGAUUCAUGUGAGAGUCAUUUGUUUUGCUUUUGUUUUGUUUUGUUGAUUGGAGUCCGAAGUUGAAUUUUCUGGUUGCAAAGAGGAAUGAAAUAGCAGCGAACGUUGAGCCAAUUUGGGAAGAAGAGGAUUGCUUGAUUAAAUUCAUGAUUCCAGUCCCUCAAUUUCCCUUUCCAUUAUGAUUUAACCCCAGAAUUUUAGGACUUCAUAAUUUUUCCUCCAACACCUUCAUAAGUCCUUCAAUUAGGUCCCUGCUCUUGUUGCAUUUUAACCCCUCAGCUUCCCCUUGUUCUGAUAUGACCCGAAAAGUGGAAAAAGUGCGUUUGUUUCUCCCUUCUAGAUUUAAAUCAUCUUCUAAUAAGCAUGAAUAGUCCUUUUACUAGAUUAAUUCUUGUUUGUAGGUUCUAAUUGUGGUUCAAUAAUUUAUUUUGAUUUUAUCAUGUUGGGUUUAAUGAAACAAGUGCCUUGGGCUAAGAGGUUAUUUUUGUUUGGGUUUAAGAAAGUCGUUUUAGUUUAUUUUGUUUGGUUUUUUGGUUCGGGCUAGAGGGUCAAGGCCCAUCUAUUUGGUUGGCUAAUUUUUGGGCCAGGAUAUUAUACUAGCCCACUUGUUUUCCUUGGACUUUCGAUUGGGCCAAGUUAUCUUGGCCCAAGAAAGGUGAAGAUGGCCCAUUCCCUUUUUGUUUUGGAUUUUCGGUUGGGCUUGUAAGGCUUUGGCCCAAACAAAUAAAGGAAAUGGCCCAAUGGCUUGGUCCAUUAAGAAACCAGAAAACGAUUUUGCAAAUCAGUCCCUGAAUUUCUCCCUAAUUGUAUUGUGGCCCUGGACAUUUUCAACUUCUUUCAAUUCGGUCCUUGCUUUAAUUGCAAAUAGGUCCCUGAACUUUAUUUUUCUUUAAUUUUGACCUCCAAACUUUGUCAAUCUUUGCAAUCAGGUCCUUUCUUCUCUUGACUUCUUAAAUGUGAAUUGUCGACAUGAUUUAAUUGAUUCAAAUUCAUGCUUAUUUUUUAUCCUUUGUGAUUAUUUGCCAAAUAAAUUGGUACCUUGACCUUUUUAUUGUUUUGAAGCUAAUAUCUCAUUUACUCGAUUUCCGUUGCGAGGGAGGUAACUUCUAUAUUUUUGAGUUUAUUUUUUCCUACGUGCUCCUACGUGUUAUGUGAAUAUGCCUGUCUACUUUGCUUUCUUUGCCUUUCUUUAAUUCUUUUCAUUUUUUUUUACUUACUUUUGCUUUUUAUUUAAGUUAUUCAUUAUGGGGUAUGUGUACACCUCUUGGCUUGUAAUAGUUAGGGAUUUAAUUAUUUUAUUCUUUUCCCCCUUUUAGAUUGUAGUGGGGUCUCCCUAAUGUAAUAGAUAGGGUUUGGAGGAGCAUUCAAUGAAGACCUAUCGAAGACUUGUGCCUAGCUAGCAAAUGUAAUAGUUAGGGCUUUAAUUGUCUCAUGUGCCUUGCAUGCUUAGUUGCUACGUGUUAAUUUGCUUUGCUAGGGCCUUGCAUCUAGUCGAGCAUGCAAAAUGUUAUGUGCUAUGUGUUUAUAAGUGUUUGGCAUGUCUACUCGCUUUCCAUAGCCUGAAUAAAUGUGAUGGAUGAAUGUACGUCACCACACUAGUCCAAUGCUAGUUGUGGCUCAUUAUUUCAUUAGGAAUUCAUAGAAAGGGCUAGUCCAACGCUAGACCCAAUAGGAUUUUUCCUUUGUUUUUCAUUAAUGCAUUAUUUGCCUGUUCACUACAUAUCAUGCAUUUUUCCUUAGUUUUAUCAUCUGGCAUGCUCCUCGAUUCCCCUUUCCCCUCACUUUAGGAUUUUUGCAUUUCAUGCUAGUUAUAGGGUUCAUUUGCCUGAAGAGUCCCCUUCUGAUAAGGGAAACGAGCGAGUGUGGCUACUCGAUAGCCUUAGCACGCUAGUUUCGCCUUCUAAUCAAAGGGAAGAUUAAGUCACAAAGUUAGGACUCCCCGUUCCCGUCUUGAUGCAUUCCUAUAGGAUUCAUGCAUUCUAUUCAUUCACUAUCACAUACACUUACUUUAUAUUCUAACCCUUUUUCCACAUUCUCACUUCACACUACUUUUACACGUUUUCAUUUAACUACUCACACUCUAUGCCAUAUCACUCGCACACAUGCACUUUAUAUUAUUUUCACAUUAUCAUUCUUUACUCACCUUACCUUGUAAAUACAUUUGCACACCUCCACUUUUCUCACUUCACAUAAACUUACAUUUUCACAUGACAUGCACCCCAUUCAUUUUUACGUCAUUUAGGAUUACGUGUGACCUCUCCAAAGGAUCAUUAUUGGGCUUCACAAUUAAUGUGAUUGGCACCACUCAACCUUUGAAGAGAAAUUUCCCCCAAUACCCCUAGGUCUAGGGUUUUGCAUUCAUAUAGACAUAUCCAACACGCGAUACAUACCUUGGGUAGAAAAAUUAGGAAAAAUUGGUUUAAGUCACGCAACUAGCCUUGGCUAGGUCGAAGGGGUGCCUUGGAUUUUUUAUCCUUGCCUUCCCCUUCGUCAAAUGUGACCCCCGAUCCCUCUUUUUGGUUACGUAGACCCAAAAGUUCUUUAAAAGGGUUUAUUUACUUUUUUUAUUCAAAAACAAAAAACCAUUUUUUGGGUGACUUGGUACACCCUAACCCUAUACCAAGUGGCGACUCCAUUUUUGAUACAAAAAACCCUUUUUGAACUUUAUAUGGCCAAACCGUCGCAUUAUCAAGUCCCAUGGCCUUUUACUUUUCAUUUACACACGUUCACAUUCCAUUACACCACUCACAUCUCACACCACACACACACCACAACUCAUCAUCUUCGAAAAGUGGGGCGCGACAGUUGGCGACUCCACUGGGGAAGCUCCUAAGUGGGUCCGAGCAUUUGACUUAGCCAUUCGUUUCCUUUUUCUACCCUUUUUAUGCAUUGCACUUGGAUAUUAGGGUUGCAUUUUUUUUAUUUUAGGCCUUUUUGCCUCGUGCGCGUAUCCAACUAUUCCCUCACUCACGUACGUGUGAUUGGUUGAUUGGAUGUAUGUUUACUUGUUUAUCUCGCGCUUGCAUUGCAUUUGGGAGGGGGCGUGUCACCUUUAGAGCCUCACGUUGGUUCUCAACCCCUUCCCUCAAAAUAGGGGAGCACUUCAUACGUGCACGUUUACUUGCUUUUAUCCCAUUUUAUUUUGUUUUUCGUGGGCGUUUCCCACACCGCCUUGUAGGAUUAGGAUCGAUUGCCUUGGGUAGGCGGCUGGUGUGCUCUGCGCCCAUAACGCUACCUAAGGGAUCACUCGAGCCACCGAUCAAAGGCCUUGGGAGUGAUGACCCUUUGCCUUUAGGUCUGAAGGCUUGGGAGCCGAAGCUUUAUCGAGUCUAGGCAUUAAUGAACCAAACCUCAUGCAUCCAUGUUAGCAUUUGCCUAGGGUAGAGUCAGCCUCACCCUUUUUAAGCACAAUUAGGCACGAGGGAAGGGGUUCCACCCCUUUUUAUUGGCUUUUAUUGUAUUUCUUUUUCUUAAUUGCUCCCAAUAUGUUAUGUGUAUUACCAAUUGCACUAACCAUUCUUUUGUUUUCUUGGCUUGCAUUCAUAUGCCCUAGCAAUAAGAGGCCCUUUUGGCACUCUUUUAGUGACCUAUCCACUAGAUAACUCACAUGUUUAAAUUUCAGUCAUUAUACUUAAUAAAUACAUUUCAUUUUAGACCUUUUUUCCCCCGAUGCAUUAUUUAUGUCCCUUAGGUCAUAUUUGUCACAUAUUUACAUCGCUUUAAUAAAUGACAUCAUGCAUAAACCCUAGAAAGGGAAUGCCAUUUAGGGGAUCCCGUGUCAGGAAUAAGCCACCUUGUGUCUCGGAUACUUAAUCCAGUGAGACUUGCACGUUUACAUUUUGUACCAUCCAAAGGGGGUAGUGCACAAAGUAAGGUAGGAUCCGAUCAUUUUCAUAGAGUGAUCUUUGGGAUAUGAGCAUCUAAUAAUCACUUUUUGGCCAUUUUAUCAAAAAUUGGUAAAAAUUCCUUGCGUGAAGGACAGUAAUUUGAAGAAAUUCACAAAUGAUUCCUUCUAUUGAGACGAUAAAUAAAUUGAGGCCAAAAUUUGAUUUUUAGAAGCUCAUAGACUAAUGCAUCUCAAUCAUUUUGAAAUCACCAAUGGCCGGACAAUUCAACCAAUCCAUUUUACCCAUUCAUUCAAUAAAUCAUCAAUUCAUUUGAUCAAUUUACCCUUUUUAGGGUCAUCCGGUCGAUUUUGAAUAAAUCGUCAAUUCAUUUGACCAAUUUACCCUUUUUAGGGUCACCUGGUCGAUUUUCAAUAAAUCAUCAAUUCAUUUGAUCAAUUUACCCUUUUUAGGGUCACCUGGUCGAUUUUGAAUAAAUCGUCAAUUCAUUUGACCAAUUUACCCUUUUUAGGGUCAUCCGGUCGAUUUUGAAUAAAUCAUCAAUUCAUUUGACCGAUUUACCCUUUUUAGGAUCGUUCGGCCGAUUUUUGAACAAGUCACUAAUUCAAUUUCAUUCAUUUGGCCAAUUUACCUUUUUUUAGGGCAACCGAGCCGUUUUUUGACCUGUUUCCCUUCUAGGGUAAUCCGGUCGAUUUUCAAUAAAUUGUCAAUUUCAUUUGACCAAUUAGGAUUUCAAUGUCGAAUUCCAAAUUGGGAAAUCUAGUCAAUUUUGAAGAAAACCGUCCAUUGCAUCCAAUCACUUGAUCAAUUAGGGUUUUUGACCCGUAAUUCACUGAGAAAUUUUAUCAACGAAUUCCAAUCUCUUCGAUAGGAGUUCGUCAAGGUCAAACCCAUGCGUUUUGCAAAUCAAAGGUGAUCAAUCUAUUCGGACGUUGUCCUCAUUUUGACAAAUCUCUUGCCACUCCAAUGGCCAAAUUUUUCAAAUUAUUUUUCACUCAAUGAGUUGAUCAGAUCCGUCAGGUAUGGUAUAGUGCUUCCCUAGAGGAUUGCAUUUUCAUGCUAGGCCUACCCUUGGCAUAAAAAGGGUUCCCCCAUAGGACAUGCAUACCGAUUUUUUUUUAUUCUUACUUACUGACUCUGGGUAUUUUUCUUUUUGUUUUCCCCUCCCCCUGCAUUUAUAAAAAUGUUUCAAUAAGGCGAGAAUAUUCUUCUAUAUCUGAUAAUUUUGAUCCAAUAAAGCUUGAAGAUUACAAGUAUUACUUGAUUUUUAGGUAGACAUUGCCGCGAAAGCAUAAAGGGGAAAUUCUAUUUAUUUGAUUUGUUAAUACAUUUUGUUCCAAAAGAAAAGGAGACAAAAAGUGUAUGUGUUGAGCUCUUUACGAGUUUCUCUCUUCUCAUUUGUAUCAUAAUUGAUUGAGCAAUUUUGUUUCAAACUUUUUCAACAAUAAAAUUUUUUGGAUAAUUUUUGUUUUGUGUAUAUUUAUGUACAUUUCAUUCUUUAUUCUUACUCAUUGGAGAUUUCAUGAUGAUUUUUGAGAAAUAAGACCCAAUUUGAGAUUUUUCAACCUAUAGCCUGAAUUUCACAAGUGUGUGCUUCCUAAAAUCCUUACACUCGAUUGGUGUUCCAACCUGUACAAUAAGAGUGCUCAGAAAGAAAGAGAGUGAACGGUCACUCAAAAGGCCCUAUGAGAUACCUUUCUCCUUCACUUAAUUCCAAAAUAAAAUCAGUCACAUUGAUUGAUAAAUUGUAAAUUGGGGUAACUUUUGCUUGAAAAUGUUCAAGGCGUCUAAUCUGGUUCAAUCACAUCUAAGUGAAAGCAAAAAUGUGCAUUAUUCUUAUUUGUUUGGAAAAUUUGGAAUGAUACUUCAAGCAUUCGUUUCAUUACCUGUACAGAUUUUUAUCAUUUGCUCUCCCAUUUGAGCUUCUAAAAGAAUAAUUUCGUUUCAAAUAAGGGUCUUAAUGAUCACUACCCGUCAUUGAAAAAUUUUCAAAUAUCAAAAGAAGAAUGGGUUUUCAAUGACCAUUUCGCUACUUCGGUUGUCAUGAGGUAUAAGAAUGAUACUUUGGCCGUCAGUUCUACAAUCUAAACACUGAUCAUCCCUUGCAUCCUCGUUUGAGCUAAAUUGGUGGUUCUUUUCGAGUGCACAUAUGAUCGCACCCCACAUUGGGGAAGGAGAUUGGGAAAUUUUGAAAAAAGGGAAAAGAAAAGGGGAAAAGCAAAAAAUGCUAGAAUAAGGAGGGAACCGCAAAUUUGGGGAAUUUGAUUCCACUUGGGUUCCAAUUUUGAAAAAAAAAAAGAAAAGAAAAAGAAGAAAACAAGUUCUAUCCGGUGGAUCACUUAUGUUUCAUAGACAUGAAUGAGCAAGGGUCUUCCUCAGUCAGUUAAUUCAGAUACAUGCCAAAAAUUUCCCAUUAAUGAAAAUUUCUUUUCAGAGUUAAUGUAAGGAACGGAAUACAAGUCAGGCCAUCUUCUUUUCCGAUCAAGCAUCUAUCCCUAGUUAUCCCUUUUGAGCAUUCAGAAUGAAAUACUUCGUUUGGCAACCCCUGAGAAUCGCAAACCCCACACUGGGGCAAGUUGGUUUGAAAAAGGAAAAUUUCAAGAAGCGGAAAAGUGAAAAGCCACAAAAUCAAAAGGCAAAGGAAGAAAAGAGAACCUCAGUUCAAAAAUAAACUGGGGCAAAUUUUGUGAAAGUUCGAAAAAAUGGCCGAAGGCCGAAAAAUCAAAAGAAAGAAAAUAAAAGUGAAAAAGCCUCAAUUGAGCAAAAACUGGGGCAAAUUCUGAUUUUACCCUAAAAUAGGGUUGACGCAACAAUGCGAUUUCAGAUUCUUCAAACCACUUUUGAAAUCCGCUUUCAAGCCUUAACUUUUCUAAGCACCCCACCUGACCCCAUUACAAAAGCCAAAAGUCCUGACUUCUGUUCUUUGCAAUGGCCCUGUCAAGAAAAUUUCUGAUGCCGGAAAAUUUUAGCUGUAUUGCUGAAUUGCUUGAGUAUGAGGUUGGCGCUACUCAUGUGAAAACCCAUCAGCUCGAGGGAAAAGAAAAGAGGCAAAAAGCAAAGCAAGAAAAGUAAAUGCAAGGAAAAUGCAAAAAGACUUGACGCUGAAGUCCCUGGGGAAUGAUGAGAAAAUCCAAACAAAGUCUGAAAUCUUUUGAGUUCAAAUAGGGGCAAUUUUGGAAAAAUGUGAUCUUCGGUGCAAUGUCCUUGAAAGUUUUAUUCUUUAGCUAUCGUUUUUCAAGCCAAAUUACAAGCUAAGAAAGUCCAUCGUUGACUUAUUCCUUCAUGACAAUCCAAAGUGAGGAUCAUACUCAUAAGAAAUUCAUCAAAUCAUUUGUGAUCAUAAGGGUAUAACCCGUUUCCACAUGUUUAGCUAUCACUUCUGUCCAUACGUUACAAGCCUAGAAAGCUGGUAUGUUGACUAAGUUUUCUUGAAAAAUAAGGGUGACAAACUCUUUGCUUUCACUAAGAUGUGACAUUGAAUGGAUUACAUACAAUUGGGGCACAAAAAUGAGACAGAUUCUGACCUCUCAUUUUCCUUCAGCCACUUCCAAAUCAAAAAUAAAGUCACUUGAUUGGUCCUGAAAAAUGAGCCAACCAGAAGUGGUGACCCGUUACCCUAAACACCAAUGCUAAAAGUGAGGAAGAAAUCUUCUUGAAUUUGGUGUUACUUCGAGGAAUUCAUCAUGAAAUUUCUGCAUGAGUUUCAAACUUGACGUUUAAAGUUUCUUCACAUUGUUGUAUAUGUGCACUCUUUUCUAAAUUUUAGAAAGUGCGGUUUUUCUUUGUUCAAAUCAAUGGGAAAUCAUCUGAACAAAUUUUUGCAAUUAAGGGAGCCCACACUGGGGCAAAAAUUUUAUUUGUGAGAUUUCAUGAAAUAAGCCCAUACUGGGGCAAAUUUUUUGUAAUACAUUUGAGAUUUGUGUCCAAAAAUCAAAUAAUAACAUUUUUCGAAACAAUCCCGCUGCUCUUUUCCUGGAAUUUAAGUGCAUGUCAUACUUUGAUGAACCCCUUGUACAGGUAUUCAUGAUUCAAAAUGACGAAAGGCAUCCAGUAAGGCGGAAGGCCGAUACUGCAAAGAGAAGCAAGAAGAAGGAGGAAAAAUGGACACUACACUUGGGGCAAAUUAUUUUUUUAAAAUUUUUGAAAAAAGGGAAAAAAGAAGGAAAAAAGAAAAAAAGAGAAAAAACCAAAAAUCAAAUCAAAAAGUCAAAAAUCAAGUUCAAAUUCUUGUUUCUUGAAAAAUCAAAUUUGAUUUCUUGUGGGCGAAGCUCCAAUGCACGCCGCGCAUCAUUCUGUUCCCCCCUUCUCUUGACAUUCCAAAUCAAGUUGGGCCUGGAUUUCGUGCCACCAACAUCAUUUUAUCACGUUGGGCCUGGACUUGGUGCCGCCAACAUCACUUUAUCACGUUGGGCCUGGACUUGGUGCCGCCAACAUCACUUUAUCACGUUGGGCCUGGACUUGGUGCCGCCAACUUCACUUUAUCACGUUGGGCCUGGAUUUGGUGCCGCCAACAUCACUUUAUCACGUUGGGCCUGGACUUGGUGCCGCCAACUUCACUUUAUCACGUUGGGCCUGGACUUGGUGCCGCCAACAUCACUUUAUCACGUUGGGCUUGGUUUUCGUGCCACCAACUUCGCUUUGUCACGUUGGGCUUGGAUUUAGUGCCACCAACAUUACAAAAGUCACAUUGGGACCGGGUUUUAUCCCGCCAAUCUCGGCAGGACCGGGUCUAAUCCCGCUGACCGCUUACUUCGGCAGGACCGGGUCUAAUCCCGCUGACCGCUUACUUCGGCAGGACCGGGUCUAAUCCCGCUGACCGCUCACCUCGGCAGGACCGGGUCUAAUCCCGCUGACCGCUUACUUCGGCAGGACCGGGUCUAAUCCCGCUGACCGCUCACCUCGGCAGGACCGGGUUUUAUCCCGCUGACCGUCCACACCCCGUCGGCCUCAGAUGUUAUCCCACCGACCAAUUCAUCACACUGGGGCAAAUUUUUUAGAUAAUUUUUCAAACAAGUCCUAUACAGUUCUCUAUUUAAUUUUCUGUUCGGGUCUAUCCCAUGGGUCUGUCCCAUCUACAUUUUUAUCCGAGUCUAUCGCAUUUACAUUCCUGUCCGGGUCUAUCCCGUUUACAAUUCUGUUCAGGCCAGUCCCAUGUUUGAAAUUCCUUGUUUAGGUCAGCCCUCCGAAUAGGGGCAACCGAAUGGUACAGGUAAGCAUUUGGUGUCUACUUCUUUGUCUCAAGUUUUUUCAAAACUCAGACAAAGAGGGGCAAACUGUAGACACCAAAAAUUUCAUCGAUUCAGUUUUAGCUUUAUUCAUUCAAUUUUGACUUCCUUUGAUUCAAUUUUUAGUUUUAUUAUUAUUAUUUAUUCUUGUCUCAUAUUUAUUAUUUUUAAUUGAUUGGAGGUUGCAAAUGGUAAUUGAUGUUCAUUCUUAUUUUAAAUGCAUUAAAAUUCAUCAUUUUCUUUUUAAAGCAAUUUUACACUAAAUUUUAGGAAAAUCCCGAAUAAAGAUCCAUUUUAUCUUUUUAAAAUUUGAUUUUUUCUUGCUAAGGCAUUUUGCAAGGUAAUUUUUAAAAAUUAAGCAUGUUAAACAAGUGUGUCAAUUGCAUGUUGAACAAGUGUGCAAAUAAGCAUUAGACAAGUGGUUGAGGAAUGGUAGGACAAGUGUAUAGGGGGUAGCUGUCAAGGACACUUGGGGGGUUUUUUGGGGGGCAUCGGAAAAAAAAGGAAGAAAAAACCCUCGAAGAGGCUUGAAAACAGGGGGAAGAGAAAAGAGCUAAAAACAGGGAGGGGGCUUCGGAGGAAAGGGGAGAGGAAAAACGAAAUCGAAAAAGGAGGGGAGAGUAGGGAAAAAUCUGGGGAGAGUCUGUGGGCUAAGAAAAACAGCGGAGAGAUAGCGGAAAAAAAGGAGAAAAAGAACGGCUGAGGGGAAGGCUAAAAAUCUGAAAAGAGAAGAAGGCUUCGGCUGGGAGAAGCUGGAGUGGAAAAAAUAGAAAAAGGGAGAACGGCUGCGGUUGAGGGCCGAGAGAGUGGAGAGCCGAGGAGGAAAAAUCAGAAAAGGAGGAGAAAAAUCAAGGGCGGCGGAUGAAGGGAAAAGCUGGGAAAAUUAGAAACAGAGAAAGAGAGGAUAGCAGCGGACAAAGAGCUUGCGACUGAGGAAGCAGAGCAGCUGGAACUGCCGUUCGCGGGAAGCUGUUGCCGCCCUCUUCCGUCACGCGCGACGCCAGCUUCAUCGCUUCUUCCAUCAUAGUUCAAGCUCCGCCCUCUGCCGGCACAAACAAGUGGCCAACCGCCCGCCCAAGCAACCAAAUCCGAGAUCAGCACCCGCAAAAUUUUACCAAGAAACAAACGGUAAGCCACCAUCAUCCUUCAAAUUUCAGUUUUCAUGUAAGUUUUCGAAGCGUGUUUUAUUUUUCACGUUGUGGCUUGUAGCCAUUUCUCUGUUGAAUUAUUCACUAAUUGGAAGUAUGUAUGCUUUGAAUGUCGAUUGGACUGGAGUUUUCUUGCAUUUGAUGAAAUUUUGGGUGCUGAUUCAUGUCAAUUGAGCGAGAAAUUGGUGAAGUUUUUUAAUGGCUGUUUGUUGUUCGACAGAAUGCUUCAAUGAAAGUUCGGCCUGAAGAAUGGAUUAAUUUCUGAUUUAUAUACGUUCGACUGUUUCAUGCUUGUCAAAAUAAUUGAUUCGAAUGGGUUUGUUUGGGCGUCCGUUUGUUUUGGCAAUCUGCUCCGCUUCUCGUUUGUUUGGUGUUCCUCUUGUAUGGAUUUAAAUUCAUGACAUAAAAUGGCGUGCGAGGGGAUUCAUGUGAGAGUCAUUUGUUUUGCUUUUGUUUUGUUUUGUUGAUUGGAGUCCGAAGUUGAAUUUUCUGGUUGCAAAGAGGAAUGAAAUAGCAGCGAACGUUGAGCCAAUUUGGGAAGAAGAGGAUUGCUUGAUUAAAUUCAUGAUUCCAGUCCCUCAAUUUCCCUUUCCAUUAUGAUUUAACCCCAGAAUUUUAGGACUUCAUAAUUUUUCCUCCAACACCUUCAUAAGUCCUUCAAUUAGGUCCCUGCUCUUGUUGCAUUUUAACCCCUCAGCUUCCCCUUGUUCUGAUAUGACCCGAAAAGUGGAAAAAGUGCGUUUGUUUCUCCCUUCUAGAUUUAAAUCAUCUUCUAAUAAGCAUGAAUAGUCCUUUUACUAGAUUAAUUCUUGUUUGUAGGUUCUAAUUGUGGUUCAAUAAUUUAUUUUGAUUUUAUCAUGUUGGGUUUAAUGAAACAAGUGCCUUGGGCUAAGAGGUUAUUUUUGUUUGGGUUUAAGAAAGUCGUUUUAGUUUAUUUUGUUUGGUUUUUUGGUUCGGGCUAGAGGGUCAAGGCCCAUCUAUUUGGUUGGCUAAUUUUUGGGCCAGGAUAUUAUACUAGCCCACUUGUUUUCCUUGGACUUUCGAUUGGGCCAAGUUAUCUUGGCCCAAGAAAGGUGAAGAUGGCCCAUUCCCUUUUUGUUUUGGAUUUUCGGUUGGGCUUGUAAGGCUUUGGCCCAAACAAAUAAAGGAAAUGGCCCAAUGGCUUGGUCCAUUAAGAAACCAGAAAACGAUUUUGCAAAUCAGUCCCUGAAUUUCUCCCUAAUUGUAUUGUGGCCCUGGACAUUUUCAACUUCUUUCAAUUCGGUCCUUGCUUUAAUUGCAAAUAGGUCCCUGAACUUUAUUUUUCUUUAAUUUUGACCUCCAAACUUUGUCAAUCUUUGCAAUCAGGUCCUUUCUUCUCUUGACUUCUUAAAUGUGAAUUGUCGACAUGAUUUAAUUGAUUCAAAUUCAUGCUUAUUUUUUAUCCUUUGUGAUUAUUUGCCAAAUAAAUUGGUACCUUGACCUUUUUAUUGUUUUGAAGCUAAUAUCUCAUUUACUCGAUUUCCGUUGCGAGGGAGGUAACUUCUAUAUUUUUGAGUUUAUUUUUUCCUACGUGCUCCUACGUGUUAUGUGAAUAUGCCUGUCUACUUUGCUUUCUUUGCCUUUCUUUAAUUCUUUUCAUUUUUUUUUACUUACUUUUGCUUUUUAUUUAAGUUAUUCAUUAUGGGGUAUGUGUACACCUCUUGGCUUGUAAUAGUUAGGGAUUUAAUUAUUUUAUUCUUUUCCCCCUUUUAGAUUGUAGUGGGGUCUCCCUAAUGUAAUAGAUAGGGUUUGGAGGAGCAUUCAAUGAAGACCUAUCGAAGACUUGUGCCUAGCUAGCAAAUGUAAUAGUUAGGGCUUUAAUUGUCUCAUGUGCCUUGCAUGCUUAGUUGCUACGUGUUAAUUUGCUUUGCUAGGGCCUUGCAUCUAGUCGAGCAUGCAAAAUGUUAUGUGCUAUGUGUUUAUAAGUGUUUGGCAUGUCUACUCGCUUUCCAUAGCCUGAAUAAAUGUGAUGGAUGAAUGUACGUCACCACACUAGUCCAAUGCUAGUUGUGGCUCAUUAUUUCAUUAGGAAUUCAUAGAAAGGGCUAGUCCAACGCUAGACCCAAUAGGAUUUUUCCUUUGUUUUUCAUUAAUGCAUUAUUUGCCUGUUCACUACAUAUCAUGCAUUUUUCCUUAGUUUUAUCAUCUGGCAUGCUCCUCGAUUCCCCUUUCCCCUCACUUUAGGAUUUUUGCAUUUCAUGCUAGUUAUAGGGUUCAUUUGCCUGAAGAGUCCCCUUCUGAUAAGGGAAACGAGCGAGUGUGGCUACUCGAUAGCCUUAGCACGCUAGUUUCGCCUUCUAAUCAAAGGGAAGAUUAAGUCACAAAGUUAGGACUCCCCGUUCCCGUCUUGAUGCAUUCCUAUAGGAUUCAUGCAUUCUAUUCAUUCACUAUCACAUACACUUACUUUAUAUUCUAACCCUUUUUCCACAUUCUCACUUCACACUACUUUUACACGUUUUCAUUUAACUACUCACACUCUAUGCCAUAUCACUCGCACACAUGCACUUUAUAUUAUUUUCACAUUAUCAUUCUUUACUCACCUUACCUUGUAAAUACAUUUGCACACCUCCACUUUUCUCACUUCACAUAAACUUACAUUUUCACAUGACAUGCACCCCAUUCAUUUUUACGUCAUUUAGGAUUACGUGUGACCUCUCCAAAGGAUCAUUAUUGGGCUUCACAAUUAAUGUGAUUGGCACCACUCAACCUUUGAAGAGAAAUUUCCCCCAAUACCCCUAGGUCUAGGGUUUUGCAUUCAUAUAGACAUAUCCAACACGCGAUACAUACCUUGGGUAGAAAAAUUAGGAAAAAUUGGUUUAAGUCACGCAACUAGCCUUGGCUAGGUCGAAGGGGUGCCUUGGAUUUUUUAUCCUUGCCUUCCCCUUCGUCAAAUGUGACCCCCGAUCCCUCUUUUUGGUUACGUAGACCCAAAAGUUCUUUAAAAGGGUUUAUUUACUUUUUUUAUUCAAAAACAAAAAACCAUUUUUUGGGUGACUUGGUACACCCUAACCCUAUACCAAGUGGCGACUCCAUUUUUGAUACAAAAAACCCUUUUUGAACUUUAUAUGGCCAAACCGUCGCAUUAUCAAGUCCCAUGGCCUUUUACUUUUCAUUUACACACGUUCACAUUCCAUUACACCACUCACAUCUCACACCACACACACACCACAACUCAUCAUCUUCGAAAAGUGGGGCGCGACAGUGCAAAAAUAAUUAUUUUCUCUGAUCAUGCAGCCUUGAGGUACUUGUUAGUGAAGAAGGAUGCAAAACCAAGGCUCAUAAGGUGGGUUUUACUUCUGUAAGAGUUCAAUUUAGAGAUUAAGGAUAAGAGUGGGGCCGAGAACUUGAUGGCUGAUUAUUUGAGGCGUUUUCUUACGAAUAAGGAAGAUCUGUCAUUGAGAGAAUUGUUUUUCGAGGAGCAGUUACUAGCCAUUAAUUCGUCAGUACCUUGGUAUACUGAUGUUGUCAAUUUUUUGGUAACAAAUCAAUUACCUGCAGAUUGACCAAAGGCUAAGAGAGAUAAAUUGAGAAGUGAUGCCAAAUACUAUAUUUGGGAUGGCCCUUACCUGUGGAGGCAAUGCUCGGAUCAAGUGAUAAGAAGGUGUGUAAGUGCAGGUGAGUUCCAUUCUAUUUUAACUUUUUGUCAUUCAUUUGUACGUGGAGGGCACUUUAGACCAAAGCGAACAGCUCGUAAGGUGUUGGAGAGUGGUUUUUAUUGGCUUACUCUGUUUAAGGAUGCAUAUUUAUUUUGUAAAUCUUGUGAUAGGUGUCAAAGGGUGGGGAAUAUUUUUCGUAGAGACCAAAUGAUUCAAACUCGCAUGUUGUUUGUUGAAAUUUUUUAUGUCUGUGGUAUAGAUUUCAUGGGUCCCUUUCCCUCGUCUUUUGGUUUCUUAUACAUUUUACUUUGCUGUCGAUUAUAUUUCUAAAUGGAUGGAGGCAAAGGUCACCCGGACUAAUGAUUCGAGAGUGGUUGCAGAAUUUAUAAAGUCUAACAUUUUUUGUCCGCUUUGGAAUGCCUAGAGCUGUAGUUAGUGACAGGAGCACUCAUUUUUGCAAUAAAACGAUCGUUGCCUUGUUCCGUAAAUAUGGCGUACUCCACCAAAUAUCCACACCCUAUCAUCCGCAGACGAAUGGUUAGGCCGAAGUGUCGAAUAGGGAGAUUAAGUCAAUUUUGGAGAAGAUGGGGUGGCCUGAUAGAAAGGAUUGGAACUUGAAGUUGGAAGAUGCUCUAUGGGCUUACCGCACCGUGUAUAAAAUACCAAUUGGAACGUCCCCAUACAGAUUAGUCUUCGGGAAGCCGUGCCACCUCCCAAUAGAAUUUGAACACAAGAAAUUUUGGGCAAUUGAGCGGUGCAACAUGGACCUUGUGGAUGCCGGGGGACAUAGAAAGCUCCAAUUACAAGAGUUGGAAGAAUUAAGGAAUGAAGUCUAUGAGAACGCAACAAUUUAUAAAGAGAAGAGCAAAGUCUUUCACGACUAACAAGUCUCAAGGAAGUCAUUUGUAGUAAGGCAAAACGUCCCCCUAUAUCACUCGAGAUUUAAGUUUUUUUCCGGUAAGUUGCGUUCGCGUUGGAUUGGUUCAUUUGUCAUUUCUAAUAUUUUUCAUUAUGGUGCAGUGGAAAUCCAAAGUUUGAAAAUUGAGAAGAAGUUUGUGGUAUAUGGUCAACAUUUUAAACCCUAUUAUGAGAGGUUUAAUAGUGAGCAAGUGGAUGUCAUAUAUGUUGAUGAUCCAAAUUGUGUGGCUUAACUAGCUAUUACUGUGUCUAGCCAAAAACAUUAAAGAAAGACGCUACUUGGAAGGCAAUCCAAGGAUUUCAAUUGUGUUUUAUUUCAUAUUUGUGUAUUCAAGAUCAGUGGAUUUAGGUUCCUAUUGACAAACAAUCUGUAUUGUACGUCAUGGGUGUUUCUGUGCAGUUUUAUUCUAGGUUGGGGGCACAAAUUUGUGGGCAAGAGACUUCAUGUUACAAGGCGUGCUCGCGCCUUGUAUUCACCGCACAUGGACAUUUGUAAAAUUUGGUGAACAGAGGACUUACACCCCCAAGGCAUGCCCACGCCGCACAGCAGAUCGUGUCGAACAUAUUACAAUGGGAUGGGCAGACAGAGUCAAACGUGACCAGGACCUUCUCUAACCCCACUUUUCUACUUUUCUCUUUUCUUGUCUUGACUGGUCUUUUCAUUUUUUUUUGUCUUAGCCUCCCCUAGUUUUCUCCCAUCUUUGCUGAAAUCUCAGAGGCCACCGCCACUGCACACCUGCUCCGUUGAUGCCGCUGUCUCCACUAUCUGCGGUCAAGCUCCGGCCGCCAUCAUGCACGCUGUCCGGGCGCACAUCGGCAUCGCCAUAUGCGCCUCGCCGACGCUGCUCAUGCACGUCUCAUGCCGCACGCCAACGCCUCCGUACUUCCCUUCCUCGCCGUAGCGCGCCACCACCGUAGGCGCCAUCAGCUCUACCUAGGGCGCCACACCAAUCAUCGACCGCUCGCGCCCCGCGAUAUCUCACUGUUCCCCGCCGUCGCGACUGCUGCCCUCCGCCAUCGUCGUCAUUGAGGCUCCACUUCUUCCUCUCUGUGCACCACCAACGCUUGCUCCUUCCACGCCACCGCGCCGACCGCCGACUCACCCCUGACGCCCUUGCAGUCGUACCGACCGUCGCUUCCACCGGGGUCCCCUCCAGCAUGACAAAGUGGUACCCCUAAUUCAUUUCUUGCCAUUACUGCUUAAAAUCUGAAAUUGUUUCUAUGCGAUAUUACUCUAUUGUUUGAGCUGAGCUUGCUGAACCUCUGAGACUUUCAUAUGUGUUCUUUGCUUCGCGGUUGAAUUGCUGUGAUUGGUUGUUGGUGUUGGUGUAGAAUUGUUGUGGGGUGCUGAGGUUGUUGUUGUUUAUUUUGCUUUCGAAUUGGUUGUCGAGGGUUUGAUAGGUGAAGCACGUGGCGCAGUAUCAAUUCUGGUUUAAUGUUGAGUGCAUUGUUGACCAGUUAUUUUAGGAAUCUGUUUGUCUUUUUGCCUUGUUGUUGUGGUGGUGGGGUAAUUAUAUUUUUCUUUGCUAUUGGACUGUUGACUGUUGAGUGACACCUAUUGACUGUGGUCCCCUGUCCCCAUUUGGUGGUUGCUUCACUGUUUCUGUGCUUAUUCGUAUUUGUCCUGUGGCCUCCAAAUGCCUUCGAAAAAGCGCGUGUUCAGACACCCACUUCAUCUGGUCCAUCUAAGUCCCAACCUCGUAAGAGGCGAGCCCAAUUCAACCCCCCACUCGAUCCCGUUUAGGUCUCUCUAAAAGUACUAUAUCUCCUGGGACAUGGGGGGAACCUACCACUAACCUUACACAGGAACAAAAGGACCGAUUGACUAGCUUGAUGCCACGUCCUUUUGCUCCGUGUAAAUGUUUCCAUGCCCCAACCCUGGAUCAUUUGCAAAUUGCACGAGAAGUUGAACAGUUGUUCUCAGCAAUUGGUUGGCAGUGGUAUCUGGUCAUCGACUAUCCUACAUUUGAGGAGCUAUGUUAUGAAUUCUACUCCACUUUUGAGUUCAAUAAAAAUGAAUUCAUCACUUUGGAUGAGCGGGGGUGAUUACAUUUAGAUUAAGGGGUACCCCACAAGAUUUGUCCAUUAAUGACUUUAAUCUGAUUUUGGGGUUUUUCAGUGAAGAGACCCUUUCCUCCGGGACGUAUAUCAACAGUGCGUGUGAUUAUACCAGACCCUUUGCUAGUGAAUAUAUUGACAUAUGGAGGGAGUAGUUCACGGACCCUCAACUCUAUGAUCCGAGUCAGUCCAAGGCCUCUCAUCUUAAGAAUCCGAUCUUGAAGGUUAUCCACAGGUUCUUGGCCUACAAUUUCUCGGGUCAGAAGAACUCUUCCGGCACCCUUGCCAAGGUUGAAUUCUAUUUUCUUUGGUGUAUGCGCAACAAAGUACAUGUCGACUUUGGGUGUUGGGUGACCACUCAAAUGCAAUCCGUCAUUCAAAAGCGACAUAAGUAGGUGAUUAUGGAUUCGCUCAUUACUCACUUGGCCGUUCGGUUGGGAUUGCUUGACCUCGACAAAGAACACAAGUUCGCUCUAACUUGCGAGAUUGAGCCAUUGGAUUUGCGUAGCUUAGAAAGGAUGGGGGUUAUUUUCAAAGUAGGAGAUGUAUAUCAGAUGACGCUUCCUGGCGAUGGCAGGCUACAACCCCGGGUUCCUCCUACUAUUCCCCCUACUGGUUCACCAACCCGCACAGAUCAAGUGGGUCCGUCCUCCUACCAUGCUCCCCCUGCUUGGGAUUUCCAAUACCGUGCCCUCCAAGAUUCUAUUCGUGAACUAGGCGAGCUAGUUGUGGGACUGGAUGGCCGUCUUGCAGCGUUGCAAGUUUUUUCCCGUAUUCAGACAAAGAAUCAGGCAGCUUUCUUUGCUUAGAUUGGAUUCUAGCUGCCUCAUCCUCCUCCCCCUUAGUGUUUCGCUGCGUCGUCUCGGCUGUCAGGGAAGUUUCACCCCUUUACACUUACACACUAUUUAUUUUUGCUACAUUGAAGACAAUGUCGAUUUUAGGUGUGGGAGGGAUGGUUUCUAUUAUUUCUUUUUUGCUUGAAAAGAGAAAAAAAAGAAAUAAAAAAAAGAAAAAGAAAGAGAGGAAAAAAUGAAACAAAAAAAAAAGUAUAGUUAGUUGACUUCUUUAGUUCUAUAUUUGUUAAUUGCUAGAGCAUGUUGCUAUGAUGGAUUGCACAAUCAAGGUGCACGUGUAUGUAUCAUUUAUGCUAACUAUGUACUCUACUUUUCCUAGCCAAUGUAGCUGAGUGAUGAAUAUGCUGGACUUGACCCAUUCUUGAAACUUUUGGGAGUUUUUGAGCAGUGCACGAGCACAUUACUCUCGUUUGCUUCGUUUGUGUUGUUGAGUGGGUAUCACACAUGGUAUUAACAUUCUAGAACUUGCUAUUUUAUACAUGUCAAAGCCACAUCUUGUUGAACUGGAUGCAUUUGAAAUGAUAAAGGCAUUUAGGAUUUAACUUUCUUUAAUUUUCUACAAACCAUACCUUCAUCUUGUCUCCCAAUAGUGAAUCAAUUUGAGCUUUUAUUCUUCUCCUUUGUUUGUUAGCCGUGUUUGAUAACCCAGGACUUUUUUUUUUGACUUUCUUGUCCAACCUUGUGUCGUUAAGAGAUGUCUGAAUUUCAUUGUUUGUGCAAGGCAAAUAAAUUUAGGGUCGCAAGUGUUGUUAGAAUAGAAGUUGUAUGGUGUUGGUUCUGUGCAUCUGAGAUCGAAAAGAAAAAGAAAAAAAAGACGAGAAAAAGAGAAAAAAGAAGGAAAAAAAUGUCUACAAACUGGUGAGCAUGGGAUUCUGCUUACAGGGCGUGCCAUGCCUUGCAAGACGCCCUUUCAAAAAAAAACAGAAAGAGAGAGAAAAGAGUUUCGACACUUGCGCAGUUGGUAUAGCAAAUGGAAAUGCCUUGCUUGUGGAAGUUCUCCAGUAAAGCGUUGAGGUUAUGUAGUGGAUAUCGGACAUUAUCUUGACACAGUGCACCCUAUCUUUACCUUCUUAUCCCGCUUUGUUGGCCUAAUCAGCAACAUCCCUCAGAUUCCGGCUCGAAGGGACUAACCGCCCAACUCGUGGCACCCAGGGGUGCAGCCCCUCAUGCUGGCCAAGCGUGGUACGAUGCUUUUCGCUGCUAUUGUGGUUAAGGAAAUAAAGUUACAUCUUCACUAACAGCUAUAGCUUUUGGUGCAAUGGUAAGCGCUUGAUCCUGACAAGUGGUAUCGGAGCGAGGUCGCAGGUUCGAGUCUCCCUGGUUAUUGUUGGGGGAGGAAAUGUUGGCCUAAUCAGCAACAUUCCUCAGAUCCCGGCUCGAAGGGACAGCCCGUGGCACCCAGGGAUACAGUCCCUCAUGCUGGCCGAGCGUGGUACGGUGCUUUGCGCUGCCAUUGUGGUUAAGGAAAUAAAGUUGCGCUUUCACUAAUAGCUAUAACUUUUGGUGCAAUGGUAAGCGCUUGAUCCUGACACGCUUUUCAUCCAAGCCCCAUUACAACCCUAUUAAAGUCCCUUUGAUUUAUGUAUUGAGUUCAUUUUUGAAUGGUAGAGAUGUGAUAAAUGUGCAAGCCUAUGGUAAUGUCAUUCCGUGGUGUUGAUUUGAGCGUUCCUGGUAUCUAUACAUUUUCUUGAAAGUGAUGAGUAUUACUGCUCAUACUCUUUGGAUAACUACCUGUCCGGUGUGCUCUAACUUUGGCGACAUUGUCAGGAAUGCAGGAUGCUUGUGUUAGUGUAGAUCACCGCAUAGUAGUUGCUAUUGUGAUUGAACUUCUGAUCUUCGAAAUGCUUGAGAACAAGCAUUGCCUAGGUGUGGAGGGAUUUGAUAGAGCAAUGUUUGGGCAUCUUAUGUGCUGUUAUGUGGUCAUAAUUUUGGCUACUUAUUAUGCUAAAUAUUGAAAUUUUGCUCAUAUUUGAUAUUUGUGUAAAUUAUAGGCGGUUGGUGUCAAAAAGUGUCUCUGAAGGUGAAUUUCCACAAGACUUUUUAUUUCAGGGUGUGCCCACGCCAGAAACUGUAGAAGAGACGCCUCAAAGUCAGACCGCGGGACUAACUAACUAACUAAACUCAUCCUUAUUCCUGCGGGAUGCGGUUGGAAGUGCGUCAAAACAAAAAGACGGCAAUUUCCAGCGAAUUUGUGAUAGGGUAUUAAUUGUUAGUAAUUUUAUUGUUAAUUUUUUCCUUUGUCCUUACCAAAUAUUGUUUUAAAUUGUUAAUAUAUACUUGUAUUUGGUAUUUGGACCUAUCUACAGGAAGUGGAACUAAAAAGUGCUAAAAAGGGGGGACCUUUUGGAGAGAAUUGCUCCACACGUGGGAGACUUCAAAAAGCUUCACGAACCUGGCCCACAGGAUACUAAGCAACGGACUUCCUUUUCUUUUUGCUGAUAAAGAGUUGCUGACUAGGAGUCUUCCUAUCAAAAGGAAACGAAAAAAGUGGAAUUCGGAGAGCUUUCUUUUUGUACCUUUUCUUUCAAUUCGGCAGGGACAACGUAGGGAGCAUUAGUCAUUGUUUAAGAGACAGUUUAGUUUUCUUUCUUUUCUUUUUCAUGCGUAAGUCUUGUUCGAUAAAAGUCUCGACUGGAGAAAUAUCGUUUAUUUCUUGAUUAUCUAGUGAAAAACGUGAUGCCUUUGCAAUUAAUUAAUUUGCGUGGAGAUUUACUGAUGCGGCGUGGUUAAGUUUUUCAUCUAGUCAAGGAUCAAUGCGACAAUGCAAUCCCUAAUAUCCGUGAGAUCGAAUUAAUUUUCAUGCAUUCCUUAAUUUGUUAAUAUUUGCACGUUGUCUGCUUGAAUUUUCAUGGGAUUAUUUUGUUAAUUGAAUGUCAAGGGCCCGAUGUUCAAUGCGACUUAUUAAUCUCCUGUCAAAUUAGUUAAUUAAAUCUGUAAUUAUUUAAAUUGAUUGAUAUCAGUGGCAACUAACGUUUUUAUACACUAGGGGAGCGUUCAAUCUGUUUCAAAUAACUCUCGUAGCAUGUUAUUGAUUAGGGUUAGACUUUUCUAGUUUUUAAUGCAAUUAGAGAAUUAAAUCCUAUGAUCAUACCUAGGAGUGUUUCCGGGUUAGGGGUAAUCAACGGUCGUACCUUGGUUGUCAAUAAAUUAAGGAAAAGCUGGUCGUCAGAACUUAUUGGCGACUAUAACUAACCUGUUAAUAAAAUUAAGUAAGCCUCCCUUGCAUCAAUAAUCGGAUGAAUGGACUGUGUCGGUGAAGUUGUAUCCUUGGCUCGAACUUGUCUAUUAUUUAUUUAAUUCCUAUCUACAUUCGUGUUAGUUAAUCGUUUACUUUUGGUUGAAUUGCUUAAUUAUUUUUAGUUUCAUUCCGAUAAAAUCCCCCAUUGUUAACUUGAACUUUAGUAAGAAACGAAUUACUCCCAAUCUCUGAGAAUACGACCCUACUUGCCCUGUUUUCAAAGCAAUAAUUAUUUGUGAAUAAGCAAUCCCAUUCUGGUAUAUCGGGUCAAGCAAACUUUUUGGAAACAGGGUGAAUCAAGUAACCUAUUGCACACCUAGAGUCCCUACUCCAGUACUUAGAAUUGGAUUUUGAUUACUCCGAUUGGCAACUAGGUUUAUUUUUAUUAUUGCGCAGGUUCGGCCCUUGUCAAUUUUUGGCGCCGUUGCCGGGGACUGGCAUUAAUUAUUUGUUUCUUUUUAAGUUCAAUUUUGUUCUAAUUUUCUGAUAUUUUUCUAGUUUAUGCCUCGUUCUUCUUGGACAGACGAAUUAAUUUUUGACCCUGAAGUAGAGAAGACCGCGCGUAAAAAGAGCAAAGAGACAAGACAGCUUAGAGAGGAGUUGUCCAGUGUUGCACCUGAGGGACUUGAUCCAAAGGUUGAGUCAACAAAUUCGCAUGGUGAUAAUUCGAGUGAUUCAGACCAAGAGGAAGUCACCAUGGCGAAUGCACGAACAUUAAGGGGGUUAGCUGCCCCAAAUUUAAAUCAACAACCCUUAUGCAUUACUUUUCCGCAUUUAAAUGAUAACACAUCUUUCGAGUUAAAAUCUGGCCUGAUUCAUCUUUUACCAUCUUUUCAUGACUUACCAGGUGAGGAGCCCUACAAGCACUUGCAAGAGUUCAAUGUCGUUUGCAACAGUAUGAAGCCCUCGGAAAUUACAGAAGAGUAGAUAAAAAUGAGGGUCUUUCCCUUCUCUUUGAAGGACUCCGAGAAAAAUUGAAUGUACUACCUACAACCAGGUAGUAUCACCACGUGGGACCAGCUGAAAAAAAAAUUCUUGGACAAAUACUUUUCGGCGUCUCGAGCUGCAAGUCUAAGGAAGGAGAUAUGCGGUAUCAAACAACACCCAGGCGAGUCUCUCUAUGAGUACUGUGAGAGGUUUAAGAAGCUGUGCAUCAAAUGCCCUGAGCAUUAGAUAAGUGAGCAACUGCUCAUCCAAUAUUUCUAUGAGGGGCUACUCUUCAGGGACAGAAGUAUAAUCGAUAUUGCAAGUGGAGGGGCAUUGGUGAACAAGAUUCCUCGAGAAGCAUGGGAGUUGAUUAAAGGGAUGGCUGAGAAUUCACAGCAGUUUGGUUCAAGAGAGGACAUCCCGACGCGUAGGGUGAAUGAGGUAGAAACAUCCUCUAUCCAACAAUAGCUCUUCGAAUUGACAUCUUUUGUACUACAACUAGCUGUGAAAAAUGCUCCACAAGCCAAAGUAUGUGGAGUAUGCACUGCUUUGGGUCAUUUUAUGGAGAUGUGUCCACUAGUUCAAGAAGAAAGUGCAGAGCAAGUGAACAUGACUGGUCACGCGCCCGCGCCAAGAAGGCCAUAUAACCCGUGUUCGAAUACGUACAAUCCGGGUUGGAGAGAUCACCCUAACUUUAGUUAUAGAGGAAAUAGGCAGUCCAAUUUUGCACCAAAUAGAGAGCAAGGGCAUCAACAGCAGUACCAGUCUCGCCCACCACCACCCCCUUCGAACUCAAGUCCGUCCAUGAAAGAGAUGAUGAAGCAAUAAAUUGCUAAUCAACAAAAGACGGAUUCAGAGUUGUAAAGUAUGAGAAAUCAAUUGGGACAGAUGCAAUCAUUGCAAAAUCAAAUAAAUCAAAUGGCCAUAACGAUCAACCGCCUGAAAUCCCAAGUUCAAGGGAAGUUGCCAUUUCAACCUGAGUUGAAUCCGAAAAAUGUAAGUGCACUGACCUUGAGGAGUGGCAAGGAAGUCCAAGGAUCCGAACCGGUGAUUCUUAGGACAAGGACAAGGAACGAAUUGAGAAAGAGUUGGAAGAAGAGGGCAGAGACAACAAAGAUCCAAAGGUAACCUCGGACCAAUCAUUACAGUUAGAACUAAUCCACCUUCCUUUCCUAGCAGGUUGGAGAAACCAAAGAAGCAAUACAAAGAAAAAGAGGUCCUGAAGAUAUUUCGCAAGGUGGAGAUCAACAUUUCCCUACUGGACGCGAUUAAACAAGUACCCAGUUACGCAAAGUUUUUGAAGGACUUGUGUGUCAACCGAAGGCGGUUAAAAGGAGAUGAACGAGUUAUAGUGGGGGAGAACGUGUCAGCAAUUCUACAAAGGAAACUUCCCAUCGAAAUAUGGGGACCCAAGUAUGUUACUAUUCCCUGUAGGAUCGGUAAUACCUUGAUUGGAAAGGCCAUGUUAGACCUAGGAGUUUCGAUAAACGUCAUGCCAAAGUCCAUAUAUGCUUCUUUGAAUUUAGGUCCUUUAAAAGAAACGGGGAUAAUAAUUCAAUUAGCUGACCGAACUGCCCUGAUGGGUUGAUUGAAGAUUUUUUUAGUAAAAAUUAAUGAAUUGAUUUUUCAACUGAUUUUUAUGUGCUUGAUAUGGAUGAUAAAUACUCCCACGACCCCUUACCUUUAUUGUUAGGUAGACCCUUUUUUAGCACAGCCGAACCAAAAUUGAUGUUAACAAGGGUAUCUUGUCUAUGAAAUUUGAUGGUGAUAUUGUUCACUUUAACAUUUUUGAGACCAUGAAAUAUCCUUCAGAUUCAAAUGUCAGCUCUGUUUUCUCUGUAAAUGUUAUUGACCCUGCGGUACAGGAGGUUAUUGAAAUUGAAGGCAGGGAUGAGCUGGAAGUCGCCUUGACCAGGCACUUCGAGUCAGAGACGACCUCUGAGAUAGAGUUGAGUGAAGAGCUCAAAUGUGUGAUUGGAGCGUUGCAAUCAUUGUCAAUCACGAAAACAAGGUAUGGGCUUGCACCCAUUUUCACACCUGAACCUCACCAACGGUUACUUUCAUCUGUGGUGUAGGCACCUAUCUUGGAACUGAAACCCCUGCCGAAACAUCUAAAGUAUGCAUACUUGGGUGAAGGGGAGACUCUCCCAGUGAUCAUCUCUGCUAGUUUAUCGGAGGUCCAAGAAGACAAACUAAUUCGAGUUUUGAGGGAACAUAAGCAGGCGAUAGGAUGGACCAUCGCCGAUAUCAAGGGAAUUAGCCCCGCGGUAUGUAUGCAUCGCAUUCGACUCAAUGAGGGUUCUAAACCCGUGCGGCAGGCUCAGAGGAGACUAAAUUUCCUCAUGAUGAAGGUAGUGAAGAAAGAGAUCCUGAAACUGCUGGAUGUGGGGAUAAUAUUCGCAAUAUCAGACAGCCCUUAGGUAAGUCCAGUAUAGGUGGUUCCGAAAAAGGCAGGGGUGACGGUGGAAUCAAAUUAAGAGGGUGAGCUCAUGCCAGUUCGGAAGCCCACCGGAUGGCAACAGUGUAUCGACUAUCGGAAGUUAAACGUCGUCACAAAAAAGGAUCAUUUUUCCCUUCCUUUUAUUGAUCAGAUGGUAGAGCGAUUAGCAUGUCGAGCUUAAUAUUAUUUUUUGGAUGAAUUUUCAAGUUAUUUUCAGAUUGCUAUCGCACCCGAGGAGCAGGAGAAGACCACUUUCAUGUGCUCGUUUGGAACAUUUGCAUACAGGUGAAUGCCAUUUGGAUUGUGCAAUGCACCUACUACCUUCCAACGUUGCAUGGUAAGCAUUUUUUCGGAGUAUAUUGAGAAGAUUAUUGAGAUUUUCAUGGACAAUUUUAGUGUGUAUGGUGAGAGUUUUGAUAACUGUCUAGAUAACCUGAAACUAAUCUUAGUAAGGUGUAUAGAAACUAAUUUCGUGCUUAAUUGGAAAAAAUACCACUUUAUGAUCGAACACGGGAUAGUUUUGGGUCAUGUAGUGUCGUCUAGGGGUAUUGAGGUUGAUAAAGUGAAAAUAGACAUUAUAUCUACUUUACCUUACCCCAUGAGUGUGCGGAAAGUGCGUUUUUUUUGUCACGCAAGUUUCUAUAGAAGGUUCAUCACAGACUUCUCGAAAAUUAGAGCACCCUUGUUCCAACUUUUGCAAAAAGAGGUGCCCUUCGAAUUUGAUGAAGCGUGUAAGAGGGCAUUUGAUAGGUUGAAGGAGCUAUUGACCUCGUCAUCUAUUAUACAACCUCCUGAUUGGAACCUACCAUUCGAGAUCAUGUGCGACACCAGCGAUUAUGCAGUGGGCGCGGUGCUGGGUCAGAGAGUAGGAAAGACAGCCCAUGCUAUCUACUACGAGUAUCAAGCCUUGAACGGAGCUCAAUUGAACUGUUCAAUCACCGAAAAGGAGCUUUUGGCGGUUGUUUUUGCUUUAGAGAAAUUCUGGUCUUAUUUACUAGAUACCAAAGUUAUUGUCUUUUCAGACCAUGCAGCGUUGCGGUAUCUGUUGACCAAGAAAGAGGCAAAACAGUGACUGAUAAGGUGGAUAUUAUUGUUACAAGAGUUUGACCCAAAGAUCAGAGACAAGAAAGGGGCAAAAAAUCUGGUAGCAGAUGUAGACACCAAAUUUUUAGCCUUUCUUUUUCUUUUUAUUUUAUUUAUUUAAUUAGUUGAUUUUGUUUUAAUUUUUGCUAAGAAAAUUGUUUUACUAUUAUUAAUUAAUUCAUUGAAAAAAAGAAAAAGAAAAAGCUAUUCCAUGUGCAUGUGCUUGGCACGUGCGCCAUUUUCUUUUCUUUCAUGCAAAAAAUGCAAGCGGAAGGCGAAAAUAGGGACAGAAAUUUGCAGCUGCAUUUUUUUAAUCCCAGCCUCAUCUCAAAAAUGCCAUCCAAUGGCUCAAGUUUUCAGUAGAAACCCACCCUUCAUCCUCACCUUUGAGGUGAGGGUUUUAGGGACCUGGGGUUUCCUAUAAAAGAAAAAAGAGCAGCGGGGACAAAGGGUAAGAGGAGUCGGCAGCUGGGGCUGAGUAGAAACAACGGAGGAAAAAAGCAAAAAGGGGGGGUUCUUGGGGAGAGUAGUUGACGGCUGAAGGAAAGAGUGAAUGGAGAGUCUGAGGGCUAGAGAGAGUUUUGGAGAGGGUGACGGCCGAAAGAAAGAAACCAAGCGAGAGGAAACCAAGGAAAGGAGAAGCGACUUCAUCAAUGUAAAGGGCAUUUCGUGGGUCUUCGUUUCCAGAAACAACGUGUUUGUCCUGAGACUGGUAGAGAAACGAAUCAAGAGUCUGAGGAAGACACAAGGGAGGAUCGGGGAAUAAGCAAAGGAAAUCUGCAAAAUCUUGAAGAAGGCUUCGAAGCUGAGAGCGAGGGAAAGAGGACUGCUCGACGAGGUGGCAACUUCUGCAGCAAAAGUUCCCGAUCGCGUUCCUGGGAACCCGUAUGCGUUUCCGGGCAGAUCCCAAGGCCGCUCAACCAUGCUAGCAUUCUCAGGUAAAAAUGCCUCUUAUUUGGUGGAUUUUAACAUGUUUUUAUGAAAGAUAAAGCCAUCGGAUGUGAAUCUUUUUGUUUGCUAUUGGGUCAAGCUCUCGCUGGUUCUAUGAUUCUGCCAUUUUGCUCGUUUGCUAAGAUCUGAUUCAGUAGGAACCUAUGAGAUGAGUCUGAUUAAGAACAUGGGGUUUAGGGUUUUCUGUAGUGGUCACCUGAUGAAUCCAUGAGUUCUUUGCUCGAUGUUUAUGGUCAGUCUUUGUGUGCAUGAAUAAGCAAACCCAGAAAAGUGGCGUAAAGCUUCGGACAAGUCUGUUUUGAUGUUUCCUUGAUUGCUGCUUCUCCAUUUCUUGUUGUUUGUGUAAUAUUUGAUAUCGGGUUUCAGUGUUAAAUGGAGCAAAUGGUGAGUUUUGGUUGUUGGCUUGGAGAUUGAUCCAUCGGAUCCGAACAUUUGAUAAUAAAAAUGGUAGAAGGUUUUUUGAAUGCACCUGGUUCGAUGUUAGUUUUGUACUUGGGUUAUGUUAAUAAGGGUGAUUUGGAGAUUUAUGAGAGUUCUAGUUCACAAACAAAAUAAGUUUCAUUGAUUUCUUUUCAUAUAAUAUCAGCGUGGGUUGAGCUGCAAUUUUGCAGUAGAAAGUUGCGGCAGAAGAAGAAUGUUUUUUUCAUAUCAGGUUGCAUGAUCCUUUUGUAUGAGUGUCGGGUGCUUAAAUAUAAUGGUUUUAUGUUAGAAAACAGAGGGGGGAAUGUUUAAUAAUCCUGUUGCCUGGCUUCAGUUUGCAUUGCGCUUAUAGUUUGCGCAUAAGAAUGCUUGUUGCAGCGGUAUGGACGAAGUUCUGUUUUUUCCUUUUCCUGUUUCAAGUUCAAGUUUUGACUGUGGAAUAUGUGUGUUUUGUUGCUCAAUUUAAGUUGAAGUCUAGGUGAAAUGUUUUGGAUCAAGUCUGGAAUCCUUAUUUGAAAUGAAAGGGCAACAGCGUGCGUUUGUUCUUGAUUGCAGAAGCUUUAAGCUUCGGGAUUGUGCAUGGACUUGCAUGAAUAGCUUUCAAAAUUUGCACUUUGCUCCCCUUAGCUUCUAUCUAUGCUACAGAGGCCCAAUUAUGUUCUAAUUUCUUGCAAUUAGGUCCUAAAGUAAUUGCCAUUUGAACCAUUGCUUGACCUUUCCAUUACUUAUGGGCCUUUGAAGUUCCCAAAUAUUUUAAUUGGGCUUGAAUGAUUGGUUAAGGCUUGCUCUUGGGUCCUUAGUAGUUUUUUUCUAUUUUAGGAACUUGAUUGACAAUUUACCUUCCUUGCAAUUAUGCAUUAUUUGAUUACAUUCAAUUUGCAAUUGGGAAGGAUUAGGUGAUUUGUUGGUUUAACUUAUUUUGUGCUUUUGUUUAUAUGGUUAUUCGUGAUGCCUUGACUUUUUCUUUUAUUUUGGAGGGUAAAUAAGUAAUCUCACUCCAUUAGGGCCCCAAUUCAAGGAAGGUACACCCUAUCUCUUAUUUCUUACUUUAUUUGACUUUACGUGCCCUAUGUGACUUUACGUGUUUGAUUGCAUACCUCUUGAAUGUUUUUUUUAUUAUUUUAUUAUUUAUUUAUUUGUUUGCUUUAUUGACUUUAGUUUUGUAUAUCUAUUUUAGUUCAAUUUUGAUCAUUUGAAAGGCAAUUUAAUGUCAAAGUUGUAAUAACUAGGUUAUGAUUUUAUUUAUUUAUUUCUUUCCCCCUUAAAUUGUAGUAGGCGUUCCCUUUUGUAAUAGAUAGGGCUUGGGUGUGCCUACAUGCCUAUGUGUUUAAUUGCUUUCCCUAGGCUUCUGCAUCUAUAUAAGCAUGCUUAUGUGCUACGUGCUAUGUGAAACUAUGUGCUUUGCAUGUCUAUUUGCUUUAGUAUUAUAUCUGAUUAUGUGGAUGGAAUGCACGUUACCGUGACUAGUCCAAUGCUAGUCAUGAUCUUCCCCUCGAUCACUCACAAGUCCAAUGCUAGAUCCAAUAGGACUGUCCCUCACUAGUACAUACUUGCAUGCCUUCACUACAUCUUCAUUCAUUUUUUUCCCUUUUAGUUUUACAUUUUUGCAUGAUCCUUCACUCCCUUUCCCGCAUUUGAAACAUGAUUUUUAGGAUUUUGUAUUUCAUUCUAGUUAUUAGGGUCAUUUGCUUGAUUAGGUUAGGGAGUCACCCUUCUGGUAAGGGGAAUGGACGAGUGUGGCUACACAUAGCCUUAGCACGCUCAUUCUUUUUCUAAUCAAAAGGCAAAUCGUAAGUCACGAUUUAGGGUCUCCCCGUACACGUUUUGCUUGCAUUCCUCUAGGUCUCAUGCAUUUCAUUUUGCACACACACACACACUUUACACUCUCUCUCAUUUGCACACGUACACUUUACACUCUCUCUCAUUUGCACACGUACACUUUACACUCUCUCUCAUUUGCACACGUACACGUUACAUAUUCAUUUGCAUCCUUACACUUUAUACACUCCCUCAUUUGCACACAUGCACUUCUCACUAUCACUUUACACUCUUCCUCAUUUGCACACAUACACUUCACAUUAUCACUUUGCACACUACCACCUUACACUUUCUCACUACACACCCGUUCAUAUUGAUCACAUUUGCAUCCAUUCAUCUCACUCGAGCAUUCAUUUGCAUUUAUUCGUGGCCUCUUUGAGGGUUCACCAUUUGGCUAUCACAAUUCAUGUGAUUAGGACCAAUCGAGCCUCAAAAGAGACAUUUUGUUCCUUUCGAACCAAUAAUUAGAUUUAGGUUUGCAUUCACAUUAGACACAUCCAAAAUGCGAUACAUCUUUUGGGUAGAAAUUAGGAAACUUGUCACUAAAUCACGCAACUAGCUUAGGUUAGGGUAAAAGGGUGCCUUAGACUUCGUUUUUGCCUUCCCUUUUAUCAACCGUGACCCCCGAACUCAUCUCUUUGAUUUUCGUAGAUUAGGAGUCAUCUAAAAAGGUUUUUCACCUCAUUUUUCAAAAACUAUUUUUUGGGUGACUUGGUACACCCCAACUCAAUAACAAGUGGCGACUCCUAUUUUUCAUGUUAAAAACCCUUUUAGAUUAUCGUUUUGGCCAAACCGUCGCAUUUAAAAGUCCCAUGGCCUUUUCCUUUAAUUCUCAUAUUCACACACUUCACACACAAUACACAUUAUGACUUCAAAACAAACUUUCACUUUUUUCUUUAUAUUUUCUCAAAAAAUGGGGCGGGACAGCUUGGCGACUCCACUGGGGACUUCCUAAGUGGGUCCGAGCACUUGAUUUAGUUAUUCUUUUCCUUUUUUACCCUUUUCAUGUAUCGCAUUUGCGUGUUUAAGGUUGCAUUUUUUUUCUUUUUUAGGAGUUUUGCAUUCCGCGCGUAUCAACUCACUCCCUUACUCAUUUGCGUACAUUUGAUUUGAUGGAUGGAUGAUUUAUUUAUGUUAUCCCGCGCUUUGCAUUGCAUUUGGAUGGGGGGAUAUUACCCUAGAGCCUCGCGUUGGUUCUCGAUCCCUCCCCUCCAAAUGGAGCACUAGCAUACGUGCAUACGCUUUAUUUUUUAUCCCUCAUUUAUUUUUCUUUUUAGUGGCUUGUCACGCCACUCCACCCUACUAGGAUUAGACGACCCAUUUGGACGUGUGAUCGCGACACGAUGUGUGCGUAGCAUGAUCCAAGGGGUCACUCAAUCUUCCAUUUUAAACUUUGGAUUGAUAACCUUUAGUUUUUAGUCAAAGGUUGAGGAUUUUUGAUAGAUUCACUCAGAUAUGUAGCCGUGACACGAUGUGUGCGUAGCAGUGUCUGGAGAAUCGCUCGAGCCACCGACAAAGAACCUUGGGAUUGAUGACCUUUGGUUUCCAAGUCUGAAGGCUCGGGGACCUAAAACCUAUCGAGUCUAGAUGCAUUAGUGAGCCAAUACCGCAUGCAUCCAUGAUAGUUUACUUAGGGUAGAGCCUGCCUUACCCUAUUAGGAACACUAUUCACGAGGGGAGGGAUCCAACCCCUCUUUUCCUUUUAUUGCUUUAUCUCUUUGUAUUGCUUUGCUUCAAUGUGUUAUGUGUAUUUAUCUGAUUGAACUAACUUUUCUUGGUUUUUGUCUCUAUUGCAUUCAUAAAUCCUAGAAAAUAAGAGUUCUGGCAUGGUACUCUCUAGGAACUUACCCUAUUUGAUGUGACACGUUUAAAUUCAAUGCUUCGCAUUUGUAACAUGAAUACAUUUCAUUUUAGGCGUACCCCGGCAUACAAAAGGGGGUUCCUUUAGGUCACGUUUCAUUUGUAUACUGCAUAUUUAGUUGCUUUGAUAAAUUGACAUCAUGCAUGAACCAUAGAGGGAAUGCCAUUUAGGGGAUCCCACGUUAGGAAUAAACCGCCAUGUGUCUCGGAUAUACAAUCCAAUGAGACUUGCACGUCUAUAUUUCUUGUACCUUCCAAAGGAGUAGUGCACAAGGUAAGGUAGAAUCCGAUCUUUUUCCAUGAUUAUAGAACAAAUUUUGCACAUUAGAAUAUGAACAUCUAACAAUCAUUUUUUGGUCAUUUAUCUGGUAAAAAUCCCUUGCGUAAAAGGCAUUAAUUUGAAGAAAUUUACAAACGAUCCCUCAUUGUUCAGACGAUAAAUAUAUCGAGGCCAAAUCUUGAUUUUAGAAGACUCAUAGACUAAUGUAUCGCAAUGAUUUUUUUUUGAAACUACCAAUAGGUAGACAAUUCAAUAAAUCAUCAUUUUCAUUCAAUUCGUUUGAUCAAAUUAUCCAUCAAAUUCUUCCAAUCUAUUUGGUCAAUUCAUUCAUUUUAGGACAAUUCGGUCAAUUUUGAAUAAAUCAUCAUUUUCAUUCAUUCGACCAAUUUACCCUUUUUAGGGUGAUCUGACCAAUUUUGAAUAAAUCAUCAAUUCCAUUCAAUUCAUUGGAUCAGUUUAUCUAUUUUUAGGGUGAUCUAGUCAAUUUUGAAUAAAUCAUCAAUUUCAUCCUAUUCAUUUGACCCGCUUAUUCCGUUUAGGGUUUAACUCUAAGGUUCACUAAAUAAAUUAGUCGACACAUUGCAAUCCUUUCAAGAGUAGACUCUUUUACACAUCAUUUUAUGUGUUGAUCAAAACAAGCAAUCCAUUCGGACUUUGUCCUCAUUUUUAGGACAAAUGUCUCUUCUCACUCCAAUUGACCAAAUUUGUUAAAAUUAUUUUUUCACUCAAUAAGUUGAUCGGAUUCAUCAGGUAUUGUAUAGUGCCUACCCCAGAGAAUUGCAUUUUCAUGCUAUGCCUACCCUUGGCAUAAAAAGGGCACCCCCAUAGGACAUGCAUACCGAUUUUAUAGUCUUGCUUACUAACUCGGGGUAUUUUUCUUUUAUUUUCUCCCCUCCCCUGCAUUCAUAAAAAAUGUUUCAAUAAGGUGAAAAUAUUUUUUCUAUAUCUGAUAACGAUUUUAUCUAAUAAAUCUUGAAAAUUACAAUUAAUAUUUGAUUCUUGGAUAGACCCUACUAUUUGAAGAAUCUAUCUGGAGGCACAAGGCUAAAACACCUAAGAGACUUCAUAAUUGUUUGUCAAAGAAAAAAUUUUGUUUAUUUGAUUUGUUAAUACAUUUUGUUCCAAAAGAAAAGGAGACAAAAGUGUGUAUAUGUGGAGUUCUUUAGAAGUUUUUCUCUUCUCAUUUGCAUUAUGAUUGAACAAGAAAUUUUGUUUCAAACUUUUCCAAUAAUAAAGUUUUUUAUUUAGACAAUUAUUGUCUUGUAUAUAUAUUCAUCUAUAUUUCAUUCUUUAUUUUGCUCAUUGGAGAUUUCAUGAUGAAUUUUAAGAAAUGAGACUACAUUGAGAUUUUUUCAACCUCUAGCCUGAAAAUUCACAAGUGUAUGUUUUCUAAAAUCUUUGCAUACACUAGAUUGGUGAUCUGAACUAUACAAUAAGAGUGUUCAGAAUUAAAAAGAGGUCACUCAAAAGACCCAAUGGGAUACAUUUUUCUCCUUCACUGUACAAUUCAUAUUUUUGCCCAUUUCUAUUAGCCCCCCAAAAUCAGUCACAUUGAUUGAUAAAUUACAAAUUGGGGCAAUCUUUGCUUGAAAAUGCCCACUGUGUCUAAUUAGAUUCAAUCCACAUCUAAGUGAAAACAAAAAUGUACAUUAUUCUUAUUUGUUUUGAAAGUUUGGAAUGAUACUUCAAGCAUUCGUUUCUCUAUCUAUACAGAUUUUAUCAUUUGCUCUCUCAUUUGAGCCUUUAAAAGAAUAAUUUCGUUUCAAAUGAGAGCCCUAAUGAUCACUACCCCAUAUUGGAAGAUUUUUCAAAUAUCAAAAGGGAGUGGAUUCUCAAUGAGCAUUUCGUUACUUUGGUUGUCAUAAAACUUAAGAAUGAUGCUUUGGCCAUCGUUUCUACAAUCUAAACAUUAUUUAUCCCUUGCAUCCUCCUUUGAGCUAAAAUGGGUGGUUCUUUUUAAAAGCAUUUAUGAUCGUACCCCACACCGGGGAAGGAGAUUGGAGGAUUUUUCAAAAGAAGAAAAAAAGGAAGAAAAAGGAGGCAAAAAAUGCUAAAAUUCAAGAAGAAGAGAGGGAAUUGCAAAUUGGGAAAAUUUGAUUCUAUCUGGGAUUUAAUUUUGGAAAAGAAAGAGGAAGAGUUUUGUCCGGCGGAUCACUUAUGUUUCACAGAUAUGGAUGAACAGGAGUCUUUCUCAAUCAAUGAUGCGAGACGCGGAAGCAAAGACUGGAUUUCAGAGGUACACGUCGCGAUUGACGGAAUGGAACCCGACUUGGACCACUCAAGGACGGAUUCAACGGUAGAGGACGCCACAAUCAAGUGUGUGAGCUUGAUUGAUAAGUCAAUAAAACAGCCUAGGAACCACGCUCGGACAUUCAACUUAGCCUUCACAAGCUAAAGGAAUUUGCCACAACCAAUGGACGAAAUUCUGGAAUUUUAUUGAAUAAUAUCGGAAAACUGAAUGUAAAACAUGAUUUAAGGCUAUUUAUAGCCUUGACUAAACCCUAAUAAAGCUUGGAAAAUACAAAAGAAAAUUCGGCCAACCCAUUUCCUUCACUUGGCCGAAUAUUAACCCAACAACCUAUGGCCCGUAACUCAGCGUAGGUACUUAACUGCGGCCCAAUCAGCCGUUUGAAGCUUGACCACUUGCAUCCUCAACUGUAAGCAACACUUUAGUAGUCUCGCCCGGAUCUUCCAACUCAAUCCCUUCAAUGGGCGGUUUCUCUUGGGUUUGGACUGUGACGGCCCCACAUCUCCUUAAGGCGAACCAAAGGGUAUCCGCGGGACGCCUGCCCAACUCUCGCCAGGACUCAAGCAAUUCCAUUCCUCUUAAAACCAAACCGAACAUUUCGAAGAGAGUAACAUGAGUACAAAUAAUGCGGAAGCGUUCAACUUAACAAGUCACUUAACAUGUAACCAGUACAUCGGGUAAACAUAAUACGACUUAAAUUCUAAUUACACGUCAGGGCCCAAAUUUUACAUUUCAAUUCCAAAAGUACAGUCCAAACCAGGGCCUAGCCAAAAUAUAGAAGAAAUCCUAAACAAAAGUACAACGAAGGGUUUCUCCAUACUUCUCCGAGAUUCGGUCCUGUUAAGGAAAACAAAACUAUGGGGUGAGCUAAAUGCUCGUGAGGCCAAGAACACAUAUUCAAGCACAUUGUUCAAAUAGCAAUCCUAAAUUUAUUAAAUAAAACCGUGAUAUUUCAAUAAUCAACCAUUCGAGCAGGAAAAGUAAUCAGAAACAAUUCAAGGAUAUAGUAGCUCUCAGGAGUUAAGUUCCACUCGCUCUGCCGAUGUCAUUCGUAUACCUUCCCGCGAUGACCCUCCGUCAACCGGGUCGGUAUUUCCAUUUCCGUAGAUCACCACUUACUUCCCUCCGUCCACCGUACACCUCCAGGGCCCACAAGUCAUUUAUAAGGCGAUACUCCACGAGUAUGCCAAGCAAGACCUCUCAUUAGGUCAAGCUUAUAUAUCUCAUGGCUCGCCCAGGUUCCCGACCAAGCCCAUUGCCGGCUCGAGUCCAAGGUCGGCCUAUGAGUUUGGGCGUCCCCCAUUCAUUUGAAAGUCGAGGAGAUUCACUCCAACGACGUAUGUAGUUAUAACAUACCAUUGCAUUUCAUUCAUUCAUUCAAUACAUUUCAUUCAUUCAUUUGAAAUUAGAACGAGUGUGAUAAAAUACACACCCGCCCUUAUUUUUAAAAUCUCCAACAAUUACCACAAAUAAGCAAGUAUCAAGGAUUCACACACUUGACACUCACCGAGCAAUUCAAUAAGAAUUAUUUUCUGGAAGUUCAAGUGUCCACUGUAAGAUCCUCUUGAAGGUCUCCUUGUGCGCCUGGCAAUUAAUAGUGGAUAAUCACUCAAAUAUCAAAAUUAUCAAGGAAGAUUGUACACUAGUACAAUCUAAAGAAUAUUUCACAAAAAUGAACCUCAAUUACUCGUAAAUCGAGGUUCAACUUGCAUUUUAUUAAGUACAAUAUUAUUUGAGUUUUUAUCAUGAAAAUCGAGGGCAAAACGUUUGAAUAAUACUAAGAGAAUUAAGAGUUUUGGAAAAACUCCUUUGCCUUGAAAAUUGAAAAUUUUCAGUUUUAUUAUAAAUCUUUGAAAAUUCGUAUCUCUCUCGAUAUAAGUCCAAAAUUGGAAAACUUUAUCCCGUUGGAAACCUUUUGGAAAGUGUUAAAAGUUCGUAGAAGACACUUUUCCAUGAAUCUAAGUGGAAAGUACUUAAAAAUGAGCUUGAAAUCACUGUUCCAGAAUGUUCAGGAUUGAGUUAAGGUUGGUUUUUUUUGCUAACUUUGGAAAUUUGGCAGAAUUCACUCGUUGCAAGCUAGCCCUUGAAAUUUAUAACUCAAUUAGAGGUGUAAGUAAGGUUUAGGGCAGAACAAGCGGAUUGAGAAUUGGAGUUUCGAGCACCGAGAUACGGUAGCUCGAAGUUGGGAAAAUUCAAGUCUGGUGAACAAUUUCCAGAUUUGAGUUUCCAAAAAUUGGAACCUUAGCUAAGUGUCAAAACGAACUUGGAUUGGUAUAAACUUUUGUAGUAUGUUACUCCUAUAUGAAAGGUAUCUCUCUAUCAAAUUUCAGGAAAAAAUACCUUCGGAAAGAUAGUUAAUUAAUCAUCCAAAGUUCAGGAAAAUUUCUAAGGCAACCUGUCUUUUGACUUCAUUUCCCAAUUCAAAUCGUUUAAUCAACAAAGCUAUCCAACCAUGGUUCAUUUAUGAAAUAAAGGUCUAAGAUACAUCCAUGAUACCUUUGGUAGGUGUUUAGCAUCAAGAACUUCAAUUAAUAAGAUCACUCCCAGGUUUUGUCCCAAACCAGUCCAAGUAUUACGGUUUUUCCAAAACAGUGCAGUCCUCUUGUUUCGGUCACAACUCAGUCAAUUUAACUCAGAAUCGAGCAUGGUUUAUGUCGUUGAAAAAUACAUUCAUAGGGCUAUAAUAUCACAGAAGAAAUCAUUUCAAAAUUUGGUGCCCAACUAGUUCAAAAUUGGGCAUCAAUUUGCUGCCUUAUCACUUCAUUCCAGUUGAACAGAGCAACAGGACAGCGAUCUUAAAACGUUUGGUUCGGCUCACUCACAAAGAAUCAGAACGUGCAUUUUAUCUCAAAUUAAAGCCUGAAAUGUCUAGUUUCCAACGCCACCAACGGCACAUGAUUUCGACAUCCGAGGACGGAGUUAUGGCCGAAUCACCACCGCUGGUCAGAGCCAUACGUGAACAGUUUCCAGAUUUGCUAGUUUCACAAAAAAAAUUCGUUUGCCCAACCAAACCUCAUUAUUUUUCAAUGAAAUUUUUCACACAUCUAAUACGUCAUAUAAACAUCAAAUUCAAGCCAUUAGGUCAUUAAAAAUUGGCCUUAAAAUGGCCGAACAAGGCAGGGGCAAAAUCGGAAACUUUUGCUUCUUGCACCCAAUGAAGUUUCUAUCAAUUUCACACCAUUAAUCCAUCAUUUUAACCACUAAACCAACAAUAUAUCCACCAUCAAUCAUCAAAUCAGCAACAACCCAAGAGUGGGAGUUCAUAGAGCCCACUUUCACAUUUUUCCAACAAUAUCAAGUCAUCUACUUAUAUGCAAGUACUUAGAGAUGCAUAUCUACUACUAUAAAUCAAGUUUAAGGUGAUGGAUCAUGUUAUACCUUCUUAAUGUACUAGAACAGAAUUUUUGGCCCUUGAAAUGCUCCAAGAAAUCGUGAUUUCCAGCACCCUUUUUGCAGCUCAAAAUGAUCUCCUAGUGUUAAGCUAAGUGUGGUGCAAGUUUGGUUGAAUUUGGAGAUGUUUUGGUGGUGGUUUGAGUAAGCUUUGUGAAGUAAAAUGAAGAACAAUGAAGCUUAAGAGAGAGAGAGAGCUAGUCGGCAGUCUUGAGAAGGAAGAGAGAGAGAGUGAUCAGAUUUUUAAGCUUCCAAGAGAAGAUACUAACUUGUGGCUACAAAUCACCCAUUAGUCAACUCACAUUAGGGGGCAUUUGGCGCGAUUAGGGCUCGUUUUCACGCGCGUUUGGUUCACUAGUGCACUAAGUCUCUAAUGCACUUAUUUUCAUGUAAAUAUUAUUCACUCUUAAUUGUCCCGAAAUAAGGGUCUAAAGUCCCUCAAAUAAAGUCGCGCGUAUGAAAACGCGUACCGUCAAUUUUAACGCUAUAACGCGAAACCUCCGAGAAAUUCUUAUAACAACCGUGCUACUAACUAUCACUUGAGUAUUUAUUCAUAAGAUUACCUAUUUUAGGACCAUAGUACAAGUCUCCAAUAUUCCAAACUUAUUGUGCUCCCACGCGGUAAAAUCUCCGAGCACUGUUCACUAUUUUUACUAAACGCACUCCAGGAAAUUAAUUUUUGAGACGAGUCACUUUAAAAAUAUAACGAAGUUAUAUUAUCAUGUAUUUAGGUCUAAUAAGACUAGAAAAUAUUUCUCGUGGUAAAAAUCCAAUUAAAUAAUUUAUUAAGCCAUAAGUUAGGCUAAAAAAAAUAAUAGUUUUUACGAGUCCUCACAUGGACGGCAUAAACCAAGGCUUGAAGUGACUCCUUGAAUCUCUUAACUCGUGCUCGUGUCACUGGGCCUUGGGGCACCUUUACAGGGUCUACUUGAGCACCAUGGGCCUCGUCCGCAUCAAUCAAUUAAUUCAGAUACAUGCAAGAAAUUUCGCAUUAAUGAAAGUUUCCUUUCAGAGUUAUUGUAAGGAACGGAAUAAAAAGUUAGGCUCUCUUCUUUUCCAAUCAAACAUUCUAUCGCUAGUUAUCCCUUUCGAGCCUUCAAAAUAAAAUACUUCGUUUGGCAACCACUGAGGAUCGCAAACUCCACACUGGGGCAAGUUUGAGUUGCAAAGGGAAGGAAAGUUUCAAGAGGUGAAAAGUGAUAAAGUAACAAAAGAAAAAGAGAAAAUGAAACAAAAGAGAACCUCGGUUAAGCAUAAACUGGGACAAAUUUUGAAAAGUUCAAAAGAAUGGCAAAAGGCCAAGAAGAAAAUAGAGAGAAGAAAAUGAAAGAGAAAAGAGCCUCGGUCGAGAAUAAAUUGGGGCAGGUUUUGAUUUAACCCUAAAAAUAGGGUUGGCGCAACAAUGCGAUCUCAGAUCAUUUAAACCACUUUUGAAAUCCGCUUUCAAGUUUUAACUUUUCUAAGCACCCCACCAGACCCCAUUACAAAAGCCGAAAGUCCUGACUUCUGUUUUUUGCAAUAUCUCUGUCAAGAAAUUUUCUAAUUGGCAAGUGAUGCUCAUAUAUUGAUGCCAAGGAAUUUUUAAAUAUAUUUGAAUUGAUUAGGCGUGAGGUUGACACUGCUCUUCAUGUGAAAACCAGCAAGGGCACUUUUGAAAAAAAGAAGGAAAAAGGAAAAAGCAAGCGAAAUAAAUGCAAAAGAAAAAUGCAAAAAGAUUCGAUGCUGAAAGUCCCUGUUGAGUGAUUAUAAAGUCAAACAAAGGUCGAGAUUGGGGCGAUUUUUGGGAGGAAAUGCGAUCUUCAAUGCAAUGUCCUUAAAAUCUUAUUUAUUUAACUAUCGUUUUCAAGCCACAUUACAAGCUCAUAAAGUCCAUCGCUGACUUAUCUUUCAUGACAAUUCGAAGUGAGGAUUAUGCUUCUAAGGAAUCCAUUAAUCAUUCAGGAUUAUAAGGCAAUAACCGGUUUCCACAUGCUUAACUGUCAUUUCUACCCAUAUGUUACAAGUUUAUAAAGCUUAUAUGUUGACUAAGUUUUCUUAAAAAAUAAGGGUGACAAACUAUUUGUUUUCACUAAGAUGUGAUAUUGAAGGGAUUACAUACAAUUUGGGCACAAGAAUAAGACAAAUCCUGACCUCUAAUUCCCCUUAGCCCCCUCAAAAUAAAAAAUAAGAUCACUUGAUUGGUCCUGAAAGAUGAGCUAACAAAAAAGAGGUGACCCAUUACCCUAAGUCUCGAUGUUAAAGUGAGGAAGAAAUCUUCUGUAAUUUGAUAUUAUUUUGAGAAAUUCAUCAUGAAAUUUUUUGUAUGAGUUUAAGCAAGAUGUUUAAUUUUCUUCACAUUAUACGUUAGGAAACAUAGUUUCUUACUUUGUUCAAAUAAAUGGAGAGUCAUCGAAACAAAAUUUUUGCAAUUGAAAGGGCCCACACUGGGGUAAAUUUUUGUAAUGCAUUUGAGGAUUUCGUCCAAGAGUCAAAUAAGAUAUUUUUGAAUCAAUCAUACUGCUCUUUACAUGAGUAAUAGGUGCAUCAAUCAAAAAAAUAAUAAGAAAUUUAAGUGCAUGUUGUACUUUGGUAAGACCCCUAUACAGGUAUUCAUGGCUGAAAUUGAUGAAGAAACAUUUAGUGAUGUGGAAGGCCGAUACCGGAAAAAGAGAAGAAAGGAAAAGAAAAAGGGCUCUACACUGGGACAAAUUAUUUUUUGAAAAGAAUCUCUCAAUCAAAAAAAAAUCCCAAAAAAAAUCAAAAGAUCAAAAAUCCAAAAAAAAAAAAUCAAAAGAUCAAAAUUUUAAAAAAAAAUCAAUCAAACAAAAAAAAUAAAAAAUAAAAAAUCAAGUUUAAAUUCUUGUUUCUUGGAAAAUCAAAUUUAAUUUCUUGUUUCUUGAAAAGUCAAAUCUAAUUUCUUAUUGGUGAGUCUCAGCGUCCGCUGCGCACCCUUCUACCUCAUUUCUGGACAACCACAUUUAAUUCACUGACUUCUACCACCGUUAGCAUCGAGUCUAUCUCACUAACGUGUGCGUUUUUAUUCAACUACCGUUAGCAUCGAGUCUAUCUCACUAACGUGUGCAUUUUUAUUCAACCACUGUUAGAAUCGAGUCUAUCUCACUAUCGUGUGCGUUUUUAUUCUACCACCGUUAGCAUCGAGUCUAUCUCACUAACGUGUGUGUUUUUAUUCUACCAUCGUUAGCAUCGAGUCUAUCUCAUUAACGUGUGCGUUUUUAUUCAACCACCGUUAGUAUCGAGUCUAUCUCACUAACGUGUGCGUUUUUAUUCUACCACCGUUAGCAUCGAGUCUAUCUCACUAACAUGUGUGUUUUUAUUCUACCAUCGUUUGCAUCGAGUUUAUCUCACUAACGUGUGUGUUUUUAUUCAAAUACCGUUAGCAUCGAGUCUAUCUCACUAACGUGUGCGUUUUUAUUCUACCAUUGCUAGCAUCGAGUCUAUCUCAUUAACGUGUGCAUUUUUAUUCAACCACCGUUAGCAUCGAGUCUAUCUCACUAACGUGUGCAUUUUUAUUCUACCACCGUUAGUAUCGAGUCUAUCUCACUAACGUGUGUGUGUUUUUAUUCUAUCUUCGUUAGCAUUGGAUUCAUCCCACUAACGUUAUUCUAUCUCCGUUAGCAUUGGGUUCAUCCCACUAACGUGCCUUUCUAUUUUCGAUUUUUUCGGCAGGCUCGAGUGUUAUCAUACUGACCGACUAUCACGGCAGGUUUGGGUUUAUCCCACUAACCGAUUCUCAAGGCAGGCUCGGGUGUUAUUCCACUGACCGAUUAUCAAGAUUAUUAAGGCAGGUUCGGGUUUAAUCCCACUGACUGAUUAUCAAGGCAGACUCGGGUUUAAUCUCACUGAUCGAUUGUCAAGGCAUUUCAUUCAUCACUGCCACUAAACAUGGGUUAGUCCCACUAGUGAGCACUUCAUUCAUCAUUGCCAUUAAACACGGGUUAAUCCCACUAAUGUACAUUACAUCUUAUCGUUAGACAUGGGUCAGUCCCACUAACACUUCAUUUCACUUCACUUCACUUCAUCCCGUUGGGUUUGGAUUUUGUGCCACCAACCUCGGCAGGCUUGGGUUGUAUCCCACUGACCGAUGUCAUAGCAGCUUCGGGUCAGUCCCGUUUUAAAUUUCUUGUUCGGGUCAGUCACGUUUUAAAUUCCUCAUUCAGGUCAGUCCCGUUUUAAAUUUCUUGUUCAGGUCAGUCUCGUUUUAAAUUUCUUGUUCGGGUCAGUCCCGUUUUAAAUUUCUCGUUCGGGUCAGCUCCAUUUUAAAUUCCUUGUUCGGGUUAGUUCCGUUUUAAUUUUCUUGUUCGGGUCAGUCCCGUUUUAAAUUUCUCGUUCGGGUCAGUCUCGUUUUAAAUUAUUUGUUUGGGUCAGUCCCAUUUUAAAUUUCUUGUUCGGGUCAGUCCCGUUUUAAAUUCUUUGUCUGGGUCAGUCCCAUUUUCUAAUUUUUUGUUAAAGGGGUCAGUCCUCAUUUUGAAAGCGUCAGUCAUUCGAGUAGUUUGCAGCAGAAUAACCACAGGUGAGUAUUUGGUGUCUACGUCUUUGUCUCAAAUUUCUUCGAAACUCAGACAAAGAGGGGUAAACUGUAGACACCAAAUUUUUAGCCUUUCUUUUUCUUUUUAUUUUAUUUAUUUAAUUAGUUGAUUUUGUUUUAAUUUUUGCUAAGAAAAUUGUUUUACUAUUAUUAAUUAAUUCAUUGAAAAAAAAGAAAAAGAAAAACUGUUCCAUGCGCUCGUGCUUGGCACGUGCGCCAUUUUCUUUUCUUUCAUGCAAAAAAUGCAAGCGAAAGGCGAAAACAGGGACAUAAAUUUGCAACGGCAUUUUUUUAAUCCCAGCCUCAUCUCAAAAAUGCCAUCCAAUGGCUUAAGUUUUCGGUAGAAACCCACCCUUCAUCCUCACCUUUGAGGUGAGGGUUUUAGGGACCUGGGGUUUCCUAUAAAAGAAAAAAGAGCAGCGGGGACAAAGGGUAAGAGGAGUCGGCGGCUGGGGCUGAGUAGAAACAACGGAGGAAAAAAGCAAAAAAGGGGGGUUUUUGGGGAGAGUAGUUGACAGCUGAAGGAAAGAGUGAAGGGAGAGUUUGAGGGUUAGAGAGAGUUUUGGAGAGGGUGACGGCCGAAAGAAAGAAACCAAGCGAGAGGAAACCAAGGAAAGGAGAAGCGACUUCAUCAACGUAAAGGGCAUUUCGUGGGUCUUCGUUUCCAGAAACAACGUGUUUGUCCUGAGACUAGGAGAGAAACGAAUCAAGAGUCUGAGGAAGACACAAGGGAGGAUCGGGGAACAAGCAAAGGAAAUCUGCAAAAUCUUGAAGAAGGCUUCGAAGCUGAGAGCGAGGGAAAGAGGACUGCUCGACGAGGAGGCAACUUUUGCAGCAAAAGUUCCCGAUCGCGUUCCUGGGAACCCGUACGCGUUUCCGGGCAGAUCUCAAUGCCGCUCAACCGUGCUAGCAUUCUCAGGUAAAAAUACCUCUUAUUUGGUGGAUUUUAACAUGUUUUUAUGAAAGAUAAAGCCAUCGGAUGUGAAUCUUUUUGUUUGCUACUGGGUCAAGCUCUCGCUGGUUCUAUGAUUCUGCCAUUUUGCUCGUUUGCUAAGAUCUGAUUCAGUAGGAACCUAUGAGAUGAGUUUGAUUAAGAACAUGGGGUUUAGGGUUUUCUAUAGUGGUCACCUGAUGAAUCCAUGAGUUCUUUGCUCGAUGUUUAUGGUCAGUCUUUGUGUGAGUAUUGGAGCAGGGACUGAAACCCGAAUUGCCAUCUCAACCUGAAUUGAACCCGAAGAACGUAAGCGCGAUGAGUACUGGAGCAGGGACUCUAGGUGUGUAAUGAGUUACUUGAUUCAUCCUAUUCCCGAAGUGUUUGCUUGACCCGAUAUACCAGAAUGGGAUUGCUUAUUCGCAAGAAACUAUUGAUUUGUAAACAGGGCAAGUAGGGUCGCAUCCUCAGGGACUGGAAAAAAUUCGUUUCUUUUCAAAUCCACAAUAACAAGGGGAUGUUUUUGGUAUAAACGAUGACAAUCAAAGGAGUUUAAAUAAAGAUAAAUAGCUAACUAGGAAUUAAAUGACAAUUUACUAAAAUCAGAGUAAUAAUAAUUAAAGGUCUAGCCAAGAAAUAACUUCAGCAAUGGUUCACCUAAUUGAUCAUCGAUGCAAAUGCAAUUCCAGUUAUUUACUAAUAAAUAGGUUAUAACUGUCAAACAAGCAAUGACAGUCAACCCCUUCUUACUGUGUCGGUGACUAAGGUACGCCCGUUAAUCACUACUCUAAUUGAGAAAUAAUCCUAAGUACGCCCGUAAGAUUUAAUUUUCCAAUUGCCUUACGUAUUAAAGAAGCCCUAUUCUAACCAAAUAACACACUACCAGGGUUAUUUUAGAUUAGCCUGCGCAUUCCCCUGACACAAACCCAAUCAUGCCAGUUGUCACUAUUUUAGGGCAAUUAAACAAUUACGAUUUAAUGCUCUAAUUGACAAUAGGUUACUAAACUAAUUCAUUAUCUGGAUCCAAGACAAUCAAUUAAUUAAAUAACCAUAAGUACUACAAUCAGGGAAUAUGCAAAUACCAAUAAAUAAGAGGAAAAGAUAAAUUUAAAUCGAUCUCACAAUUUUUAGAUGAACCAAAACCUCCGUUGUUUCUUGACCAGAAAAGGGAAUUUAAUUCAUCCCGGAUAGGAAAGACCCACACAAAGUUGCAGCAAUAGUUGCGGCCAUUGUCUCCAAGAAUUGGGAAAAUUCAAUUCGUUCGAAUCAAUAAGAAAAGCAAGCUACAGAAAAUAAUUACUGGUCUUCACUUUGUCUUGACAUACGAAGAAGGAAAACUACUAAGAGCCCACAAGAAGAAAAGUCAAAAGCUAAAACUAAAAAGUAGUGCCCUCUUGUUUCUCUCUAUUCCUAUCUAAUGCCCCCUGCUUUGCAGCUGCCCCGCGGCAGAAAAAGAGAGAGUCCAGCCUUGUUCCGUCUCUUCCUUCUUCGGUAAGUACCAAAAGGGGAAAAGUUCCCCUUUUCCAAAAAUGCCACUGGGAUGAGGGCUGCUACUUGAACUCCUUUCCUAAUGACUAUCAAAUUGGCACUUGUUGUGGUAUUUUUGUUCUACUCCCUGUAAUAAAUGUAAAUUUUCAAAAGUGAGUAGAAUCUAACAAUUAAUCCACAUCAGGUCAAGUAAUAAGAGAAAUUAAUAAUAAAAGAAAUGAUAAAAUUGCGACCUAUCAAAAUGGGAUGGAUGUUUAGAUAGGAAUUCUGUAGAGGGCUGGUAGCAGCCAUCCAAAGAGAACAAGUCCAUUUGUGGACAAAAUAAAGUGAAUGGAGAAUAUAUAUAUAUAUAUAUACGCUACAUGAAUAUUCAACAUAUACAAAAAUGUGAUCAAGAAAAAUGAGGAAUCUGACAGCCUAAUGCUUACUUGCUGCUUUUUAUGGUUUAACUUUAAAGAGACUUUGGUGUCUUGGUAGUUCGUAAUUUGAUUCGAGGUUGAUAAAAAGAAAUUUUUCAGAAAACGUGAAAUAGGGUAAGUAUCCUAGUUUAUUUUAGGUAUUGAAAGUUAAUAAAAAUGGAAAUUAUGGCAGUAAUCCUCUUCAUUUUUCCCCACCAACCAAAGCAACGAUUUUUAAGAAUACAAACAAGAUUUUAAAAAAUAGUUGUGGAGAAAACUUUUAACAAGUUUAAAAUGCAAAGUGUCCAUCAUAAUGUAGAAGAGCACAAUAAUUAGAACUCCCACGUUGGCUAAGCAAAAAUAUAUGUUUGCUCUAAUAACAUAUUACAUAUUAAAUUAUUUUACUAUGAGGUAGGGUACAUUUUUUUUAUAGUUUAGCAAACUAGAACAAAAUUAUAAUAAUUUUAAAUUAAUAUAGUUGCGUGGUGAAAUAUCAUCUGCGGCAAUAUAUAUAUAUAUAUAUACACACACACAUGCGCACGCACACUACUUAUUCAGUUGAAAAAAAUACAAGAAUUUGACAAUAUUGGUUAAUCAAAGAGCACCUUUAGUGACAUGAGAAUGAAAAUUGCUCCUAGAAUAUCUUCCUGAACUUUGUCAUUGAACGAUUGCUCAAAGAGUCUGUAAGAAAUUUAAUUCAUUCUAAUUUUGUCAGUAUUUAAGAAAGUAAGGAUGAUUGAAUUUGACUGCCAUUGUUUUCGAAAGAAUGACUCCACUCAUUAAAGAAUCAAGCCAAAAUUGAGACAAGUAUGAACAAACAAGCAAUUAGUAAUUUAUAUUGUGGUAAUACAAGUUUAUACAAAAAAAAAAGUAGGCACAGUGUAUUUUUUCUGCACCUGUUGUCUAAUAAUAUUAUCACCUUCCAAACUUUGUGGGUUUGUAAAAUGCAUCAAUUAUGGAUCUUGGAGUAAAGAUAUUAAGUAUUAACUAAAUUAACUAAUUAUUGAACUUAUACUCAUGGAAUAAUAAUUUUUUUUUGUAAUGUGCUAAUCUCUAGAAUAUUUGACUUUUAAUAUCCAGGUCUCCCAAUGGUGUGGAAAUUAAGUUGUUCUUCAACAUGCAGCUUCGUGGGACUUCAAGCAUGCCAAGAGUUUCUGGGAAAGAAUAGGUCAAGAUAAGUGACUUGGAGGAAUCUUCAAAAUCAAUACACUUUGUUGAAAUUGAAACUCUUGGAAGUAGCUUGACUGCAUUCAUACCAAAAAGUAAUUUAACAUAAUACUUAUGGACUUUCUCCAUCUCUUUUGUCAUUUCUUUUUCGAAAUUUAUUGUUUAUAGGAAAAAGAAAAAGUCGAUUCAAGAUAUGAAUCUAUGAACAGUUCAACAAUCUAGAUAAUAUUACUCAUUAACGAGAGAGGUUAAUCUAAAAGGACUGAGAUUCGUAGACCAACUGGUCACUACUCAUUACUCAUUAAUAUUCUAAUGUUUGCUUGCUUCUUUUUCAUGGUUUAACUUUAAAGUGAUUUUGGUGUCUUGCUAGUUUGUAAUUUGAUUCAGUCCGGUUGAUAGAAAGAAAUUGCUCAGAAAAUGUGAAAUAGGUUAAAAUAUCCCAGUUUGGUUUGGAUAUUGAAAGUUAUAAAAAUGGAAAUUAUGGCGGUGAUCCUCUUCAUUUUUCCCCACCAAUCAAAGCAGUGAAUUUUUUAAGAAUACAGACAAGAUUUGAAAAAAUAGUUAUCUAUAAUAAUGUAGAAGGGCACAAUAAUUAGAACUCCUAUAUAUGUUGGCUAAGCAAAAAUAUAUUUUUGUUAUCAUAAGAUCUUACAUACGAAACGAUUGUACUAUCAGGCAGGGUAGAUUUUCUUUAUAGUUAGCAAACUGGAACAAAAUUAUAAUAAUCUUAUUUUAAUAAAAUUGCCAAAUGAAAUAUCAUUUGCAAUGACAAUGUAUAUAUUACUAGUUUAAUUGACAAAAUAUAAGGAUUUGACAAUGCUAAUUUGAUUAAUCAAAGAGCACUUUUAGAAGAUAUUACGUUUACACGUAAAACUUAAAAGCCAAUUUAUUUAUUUUUUUUUGCUUUUCUAAAUUUAAAUUCUUUUUGCACGUGCUUCCACUAUUAUCUUGCUCUACAUUUGAGAAGAACUUCUUACAACUUUCUUCAAAUAAAUACCUUUUCCAUACAAAUCCCGCGCCUUUAUAUAAACAAUUACGCUGGUUACAAAGUUUAUCAAGCAAUAAUGAAGAGGCCGAUAACAUUUUAUAGUACCUUACUUUUCUUCUUUCUUUUACAUCCUGAAGAAGUGAUCACUUUCACUUUCUUGGAAGAUCAUUUGUGCCAUCAUGAUGAGGCUCUUGCACUGCUUCAGUUUAAGGAAAUGCAUAGCACAUCAACUGAUGCUUCUCAUGAUUGCAAUUAUUUUGGUCAGUACUCAUAUCCAAAGACAACACAUUGGAAACCAGAUACAGAUUGUUGCAAUUGGGAUGGUGUCACAUGCGACAACAUCACCGGUCGUGUAAUUGGGCUAGAUCUGAGUUGUGGCCAGCUUCAGGGAGUCAUCCAUCCAUACGCUACCCUUUUCAAUCUUUUCCAUCUCCACAGUCCCAACCUUACUUUUAAUGAUUUCACCGGCUCACGGAUUUCAUAGUGAUUUGACUCGCUAAAAAGUUUGAUCCACCUCAAUCUCUCAAAUUCAAAUUUCCAAGGUGAGGUUGCUUCAGAAAAUAUCACACCUGUUCAACCUAAUUUCACUUGAUCUCUCUUUCAAUCUCUUGUGUAAUUCUAUGGGUUGCUCAUAUCCAAGAUAUGAAUUUAGUAAUUUUGAAGCGAUGCUUCAAAACAUAACCCAUUUAAGAGAGCUAUCACUUUCGUCAGUGAACAUCUCAUCCGAGUUAAGGGUGAAUUUUUCUUCAUCUUUGACAUAUCUAGAUCUCUCAUAUACUGGAAUAACAGGUAAUCUACUAGGCAAUGUUUUUCAUCUACCGAACAUGCAAGUUCUCUCGUUAGAUAGCAAUGAGAAUCUUACUGUUAGUUUAUCAAACUUGAACUGCAGCAUUUCUGAUUCUCUGAGGCAGUUGGACCUAUCGGCGACAAGUCUCUCUGCUGCACUGUCAGAUUCAAUUGGGUGCAUAAGGUCCUUAAAUUCUUUGGAUCUAGGAACUUGUCAAAUUUCUGGUGUCAUUCCUGAAUCAAUUGUCUUCGGAAGAUAACUAUCUUCUAGGGAAAAUUCUAGCUAAAUUUUCCUGUUCACAAAAGCUAAGUAGACUAUCACUUGGUCUUUUUAGAUCUCUCUAGUAAUCAACUAAGCGGUUCACUUCCUCCAACAAUUUUUACUAUUCUGACUCUAUCUUAUCUUGACCUUUCUUCAAACCAUUUUGCUGGGGUUGGGCAAGACGUAUUUGUGGACUUCAAUAAGCUUCAAAAGAACCCUCUUGAGAAUGAAGCCCCACGGAACACUAAAAACAAUGUGAGCAUUUCCUAUCCAGAUUUCUGGCACUUGGGAUUGUCUUCUUGCCAGAUAAAGGAAUUUCCUGAGUCGCAUAGAAAUUCAAAGAGCUUAAAAUUUCUGGACCUCUCAAAUAACAGGAUUCACGGCGAAAUUCCAAGCUGGUUCAUGUUGAAGAAAAGGGUUCAGAUUGGGAAAAACUUCAAGCGUAUAUUACUGAUUGCAAUAGUCUGCUGAUAUAGUUACAAGAAUUUGACAAAAAAGGGAAGAUACAAUUAUUCCUAAAAUCAUGUAAUGGAAAGCUAAAACUACUCCUACAAUCACGUCAUGACAAAAACUUAUAUGGUAACAAUAUAUACAGCUAUAUGAUUGAAUAUCUCAACACUCCCCCUCAAGUUGGAACAUGGAGAUUGCGAAUGCCCAACUUGCUCAACAAAUGGUGGAACUGAGCUUUCCCAAGUGCUUUGGUGAACAAGUCGCCAAUUUGAUCACAUGAGCGAACGUGAGCAGUCUGCAACUCGUUACUUAGUAUGCGAUCACGAAUGAAAUGGCAAUCAAUUUCAAUGUGCUUUGUACGUUCAUGAAAAACUGGAUUUGCAGCAAUGUGUAGAGCAGCUUGGUUGUCACAAAAGAGAGACAUGGGUGAUGCUAAUGAAACUUUCAAAUCUGCAAACAAAGAACGCAGCCAGAGGAGUUCACUAGUAGCAUUGGCCAUUGCCCUAUACUCUGCUUCAGCGGAUGAGCGGGAAACUGUAGUUUGCUUUUUGGACUUCCAAGAAACCGGGCUAUUACCGAGGAAAACGAUAUAACCACUAGUCGAUCGUCGAGAUGUUGGGCAGCUGGCCCAAUCUGAGUCACAAUAAGCAAUGAGUUGCAGCAAACUAGCAGAUGACAAGAAUAUACCUUGGCCUGGUGCCCUUUUGAGGUAGUGAAGGACUCGAUAAGCUGCAUCCAAGUGAGGAACACGUGGAUCUUGCAUAAAUUGAUUGAGAACUUGUACUGGAUAGCUAAUGUCAGGUCGAGUUAUCGUCAAAUAAAGUAGCCUUCCAAUGAGACGACGAUAUUGACCAGCAUCUUUAACUACUGCACCAACUCCCGCUGCCAAGUUGUGUCGUUGUUCCAUAGGAAAGUCAGCAGGACUUGCGUCGAGAUGACAAGUCUCUUCAAGGAGGUCUAGAGUGUAUUUUCGCUGGCUAAGUACAAUUCCUUCCUUAUUACGAGCCACCUCAAUACCAAGAAAAUAUUUGAGUUGCCCAAGAUCUUUGAUGCGAAAAGCUGAAUCAAGAUGAUGCUUCAUAUGAUUGAUGGUGGUUGAAUCAUUUCCAGCCACAAUAACAUCAUCUACAUACACUAACAAAGCAGUAAAGUGUGCUCCACUGGUGAAUGUAAAAUGUGAAUUAUCUGUAGCAGAUUGACUAAAACCAAUACUCUACAAGCAACUAGAAAAUGUUUGAAACCAAUUUCUAGAGGCUUGUUUAAGGCCAUAAAGGGACUUUCGAAGUCGACAAACCCGAUUGUCACCUGGUUUUGCAAAGCCUUGUGGUAUUUUCAUGUAUACCUCUUCACGUAGAUCUCCAUGCAGGAAGGCAUUAUUAAUGUCCAGCUGAUGUAAUUCCCAAUGUCGUACUGCAGCCACAACUAAUAGACAACGUAGAGUUGUAAGCUUUGCAACUGGAGCAAAAGUAUCAUGGUAAUCGAGUCCUUCAACCUGUGUAAAACCUUUAGCAACCAAACGUGCCUUAAACCGCUCAAUUGUGCCAUCAGACUUGUACUUGAUUUUGUACACCCACUUGGAAUCAAUGGCAUGCUUACCAGGUGGUAGAUGCUCUAAUGUCUAAGUUUGAUUCUCCUCCAGUGCCUUAAUUUCUUGCUGCAUAGCAAGUCUCCAACGAUGAUCCCUAACUGCUUGGGAAAAAAACUUUGGUUCGUCUAAUGAAGUGAUGGAGGCCAAAAAAGCUUUAUGGGCAUCAGUGAAAUGAGAAUAGGACAAGUUAUGAGAGAUAGGAUAAAUUGUACCUGAGUUUGCUGAUGGAGGGGACUCCCGAGAUGGUUCCAAGGAGGGUAACAACUUAUAAUCAAAACCAGAAAGCUUUGUGGAUACAUGCCUUACUCGAUGUGGACGCUGCAAGGAAGGAAUUAUAUUUCCACUAGGGCUGCCAGUAUCUGGUUGUAGUGUAGAAUUAUCUUUUUCAUGUUGGGUUUGUUGGGAAAAUGUAUGUUCAAUAGGAGAUGGUGUGGUGUCCAUCGAAGUGGAGUUUAUAGGAGGUGGAAUUGGGUCAGAUUGUGAGUAAUCAUGCUGAUCUAUAUGGGGUUGCACACUCCACAUUGAAGGUUUAGACUCGUUAUUUCAUUGAAAAGGAAAUUCUGUCUCAUAAAAUAUCACAUCCCGUGAUACAAAUACUUUUUCUCUUUCCAAAUCAUAGACUUUAUAGCCCUUUUGUCCAUGGGGAUAACCAAGAAAAAUACACCGAUAGGCUCUAGUAGAGAAUUUAUCUCGGUGUUUGUCAUGAUUAUGAGCAUAACAAAGUGAUCCAAACACCUUCAAAUGAUUGUAGUUGGGUUUACUUUUGAAAAGUACCUCAUAUGGGCUCUUGCCUUUGAGAGUGGGAGUGGGCAUCAAAUUGAUAAGAUGAACUGCUGUCAAAACACAUUCUCCCCAAAAUUUCAAAGGUAAAUGGGCUUGAAAACGCAAUGCUCGCGCAACCUCAAGAAUGUGGCGAUGUUUGCUCUCCACUCGCCCAUUUUGUUGUGGAGUAUCAACACAAGAGGUUUGAUAGUCAAUCCCUUGACUAGCAAAAAAAUCUCUCAUGGUCCUGAGACAAAUUCACUCCCAUUAUCACUUCUCACAACCUGUACUGGGUAACCAAAUUGAGUUUGUGUAGAUUGGCAGAACAUGGUUAGAAAAUCAUAGGCCUACAAUUUAUUUUUCAAAAGAAAGACCCAAGUACAUCGUGAAAAAUCAUCAAAAAUAGUUAAGAAAUAAUGAGCACCACUAAGUGAUAAGACAGAAUAUGCUCCCCAAAGAUCAACAUGAAUCAAAGCAAAAGGUUUAACACUUUUCUUAUUGCUGUUUGGAAAAGACAAUCUUGUUUGUUUGGCCCUAUGGCAUACAUCACAAAUGUGAUUAAAAUUGCUAGGAAAAGGAAUACUAGAAAUUAAUUUUAAUCGGCUAAAGGAAGGAUGACCCAAGCGCAUGUGCCACAAGGUAGCAUCAGAUUCAGUAACACUAAGACUUGCGAGCCCGUGGCCUCCUUCUAAUUGAUAAACCCCAUCUCGGAGCCUACCCACUCCAAUCAGCAUCCUCGUACACAGGUCCUGAAAAAAAACAAGAAUCAGGAAGAAAGGUUGCUGAGCAGUUUAAUUCCUUUGUAGCUUUGGCAAUAGAGAGGAGAUUGAACUUGAAACCAGGCACACAAAUAACAUUUUUCAAAUUGAUAUUUGGUGUUAGGUAGGCAUUACCAACGUGAGUUACAGGGAGACUAGAGCCAUUUGCGAUUCUCACAUUUGGAUAUGAAGAGAUGCAUUUAACAUUGUCAAGUAUACUUUUGUCUCCAACCAUAUGGUUAGAGGCACCAGUAUCCAAAAUCCAUGAGUUAUGGAAUGAAUUGCAUUUACCUGCAAAGUUGGCCAAGGCCUCAUUAUCAUGAUUUGGUGGUCCAAGGAUUUGCAUGAGUUUGUUGUACUGGUCCAUUGUCAAUCCAAGAGGUUGUUGUGACUGUGACUUCUCACUUGGGUUGAUAAAUUGGUGGUCAGUUGCUGCUAUGUUGCCAUAGAUUUGCAUCUGCCCUGAAUUGUUCUUGCCUCCACCACAAUUGCCACCUUUGCUUUGUUGAUUAUUCUUCCAAUUUGCUGGAUACCCUAUUAUCUCAAAGCAUUCUUCCUUGAGAUGUCCCAUUUUCUUGCAAUGUUCACACCUUUUACUUGAUCGACUUCUUGGGGCUUGACUCCUGGUAUUUUCGUUGCCCCUACGAUCAGUUUUUGCUGCAAAAGCCGCUCCUUCCAGGCUGUGUGAUGUUUGUUCAUUUACUUGUACAAAGGAUUGCUCUUCUUGUAAAGCCAAGGAAAACAGUUUACUGAGUGAAGGUGUAGGUUCCAUGGACAGCACAUUAGAUCUCAACCGAUCGAAAUUUCCAUUCAAUCCCAGUAGAAAUUGAAGGGCUUUUUCUUUUUCUCGGCGUAAUAAGUGAUCCUUGGCUGCCUCGCAUUUGCAAUAAGGCAAUGGAUCAUAGAUUUACAGUUCUUGCCAUAAGGUUUUGAACUUGGUAUAAUAUUGAGUUAAAGGCUGCCCAUCUCCUUGUAACAUGUUGGAAAAUUAUUUUUUUAUUUUAUAAAGUCGAGGUGCAUUACUUUGUCCAUACCUUUCACAAAUCUCAGUCCAAAUUUCUUGUGCCGUGCCGGUGUAGACAACGCUCUCUUGUAUGUCCUUGGCCAAGGAAUUCCUCAGCCAUGCUCUAACCAUUGCAUCAUUCUUCUUCCACCGUUGAAAGUCUGGUGACUUUAGAUCUGGCACUUCUAGACUGCCAUCAAUGAAACCACCCUUGCCUUUGGCAUAUAGGGCUGUUUCCAUGGUGCUUUUCCAUGCUGCAAAAUUUUCUCCUGCGAAUGGUGUGGAGACAAAUUGCAGCCCUGGAUGAUCUGAAGGUACAACACAUAGGGGGAGUCAUCAUAGAUUGUAACCUCUCCCCCUUUCGUUGAAUUCUCUGGAGUUGACAUAUUUUAUUGUCAACAAUUGUUAAGGCUCAACCUGCUCUGAUGCCAUGAAGAAAAGGGUUCAGAUUGGGAAAAACUUCAAGCGUAUAUUACUGAUUGCAAUAGUCUGCUGAUAUAGUUGCAAGAAUUUGACAAAAAAUGGAAGAUACAAUUAUUCCUAAAAUCAUGUAAUGGAAAGCUAAAACUACUCCUACAAUCACGUCAUGAUAGAAACAUAUAUGGUAACAAUAUAUACAGCUAUAUGAUUGAAUAUCUCAACACAUGUCCAAGACUUGGGAUAAUUUGCCCUACUUGAAUCUUUCGCAUAACUUUUUGACUGGUACCAUAGACCAACUACGGUGCAAACAUCUGUUGCAUCUAGAUAUGAGUUUCAACUCACUUCAGGGUCAAAUGCCUUCUUCUAUCUGUAACUCAACUUCUCUUUUCAUUCUUGAUUUGUCAUAUAACAAUUUGGUUUCCCGAAUCCCUCAAUGCUUGGGAAACUUCAGCCAGAAGCUCUCCGUUUUGGAUUUGGGAAAUAAUGGACUUUUUGGCACCAUUCCCACAACUUUUUCACAAGGUAACUCUCUGAAUAUUCUUAUGCUGAAUGACAAUCAACAAGAUUGAUGAUAGAUUUCCAAUUUGGUUGGAAUCUCUACCUAAUCUACAGGUUUUCAUAAUCGAUUUCACGGAGGAAUUGGUAAUUUUCAAACUGAAAGCCCAUUUCCGCAGCUGAGAAUCAUCGAUGCAUCCUGCAAUGAGCUCACUGGUGUUCUACCUACAGAACUCUUCAAAAGCUUAGAAGCUAUGAGAAGCUUAAAGGAUCACCCUGGGCAAUAUAGGUCAGAAACUGGCUAUGAGCUUGAUUAUUACAUCCAUUCCUUGACUUUAGUAAUCAAAGGGACGGAGUAUAGUCUUGAAAGAGUCCUGAUAGAUCGAACAGCCAUUGAUUUCUCAAGCAACAGAUUUGAAGGACAAAUUCCAGAAAUUAUCGGAACCCUUCAUUCUCUUCUUAUACUCAAUUUCUCUCAUAACAAUCUCAGUGGUCAUACUCCCCGGGCAUUAGGGAAUUUGAAUAAGCUUGAAUGUCUAGACCUCUCUUGGAACCAGCUUGAGGGAACUAUUCCUGUGGAGCUUCUGAAUCUGACAUUCCUUGAAUUCUUACACCUUUCAGAAAAUCAUCUGAUUGGACCCAUUCCUCGAGGAAGACAUUUUGAUACAUUUGGGAAUGAUUCAUGCAGAGGGAACUCGGCCUUGUGUGGAUCACCAUUGACUAAAGAUUGUGGAAAUACAGGGGCACCACCACCAGCCUCGCCAUUCGGAUCUGAGCAACAAUAUGAUCCAGAGUUCUUUGAUGGAUUCACCUGGAGAGCUGUUGUUCUGGGAUAUGGUUGCGGAUUAGUGCUCGGACUAACCAUGGGAAGUCUCGUGUUCUUAACUGAAAAACGAAGAUGGUUCAUAUAGAUUGUUGAAGAGUCGUACAAUCUGUGAAAAAGAUCGAGGAAAUAUGUCCACAUACGAACUUGAGAACAGCAAUGCAAUUUACAAAAUUGGUGGGCAAAACAUACUCUCUUCUGCAGCUGUUGUCUAAUAAUUUUACUUCCUCUGCAUAAUUUCCAUUUUCAUAAUCAAAUAUCCUUGGAAAUGAUAACUUUUUUCUAUGGCUAAUCACCAGAAAAUUUGACUUUUUAUGUCCAGGCCUCCCAUUGGAGUCGUAACUAGGAAGGAUCAGCAGUAAAACUGGCUUUGUUUCAGUUCCAGUUGUAUGUAUCUGCUAUGCACGUUUUAAGGUUCUAAUAGUUGCUUCUUUUUAUGAUUGUCAAGUUCCAGGUGCAAAGAGAUUCUGAUUCCUUGCAACUUUAUCUUUUGCUUCAUGGUUAAAAAUGAAAUCAAGAACAUGUUCAGAAAAUAUGAAAAAAGGGUAUAUCCCAGUUUGGUUUGCACAUUGAAAGUUGUUCGAUGAAAAUUAUGACAAUAAUUCUCUUCAUUAUUCCCCACCUGCCAAAGAAGUUAUCUUUGAGACUACAAACUAGGCUAGUGUGCUUUAAAAUGCUUUACAUUGACUAAUCAACAACGAAGAUGUUCUUCAACUUGCACCUUUGUGGGACUUGAUUUGGAACAGCUUUGCACCAUUCGAACUUCAAUCGUUUACUGCCACAGCUGGUAUGUGUGAACAGAGAGAGACUAAUCCAAGCCACUUUUCUUGACUUUGUGGAAAAGAACAAGUCAUCCUCAGUCUUUUGCAAUAAAUUAUAGAUAAGUGAAGCCUAGUCUUCAUCCAAAAUUGUCAAAAGUGAAAUUCAUGGAUGCAACUUGAACAUAACUUAUUCUUCACUGGACCUGAAAAUUAGAGCACCAGCGACCAGCUUAAUCUUAAUUGGCUUUGGAGCUUCCACGCCAAAUGGUACGACAAUUUUGAGAAAAGGGAAGGGAGAGUUAUAGAUUUCAAGAGAAUGAUCUUUUUUCACACUACCAAAUUAGGGUCUACUAACAAAAUUUAUAGUGAAGUUCUUCAAAUCAAAUGAUCAAUCCACGAGACAAAAUCUAAUAGCAUGAACUAACUCGAAAAUAAGGUUGAGAUCUCUAUUUUAAAUACAAAAGACAAUUCACAUAUCCGAGAUAAUGAGUCAAGGAUAACCAUAUAAUAAAGCACAUACAACCACAAACUUCAAACAGCAACAAGUAACCAUGAAAUGCUUCAUGAUCCAAUUAACACAAGAAAAGCAAGAUAGUUAAGUAAUCUUAACAGAAUGCUUAUUGACUUUCUACAUCUCUUUAAUCAUUUCUUUUUCCAAUUUUUUUUUUUGUUUUACAACAAAACAAAAGUGAAUUCCAGAUAUGACCCCAUUACAGGUUCAAAAGUACAGAUAAUACUCAUGAACGAAAAGGAAUGAGAUGGGUAGGCCACUUUGGCCCCAUAGCUGUGACAAUUAGUGGACUCGUUGAUCCAAAGGCAUUUAUGGUGGAAAUGAAUUUAGAACGUAAAUGUAGUUUCUUGGCAUUACAAGUCUUUACAAGCCUAAUGAAGAUAGCAAAUAAUUCAUAUGGAUGCUACGACUUUUCAGAGGAGCUAAGGCCCAUUCUAAUUAGCCAUUACUCAUGAAAGGGAUAGUUAGAUAGGAAUUUAGUAACAUAGUGAUAGAAGCCAUCCAAAGAGAACCGGUCCAUUUGUGCACAAAGCAAAGUGAGUUUAGGAUAUAUAUGCUACACCAACAAUCUGCACAUACAAAAUUUGAUCAAGCAAAAUGAGGAAUCUAAUAGUUUAUACACUAGUGCUCCUUUCUUUGCAAUCUCGAGAAAUUACCAGUUUGUCUUCCUUUUUACCUCAUUUGUGUCACCAUGAUGAGAGUCUUGCUCUACUUCAGCUUAAGCAAAUGUUUCAAAAAUCAACAGAUGCUUCUGCCUACUGUGAAAAUGCAUAUCCAAAGAUGAUAUCAUGGAGCAAAACUUCUGAUUGCUGCACCUGGGAUGGGGUAACAUGCCAUAGAGUUACAGGUCAUGUAAUUGGCAUAGACCUUAGUUGCUGCCAACUUCAAGGAUCCAUCUAUGCUAAUAGUAGCCUGUUCAAUCUUUCUCGCCUCCAAAAGCUUAAUCUAGCUUACAAUGACUUCAAGAAUUCACCAAUUUCUCAUGGCAUUGGUGGCUUGACUAGUUUAACAAACCUCAAUCUCUCCAAUUCCAAUUUCUACGCUCAAAUUCCAUCCCAAAUAUCUUUACUGUCAAAUUUAGUUUCACUCGAUCUCUCCCAAAAUCCUAUUGAGUUUGAACAUCAGGAUUUCCAACUGCUUCUUCAAAACUUAACUCAGGUUAGAAUACUUUCUCUUUCUGACGUUAGUAUCUUCUCCGAGUUCCCUAAGAACUUUUCUUCAUCUUUGACAAUUGUGGAUCUUGGUCAAACUCAAGUUUAUGGUAAGCUACCAGACCAUAUUUUCUAUCUAGCAAAAUUGCAACAACUCAUACUAAAUGGAACUCAAGUCACUGGAAGUUUACCGAACUUGAACUGCACUGCUUCAUACAUGUUGUCGUACUUAGAUCUUGCUUACACAAAUUUUUCUGGGGAACUUCCCAACACAUUUGGCUGCUUGAAGUCCUUGAACGCCAUGUUGCUCGAUGGAUGUCAGUUCACUGGUCGCCUUCCUGAGUCAAUUGGAAACCUUUCUCAGCUCACUACGAUGUCUCUGACUCAAAACAGUUUCAGUGGGCCUCUUCCAUCGGUGAUCUCAAACCUUGUCCAACUGGAAGUUUUAGACCUUACAGGCAACCAAGUGCAAGGCCAAAUACCAGAUUGUUUCACAAAUCUCCAAAAAUUAACUCAAUUGUCAUUGCGAGACAACCAUUUGGUUGGGCCUUUCCCAUCCACCAUUGCGAACCUUACCAAUCUCCAGACGCUAGAUCUACAAUCCAAUUCGAUAACAGGUCCUCUUCCAUCAAACGUGAGUGGCCUUCAGGAAUUGUCUUUUCUAUAUCUUUAAAACAACUUGCUCCAUGGCACAGCACCGACAUGGUUAUUUAGCCUGCAGUUACUCACAACUUUGCUUCUCAAAAACAAUCUCCUAACAGGACAAAUCGAAGAGCUCAAUGGAAUGUCACUGAUGAAAAUUGAUUUGAGUAAUAACCAAUUAUAUGGUCAAAUUCCUAAAUCAAUUUCAACACUCCCAUUUUUAGAUUUCCUUGACCUCUCAUCAAAUAAUUUGAGUGGCGUGCUUGAACUAUCCAGUGAUGGUCUUGAGUACCUUGUUCUCUCUAAUAAUCGAAUAUCAUGGAGCACCAGCGGAAAUGUCAGCAACUCUUUACCAAACCUUUAUCGUUUAGAGCUAUCUUCUUGUGAGAUGAAGGCUUUCCCAGAAUUUCUCAGAAGCUCAAAGAAGUUAGAAGUUCUACAGCUCUCUGACAAUAAGAUUCAAGGUCAGAUUCCCAGCUGGGUGACAUCCAUGCCUUGGGAUUCACUUCUGUAUCUAAAUCUAUCUUAUGACCACCUUUCUGGGAUGGAUGCAUUACCUUGGAAGAAUCUAAGGGUUCUAGAUGUUCGAUUCAACCAAAUCCAAGGACAAUGGCCUUUUUUCAUUUGCAAUUUGAAAGCUCUAGCAAUUCUUGAUUUGUCAAGGAACAAAUUUACUGGUGCAAACCUCGGUGUUUUGGGAACUUUUCUAGUUUUGUGGUCCUGAAUUUGGAAGGAAAUGGCCUGCAAAGGACCAUUAAUUCAAUGGUAUUUGCAAAAGAUAUCAGAUUGAGAUAUCUUGGUCUGAAUAGAAAUUUCUUGGAAGGGCCGCUGCCAGAAACUUUGGCCAACUGCAAGUCCUUGAUGUGGGGAACAACCGUCUGAAAGAUAUAUUUCCUGCAUGGUUACAAAAUCUUACGGAGCUCCAAGUUCUUGUGUUGAGUUCUAACAGAUUCUUUGGACCCAUAAGCAUUUUCAAGGCUAAGAGUCCAUUCCAAAAGUUGCAAAUCUUCGCCCUCUCUUGCAAUGAGUUCAGUGGUGUUCUAUCUACAGAACUUUGGAAAGCUUCAGGGCUAUGAUGAGCUUACAAAGCAACAAAUCAGAAUCUAAAUACUUGCAUGCAACCGGUAAUACAACAAAUUAUCUAUACUCUGUCAGCAUGACAUCCAAAGGCCAUGAGAUUGAGUUCACCAAAAUCAUUAGAACUCUCACAACCAUUGAUCUGUCAAGCAACAUGUUUCAUGGGAGGAUCCCAGACGUCAUUGGAAAUCUCUACUCCCUCAAGUUGUUGAACUUAUCCAACAAUAACUUUUCUGGCCACAUUCCACCAGCUAUUGGGAACCUGAAAUUUCUUGAAACAUUAGACCUUUCAAGAAACCAAAUUGGAGGAGAGAUUCCAAUGCAGCUAACGAAUCUUACAUCUCUUGAAGUCCUAAACUUAUCAUGCAAUCAUCUUAUUGGGCAAUUCCUCAAGGCAAUCAAUUGCGCACACUUGGUGAAGAUUCAUACAGCGGAAACUCAGGAUUAUGUGGAUUCCCAAUAACAAAAAGCUGUGAAGAAAUGCAUGUGCCACAAGCGCCCCCAGAUGAGGCAUUGGAACAAGGCGAGGAUUCGAGUUUCAUGGGUGGAUUUACAAGGAAAUCAGUGCUCAUAGGAUAUGGUUGUGGACUUGUUCUUGGCAUAGCUUCUGGUUUUCUAAUGUUUGCUACUGGAAAACCAAGAAGAUUGGUAAGAUUCAUUGAAGAAGAAGCAUAUAGUAAUAGUGUACUCUUGUUUGGAAAGAGAAAAACUGUAUAAUCAGCUGAAAAAACCAAUAACAUGUCACGAGCGCAUGGAAGAAGAAACUAAAUAUCCAGAUAAAUGAGGUAACUAGAACAUACAUUCUGUGAUUUUAUAUUGUUUCCUUGUACAACUUUGUUAUCUAUAUCAUCAAAUGUUUACAUUCUUAAGAUAAACUGUACUUCUUACAGUUGCCCAAUUUAUAUUCAAGCACUUACUAUCUUUGUGCUUAAUAAGCUAUUAUUCAUACAGCGGGUCUGGUUUUAUAUUUGUAUAGCUGAUAUCAAAUUUUUGGAGCAUGUCUCGUUGCCCCAUUAUUCAAAAAUAACAGCUUUAAGAUCUCCAGUCUAUGAACCAAGAUAUCACUCAAGGCCAUAACCAAAAGGAUGACCUCACAGGAUCCAAAGCCAUUUCUGAUAAUUAGUGAGACUGAUAGUUUCUUGGGUUUUCACUGAAUUUCUGAUUCAAUGAAUUAGAAUAGACAGCUUUAAGGAUAUGAUACCUUUCUUUUUAUUAUUCUCAUUUAUUGAUUUGAUCAAUUCAUCUAAGCAAUCACCAUUGUUGUAGUUUAAUGUGCUUACCUUUCAUUUUUGUAGGUGGAGAAAUUUGGGAAAGAGAACUUUUCAUUCCACGUUAGAUGUCUUAAGUAUUUGUGUUAGACCUAUUAACCUUUCACGGUUCUUCAAGUGCUGUCAAUUACUAAACUCAUAGAAAUCAAAAUCCGCUUCAAAAUUUCUCAUAUUAUGUCCUUUGUUCUUUUCAUGUGUGAAUCUUAGUGUGGUUUUGUAACACUUUGUAGAAGCUCAACAAUUGAUUACUAGAUUCAGGUUUCUAAAAGAUAGUCUCCAUUAAUUAUAUGAUUUAGGAAACCCAAAUUAAUGGUGAAAAUAAUAAUUACAUUUUUCAGAAGCUCCUAAAGGUAGGAACUAAUAUUGAAAUUCACCUUUAUGAGACGGUACAGACUCUAUACAUUGGCACAUCCCAAAAUUAUUCUGAAAAUGAUCCAGCUUUGUGUCAAAGUUCAUUAAGGGUACACAAGAAUGUCCAACCACAAGCUAAAAAUUAGUUUUACUAGAACUAAUUUUUAUUAAACUUCAAAACAUAAGCUAAAUUAUUUAACAACAAAAUAGCAAUGAAUUGAGAACAUAGGAUUUGUAAUUCAACAAAAAAGAGGAAAUUAAGGAUUAUGUGGAUUUGCACAAGUACAUGUAACUUGAUGUUACUGUUGGAUCUUUUAAUUGGAAAUAAAGGAUGGCUUACCUAAUUAAAUUUACCACUACCAGGUCAACCUUCUUGCAGUUUCAGCAUUGUUUUUUCAAUAACUCAGCUUCCCCAUGGAUUUUGCUGCAUUCAAAUAAUUUUGUCCUCAGCGUCAGAGAGAAGUCAUAGACAAGUAAUUUGAUUGAUAAGAAACCAACAUGUCAGGCCAUUCAAUUAACUUCUUAAUCAUGUAACUCACCGUUGUGCACAGAAAUAUGAGACUCUAAAAGACAAACCUUGAAAUAGCAUUUCUCCAUUCACGUUUAGUUUGAUUUUAUGAUCUAAAGUAACUGCUGGUGUACUUGCAACACAAAAUGAGAAGACUAACGUGCUUUGUGCAUCAGUUGAAUGAAGCUAAAGGAAAGCACCAACAAAGUGCCCUGCGUCUGGUGAACAAAAGCCACAUAUGGCAACACGAUGAACAUCUCCAGCUCCACGACAAACCUAGUUGCAAAGUUACCCAUUAAAGAACAUAAAAACGAAAGUUGAAAACUUUCUGAUCGAACAUCUUUAAAACCAACAGAACAAUCUUCCAGAAGGAGCAAGUCAUUCUGAUUCUUGUGCAAUCUUUUAUCAAUCCCACAAGGGUGGAACAAAACCUAGAAGUGGAUUCAAUUAAUAACUCUAUGGUGACAAAUUGUCAUCAAAAGAUUUAAGCUCUGAAGGAAACAACUAUAACCAAAAUUUUAAUUGUGGUAUAUACAUCUAAAUGAAAGCAAUUUCAAAGUUUGAGGAGCCAAAAACAUCAGCAAGAAUGAUGAUUGCUACCCAUAAAAGGAAAAAGAAAAAAAAGGAUAAGAUCAGCAGCUCUACUCAGCCACCACUCAAACUGAUUGCAACAUAGCUAGAACAUGUUGACACUCUGCCUAAUCUAAUUAACGAGAAACUGGCAUGUCAUACAAAUGCACUUCUGGACACGCAAUUGCGAGAAACUGGCAUGUCAUACAAAUGCAAUUGAUAUAAAUUUCUGCUGACAUGGGAACAAAAUGUUGAUCUCAGCAUCCUGGCAGUAUACUUCAUGGAUGGAAUAGUUGGAAAAUUGUAUUCAGCAAGUCAUGGAGCCUGAUGUUUCCAAGUCACUCUCUUCACUCCCAGCAAAUUUAAUAGAUCUGCCAAAAAGAGCCAUCUUCUCUGACAAAUUACGAAGAGCAUCCUGCCUAUUAGCCAAUUCCAUAAGCACCUUAAUCCUCCUAAAUGAAACAUUACUUGGUUUUUGCCCUUUCUCCACCAUCUGCAAGAAAGACCUCUCAGCCUCAUCCAACUUCCCCAUGUCACAAAGCAAAUCAAACAAAACGUCAGAGACCAAUAUAUAAGAGCCAUACCCCAUCUCCACCAUAUCAUUCCAUAGCUCAAGUCCCAUUUCAACCUUCUCGUGCCUUCUCAACAACCUGAUCAAAAACAUACAAGAUUGAGUGUUUGGUAGACACCCUGUUUCCCUCAUUCUCAGGUACAAGUUCCAUGAACUUAUCAAAUCAUUCCACCAAUAAAAGUCCUCAACAAAAUAUUUUAAGUAGUUGCAUUUGGGCUCAACACCUUCUUUACCAUCUCAUUCAUCAAACCAUAGGCAUCCCCAAUCCUCUUUGCAAUACAGAAAUUUCUAAUAGCAGCAUUGUAAGCUGCCACAUCAGGAUAGCAUCCAUACUCUCUCAUCUCUUCCAAAACAUCCCUUGCCUUAUCAGGUUGCCCCACAAGCCCCAAACCACCAAUCAAACUCGUAUAUGUAAUCACAUCUGGACUAAUAUCCCUCUCCCUCAUCUCCUCCACCACCCUAUACGCCUUAUCCAUUUCUCUCGUCUUACAAUACACAUCCACCAAACACUAUCAGGUUCAACCCCCAUUUCCCUCGUCUCCUCAAAAAAGCCCUCGGCCUCAUCAGUUGACUUCCAACCAGCCAACAAUAUAUUAAAAGUCUGCAAAUUCGGCCUAAAUUCAUGCUUCAAGUUAUGAUACACAUUCCUGGCAUCACUCAUCCUCUUCUCUUGACACAAUGUCCUAAACAGUGCAUUGUAACAACUAGUAUCAAACUCCAAAACAAGCCUUCGAAACCGCUUAAACGAAAUCACAGUCUGCUUAACUGAACAAACCUUAGCAAUCCUAGCUAAGACAACUUGAACAGUUCUUGAAGUGAUCGAAGAUUGAUCCUUUUUCUUCGCUUCCACCAAAACCUCCCAAAUAUUAUCAAAUUUUCUGCUCCUACCCAAAACAUACAGCAUUGUAUCCAAAGAAAAUGCAGAAUGCAAAAACCCCUUUUUCCUAGAUGUAAACUUAAAGAAUUCCAAAGCCUGUAAUGGAUUAGAAUGAGAAAAUCUGACCCUUUUCAGAACAUUAUCAAUUAAGUCAUUUGAGAAAGGGAUUGAAGCUGCUGCUGAUCUCAGUGACUGUCUGAGUUCAACUGAGGUUCUUGAACUUGUUAGUAUCCGAAAAACAGUCUCAACAUCGUCGUUUACAGCAGGGGAGGAAGAAGUAAAAGGCGGGAUUUUUUCAAUUUGGGGAAUGGAACUAAAGAAAAGAAGUGAAUUUAAACAGGCAUACCUUACUGUUGCCGUUGAUGAUGUACAAGAGUGAAGAAAAAUGGGAUUUCUGAUAAAAAGAUGGAGCAAUUUUUUUGGGAUGAAAUCUGAAUGAAGACAAGAACCAAAUAUUCAGACUCUAUGCUACUGCUGCUCCUGCAGGUUUUCCCUCAAGUAUUCGAAUGCAUGAAAUUUUUGGGAUUUUUGUGAUUUUGGGGUCAUUUUUUAUGCUGUGGUUUUGCCGCAAAGCGAUUCUUCCAGCUGAAUUGAAGUGAAAGUUACACUUCAGGGAUGCACCUCUGUAUUCUUUUGUUUUCCUCUUUUUUGCCUUUUUUUUUCCAUCGGCGAAAUAAAAAGAGAAAAAAAAAGUAGGCUAAUACCAUAAAAAUGACCAUAGUUUUAGAACCAUCAGAUCCAAUUACUUUUAAAGGUCAAACUAGGAGGGGAACACCGCGCGAUGCGCGGUGUAAUUUUCAAGUUUGCCCAGAAACGUUCAAUUAUUCAAACUGGGAUAUUCAAUAUAAAAAGUUACAUGAAGGUGCAUCCAAAUGUUUGUGAUUAUUUUUUAUAAUUUUAUUAUGCAAUGAAGAGAGCCACAAUUUCAGUCUAGUUGCUAAAUGACAGUCAUUUUUGGUAUGCUGACUAAUUGGACAGCAAUGGCAAUGUCAUUAGUUUGAAAAUAAUAUAACACUGUGUAAUGCUGCCUUAUAUUUUUUAUGUACACCAAAAUCUGUGACUUUGUAGCUAAAAAAAAAAAAGAGAGAGCAGUGUAGUAUUGCAGCAAGGCUUAGCCUUAUUUUUAGACUCUGAUACAACCAAUCCACUAUUUUCGUAAUUGCAUCAAAUUAACCCAAAGACUGAAAGAAAGACCUAUUACUUUGUAGUACAAUAACCAAAAUGGCUUCAUUAGCUUGUAACUUCAAGAAAUCUACGGAAAGCAAAAGAAUUGUGCUCACAUAUCAACCGUAGUGAGAUAAACUGCAUUUGACCAAAAACGGAGGAGGAUUACCUAAUGCAGGUGUAUCUUCUCAAUACAUCAAUAGUAUAGGGGAUGGUCAAGUACUCAAUACACAAAAAAAAAAGAAAAAAGGAAGUUUCACAGGCCUCGAUGCAAUUCUACCUUUGAUCAUUUGAUGCAUGUCAACAACCAGAAUCCCGUAAAAGGAAAGACAAGUACAUGAGAUAAUGUAAAAGCCUGCAUUUAUGAAACUUACUACCAGUAGACUGCAUUCCAGAGGUUCUCAUUACACAUCAAAGCUGUUCCAGCUCAAAAAGGAAUAUAAGAAAAAGAAGAAAAAAGAAAUGCACAGUGUGCAUCAAGCCUUUUCCUUGUUAUUAGAAUCAUACACUUCAAAAUAACCGAAAGACCGAAAAAUGCAUUACUUUGUAGUACAAUAACUAAAAAGGUUUUUAUUAGCAUAUAACUUCAAGAAAUCUAAUGAAAAGUGUGAAUUUCAGAGGAAGAGAAUAAAUUCCCCAUAUUUUUAUUCAUCAAUGGUAAGGGUAUAUAUACAGGUAUAGACAUCUUAUAAUAUGAAGAUAUCCUAUUACAAUAAAUCAGUCCUCUAAUUCCUAUAAUUUAGGCUACAAACUAGCCUACAUUUGUUAGCUAUCUAAUCCCUACAAAUCAGCCUAUAUCAAUCUGUGACAGCUAUCUAAUCCCUACAAAUCAGCCUGCAUAUAAUCUGUAACACUCCCCCUCAAGCUGGAGCAUAGAUAUUAAUCAUGCCCAGCUUGUUACAUAGAUAAUCAAUCCGGACCCCGUUAAGAGCUUUUGUGAAUAUAUCACCUAAUUGUUCUCCAGUCUUCACAUAACCUGUAGUGAUCAAACCUUGUUGGAUCUUUUCACGAACAAAAUGACAAUCAAUCUCAAUGUGUUUCGUUCGUUCAUGAAAGACUGGAUUGGAAGCAAUGUGAAGUGCAGCUUGAUUAUCACACCAUAGCUUGGCAGGUACUGAGACCUUAAUUCCUACUUCACUAAGGAGCUGAUAUACCCAUAUGACUUCACACACAGACUUGGCCAUAGCUCUAUAUUCAGCUUCCGCACUGGAUCGUGAGACGACAUUCUGUUUCUUACUCUUCCAUGAGACCAAAUUUCCCCCAACAAAAACACAAUAUCCUGAAGUAGAUCUCCUAUCUUCCUUACACCCUGCCCAAUCUGAAUCUGAAAAACAUUCAAUCCUAGUAUGACCAUGAUUGCCAUAUAGGAUUCCACGUCCAGGAGCACAUUUUAAAUAGUGCAAAACUUGUUCGACUGCUUUCCAAUGGUCAACAGUUGGUGAGGACAUAUAUUGGCUUAACACACUCACUGAAUAAGCAAUAUCAGGACGUGUCACAGUAAGAUAAUUCAACUUUCCGAUUAGUCUUCUGUACCUCUCAGGAUCUGCACACAAUUCACCUUCUUUGGUUAAUUGUAAAUUAGGAACCAUUGGGGUACUACAUGGUUUAGCACCCAACUUUCCCGACUCCGACAGUAAAUCAAGUACAUACUUUCUCUGUGAUAGAAAGAUUCCCUUCUUACUCCUGCUAACUUCAACUCCCAAGAAAUACUUUAACAUCCCCAAGUCUUUGGUAUAGAACUGAGUAUGAAGAAAGGACUUUAGAGACGAAAUUCCGCUAGAGUCGCUACCUGUGAUUACAAUAUCAUCCACAUAUACAACUAACAGAAUAAUACCUCCAUUAGAGUGUCUAUAGAAAAUAGAAUGAUCUGACUUGCUUUUCUGCAUCCCAAAUUUCUCAAUAGCUUGGCUAAAUUUUCCAAACCAAGCCCGAGGACUCUGUUUCAAGCCAUAUAGAGAUUUUUGCAGACGACAGACUUUCCCUUUCCCAUACCCCCCUUGAGCAACAAAACCAGGUGGUUGCUCCAUAUAUACCUCCUCCUGAAGAUCACCAUGAAGAAAGGCAUUCUUGAUGUCUAACUGAUGCAGAGGCCAGUCAUAAGCUGCAGCAAGGGAGAUAAACAACCUGACCGAAGCAAGUUUAGCAACAGGAGAAAAAGUAUCAUGAUAAUCCACCCCAUAAAUUUGAGCAUAUCCUUUAGCAACAAGUCGAGCUUUCAAUCGAGAAAUGGAGCCAUCAGAAUUCAUUUUGACAGUAAACACCCAUUUACAUCCAAUGGCUUGUUUACCUGCAGGUAAGGUAACCAAAGUCCAUGUACCAUUGACAUCUAGAGCAUUCAUUUCCUCAAUCAUAGCAGUCCGCCAUCCGGGAUGAGCUAAUGCCUCUCGAACAGUCUUAGGUACAGAAACAGUGUCUAGGGAUGUAAGAAAAGCACAAGAAGAGGAAGACAAAUGAUGGUAGGAAACAACUGAAGAGAUUGGAUAAGUACAUGCACGUUUACCUUUUCUGUGAGCAAUAGGGAGAUCAAGAUCAUCGUUGGCAGCCGGAUCUGAUGACAAAGAGACUGGUUCAUCAGGACAUGAUUCUGGAGACUCAAGGACCAAGUCAGAACUGGGCUGAUGUGCCCGACGUGAGUAGGUAUAUUUGAUGGGAGGCUUAACCGGUGUAGAAGGAGGCGGACCCAAAUUUGGUAUGACACUAUAGAUUAACAAAUCAUCAUCCUCCCCUGGACUCACAGAACUUGAAGAGCCUGAAGAUGAAGAUAAAGGUGUUUGUUCCAAAAAAGUAACAUCAGCAGACACAAGAUACUUACCAAGACUAGGACAAUAACAACGAUACCCUUUUUGCAUGCGAGAAUAACCCAGAAACAUACACUUUAAGGACUUAGGAUCAAGUUUUGUAACUUGAGGACGAACAUCCCGAACAAAACAAGUACAACCGAAUAUCUUUGGUUCUAUAGGAAACAACUGUUUAUUUGGAAAUAGAGUGUGGAAAGGAGUAUUACCAGACAAAACAGAGGAAGGCAUACGAUUGAUUAGAAAACAAGCAGUAGAUAGAGCAUCAGCCCAGAAACAUUUAGGAACCUUCAUUUGAAAUAACAAAGCUCGAGCAGUUUCAAGAAGGUGUCUAUUCUUUCUCUCGGCAACCCCAUUUUGAGAAGGGGUGUCAACACAAGAGGUCUGAUGAAGAAUACCCUGCUCAAGCAUGUAUUUCUGAAAACUGCUUGAAACAUAUUCUUUUGCAUUAUCACUUCGCAAAAUUUGUACAGGUUUACCAAAUUGGGUUCGAAUUUCAGCACAAAAGGAAGAAAAGUGAAGAAAUAGUUCUGAGCGACUUUGCAUCAAAUAAAGCCAUGUCAUUCUAGAAUAAUCAUCCACAAAGGUAACAAAAUAUCUGAAACCAGUUUUAGAGGUAACUGGACAAGGACCCCAAACAUCAGAAUGUACUAACUCGAAGGGAGCAGUAGCUCGCUUAUUGAUUCUAGGACUAGAACUAAGACGAUGAUGUUUAGCAAACUGACAAGACUCACAAUCUAAGGAAGUAAUGUUUGAAAACUGAGGACAAAGUUUCUUCAACAUAGAAAGCGAAGGAUGACCCAAUCGACAAUGUGCUUCAAAAGGAGAGAUUGUUCCAGCACAAGCUAUAGACCCUGGUUUCGGUGUAUCAAGAAUGUAGAGACCGUCAGACUCAUGUCCCUCACCAAUAAUCUUCUUCGUCAUGAGAUCCUGAAAUGAACAAUAACCAGGAAAAAAUGAGACACAACAAUUAAGAGCACGAGUAAGUUUGCUGACAGAAAUCAGAUUAAAAGAUAGUUGUGGUAGACUCAGAACAGAUGAUAAAUGGAGAGAUGAUGUGGGCUGAGUGGUUCCAGACCCAAUAACACUGGAUGUUGAACCAUCGGCUAAAGUAACAGGAGUGAUAGAUUUAUGUGGCUGAAAGUUAGAAAGUAAACUAGGAUUACCUGUCAUGUGAUCAGUAGCACCAGAAUCAAUGACCCAUUUUGGAGAAGAGGAAACAAGACAUGCAUUGGGUUUACCUGUCUCGACAGGAGCAGUAACAUGACCAGAUGGCUGUUUCACUGUUUCUUGAAACUGAGUCAAUCUAGCAUACUUAUCCGCAGAUAUUGUAACAUGCUUGUCAGAGGUGGCACAACUAGAUGCAAUAUGGGCAGAGUGAGCCUUCUUAUACUGCAGCUUCCGACAGUCUCGCUUGAUAUGACCUGGUUUAUGACAGUAGUGACAUACAAUCUCUCCUUGCUCCUGUCCAUGAUUGCUAGUAUUCUUAUCAGAGUGGUUGGGCCCCGACCCCAUGCUCGUACUGUUGCCAUUACUCUUGUAGUGUUGUCUUCCUGAAUCAGCUGUGGUAGUUCGGCUAAGAAGAACACUGUUAGGCUGAGUAGAUAGAACAGGUAACGUAUUCUCUGUACGGAGAACCCUUCGAAAAGCAUCUUCUAGACUGGAAAUUUCUGAACCGGAAAGAAUUUGAGAUUUAGCAGUCUCAAAUUCAGACGGAAGACCGGCUAGAAAACUCAUAACCGCCAUCUUCGCUCGCUGAUUUCGUUGUUCCUCCACAUCACAACUGAAGGGAAGCAGCAUAUUGAGCUCUUCAUAUGUUUUCUUGAAGUCCAUAAAAUAACUGGUGAGAGACUUGUCUCCUUUAUCUGCCCUGUAAAAAUCCUUGCAAACAUCAUAGAUACGAGAGAAAUUUCCUUUUCCAGAAUAUAAGAACUGUAAAUAGUUCAUUAAUUGUUUUACUGUCUUACAAUGAGUCACCAGACCAACCACCUCACUAUCAAUAGAAUUACGGAUCUGUAUAUACAAGCGAGCAUCCUCUCUCAUCCAAGACAAUUUAGAGUCAUCCGUAGGUGGAUCAUCAGUCAGAUGGCCAUCCAUAGAAAUACUGAGCAGAUAUAAUUCAAUAGUAUUGUUCCAAUCAAGAAAAUUAAUUCCAGUUAACUUAUGUUCCGUGAUUUUUGAAACCAGCGGAACUAUAUCAGAAACAACUCCAGGCUUUUUGUCAGACAUAAUUGCUAAGAAAAUUCAACAAGAUAACAGAUUACCCACAAGAAAAACCUGUUGUAGCCAAGUCCCACACCUAGAUCGAUGUUGACCCACAAACAGGUAUGCAAAUAGCGUCGAGAGACAGAGGAGAGGUGCUGGGUUCUGACCAAUCGGUACUACGUACCUCCCUGAGUUGGCGGUGUCUAUAAAGGAACCUCUAAAGCCUGUACCUUGAAUAUGGCAGCAGCUUCCCUCACACCCAACAACCCAGAAAAAAAAAAUUUAUGAACAAACCUUGCUCUGAUACCAUGUGAAUUUCAGAGGAAGAGAAUAAAUUCCCCAUAUUUUUAUUCAUCAAUGGUAAGGGUAUAUAUACAGGUAUAGACAUCUUAUAAUAUGAAGAUAUCCUAUUACAAUAAAUCAGUCCUCUAAUUCCUAUAAUUUAGGCUACAAACUAGCCUACAUUUGUUAGCUAUCUAAUCCCUACAAAUCAGCCUAUAUCAAUCUGUGACAGCUAUCUAAUCCCUACAAAUCAGCCUGCAUAUAAUCUGUAACAAAAAGAAACUGUGUUUACGUAUCAACCUUAGUGGGAUAAAUUGCAUUUGAUCAAAAAAGGAGGAGGAUUAUUAAUAUAGGCCAUACUUCUAUCCUCUCAAUACAUCAGUAGCAAAAGGGAUGGUCAAACUCUUGGCACAAAAUAACUCAUCCAGUUACACAAGAUUUUAAACCAAAUAAAAAUAUUAUGAUAACACCAUCCGCGUGAGAUAUAAUGCAUCAAGAGCUGACAUACAUAUAUAGCAGGUAAUGCAAAGAUCAGAUAGCUACAGUUAGUGCAAAAUCUAGUAUCCAGGGUCAUACGCUUCAAGGCUUUGAUCUUGAUAAAGCUUCAAGGGUGGCCGAUUCUGCUUCCCACAUAAAUAAACACGUAGUUUUGUUAAUCAAAUGGCAGAGGCAUUCUUGAGUGGUACUGCAAAAAUCCACUUCGUAUAGUUAAAUAUUAGUAACAAUUACCAUAUUCUCCAAAAAUAUAUCAUAGAUUUUUUUCUUUUAUCAUUGUCACUUCCAUUUUAAUCUAACUUUUUUCACUUACAGGAACAUCAUAAUUAGCGCCUAUCUAUGCAAUUACCUAUAUGGCAGACAAGUUUUUUCCAUAUAAUUAUCCCUGAAGGCAAAAGUAUGGGGCAAAGGAUUUUGUACAAUUCAUAGGUUAGGGCAUACUGCACCAGUGUGGCCAAAGAAUAAACGAACAAUCUUCAAUUACAAUAUAAAACAUGCAAUAACUACAAAUGAACAAUUUUCCAUUACAUUAUUAUAUACACAAUAUACACACUGUUGUAAAAAAAAAUUCCAUUCAUAGAGAUGGUUACAUUAAACCGAAAGGUGAAAGAAAAAAGGUUAGAAUCAGCACCUUAAAAGUAGUAGAAGGCCAUUAUUUGCUUUAUUAUAUGCCGAUAAUUUUAAUACCUAAUUCCAUCAUGAAGAGCCAGGUAGCCAUCUAAUUUAACGCCAAAUAAGGACACAAAGAAAUGGUUCGCAAGCUAAAUAGCAGAAAAGAUAAUUAACAGAAACUUAAUCAUUUUCUCAUAAUUAACAGAAACAUAAUCAACAAAGACAUCUACUAAUUAUUAGUAUACAAGCACAUCAAUUUGACUAAGAUAUUUUUUUAAAUAAAGUGUAAACAGCUUACUUGUCUAAAGCUGAACUAUGCUAAAAGGCCAAAGCUUGGGCUUAGACUGACUGGUACUAAACGAAGCAUUACCCCUAUAAAAUUCAACCCAAAAGUUAACAAAAAUAAACAGGAGCAAAAAUAAAUUGUUCAUAUGCAAAAUGGAAACAAGUAGCAAAAAAGAAGGCUGUAAAAUGUUACACAAAGAUAAUCACCAAGUUUUUAGCCAAAGACAUUGUGCUAAGAUUUAAACAACCCAUGAAUCCAAAACUAUAUGGUCAAAGAAGGAAAAGAGAUCUAGGGAUUUUUUCUUCUAAAUAAUAGGUUUUUUGGUAAACAUACACCUUUCAUAACAGCAUUUGUGGCCAAAGUGUUAUCUACCAACCAAUCUAACAAAUUUUGCCACUUUAACCUCCUUUCCCACAAUUAGUUGAAAAUUAUUCAAAACUAUAAUUAAAAACUUCAAACUAAAGUCAUCAAAAGAUGAAAUAAGUUCAAUUCCAUUGGAAAUUGACAAUGGCGGAGACAUGAAAAAGAAACAAAGAAAAUUGACAAUUUAAGUUAUUUCGAAAAUCCCAAGCAACAACUAAACAAGAGCUGGGAAAUUUGAGCAUAUAACAUCUCGAGUGAUAACCAAUGCAAUCUUGAUUUUGAGCUCCAAGACUCCAAAUGAUCAAGUAGUAUAGUACAGCAUAAACUGAAAAGCAUGAAACUUUUGCACUAAAAACCAAAGCCAACAGAUGAGAUAACUUAUUUAUGGCUUGGUUCCUAAGCUUAAAUGACACCACAAAUACAGCAAUAAUAAAAAAUCAACUUUAAUGUGCUCAAACUUCAAAGCUUGCGACGUCUGUGCAAUCACUCAGUUGAAAUUUUAGCUCAAAACACUAUACAACGGAAAAGGAAUAAGCAAAAGCACAAAAACACAUAAAAUCCGACAUUUUAAAAGCAAAAAAAAAAGAAUCCAUGGAAUUAAUGUUUGGAACCUUUUUUACGGCAUGCAGUGCAGCUCCAUGACCACUGACGCCAGCGCCAAUAAUGAUGAGAUCGUAAUCAAAGGAUUUGGGAGCGCUUCCAUUAUCAUCCGAAGAUGCAGAAACCUUCGUCGGACUCGCCUGCGCUUUUCUCGGAAAAAUUAGCCUCUUUGCUCGAAUAAACUGGCCGCGCUUCAGCUGCGAGGGAACUGAAAACCCAGAGAUUUCUAAUAUUUCACCUGCAAGAUCUAAGCAGAAGAAAAUAAAAAACAUACUACGGGUAGGAAAGCAGAUUUCUAAUAUUUCACCUACAAACUCAAAAGCAUACUCAACAAGAAAAUAAAAAACAGCAGAUCUCUGGGUUUAUAAAUACUUCUGACUUUCACUGCUUUUGGAUGAAGAUUUUACUACAGCUUUCUUUGUUUGCUCAAAGAAGGAGAUGAAAAAAUAGUAUUUCAGACCUCUAGGUUAUUAAUCGAAAGAUUAACAAAUCUUAGCAAGAAAAAUGUCUUUCUUUCUUGAAUAAAGGAAACUGUAAAACUUUGGGGAAAUAUUGGAGCUUACCAAUUAAGAUGAUUUCUGUGUCUCAUGCGUUCAGUAGCUUCAUAUCCAGACCAAUUCUAACAAGGGAAAAAAAUCAGUUAGAAUCAUAUAAUUGAAAAAAAAGGAAAGAGAAGAAAGGAAAAAGGGGGGAGGGGGGAAACGGGAAGGAAAAACAGAGAAAAAAGGACCAAAUAAAAACAACAAAAAGGAACAAAGAAAAGAAAAGAAAAGAAAAAUGGAAGGGGAGAGGAGAGGAGCUCUGGAGAGCAACGAAGCGGCGGACAUGAAUGAGGGGAAAGAAAACAAGGGAAGCCCUAAAACAAAAUUUUUGGCACGCGAGUCCCACGUGAUUGACGACCAAAUUCCAGCCAAUAAAACCCAGCCACGUCAGCAAAACAACAACCACCCUUAACAAUCCCAUUCGCGCUUUUACUAUAUAGGUAGAUUAGCAUUAUUCUUGUUCGGCUGGUUCUAGUUUCGAUUUCAGUUUCUAUCAUUUUCAAUUUUAGUAUUUUUCUAGGUAUAGUUUUCAGAUUUUCUAGUACAUUUAAUUACUUAUGAUUAUAAAAUUAAUUUUAAGAAAAUAUAAUAAUGAAUUUAGAGUAACGAGAAACUAAAGAAAAUGAAUGUAAAAAAAAAUAAGGCUUUUAUUGUAUUAUUAGCUUACAAGGAAGAGAAAGAUGAUAAAAAAAAAAUUUAUGUAAAACAUAUCUCAUAUUUAUUGAAUGUUUUAAAUAAAACAAAAGAUACAUAAUUUUCUAUCAAACUUGAAAAAAGAAAAAGAGAAAAACAUCUCAAUUUUCUCACUAACUUGCGCAUUGUUUUUCUUUUGACUCAACAUUUUAGAACUAGCUUAAUGCUGUUGAACUUUCGGUGAACCUCAACCAAAACCUUUAACCAUGGUUCCAACACCGAUUUAAAAUUUCCAAAUUAGUUAUAAUUUUUUUUUAACAAAUUGCUGAUUCAAUUCCGAUUUGAUUCCAAUUUGAACCUGAACUAUGGCCAUGGUUAUUACUAUUACGUAGAGGUGGCAAUUUGUCCCAAAUCCCAAUGAACUACCCAUACCCAAAAAGACUUUGGCGGGAUGGGUAUUGUAAUUUGAUAUUAGGUUUAAAAUGGGAUGCAUCCCAAUUAUACUCAUUAUUUGAUGGAAAAUGUUGGAAAAUACUUGGGUACCUAUUGAGCCCAAAUAUCUUCCCAAAAAAUUUCAUUUUAUCCAAAAAUUCAUCAUUAUUUUUUUUUUUUUGCAAAAAUCUGAUUUUUUUUCACUUCCAUUUUCUUUCAUUUCCUUUCUUCACUUUCCUACAAAAGAAAACCAGUUAAGUAAAAAUGAUUUCAUUUAAACAACUUUAAAAAAAUUAAAGAUAACAAUAAAAAUAAAAUAAAUUGGUAAAAUUUUGGUGUCUACAAGAUCAAUACUUUACUAACAACUGUUGGUACCCUAUAUGUUAAUUUUAUGCUAAUUGUUGAACUAUCUACAUAGAUUUCUAUAUGCAACCCUGUUAUCAAUUUUUAAUCAGCUUCUUCGUUUCUGUGCUAGCUUUAUUCAGCAUUUAAUGUGAAUUUCUUUUGUAUCAAAUUUUGAAAAUUUUAAGAAUGUCAGUAAGAAUGAAUGUGGUGUUAAAAAACUUGUUUCUAGUCCUUGUGUCAGACAACAUUAUGGGUAAGGUUGGAAUAUGGUUGUAUAUCUAUCUUUUCCUUUUUUUGUUAAUCCAAUUUUUGGUUUAAUCCAGGGAGAAGAUAUGUUCAUUCUUACCAAAAUAUUAUGUCUUUUAAAAGUAACUGCUGAUCGUUCUAAAGUGUAAAUGAAUUCAGGAAAAUAUAAAUUCACAAUAAGAUCAAAAGAAAUUUAAUAAAUAAAAAUAUUAAAGUUAUAUAAAAAAUAAAAAAGAAUUAAAGGAAAAAUAUAGAAAAUAGAUUUGGGUAUUGGACGGGAUCAAUCUAAACCUAUCCCAAAGUGAUCCCGCCCAAGUUAGUCCCAAAAUAUAUAUGGGUAAGAUUAGACCCAAACCCAUAUGAUUCGGUUCUAUUUCGAAUUCAAGCAAAUCACGUCCAUCCCGCCCAUUUUGCCACCUCUACUAUUACGAACCAAAUAGUGAAAAACUUGGGUUUUUUUUUUAUGGAAAUGAAACAACUUUGGUGCGAAGGAAGCUCAAGGGCUCAUGCAUCAAAAACAGAAACUGUUUCGUUGAAGCCCUUUUGGAUAGUGGAUAUUGCCGGCUCAGGCCAUUGAAUUUGAAUUGAAGAAGGAUUGCAUCGUGAUAUAAAUAAUUAGAUUGUAAACGAAUUGAAUCGAAUACAAAAUCUAUUCCCAGAUUGAAUUCUGGAUAUUAAGUCACACAACAAGUAGGAAAAAAUAAUAAAGUUAAAAUUGCCAUGUAUUGCCAAUUUUUCAUGUAAAUCCGAACUUUUUUUCAGUUUUCAUAUAAUGUUUUUAAAAAUUGAAGCCAAAAUCACUAUAUGUACUCGAAUUGUUAAUUAGGCAUUUUAUGACUAAUUUGAUUUAGCAAGUGCUCUAAGUUUUACUCAUCGUUAGCUUAAUUUCUUAAGAUUAUACUCGAAUGCCCAAAUGCACGUAAUUAGAAUGGUAUCUUAUGUACAUAUUAUUAAAAUGAUGUCUUAUGAAAUUAUUGCAGGUAUCAUGCAACAAAAUUUUAUCAAGUCCUAAAAAUGAUGUGAGUUCUUGGAAAAUAUUUUAAAAAGAAAAAAUGCAUGCAUUAUUAUUUUGGUAGUCCACUUAUAUUAAUUGCAUGAGCAAUUGAAGGCAGUCCAAAAUUUUUUCAACAAUCUUUACAAGUGCAAAGUGUUCAUUGUUCACAAUAACAAACAAGGGUGAAACUAUAAAAACUAUUCUUCCUUGGAAAAAUGUGAAAUGUGGGCAAAGAUAUUAUGAAAAUAACACAAAAGACUCGAUGAUCAUAAAAUCAAAUGUUCAAAACAACAUAGAAUAGUUCAUGAUCUUUGUAUACUUUAUACAUAAAUGCAUAAUUAAUGAGUUUUCUAUUAAAUUCCAUAAACUGCAUGGAGGAUAUUAUCAGUUUCAUAUGAGAUUAACUUGGGGUCAACUGGUCAUGGGUAGACCAUGAGAUGCCCUAAAACAUGACAUGGAGAAGAGAAUCUGCAUAUUAAGUGGCUCUUAGAGUCUCUUGCUACUAAUACUCUUGUUUAUGCCUUGGCUAAAAAGCUUGAGCUGCAGGUUAAAUGGCCUUAAUUUUAAGUACUCUUGUAACUUAGCUUAAUUUUGAAUUUGGCCCUGAACAAAUAAUUCAACUCUUGAUUCGAGUUCGAACAAGAAAUAUGAUUUGAUUAAAGUAUCAAAUAAAAUUCGAGUUGAAUAUUCGACUCGUACAUAUUCAAUUGAUUAAAGUUCAAUGCAACUCAACUAAUUUUUUAUAUUUUUAAGUUUCUUAAUAUUUUUUAUAAAAUUAUGCAUUUCCUAUUUUAUUAUUAAAAAAUUAAAUAAAAUUCCAAGCUCCGAAUUGAGCUCGAGCCUAGUGAGUACUAAAUUGAAUCAAACUCAACCUUAAAUUUUAAACUCGUUUAGGAUUCGAAUUGAGCUUUCGUUUGAGUCCAAAAAUUCAAAUCAAGUCGAAAAAUUAGAAUUGGAAUCUGAGUCUAACAGCUAAGAAGUUCGAGUAAAUUCGUUUGCUGCCCUAGCUUUAUGGAUUUGAAAUCCACGAAAUACAAGUUGAAAAGCCAAACAAUUAAUCAAGAAACCAGAGCAUCAAAAACUAUUCAAAAGUUUCCUUUCCUUUCUUCCUCAAUCUCCAUCCCUUGACCAAGACAAAAAAGGUUUUCACUAGUAACGACAUACAAGAAAGGUCUAUCAAUCCUUUAAAGGGCUAAGGGAAAGAGGAAAUGAAACCCCAACUCAAGGGAAGAACAACAGGGACAAUAAUUACAAAAACCUUUACAACUAUACAAAAUUCCUGUAGAAUUGAGGGAUUAUUUCCUCACCUCAAAAUUAGGGAAUGCUUUCUCUAUAACAUGAGUUGGCACUAUGUACUGUUAUGAUUUUUCUUUGUGUAUGUCAAAUAUGGAUCCUGAGCAAUGGUCAAAACAUCUGGCCUCUCUGCCUGAUUAUAUGUAAGACAACGACGAAUAAAAUCCUGCAAAACAUAAAAGGAGUUGCUACUUCAGCAUACAGGACAAAGGUGAUGAAAGAAAAGUUUAGCGCAGUCUAUAUACCAGUAUUCUUCAGCUUUUUGUCAGCAAAUGUCCUUUAACCACAUGUUAACAUCAUUCAUCGCAGAAAAUCCAAAAACUAAAAUAAACAUUGUAAUAAAGAAUCCAAGCUAAACAAGGAAACAUCCUAAAGGUAUAAAUUUUGCACCUUUGCCAAGCAAAUAAUUUAGAAAUCCAUCAACAGUAUUGUUAUCAAUUUUCAUGAGAAUCAGCAAUGGCAGUUUUAUUUAUAAAUCAUCAUCAUAGUUUCUUCAUUUUUGACAUACCUAGCAAGUUUCUCUAUUUCGUUUUGUUCCUUCAUCAAUCAUUUCCAUAUUAUGACUUGCAAUAUGAGUAAAAGGAAGCAUGAACAUUAUGUCUGAGCCAGUCAGCCAGAUGUUAAUCUGUCUCAGAAACUGCUAUAAAACAUUGAUACAAAUGAGAUUUUCAAAUUUGCAGCACAUCUGGCUUGGAGAAUUGCCAGAGACGAGUGGGGGGUGGGGGUGGGGGAAUAGAUUGACAUGUUUGUAAAUGGACACCCUCGAUUGAAUUUCAUACAGAAUACUUCCGCUAACAGAAAGUAUAGACAUUGACGAGUCAAAACCCAUUUACUGAAAUAAAUUUUGAAGCACUUCAAUACCACACAAAAAUUGACUCCACUAUGUUGGAAACAAUAACCAUUAUGAAACAAACAAGAGGAUAUCAAGAAUAAACUCAGUAGCAUCCACAUGAUUGGCAUGCUUAUCCAUUACAGAUAAAUUAAAGAGAUAAUUGUUGAAACUUUUGUCAAAUAAGAUUUACACAAGUGAAAACACAUCAAAUUGUAAAGUAUAAGAAAGAUGAUCGAUUUCACACCCCACUUUUACUGUUAUCAAAUUGUGGUAAUAAACACUAGCAAUUAGUGCUGGUGAUGGUGAUAGUGGUGGUGGUGGUGGUCAUAGUAACAAUGAUAUAGUCUCUCCUACGCAGACUCUCUUAGAGAAUUUACCCUACAUAAGGAUGUCGAAGAUUAUCACCCCAAGAAACAUUAGCAAAGAAGUUUACACACAAAUGAUUAGUGAACCUGCCUUUGCCUCGUUCGACACAGCUGGCCUUGAAGGAAAAUCCACCUUCCGGGCUUUAAUGAUGGUAUCUUCGCGUAAAACAAACAAAACAGACAGAAUUCAACCAAGAUCAAUCUAGCAAACGUCCGUGAUCUAUCCCCCAUUCUAACAACAACUCCCAAUUUUCCUUACUACGAGGAGCUUUAGCCCAUAAGAGACAAGUCAAGUUGAACAAUUUUAACCACUGUUGAUUUAAUAAAAUUUGGAGUGAAGCCCUCCAACGUGUACAGGGCUUGUCUUUCCAAAAAAACAAAAAACAAAAAACAAAACCGCUGCUGCAACUACUUCCAUUAUCAGUAUUCUGUAUUCGAAAAUCAACAUUUAGUCUUUCCCAAAUUUAGUAUAUUUUAGUGCAUAAUUGAAAAAUUCUCUUGGCGCAAGUGGAAAAUUAUAGAUUUGCAAUCAAUUACAAAUUUUCCUCGAAAAUAGAUGCCCAGUGAUCAACUAUGGCGCUUCAUAGUUCACCUUUUCCAGUCUUAUACUUAGGAGUUGGUCUUAAUAGUGCAUUAAUUUUUUCAUAGUUAAUCAGAAUUUUCUAUGACAAAAAAAAGAAGAAGAUUCAUGAAGAAAAAUAAUCUAUUGGCUGUACUUUUUUUCGAUUUAGACAUCAAUAGUGCAAUGGCAAAAGGACUUUGUAGAUGAAGCUAGUUGAUGUAAUGAAUUUAUGAUGAUUUAAUUAACUAAAAAGGCAAUCAAUUCGGUCUACUAAAUGUCAUACUCAAGAGGUCAUCAUCUUUGUCAAAGGGUCUAUACAUUCCAUACAUUAGUAGUAAAAGUUAGUGGAUUUGUUAGUAUUGAUGACCAUGUUAGCCACUGAUUUCUAUUAAAUCAUGUCUUCAGCUUCUUAUAAGCUUCUCUAUACCCUACCUAAUCUCAUACCAUUUUACUUUCUCUUGGAUUAUGUGGAAUGCCUACUUGACUGCCUGCAAUGCCUAUAUUUUAAUGAUUCCGGUGCAUUUUCAAAAUCUUCAAUUUAUUUUGUAAAGUAUCGAAGUUCAGUUCACUAAUUGGCCAUAAAAACAGAUCAAUAGCAAAGUUGAAAUAUGCCACUUAUCCUGAGACUUUGCAGAAAGUUUGGAAUGUUAAUGUUGUCCCUUGUAAUCCGAAUUAUCCGAUUAUGUGAAACUGAAGUUGUUGAAGGGUGAGAUGAGUUUUUCACUUGUAUACAAGCUGUUUAAUGGGGUUUUCAAUAAAAAACUUUAUCAUUUGCUCCAAAAAAAAAAAAAAAAAAGAAGAAGAAGGGUGAGUUGAGGAAGCUGAAUGCUAAGCAAUAUAGUUCUAUUAGUGAUAGAAUAAACAGGUGUGUAUGGCCAGUUAUGUGAAGUGCAAUCCUUUUCCUUCAUUCACCUUUUGAUAUCUCUUUGCAAUUUCAAGAACAAUCUCAGAGUAGUUGUCUCAACUAGGAGGCGACCAGCUAGGAUUUAUGUUUACUUUACGGGCCAAAGAUACUGGCCUGGCCACGUCUUCUUCUUCUUGGUUUUUUUUUUAAUUCUUCUUAUAGAUCUUUCAGGCGAGUAAGCAACCUUUUGGGGAAAUAAUGUGGUAUAUUUGGACAUUGGGAUAAUUUAACAAAUCUCCUCUGAGUUUAUAACAAAUUCAUCAUAGCUCCCCUCAAAUUAUGACAUGACGCUUGUGUCUAUUAGCUAUUGAUUUCCAAGGCAAAUACUGAAGUUUACCUCUAUGUUUACCAUUGACACUUUCUAUACAAAGCGAUACAAAUUAUAUAUAAGAGAUUUGUGAAAAUGUUAUACUUCCGAGCUAUAACUCAUAAACAAAGGCAUUCGUAAAACCCUUUUGAUUCAAAUAUAUAGAUAUACUCAACUAUACACUUAACAAUUUAAUGUGUGCUAAAGUGAGUAGAAUAGGCUUUUGAAAAAAGUACUCAAAAGUAUGCUACUUCCAUCAUUACCUUCUAGCACGCAUUGUGCAAACUCUUUUCAAAUAGAAAAAAGGGAACGGAAAGGAGAUACAAAAAAGGGUUACAAAUUCUUUAAAAUAUGGCAAGGGUAAGCAUGGAAGUAACAUAUAACAUGAAACAAACAUGUUAAGGAAACCUUAAAUCAAGAGAGGUAACAGUAAGUUUGAAAACUUUGGUGCAGCUAAAUGAAGUCAAAAACCUAAAACAAGGUUGAUGGAAUUAUCCUUUGUAAACUUUAUGUGUCCGUGGCCAAGUGAAAAAAUACUGUUCAAAAUUCUUAUUUCUAUCGGAACCAUUUCGAGGAACUCCAAUUUGGAUGUCAAUACUAAAAGAAAUUUUCCCUAUGGUACAACUGAUUUUGAAAUUUACUAAUUAUUUAUAUUUUUUUUCGGAGACGACAACUGUUAUAUAAUCUAAUCUAUCCUACACUAAAGGGGAGGGGGCGGACCUAAAGAGGCCCAGGGGUAUAUAGGAAGCAAAUGCAUUGUAUAUAGGAAGCUGAAAACCAAACAAGACUUUAUUAUUAGGUUAUCAGUAUUAUUAGUCGUAUCCAAGUGUCAUCAUGUUUUUUUUAUUCAAGUGUCAUAACGUUAUUGAUAGUAUAAUUGGGUUGCAUGAUUAUGGUUGAAAGUGUGGACUAUGCGAUUAAACUCCGUCUUAGGUGAUAGGGUGUUAAUUGUUAGUAAUUUUAUUGUUAAUUUUCCCUUUUAUCCUUGUCAAAUAUUAUUUUAAUUAUUAAUAUUUACUUAUAUUUGGUAUUUGGACUCAAUUUCAGGGAAUGGAGCAGAAAACUACAAAAAAUGAAGGACUUUCUGAAAACAAUGGAGACUUCAAACAAUCGGGCCCACAUGGUGCCACAAACGGAUGGCAUUUCCUUUUUGCUGAUUAGGAGUUGAAGUCUUUGAUGGGCAACAGGAAACGAAAAGUAGAGAAAAAUUCGGCAGAGCCUUCUUUUUGUACUUGGACUCCCAAUUCGUUGGGGACCACAGAGAGCAUUAAGGAGUCAUACUUUUGCUUGGAAUAAAAAGAACGUACAGAGGCUAGGGAUAGUUUUUAGCAAUAGUUUAGUUUUCUUGCUUUUUCCUUUUCAUGCACGCCUACUGUUAUCAAUGGUUGUACCUUGGUUAUCAAUAAAUUAAAGAAAAAUUGGUCGUUAGAGUUCGUCGGCGACUAUAACUAGUCUAUUAAUAAAUUAAGUGAACCUCCCUUACAUCAAUGAUCGGGUAAGUGGACUAUGUUUGAAUAGUUGUAUUCUUGGUUAGAAUUUAUCUAUUCUUGAAUUAAUUCCUGUGUAUAUUUGUGUUAGUUAAUUAUUCGUUUUAUUUGAAUUGCUUAAUUAUUUGUAGUUUUAUUCUGAUGAAACACCCCUUUUACCAAUUGGAAUCUCAAAGAGACAAAUAUCCUCAAUUCCUGAGGAGACGUGUGAGAACCCGUAUUUUCCCUAAUAAUUUUCCUAGGGUUUUUCCCCUUUAAUGGCAUGUUUUUUGCAUUUUCUGGCUUAGAAAAUUUUCCUGGUGAAUUUUAUGAGUAAUUAUAGUUUUUAGAUGAUUUUUCUAGCAUUGGAUAGUUUUUGAAAAAUUACGGAUAUAUAACGGACGUGGGGCCCACUAGUGCGAAAAGUUCGGAAAAAUUCGGCCAAUAAGGUUAAGUUUCGGAUACUGAGUGAAAUUUAUCGGGUGUUAAGAGAUAAGUAUAGGAUGUGAUGUGAUUGAUGUGAGAGGAAAACAAAAGGAUAGAAAUGCAUUAAUGAAGUGACACUUGUCAUGUUGGGAUUGGUUUCACUUGUUGACAACUAUUCAUUUUUUUUGACUUUUCUUACCAAUUGAUUAAAUAUCUCAAAAAUCACAAAAAAAAUCACUCUUGUCUUCACCUUCUUGGCCGGCCACCUUGAGCUUAAGAAGGAAGAAAACUCUUCAAAAUCUUGGCUACCAUCUAGCUCAAAUCCUCCAAAACAAUUGCUUGAUCUUGUUUCUACUCCAUAAAAUCUCUCCAUUUGGUACUAGUAAGUGAUUUGGUGAAGUGUUUAAGGAAGCUAAGGUGUCCAACAACUCUCCCUCUCUUGUUUACUAGGUGAGUGGUGAUUGAACUUCCUCCUACACUUAAUGAAGCUUAAGUUGUGCUUAGUGGUAGCUAAAGUGCUGAAAUUUGUGGUUUAUUUCUUGGUUUGAGAUGAAAUGAUGAAGUUUUCAAUUUAAUGGUGUAUUUUCUGGUUUAAUGUGAUCAUGAUGUUGUGGUUAUCUAUGAUGGUUGGUAAUGAAGGGUAAUGACUCUAGUAGGUGUACAUGAUUGGUAAUUGCAAGCAAUUUUGGGUUUGGAAGGAAUUUGAGAAAGUUAGGGUUUUAUAUCCCCAAUUCUGUCCGAUUUUGUAUCUCAUGGUUAGAGGCCGAAUUGGCCUUGUCUUAAAACAUGAAAGUUGUAGGUAUUGAUGUGUUUGAGGUGCCUGUAAAAUUUCAGGUUCAUCGGAGUUGUGUAGAGUGAGAAAAGUCGAUUUUACUGUUGCUGUUCUGGGUUCUUCAGGAUGGCCGAACUGCGUCUGUAAUUGGUGGUUUUGGCUGGAAUUGCUUUGGAUUUGGUUGUUGAGGCCUUCUGAUGAAAUGUAGCUUGAUGUCUUAGCUACCGCAUGCCUUUGGUAUGAAUGAAUUUGGACUUGUAUAGACUGAGUUGGACUAAUUACAGCAUAGUGUAUUUUGUAAACCUGCAAUUAAGGUUCUGGUUUGGUAUUUUGCAUAUUUGACCUAGUUGUGCUAGGAAUUGGACUGAGUGACCUUCUACAUUGUUGUAGCCCUGUUUCUUAGCUUCGAAACGGUGGGUCUUACACCCUCAUCCGAUAAGCGUAGUGCAAUUUGUGCCAUUACCGCAAACUGAGGACAAAACUGUUUUUUUUUCAGGGCCAAGUUAGUUACAUUUCCUGAUUUUCUGGUUUGCUAUAAUGCUUAUAUAUGAAUAUGAAACCCUAUUGGGGUUGUGAUUGGCAUGGCUUUAUGACUCGUUAUCGAGUCUCAUUGUAUUUGUUUACGUGUUUUAGGACGUGACGAGGGUUCACGACGACCUUUUAACGACGGUGCAUGAAACAUCACCUACUUGAGUAGUGAGUAUACUACUCACUUGAAUGUUUAUAAUGUGGCUUUGCUAUAUGUGAUUGUGAUGCCUUGAAGGCUUGUUUGGCUAUUGGACAUGGUUAAGGUGAGGGUGUACUUGACCGCCCUCAUCCUUUUUAUCUUGUUAAUGACUGUUUACCGUUUCACUGUAAUACUGCACUUGCUAUAUGAGAUAUUGAAUUCCAUUCAUGGGAAACUGUUUGGGUGUCGGUUGGACGAGUAUCCAACGGCCCUACUGCAUUACUGAGCUCGACCCCGUUGGUAGUUACUUGAAUCGAGCCAGCGAGGGCUUGGUCGUGAAAAUUGACUAGCCACGGGGACUGAAAUGGGAAUCUUGUGGUAAUGAGACCCUUGGUUCCGGUGUACUCGAGUAUCACCUAAAGCUACUGCUUGGAGUGCGGGCCCGGUUGGGGUAUGUUGGGUGGAAGGAAUGGAAGUGAAGUGAGGUCUACGGUCGGGUAUUCUUAAACAUUGACGGAGGGUCAAUGAGGUUGGAUCAAGAAUGUAAGCGUGGAAAUGGGCUCUUGAGAGCCGUCCGUAUCCUUUUACCGACUUGUUUUAUUUCUUAAUUGCGUACUUGAGAUGAAAGUUAAGUGAUCUUUGUUGAUUAUGUGAUAGUUGCUCACUGAGCUUUAGCUCACUCCGUUCCAUUUGUUUUCCUUACAGGAAAAAUGACUAUUUUGGGAAAGGUUGUGCUAGUUGGUUGUCAAGUUGAGCUCAUGUAAAUGUAUAUUUUGAAUAGCUCCUUGAGGGUGAAAACCCUAAGUGUUUUGUUUCAACCAAUGGUUGGUUUGUAAUUGGCCAAUUGCACAUGUGUGAACUUGUUGGAUAUUUUGGUAUACCGCUUUGGCUUGUAAAUGUUAAAUUUCGAUGUAUAUAUGUUGGAUUGAUGUUUGGUUGAACUCCGGAUUCUGACAUGGCCGGUACUGUUCAUCAUCGGCUUCGAUUUUCAUAUUUUUUUUAUUUUGUGAUUUUGACUUGUUUGCGCGCGUUGGUGUGUUCCGGAAUGUAGUAGAUCGACGUAAACUGAUCCGUUAGUCCUGGCGAGAGCUGGGCAGGCAGUCCGCUAACCCCUUUGGUUCGCCUUAGGGGAAGGUGGGGCUGUUACAAGACGACCCUACUUGCCACUGUCUGCCAAUUAGUAAAUUUUGUCAAAUAAUUAAUUCUGGUAUAUCGGAUUAAGCAAACUCUUCGAGAACAGGGUGAAUCAAGUAACCCAUUGCACACCUAGAGUCUCUGCUCCAGUACUUAGAAUUGAUUAUUGACUACUUUUGACGGGCGUAGGGUAUACAUAUAACAUUAAGCUCAUCCUAAUCAAGUUUUACAUUUAUAAACUCCUAAAUACCCUACACGCGAUUUAUCGCAAGUAUACGAAUCGUGAGCGAGUAUAGGGUAUUAAAAGUCGAUCUCACAAGGAAGAUUGCAAUUACCGGCACUACUAAAGCUUCUCUAUUAUUUAGACUAUCAAUGAAUUAUAACAAAUUUAACCUACUGAACUUAUGCAAGAAAAUAACAAAUGAAAGCUCCUUAAGUUGUGGUAUCCCUAACUACUCAUGCAAGUGCUAUAUUUGGAUCAUUGAAUACUACUAUCUAGGCUAGUUAUGGUGUAAUUUCCUUAAACAUGUGAAACCUACUUUCGUAGUGAAUCAACUAUAUUCAUAACUAAUCCAUACAUAUUCUCAUGGUUAUGAAAUUAGCUACAAGUUCAUUUCUUCAAUGAAAUUAAUCACUAAAAUCACAUAGGUGCACCUCUACUCUCGUGAGCGUACUCCCUAUGUUUAGCACUUCUUAAACUAGUGUUAAAUCUCAAUUUUCAUUGCAGAAACAACACCUUAAAUAAUCACAAUCAAUGGUACCAGAUUAAUCAUGAUUUAAAGAGCCAAAGUACUAAAUAACUUGCUCAAAUCAUAGCAAUCAAAUAACCAAAUAAUAAAUACUAACAAUUAUAGAAAGUUCAACCAAACCCAAGGCAUAAACGUUAGAGACACAUAUUAAACACAAAAUCCAGAACUUGCAUAUCAACUAAACUUAGAAUCCAAUACAAAAGAUAAAGAGUUGGAAAAGAGAUAACCAUUGUCACAUGAGCUUCAACUCCUCCUUUUUCAUCUCCAUUUUCAUCCUAAUCUAGCUAAUAUACAAGAAUGGAAGAGCUAUACUAUUCUAAACUAAACUAUCCUACUACUCAGAAAGUGCAAGAGCUACAUCUCUGCACUCCAAGUUUCUCCUGUAUGUCUCUCUAUUCUCCCUUCAAUCUUGCAAGCUUUGGCUAUAUAAAGGUGAAAGUUGGUCAAGAAGUGAGGUUUACACCUCCCUUUUACAGCUGGGAAUGUUUCUCACAUGUCUAGCAUCACCUGUGACUUAGUGGAGGUGAAAUUGAGUUUCCCACGUAAAGAGCAGCCUUCUCUGACCACAAUCCGGCCAGAAAUCUGGCCAAGUUCCGGCCGGAUUGCUACAGUGACAUUUUGGUGCACUUUUGUUCAAUUUCCAGCUCUGCUCCAAUUUUGUGUCAAUUUCAACUGAACUUUUGUUGAUGAUAAAAGCUGAUUUAGCUCUUGAUCAACAUAAAACUUGUAGCCCUUUGAGUUAGCUUUCCAAUGCAUCAAGAAUCACCUCAUUUGGAUCUGUGUAGGCUGAGAAAUGACCGAAAUACCUUUGACUGCUCACUGCCCUAUUUCAGCUUCGACCAAUAGAAAUUAGCUACUGUAAUUCGGCUUUUUAACCUGGAAAACCUUCAAAAUAGAUUCAGAUGUCUUCACCAAAGUUGUAGAUCUAUCUCUUAUCUUCAAAUUGGUUUAAGAAUCAUCUCAAUCCGAUCAUUAUAGCUCAAGUUAUAGCCAAAAUACGAAAAUGUGUCAAAACUGUCAAAAUGCACAAAAUCCAAGUAAAAAGUGAUAAAAACCUCAUUUAAUUACUUAAAAGCAUUUUUCACCAAUUAUAGCCAAAAUGAAUCAUUUUCUUCCAAUAAUGUAACCAAAGUGACUAACAAUAAUAUAAAAUAUCAUACAAUUAUUACAUAAAUUAGUCACUUAUCAGCUUUUAUUGGCAAUUAGGUUUAUUUUUAUUAUUGCACAGGUUCGGCACCUGUCAUUAGGAGUACUGGUUUUGCUGUGGGAUUUUUCGUUUUCUUUGUCAGCUGCGUCAGCUGCAUGGUGCUUUAGAGCAUAAGCCUUUGUUUUGUAUCGAAACAUCACGGCCAAAAUUGCCAAAAGCAUAUCGAAACAUGAACACAAAAUGAAAGAUGUGAGGAAACUUUAAUGAAGAUAUGCCUUGAGAUUUAAACACCAAAGACAAAAGCUCAAAAAAUAUUAUCAACGGAUCAAAAUAAGAACUUGAUUAUUGGUAAAACACUCCAACAAGUUAAGUCGAACCAAGAUCAACAUAAUCAAUUAUUUGAUUUCAAGAGUCAUAACUUUUGCUUGUAAAGAACAAAUAAAGUUAAACAAUUUAUUGCUUUUUUCCCCCCAGUCAGCUGUGUACCUCAACAUUAUUUCACGUCAAAAACUUGUUUUUCCUCGGAUUAAAUACCCUAGCAUCUGAGGUUAUCACCAGUCUCGACACCCAAUUGUCUACAAUAUUCAGUAUAAUACUCAACUCGAGCACUAACUGUGUUUGGAUUUGCACCAUCACAUUCAAGCCGACCAUUAAUGGCACGAAUUGUAGCCCCAAAACCCUGGCCAGAAGUGAUAAGAUCAUGACAAUGGUUCAUCCAAUACCACAAGCCAGUUUUGAAUGAAAUAACAUUAUUUGUAGCUACAGUUUCAGGUUGGCUGAGUCCAUUGAAUCCAAUGCUUUCACCUGCUGGUCCAUAGUUAGAGUUCCAUGAUAACUGUAUUGGACCCCUGCCGUAAUAUCCCUUGCCUGGCACACAUGGAUACUGAGUGUUGCUCUCAUCACAGUAAUCUCUGGAGGGGCCGUCUAUCUCUUCUAUGUAGCACAAAUCUGCGCAAUAUAAAGAAAUUUUGUCACUCAAUUGAAAUGAUUGAUAAAGGGUUAGAAUCAAAGAAAAUCAGGAGGUCUGGAAUUUUUUGUAAAUUUUUAGAUUUGAUUGUUUUACUAAUGAAUUCAAUUGGUGAGAAAAGACUUUAUCCCAUUUUGUAAAAAUUGGGUUGGACAGACCUAAAGUAAACACUCUUUUUAUGAGGUAAAAUUUUAGAAUGAUUUAACAUUAUAGGGUUAUACGAUAGAUAAAUAAAAAUUGGCAAUAGCAAGAUUAAGAAGGGACCAACAGUGAUAUAAAAAUUACAAAGGUAUCAUGGACGUCUAAAAUAUAUUUGGCUAAUAAAUUUGAACUAAUUUACGGCCAAAUUUAGGUGAAAUAGUUAAUUCUACUUGGUAAAUUGGAAGUUCGGAAACGUGUAUCUGUCAGUUGUCAUACUCAUGAGCGAGCCAAUCUUAACUUAAAAAAGAAAAAGAAAAAAAGAAAAAGAAAAAAGGAAUCCAAAAGAUAAAAGUAGAAAAGGCAUGAAUUUUAAAACGUAAUCGUAAUACCUUGUACCCGAAACAAAUAUGUGCAAUACUUAUUAAGCUAAGCAAAGCCACAUGAUCUACUCUUAGAUGCAGCAAAAUAUACAACCACCUUAAGCUUGGAAUGUAAAGGCAGAAAAACUUGCUUAUGUAGAUAUAAAAGUGACCACUACAAGAAAAGUAAAAAGAAUAUGGAGAUAAUAAUCCUUCUGUUCAUCAUGAUAAAUUAUUUAACAGUAAUAAAUCUUUCAUAUUCAAGUUUUAUUUUUUGAAGAAAAAAUUCUUGGAUAAUAGUGCACAGGAGAUUCCAAGAUAUACUAUCUAGAAAUUCACAGGAGCUACUAAAAAAGUAGAAAAUAUCUUCAAAAUUUAAUUUCCAAGCUAGUGUUAUUCAAAACUUACGUCCAGUCUCAUGAGUGACAUGAGCAAAGAAAGCAGCAAUCUCCCUUUUAGAAUCAUCAACAGAACCAGCGGUUCCAAACUGGGGAUACGAGUUCAGAGCUUCAAGAAAAGCUGAUCGAGUAUAGAACCCUUUUCCAGCACAGCUUGAAGCAGCUUGAUCAGCAAUCCCAUUAAAGAAAGCGUCCGUCACAAUAUCAGCAACUGAAACGCCACUAUUACCACUGCUCGGAGCAGCGGUGCAAGGGCCGGAUUGACAGCCAGAGCCGCAGUAGUCGUUGCCGGUACCGCAAUAGCCGAAUUUGCUGCAGCACAAGUCUGGUGCACAGCCGCAGUUUUGGCUUGAAAUCAGCUGUGGAAAGGCUCCUACAAGAACUACAAUGGAGAAAAUGAUGGUUGGAAAACUCUUCAUUUUUGGAUUUGAUAAAGGAGAGAAGCUUGUGGGCAGCAGUUGUAUCAGAAAAAAGGGUAUAUGUAGGGAAGAGAACUGAAAACUGAUCAGCUUGUGUGAAGCAUGCACAGCUGCUAUUGUUGAAAAUAUUGAAUUUGAGCAAUUAAAGAAAACAGAACAGAAGACGAAAGCGUGAAUGGUUGACUUCUAUCGAGAGUAUUGACUUUGACAUUGUCAAUGAAGCGGAAACUUUCUUUCUUGGCUUCUAGAAUGGGAAAGGUCAAAAAGAAAGAUUUUGGCCAAUUCGUAUGAACAAUUGUGAGAAUAAGGCAUGUAGACUCACAAGUCCCCACUAGAAUGUGUGCAAAAAUAUAAUUUGAAGUUGCCUAAAUCAUUUAAUUUCAUGCUUGUUAUUGAGUUUAUUUGCCUAACUGUGUUUUAGUAAUACUUCAAAAUUGUGUUUGAGUUAGAACGGAAAAAAAUAUGAGACAUUUUUUUUUUAAUUGCAAUUCCAGAAAUAAAAUCUUAUAAAACAUGUAUUAGAAAAAUUUUGAGGGUAAAUGAUAUGAAAAAAAAAAAGAAGAAAUAGUUCUAUAAAUUGACAUAAGUGUUCAUCGGCUUUUGGAAAAAUUAAGAAAGAAUAAAGCAGCCGACAUAUCUAUCAUGCAUAACAACAUUAUGUGGCUUUUGUUAGUACACGCUAUGACCAUAUAUGUUUCAUUUGAGAUGCUUGUCGGACGUGUUGAAUUGUUGGCAAUGAAAUGCUCCAAAAUGUCAGCACUAUAGUUUAUAAAUAGUAUUAGGUCAUAGUGAAUUAUCGACAUAUCGUUACAUGCAGAGUCGUGAAAAUAUACAAGUCUUUCCCUAUCAUUAAUUAGUUGGUCAAAUGACAAUUUUAGAGUGGCUGCUGACUAUGUCAAGAAACAUCUUGCAGUAAAUUGGGCGAUUUAAUGUACUUUUCUUUUUCUAAAUAUUUGCACUUAAACUCUCAAAUCGACCAUAGUUUUAACUAAUUUUGCUCUGGCUUUAUUCUUGAUUCGCAAAAUUCAGAAAAACCAAAACAAACCCUUGUUACUGAAGAUAUCAAAAUGGUAACCCAACUAAGUAAUUGAUUUUGAAAAACAUUCUGAACCAAAUUUCAAGUUUUGGUUUCUUUGCUCUUUUUCUACUGAAAGGCAACUUCCCCGGGCCAAGAAAUUGAAACAAAUAGUACGAUGCUUAAGUUUUCUAUGCUCUUAUGAUCAAGUCAAACCAUGCUUAUAAUCAAUUACAUAAAAAAUUACGGGCAAUUUCGUCAUUAUUUGGGAGGAGGAGGAAUAUUAAGCAAAAAAAAAAGUUCUAUUAAGAAAACGAUUAAGCAUAUUAUUUUCCAGGAAUAAAAAAGAACGAGCAGAGAAAUACAUUAGUUUGGAUGACAUUACAACAUUUAGCAACAUGAUUAGGGAUGCAAUGGGAUGGGUGCCAAUUGGGAAUCAAUGGGAUGGGAGAAAAUGCAGGAGGGGAUGGAGGGAUUGAAGAAUAUUUCUCCUCCAACAUUAAAUGGAUACCUCCAUCCCAUCCCCUAAAACCCCUUGUUGCUAUUCCUAAACAGGAUGCUACUUAUAUCCUCUCUCUAUGAGCAUGUGUGGCUAGUGAGGAAUGCAGGAUUUUGAUUUUGGCGGGGGGAGGGUGGGGCAAAUUGACAAUCAAGAAACAAUAGAAAAAAAACCUUAGCAAAUAAAGCACACAAACUUAAAAUGAAAGUUUAAUAUACGAUAAAUAAAAUAUAAAUAUUUUUAAUAAUAAAAUACACCAUAUAAAUAAAAUGAUAGAGCAAUAAUUGGGCACCAUAAGUGCUGUUAUUUGGUCAUAAUGUUGGCUACUUAUCAUGCUAAGUAGUGCAGCUUUGCUCAUAUUUGAUAUUUGUGUAAAUUACAGGCGGUUGGUGUUGAAACUGAUCUCUCGAGGCAAAUUUUCAGAAGACUUUUUAUUUCAGAGCGUGCCGACGCCAGAAACUAUAGAGAGACUCCUCAAAGGUGGACCGCGGGACUAAUUAACUAAACUUACCUUUAUUCCUGCUUGACGCUGCUGGAAGUGCGUUAAAACAAAAAGGCAAUAAUUUCCAGCGAAUUGGGUAACAACCAAUAAGGAGGAAAAUUAGGGGCACUAGCCUACAAAGCCGGACCCCGCGAGACUGGUAGACAAAGUGGGGAAUUAGGAAGUCUUCAAAGCGGCUAUUUUCUCGUGGGCUGCAGAGGUGAAAAGGACAAGUAGUUUGAGUCUUGCAGAGAGCUUUUGAGUUCUCUUACGUUUUGUCUUGCGGUAGCCACCCGGGGGAGGAUUGAAAAAGCCAUAUUCACGUGGGAUUAGGAGAUUAGCUUUAGUUUCUUGUAUCCCUGGGUAGACGAUCUGCUCUCUGCUUUGCUUUUGGCGACUUUCUUUAGACCUUUUUCUUUACUUUUCUCCGGCACGAACACGGAACCAAAAAAGAAGCAAGACUUUUCGUUUGUCUCGUCGUUAUUUCAUCUUUCCCAACUUUUUGGUAAUUAAGUGGAUGGAAUCAAUCAAAUCACGCGAGAUUGAUGUGAUGAGGAGUGGCUAGGUUUCUCUGCUACCCAAAGGUCGACGCGAAGGCGCGGUCCAUAACAUCUGUGAGAUCUAAUCGAACUUUCACUAUUUCUUCCAAUCCGUUACUAUUCGUGCGUUUUCUGGAUUAACUGUUUAUGAUUAUUUUAUUAAUUGAGUAUCAACAGCCGGAUAUUUAAUUUAAUCUAAUAGCCUACUGUCACGUUAACUAAAUUGAAUCCGUAAUUAUUCGUUUAGUUGAUAAUUAGUGACAACCAUCAUAAUUGGCUUUAUGUUGGGAAAAACGUAAGAUCUAAUUUAGAUAAACCCUCUUAUAGCGUGUUUAUUGGUUAGGGUUGGAUUUUUCUAGCGUUAAUGCAACUGAAUAAUUAAAUUCCUACGGUCGUAUCUAGGGUUAUUUUCUGGUUAGAGAAACAGUCAACGGUCGUACCUUGGCUAUCGAAAAAGUAAGAAAAAACUAGCAGUCAGAGCUUGUUGAUCGCUAUAACCAACCUAGUGACGAAUGAGUGAAAUAUCUUUGCAUCGAUGAUCAUUUAAUUGGACCGUGCCUGAAAAGUUGAUCCUUUGGAUAGAAUUUUGCUAAUUGCUAUUUUCAGUGAAUUGUACUUGGCGAGUUAGCUUUUGAAUUUUGUUUAUUUUAUUUUCAUUUUCAUUCCAUUAAAUAUCCCCCAAUUUUGUUCUAUUGACUUGGAAAGAAACAACUUCUUACCCGUUACUUGUGGAAUCGACCCUACUUGCCAUUUUCAGAAACAACUUCUUAAAUUUUAAUCCUUAUGAAACCCAGCUUCUCUCUCAAUUUUCAGAGGUUUCUUUUCCUUCAUCAUGUCAAAGUUGCUAUUAUAAUCACUGUAAUUAGACAGCUAAACCUGUCAUUCCAAUUAUACCCUUGGUCCGCCGUGGGAAAUACAUAAAAUGUGGUAGCGCUGCCCAAUAAGUCCCACAUUGGACCAUAUAAAAUUGUUUAAGGACUAAAUUGGUAAAAAAAAUCGUAAAUGAUGAAAUUGAUUUAAGUGAAAAAGUUCAAGGACCAAAUUGGCAAUUUUUCCUUAUUAUGAUUAUGAUUAUGAUUAUUAUUAUUAUUAUUAUUAUUAGUCUGAGAUGCCGAACAAGUUGUGGAGACUUAUUUCACCUUUACAAGGUCAUUGGAGGGCUUGACGAGGUGCGAUGUGGUAAGGAAAGGCACAAAAAACUCUUUUUUCUUUAUUAAAAAACAUACAAAUUGCACUAAUAAUGGCUGAAAAUGCAUCCAACAUGCAAUAGUGAAAAAUCGUUAGAUGCAAGAUAUAUAAAAGUUAACAAAAAUUAUCUUAGUACCUCUGAUAUAUUCCAAAUUCAGAUAAAUCAUCUGCCCCCAAUGAAUAUAUGUGCAUAUCAUCAUUGUCAAAAAAUAUUUAUGCAUAUCAUUGCCGUUAGAUUUUAUAUUGAAGUGGUUAAAGCUCCAAAUCUAGUAGAGAAGAAAUUCAACACUUGAGAAAAUAAGUUAAGAAAUUCAAGAUUUGACAUACAAAUCUGAAAAGCUCUCAAAUCUAACAAAACAAGAUAUAAAAUUAUCUGAAUAAAACUCUCACUAGAAUAUCUUAGUAGAGAAGAAAAUUCUCACUAGAUAGUCUCACUAUACUUUAUUAGACAUAAAAAAAAAAAAAAGAGAAGUCAAACAGAGGGAGGAAGGCAAUCCUCCAUGGAGGAAAUAAUAAUUGUCUUGAAGGUUGUGUAGAGAGAUGGUGGAGAAACUUCUUUUGUUUUAUCUAUUGGUUAUCUUUCUAAUUGCUAGUUAACGAACAAUAAACUCUAAAUGAAACUACUAAAUUUGCAACCGAAGACAUUUUUGGGCUUGUAUCUUAGUAUCGUAAUCGUCACCCAAUUAGAGCCGCCCAUGACGGCUUCAUUAAAUAUAUAAUUUGGGGGAACCAGGAUUUAAGGCCAAAUUUCGGCAACCUUCAAGGCACUUCAUUGUUUUCUCACAAAUUUUGUUUAUUUAUUGUAAAAGAUUAACUUUAAAGUGUCCUCAAAUUUCUUCCCUAUCUUCUCUCAAACUUUACCAGUGAAAAUUGUUUGUCUUCGGGUUCGUUUGUUUCGGGUGAAAAUGUUUUCCAGAAAAAGUAUUUUCCUAAUUUCCCGUGUUUGAUUGCACAAAAGUUACUGAAAACAUUUUACAUAAAUUUUCACUCAUCUUAUGGAAAACAACUUCCCUUCCAAACUUACUGAAGUUGUUUUCCGAAAUGCAUGCAUCCCGCCUGUAGUAUGUUCCAAACUUACUGAAACCAUCUUGUAGUAUGUUCUUUUUUUUUUUUAGUGUAAACAGGAGGACUCGAACCAAGACCUCUUCCUUACACUCCCUCCCCCGUACCAUCCAACCCAACCCAACCCUCCCCCUAGUAUAUUCAAAAUAAAAAAAAACCUCAUCCUACUCAUCCUAUUCUAGUAAUUAAUUAUGUAUAAUAGGGACAUUCUUUUCUAGAGAAACUUUCAGCAAUGAUAGUGCAAGAUAUAUGUCACAAUAAGCAUUGCAUGUGAUUGAUAUUUGACACUAAAUGGCCAGCAAUUUGUUUAUUGCUUAAGGAGAUAUUUUUUAUUCAUAUAUACAUUUCUCCAAGAUUUUUUAAAGUUAAACAAUGAGAUAAAUUUUCUUAUUUUGCAUGGGAAGAAGUAUGUAGUUAUAAUGUGUAGAAAGUAAAGAUAGAGAUAAAAGUGAAAAUAUUUCAAAAGUUAAACAAACACCAAAAAAAUGAAGUAAGAAAAUAUUUUCAAUAAACUAACCAAACACCUGAAAAUGAUGAAAGAGAAAUGAUUUUCAUGGAAAAUUACUUCCACGGAAAAUAUUUUCCCAAGAAAAACAUUUUACUUCCAACCAAACAGACCCUUCAUCUCGUUGAUUGUCUCCCCCAGUGCAUACAAAUGUAUUAUGGGCAUUUUGGUGAAAGAAAGGCAUAAACUGAGUUCUGCACAACUAAAUUUUGCCAAUAGCAUAUGAAAAUAUGAAGAAGAAUAAUAAUAAAUGAAGGGUCUGUCUAAUAAGUAUUCAUAGGGAACCAUUGAAAUAUAUCUCAAGUGUCAUGUUUUUGGAAAUGUAAAAUUAAUAGAAAAAAUAAAUAAAUACAAGAGAGAGUAGAUAAAAUUAAAUAAGAAAAGUUAAUAAUUGUUAAUAGAUAUAUAUACAUAAUAGAUUAGAUGAACGUUAAAUAUGUUAACAAGUACCUUAUUAGCACCCGUUAAAAAAAGCUAUAAAUGAAAGAUGUGAUCACCAAAUCAUUGACAAAGAAAUGUGUUGAAAAUGAAACAAGAAAGUCAAACAUGAUAAGGGAUCAAAAAUGGAAUUUAAUAAUUGCAGAUACUCCAAGAAGUUGAGUUGAAAUCAGUUAUCCGAUUUCAAAUUCACAACUUCUGCUGUCAAAGAACUACAAAGGGACUCAACUUCUGCUAAUUUAUAUUAGUUUCGAAACUCUUACAAGUACCCUAGCAUCUGAGAUUAUCACCGGGAUCAACACCCAACUGGUUACAAUAUUCAGCAUAAUACUCAACACGAGCACUAACAGUGUCCGGAUUUGCACCAUCACAUUCAAGCUGUCCGUUAACGGCACGAAUUGUAGCCCCAAAACCCUGGCCAGAAGUGAUAAGAUCAUGACAAUUGUUCAUCCAGAACCACAAGGCAGUUUUGAAUGAAAUAACAUUAUCUGUGGCCACAGUUUCAGGUUCAGUUAGUCCAUCGAACCCUAUGCUUUCACCUGCUGGUCCAUAGUUAAAGUUCCAAGAUAUUUGUAUUGGACCCCUGCCGUAAUAUCCCUUGCCUGGCACACAAGGGUACUGAGUGUUGCGCUCAUCACAAUAGUCUUUGGAAGGGCCGUCUAUCUCUUCUAUAUAGCACAUAUCUGCACAAUAUAGAGAAGUCUGUAUCAAUUAUCACUGCAUUCAAUUGCUUAUAUGAAAGCCACUCAUUGAUACAUUAUGGAUUUUAGAUAUUUUUACUAUUAAAAAACCUAUAAUCUAAAUACAAAAUAAAUGAGAACAUAAAAAAAAUUAAUUAUUUAAAAUCAGAAUCUAUAGUCAGUUAUAAUAAUCAAUCAAGAACAACCCCAAAAAAUGUCAUCAAUAUUUAAGAAGGGACCAUAUGUGAUAAAGAAAUUAUAAAGUUAUAAGUAAUCACAGACUAAAUAAAUAACCAAUACAACAAAGUAGAAAAAAUUAACGUCAAAGUGGGACGGAGGGAGUAUAUGUUUUUCUUGGUAUCCUAGCAAUAUGAUAGUUGGAGCAAUAACCAUUGUCAAAUUUUGGUGUUUGAUUGUUGCUCUCAUGCUUGAGGGCAAGCAUGGUUCAGGUGUGAGGAGAAUUGAUAGGGUGUUAAUUGUUAGUAAUUUUAUUGUUAAUUUUCCCUUUUAUCCUUGCCAAAUAUUGUUUUAAUUAUUAAUAUUUACUUAUAUUUGGUAUUUGGACUCAAUUUCAGGGAAUAGAGUAGAAAACUACAAAAAAGGAGGGACUUUAUGGAGACAAUGGAGACUUCAAACAACCGGGGCCACAUGGUGCCACAAACGGAUGGCAUUUCCUUUUUACUGAUUAGGAGUUGAAGUCUUUGAUGGGCAACAGGAAACGAAAAGUAGAGAAAAAUUCGGCAGAGCUUUCUUUUUGUACUUGGACUCCCAAUUCGUUGGGGACCACAGAGAGCAUUAAGGAGUCAUACUUUUGCUUGGAAUAAAAAGAACGUAUAGAGGCUAGGGAUAGUUUUUAGCAAUAGUUUAGUUUUCUUCCUUUUUCCUUUUCAUGCAUGCCUACUGUUCGACAAAAGUCCCAACUGGAGAAAUAUCUUUCACCUCUUGAUUAUUUAGUGAAAAACCCGAUGCCUUUGCAAUCAAUUAAUUUGCGUGGAAAUUUAUUUAUGCGGCGUGGCUAAACUUUUCAUCUAGUCAAGGAUCAACUCGACGGCGCAGUCCCGAAUAUCUGUGAGAUCUAAUUAGUUUUCACGCGUUCUUAAUUUGUUAAUAAUUGCGCGUUGUCUAUUCGAAUUUCCAUGGGAUUAUUUUGUUAAUUGGAUGUCAAGGGAUCGAUGUUCAAUGUGACUUAUUAAUCUCCUGCCAAAUUAGUCAAUUAAAUCCAUAAUUGUUUGAUUGGUUAAUAUUAGUGGCAACUGGCGUGUUUACACACCAGGGGAACGUGCAAUCUAAUUUAAAUAACCCUCGUAGCGUGUUAUUGAUUGGGGUUAGGUUUUUCUAGUUAUUAAUGCAAUUGAAAAAUUAAUUCCUACGGUCGUACCUAGGAGUAUUUUCUGGUUAGGGGUAAUCAAUGGUUGUACCUUGGUUAUCAAUAAAUUAAAGAAAAAUUGGUCGUUAGAGUUCGUCGGCGACUAUAACUAGUCUAUUAAUAAAUUAAGUGAACCUCCCUUACAUCAAUGAUCGGGUAAGUGGACUAUGUUUGAAUAGUUGUAUUCUUGGUUAGAAUUUAUCUAUUCUUGAAUUAAUUCCUGUGUAUAUUCGUGUUAGUUAAUUAUUCGUUUUAUUUGAAUUGCUUAAUUAUUUGUAGUUUUAUUCUGAUGAAACACCCAUUUUACCAAUUGGAAUCUCAAAGAGACAAAUAUCCUCAAUUCCUGAGGAGACGUGUGAGAACCCGUAUUUUCCCUAAUAAUUUUCCUAGGGUUUUUCCCCUUUAAUGGCAUGUUUUCUGCAUUUUCUGGCUUAGAAAAUUUUCCUGGUGAAUUUUAUGAGUAAUUAUAGUUUUUAGAUGAUUUUUCUAGCAUUGGAUAGUUUUUGAAAAAUUACGGAUAUAUAACGGACGUGGGGCCCACUAGUGCGAAAAGUUCGGAAAAAUUCGGUCAAUAAGGUUAAGUUCCGGAUACUGAGUGAAAUUUAUCGGGUGUUAAGAGAUAAGUAUAGGAUGUGAUGUGAUUGAUGUGAGAGGAAAACAAAAGGAUAGAAAUGCAUUAAUGAAGUGACACUUGUCAUGUUGGGAUUGGUUUCACUUGUUGACAACUAUUCAUUUUUUUUGACUUUUCUUACCAAUUGAUUAAAUAUCUCAAAAAUCACAAAAAAAUUCACUCUUGUCUUCACCUUCUUGGCCGGCCACCUUGAGCUUAAGAAGGAAGAAAACUCUUCAAAAUCUUGGCUACCAUCUAGCUCAAAUCCUCCAAAACAAUUGCUUGAUCUUGUUUCUACUCCAUAAAAUCUCUCCAUUUGGUACUAGUAAGUGAUUUGGUGAAGUGUUUAAGGAAGCUAAGGUGUCCAACAACUCUCCCUCUCUUGUUUACUAGGUGAGUGGUGAUUGAACUUCCUCCUACACUUAAUGAAGCUUAAGUUGUGCUUAGUGGUAGCUAAAGUGCUGAAAUUUGUGGUUUAUUUCUUGGUUUGAGAUGAAAUGAUGAAGUUUUCAAUUUAAUGGUGUAUUUUCUGGUUUAAUGUGAUCAUGAUGUUGUGGUUAUCUAUGAUGGUUGGUAAUGAAGGGUAAUGACUCUAGUAGGUGUACAUGAUUGGUAAUUGCAAGCAAUUUUGGGUUUGGAAGGAAUUUGAGAAAGUUAGGGUUUUAUAUCCCCAAUUCUGUCCGAUUUUGUAUCUCAUGGUUAGAGGCCGAAUUGGCCUUGUCUUAAAACAUGAAAGUUGUAGGUAUUGAUGUGUUUGAGGUGCCUGUAAAAUUUCAGGUUCAUCGGAGUUGUGUAGAGUGAGAAAAGUCGAUUUUACUGUUGCUGUUCUGGGUUCUUCAGGAUGGCCGAACUGCGUCUGUAAUUGGUGGUUUUGGCUGGAAUUGCUUUGGAUUUGGUUGUUGAGGCCUUCUGAUGAAAUGUAGCUUGAUGUCUUAGCUACCGCAUGCCUUUGGUAUGAAUGAAUUUGGACUUGUAUAGACUGAGUUGGACUAAUUACAGCAUAGUGUAUUUUGUAAACCUGCAAUUAAGGUUCUGGUUUGGUAUUUUGCAUAUUUGACCUAGUUGUGCUAGGAAUUGGACUGAGUGACCUUCUACAUUGUUGUAGCCCUGUUUCUUAGCUUCGAAACGGUGGGUCUUACACCCUCAUCCGAUAAGCGUAGUGCAAUUUGUGCCAUUACCGCAAACUGAGGACAAAACUGUUUUUUUUUCAGGGCCAAGUUAGUUACAUUUCCUGAUUUUCUGGUUUGCUAUAAUGCUUAUAUAUGAAUAUGAAACCCUAUUGGGGUUGUGAUUGGCAUGGCUUUAUGACUCGUUAUCGAGUCUCAUUGUAUUUGUUUACGUGUUUUAGGACGUGACGAGGGUUCACGACGACCUUUUAACGACGGUGCAUGAAACAUCACCUACUUGAGUAGUGAGUAUACUACUCACUUGAAUGUUUAUAAUGUGGCUUUGCUAUAUGUGAUUGUGAUGCCUUGAAGGCUUGUUUGGCUAUUGGACAUGGUUAAGGUGAGGGUGUACUUGACCGCCCUCAUCCUUUUUAUCUUGUUAAUGACUGUUUACCGUUUCACUGUAAUACUGCACUUGCUAUAUGAGAUAUUGAAUUCCAUUCAUGGGAAACUGUUUGGGUGUCGGUUGGACGAGUAUCCAACGGCCCUACUGCAUUACUGAGCUCGACCCCGUUGGUAGUUACUUGAAUCGAGCCAGCGAGGGCUUGGUCGUGAAAAUUGACUAGCCACGGGGACUGAAAUGGGAAUCUUGUGGUAAUGAGACCCUUGGUUCCGGUGUACUCGAGUAUCACCUAAAGCUACUGCUUGGAGUGCGGGCCCGGUUGGGGUAUGUUGGGUGGAAGGAAUGGAAGUGAAGUGAGGUCUACGGUCGGGUAUUCUUAAACAUUGACGGAGGGUCAAUGAGGUUGGAUCAAGAAUGUAAGCGUGGAAAUGGGCUCUUGAGAGCCGUCCGUAUCCUUUUACCGACUUGUUUUAUUUCUUAAUUGCGUACUUGAGAUGAAAGUUAAGUGAUCUUUGUUGAUUAUGUGAUAGUUGCUCACUGAGCUUUAGCUCACUCCGUUCCAUUUGUUUUCCUUACAGGAAAAAUGACUAUUUUGGGAAAGGUUGUGCUAGUUGGUUGUCAAGUUGAGCUCAUGUAAAUGUAUAUUUUGAAUAGCUCCUUGAGGGUGAAAACCCUAAGUGUUUUGUUUCAACCAAUGGUUGGUUUGUAAUUGGCCAAUUGCACAUGUGUGAACUUGUUGGAUAUUUUGGUAUACCGCUUUGGCUUGUAAAUGUUAAAUUUCGAUGUAUAUAUGUUGGAUUGAUGUUUGGUUGAACUCCGGAUUCUGACAUGGCCGGUACUGUUCAUCAUCGGCUUCGAUUUUCAUAUUUUUUUUAUUUUGUGAUUUUGACUUGUUUGCGCGCGUUGGUGUGUUCCGGAACGUAGUAGAUCGACGUAAACUGAUCCGUUAGUCCUGGCGAGAGCUGGGCAGCCAGUCCGCUAACCCCUUUGGUUCGCCUUAGGGGAAGGUGGGGCUGUUACAAGACGACCCUACUUGCCACUGUCUGCCAAUUAGUAAAUUUUGUCAAAUAAUUAAUUCUGGUAUAUCGGAUUAAGCAAACUCUUCGAGAACAGGGUGAAUCAAGUAACCCAUUGCACACCUAGAGUCCCUGCUCCAGUACUUAGAAUUGAUUAUCGACUACUUUUGACGGGCGUAGGGUAUACAUAUAACAUUAAGCUCAUCCUAAUCAAGUUUUACAUUUAUAAACUCCUAAAUACCCUACACGCGAUUUAUCGCAAGUAUACGAAUCGUGAGCGAGUAUAGGGUAUUAAAAGUCGAUCUCACAAUGAAGAUUGCAAUUACCGGCACUACUAAAGCUUCUCUAUUAUUUAGACUAUCAAUGAAUUAUAACAAAUUUAACCUACUGAACUUAUGCAAGAAAAUAACAAAUGAAAGCUCCUUAAGUUGUGGUAUCCCUAACUACUCAUGCAAGUGCUAUAUUUGGAUCAUUGAAUACUACUAUCUAGGCUAGUUAUGGUGUAAUUUCCUUAAACAUGUGAAACCUACUUUCGUAGUGAAUCAACUAUAUUCAUAACUAAUCCAUACAUAUUCUCAUGGUUAUGAAAUUAGCUACAAGUUCAUUUCUUCAAUGAAAUUAAUCACUAAAAUCACAUAGGUGCACCUCUACUCUCGUGAGCGUACUCCCUAUGUUUAGCACUUCUUAAACUAGUGUUAAAUCUCAAUUUUCAUUGCAGAAACAACACCUUAAAUAAUCACAAUCAAUGGUACCAGAUUAAUCAUGAUUUAAAGAGCCAAAGUACUAAAUAACUUGCUCAAAUCAUAGCAAUCAAAUAACCAAAUAAUAAAUACUAACAAUUAUAGAAAGUUCAACCAAACCCAAGGCAUAAACGUUAGAGACACAUAUUAAACACAAAAUCCAGAACUUGCAUAUCAACUAAACUUAGAAUCCAAUACAAAAGAUAAAGAGUUGGAAAAGAGAUAACCAUUGUCACAUGAGCUUCAACUCCUCCUUUUUCAUCUCCAUUUUCAUCCUAAUCUAGCUAAUAUACAAGAAUGGAAGAGCUAUACUAUUCUAAACUAAACUAUCCUACUACUCAGAAAGUGCAAGAGCUACAUCUCUGCACUCCAAGUUUCUCCUGUAUGUCUCUCUAUUCUCCCUUCAAUCUUGCAAGCUUUGGCUAUAUAAAGGUGAAAGUUGGUCAAGAAGUGAGGUUUACACCUCCCUUUUACAGCUGGGAAUGUUUCUCACAUGUCUAGCAUCACCUGUGACUUAGUGGAGGUGAAAUUGAGUUUCCCACGUAAAGAGCAGCCUUCUCUGACCACAAUCCGGCCAGAAAUCUGGCCAAGUUCCGGCCGGAUUGCUACAGUGACAUUUUGGUGCACUUUUGUUCAAUUUCCAGCUCUGCUCCAAUUUUGUGUCAAUUUCAACUGAACUUUUGUUGAUGAUAAAAGCUGAUUUAGCUCUUGAUCAACAUAAAACUUGUAGCCCUUUGAGUUAGCUUUCCAAUGCAUCAAGAAUCACCUCAUUUGGAUCUGUGUAGGCUGAGAAAUGACCGAAAUACCUUUGACUGCUCACUGCCCUAUUUCAGCUUCGACCAAUAGAAAUUAGCUACUGUAAUUCGGCUUUUUAACCUGGAAAACCUUCAAAAUAGAUUCAGAUGUCUUCACCAAAGUUGUAGAUCUAUCUCUUAUCUUCAAAUUGGUUUAAGAAUCAUCUCAAUCCGAUCAUUAUAGCUCAAGUUAUAGCCAAAAUACGAAAAUGUGUCAAAACUGUCAAAAUGCACAAAAUCCAAGUAAAAAGUGAUAAAAACCUCAUUUAAUUACUUAAAAGCAUUUUUCACCAAUUAUAGCCAAAAUGAAUCAUUUUCUUCCAAUAAUGUAACCAAAGUGACUAACAAUAAUAUAAAAUAUCAUACAAUUAUUACAUAAAUUAGUCACUUAUCAGCUUUUAUUGGCAAUUAGGUUUAUUUUUAUUAUUGCACAGGUUCGGCACCUGUCAUUAGGAGUACUGGUUUUGCUGUGGGAUUUUUCGUUUUCUUUGUCAGCUGCGUCAGCUGCAUGGUGCUUUAGAGCAUAAGCCUUUGUUUUGUAUCGAAACAUCACGGCCAAAAUUGCCAAAAGCAUAUCGAAACAUGAACACAAAAUGAAAGAUGUGAGGAAACUUUAAUGAAGAUAUGCCUUGAGAUUUAAACACCAAAGACAAAAGCUCAAAAAAUAUUAUCAACGGAUCAAAAUAAGAACUUGAUUAUUGGUAAAACACUCCAACAAGUUAAGUCGAACCAAGAUCAACAUAAUCAAUUAUUUGAUUUCAAGAGUCAUAACUUUUGCUUGUAAAGAACAAAUAAAGUUAAACAAUUUAUUGCUUUUUUCCCCCCAGUCAGCUGUGUACCUCAACAUUAUUUCACGUCAAAAACUUGUUUUUCCUCGGAUUAAAUACCCUAGCAUCUGAGGUUAUCACCAGUCUCGACACCCAAUUGUCUACAAUAUUCAGUAUAAUACUCAACUCGAGCACUAACUGUGUUUGGAUUUGCACCAUCACAUUCAAGCCGACCAUUAAUGGCACGAAUUGUAGCCCCAAAACCCUGGCCAGAAGUGAUAAGAUCAUGACAAUGGUUCAUCCAAUACCACAAGCCAGUUUUGAAUGAAAUAACAUUAUUUGUAGCUACAGUUUCAGGUUGGCUGAGUCCAUUGAAUCCAAUGCUUUCACCUGCUGGUCCAUAGUUAGAGUUCCAUGAUAACUGUAUUGGACCCCUGCCGUAAUAUCCCUUGCCUGGCACACAUGGAUACUGAGUGUUGCUCUCAUCACAGUAAUCUCUGGAGGGGCCGUCUAUCUCUUCUAUGUAGCACAAAUCUGCGCAAUAUAAAGAAAUUUUGUCACUCAAUUGAAAUGAUUGAUAAAGGGUUAGAAUCAAAGAAAAUCAGGAGGUCUGGAAUUUUUUGUAAAUUUUUAGAUUUGAUUGUUUUACUAAUGAAUUCAAUUGGUGAGAAAAGACUUUAUCCCAUUUUGUAAAAAUUGGGUUGGACAGACCUAAAGUAAACACUCUUUUUAUGAGGUAAAAUUUUAGAAUGAUUUAACAUUAUAGGGUUAUACGAUAGAUAAAUAAAAAUUGGCAAUAGCAAGAUUAAGAAGGGACCAACAGUGAUAUAAAAAUUACAAAGGUAUCAUGGACGUCUAAAAUAUAUUUGGCUAAUAAAUUUGAACUAAUUUACGGCCAAAUUUAGGUGAAAUAGUUAAUUCUACUUGGUAAAUUGGAAGUUCGGAAACGUGUAUCUGUCAGUUGUCAUACUCAUGAGCGAGCCAAUCUUAACUUAAAAAAGAAAAAGAAAAAAAGAAAAAGAAAAAAGGAAUCCAAAAGAUAAAAGUAGAAAAGGCAUGAAUUUUAAAACGUAAUCGUAAUACCUUGUACCCGAAACAAAUAUGUGCAAUACUUAUUAAGCUAAGCAAAGCCACAUGAUCUACUCUUAGAUGCAGCAAAAUAUACAACCACCUUAAGCUUGGAAUGUAAAGGCAGAAAAACUUGCUUAUGUAGAUAUAAAAGUGACCACUACAAGAAAAGUAAAAAGAAUAUGGAGAUAAUAAUCCUUCUGUUCAUCAUGAUAAAUUAUUUAACAGUAAUAAAUCUUUCAUAUUCAAGUUUUAUUUUUUGAAGAAAAAAUUCUUGGAUAAUAGUGCACAGGAGAUUCCAAGAUAUACUAUCUAGAAAUUCACAGGAGCUACUAAAAAAGUAGAAAAUAUCUUCAAAAUUUAAUUUCCAAGCUAGUGUUAUUCAAAACUUACGUCCAGUCUCAUGAGUGACAUGAGCAAAGAAAGCAGCAAUCUCCCUUUUAGAAUCAUCAACAGAACCAGCGGUUCCAAACUGGGGAUACGAGUUCAGAGCUUCAAGAAAAGCUGAUCGAGUAUAGAACCCUUUUCCAGCACAGCUUGAAGCAGCUUGAUCAGCAAUCCCAUUAAAGAAAGCGUCCGUCACAAUAUCAGCAACUGAAACGCCACUAUUACCACUGCUCGGAGCAGCGGUGCAAGGGCCGGAUUGACAGCCAGAGCCGCAGUAGUCGUUGCCGGUACCGCAAUAGCCGAAUUUGCUGCAGCACAAGUCUGGUGCACAGCCGCAGUUUUGGCUUGAAAUCAGCUGUGGAAAGGCUCCUACAAGAACUACAAUGGAGAAAAUGAUGGUUGGAAAACUCUUCAUUUUUGGAUUUGAUAAAGGAGAGAAGCUUGUGGGCAGCAGUUGUAUCAGAAAAAAGGGUAUAUGUAGGGAAGAGAACUGAAAACUGAUCAGCUUGUGUGAAGCAUGCACAGCUGCUAUUGUUGAAAAUAUUGAAUUUGAGCAAUUAAAGAAAACAGAACAGAAGACGAAAGCGUGAAUGGUUGACUUCUAUCGAGAGUAUUGACUUUGACAUUGUCAAUGAAGCGGAAACUUUCUUUCUUGGCUUCUAGAAUGGGAAAGGUCAAAAAGAAAGAUUUUGGCCAAUUCGUAUGAACAAUUGUGAGAAUAAGGCAUGUAGACUCACAAGUCCCCACUAGAAUGUGUGCAAAAAUAUAAUUUGAAGUUGCCUAAAUCAUUUAAUUUCAUGCUUGUUAUUGAGUUUAUUUGCCUAACUGUGUUUUAGUAAUACUUCAAAAUUGUGUUUGAGUUAGAACGGAAAAAAAUAUGAGACAUUUUUUUUUUAAUUGCAAUUCCAGAAAUAAAAUCUUAUAAAACAUGUAUUAGAAAAAUUUUGAGGGUAAAUGAUAUGAAAAAAAAAAAGAAGAAAUAGUUCUAUAAAUUGACAUAAGUGUUCAUCGGCUUUUGGAAAAAUUAAGAAAGAAUAAAGCAGCCGACAUAUCUAUCAUGCAUAACAACAUUAUGUGGCUUUUGUUAGUACACGCUAUGACCAUAUAUGUUUCAUUUGAGAUGCUUGUCGGACGUGUUGAAUUGUUGGCAAUGAAAUGCUCCAAAAUGUCAGCACUAUAGUUUAUAAAUAGUAUUAGGUCAUACUGAAUUAUCGACAUAUCGUUACAUGCAGAGUCGUGAAAAUAUACAAGUCUUUCCCUAUCAUUAAUUAGUUGGUCAAAUGACAAUUUUAGAGUGGCUGCUGACUAUGUCAAGAAACAUCUUGCAGUAAAUUGGGCGAGUUAAUGUACUUUUCUUUUUCUAAAUAUUUGCACUUAAACUCUCAAAUCGACCAUAGUUUUAACUAAUUUUGCUCUGGCUUUAUUCUUGAUUCGCAAAAUUCAGAAAAACCAAAACAAACCCUUGUUACUGAAGAUAUCAAAAUGGUAACCCAACUAAGUAAUUGAUUUUGAAAAACAUUCUGAACCAAAUUUCAAGUUUUGGUUUCUUUGCUCUUUUUCUACUGAAAGGCAACUUCCCCGGGCCAAGAAAUUGAAACAAAUAGUACGAUGCUUAAGUUUUCUAUGCUCUUAUGAUCAAGUCAAACCAUGCUUAUAAUCAAUUACAUAAAAAAUUACGGGCAAUUUCGUCAUUAUUUGGGAGGAGGAGGAAUAUUAAGCAAAAAAAAAAGUUCUAUUAAGAAAACGAUUAAGCAUAUUAUUUUCCAGGAAUAAAAAAGAACGAGCAGAGAAAUACAUUAGUUUGGAUGACAUUACAACAUUUAGCAACAUGAUUAGGGAUGCAAUGGGAUGGGUGCCAAUUGGGAAUCAAUGGGAUGGGAGAAAAUGCAGGAGGGGAUGGAGGGAUUGAAGAAUAUUUCUCCUCCAACAUUAAAUGGAUACCUCCAUCCCAUCCCCUAAAACCCCUUGUUGCUAUUCCUAAACAGGAUGCUACUUAUAUCCUCUCUCUAUGAGCAUGUGUGGCUAGUGAGGAAUGCAGGAUUUUGAUUUUGGCGGGGGGAGGGUGGGGCAAAUUGACAAUCAAGAAACAAUAGAAAAAAAACCUUAGCAAAUAAAGCACACAAACUUAAAAUGAAAGUUUAAUAUACGAUAAAUAAAAUAUAAAUAUUUUUAAUAAUAAAAUACACCAUAUAAAUAAAAUGAUAGAGCAAUAAUUGGGCACCAUAAGUGCUGUUAUUUGGUCAUAAUGUUGGCUACUUAUCAUGCUAAGUAGUGCAGCUUUGCUCAUAUUUGAUAUUUGUGUAAAUUACAGGCGGUUGGUGUUGAAACUGAUCUCUCGAGGCAAAUUUUCAGAAGACUUUUUAUUUCAGAGCGUGCCGACGCCAGAAACUAUAGAGAGACUCCUCAAAGGUGGACCGCGGGACUAAUUAACUAAACUUACCUUUAUUCCUGCUUGACGCUGCUGGAAGUGCGUUAAAACAAAAAGGCAAUAAUUUCCAGCGAAUUGGGUAACAACCAAUAAGGAGGAAAAUUAGGGGCACUAGCCUACAAAGCCGGACCCGCGAGACUGGUAGACAAAGUGGGGAAUUAGGAAGUCUUCAAAGCGGCUAUUUUCUCGUGGGCUGCAGAGGUGAAAAGGACAAGUAGUUUGAGUCUUGCAGAGAGCUUUUGAGUUCUCUUACGUUUUGUCUUGCGGUAGCCACCCGGGGGAGGAUUGAAAAAGCCAUAUUCACGUGGGAUUAGGAGAUUAGCUUUAGUUUCUUGUAUCCCUGGGUAGACGAUCUGCUCUCUGCUUUGCUUUUGGCGACUUUCUUUAGACCUUUUUCUUUACUUUUCUCCGGCACGAACAGGGAACCAAAAAAGAAGCAAGACUUUUCGUUUGUCUCGUCGUUAUUUCAUCUUUCCCAACUUUUUGGUAAUUAAGUGGAUGGAAUCAAUCAAAUCACGCGAGAUUGAUGUGAUGAGGAGUGGCUAGGUUUCUCUGCUACCCAAAGGUCGACGCGAAGGCGCGGUCCAUAACAUCUGUGAGAUCUAAUCGAACUUUCACUAUUUCUUCCAAUCCGUUACUAUUCGUGCGUUUUCUGGAUUAACUGUUUAUGGUUAUUUUAUUAAUUGAGUAUCAACAGCCGGAUAUUUAAUUUAAUCUAAUAGCCUACUGUCACGUUAACUAAAUUGAAUCCGUAAUUAUUCGUUUAGUUGAUAAUUAGUGACAACCAUCAUAAUUGGCUUUAUGUUGGGAAAAACGUAAGAUCUAAUUUAGAUAAACCCUCUUAUAGCGUGUUUAUUGGUUAGGGUUGGAUUUUUCUAGCGUUAAUGCAACUGAAUAAUUAAAUUCCUACGGUCGUAUCUAGGGUUAUUUUCUGGUUAGAGAAACAGUCAACGGUCGUACCUUGGCUAUCGAAAAAGUAAGAAAAAACUAGCAGUCAGAGCUUGUUGAUCGCUAUAACCAACCUAGUGACGAAUGAGUGAAAUAUCUUUGCAUCGAUGAUCAUUUAAUUGGACCGUGCCUGAAAAGUUGAUCCUUUGGAUAGAAUUUUGCUAAUUGCUAUUUUCAGUGAAUUGUACUUGGCGAGUUAGCUUUUGAAUUUUGUUUAUUUUAUUUUCAUUUUCAUUCCAUUAAAUAUCCCCCAAUUUUGUUCUAUUGACUUGGAAAGAAACAACUUCUUACCCGUUACUUGUGGAAUCGACCCUACUUGCCAUUUUCAGAAACAACUUCUUAAUUUUAAUCCUUAUGAAACCCAGCUUCUCUCUCAAUUUUCAGAGGUUUCUUUUCCUUCAUCAUGUCAAAGUUGCUAUUAUAAUCACUGUAAUUAGACAGCUAAACCUGUCAUUCCAAUUAUACCCUUGGUCCGCCGUGGGAAAUACAUAAAAUGUGGUAGCGCUGCCCAAUAAGUCCCACAUUGGACCAUAUAAAAUUGUUUAAGGACUAAAUUGGUAAAAAAAAUCGUAAAUGAUGAAAUUGAUUUAAGUGAAAAAGUUCAAGGACCAAAUUGGCAAUUUUUCCUUAUUAUGAUUAUGAUUAUGAUUAUUAUUAUUAUUAUUAUUAUUAGUCUGAGAUGCCGAACAAGUUGUGGAGACUUAUUUCACCUUUACAAGGUCAUUGGAGGGCUUGACGAGGUGCGAUGUGGUAAGGAAAGGCACAAAAAACUCUUUUUUCUUUAUUAAAAAACAUACAAAUUGCACUAAUAAUGGCUGAAAAUGCAUCCAACAUGCAAUAGUGAAAAAUCGUUAGAUGCAAGAUAUAUAAAAGUUAACAAAAAUUAUCUUAGUACCUCUGAUAUAUUCCAAAUUCAGAUAAAUCAUCUGCCCCCAAUGAAUAUAUGUGCAUAUCAUCAUUGUCAAAAAAUAUUUAUGCAUAUCAUUGCCGUUAGAUUUUAUAUUGAAGUGGUUAAAGCUCCAAAUCUAGUAGAGAAGAAAUUCAACACUUGAGAAAAUAAGUUAAGAAAUUCAAGAUUUGACAUACAAAUCUGAAAAGCUCUCAAAUCUAACAAAACAAGAUAUAAAAUUAUCUGAAUAAAACUCUCACUAGAAUAUCUUAGUAGAGAAGAAAAUUCUCACUAGAUAGUCUCACUAUACUUUAUUAGACAUAAAAAAAAAAAAAAGAGAAGUCAAACAGAGGGAGGAAGGCAAUCCUCCAUGGAGGAAAUAAUAAUUGUCUUGAAGGUUGUGUAGAGAGAUGGUGGAGAAACUUCUUUUGUUUUAUCUAUUGGUUAUCUUUCUAAUUGCUAGUUAACGAACAAUAAACUCUAAAUGAAACUACUAAAUUUGCAACCGAAGACAUUUUUGGGCUUGUAUCUUAGUAUCGUAAUCGUCACCCAAUUAGAGCCGCCCAUGACGGCUUCAUUAAAUAUAUAAUUUGGGGGAACCAGGAUUUAAGGCCAAAUUUCGGCAACCUUCAAGGCACUUCAUUGUUUUCUCACAAAUUUUGUUUAUUUAUUGUAAAAGAUUAACUUUAAAGUGUCCUCAAAUUUCUUCCCUAUCUUCUCUCAAACUUUACCAGUGAAAAUUGUUUGUCUUCGGGUUCGUUUGUUUCGGGUGAAAAUGUUUUCCAGAAAAAGUAUUUUCCUAAUUUCCCGUGUUUGAUUGCACAAAAGUUACUGAAAACAUUUUACAUAAAUUUUCACUCAUCUUAUGGAAAACAACUUCCCUUCCAAACUUACUGAAGUUGUUUUCCGAAAUGCAUGCAUCCCGCCUGUAGUAUGUUCCAAACUUACUGAAACCAUCUUGUAGUAUGUUCUUUUUUUUUUUUAGUGUAAACAGGAGGACUCGAACCAAGACCUCUUCCUUACACUCCCUCCCCCGUACCAUCCAACCCAACCCAACCCUCCCCCUAGUAUAUUCAAAAUAAAAAAAAACCUCAUCCUACUCAUCCUAUUCUAGUAAUUAAUUAUGUAUAAUAGGGACAUUCUUUUCUAGAGAAACUUUCAGCAAUGAUAGUGCAAGAUAUAUGUCACAAUAAGCAUUGCAUGUGAUUGAUAUUUGACACUAAAUGGCCAGCAAUUUGUUUAUUGCUUAAGGAGAUAUUUUUUAUUCAUAUAUACAUUUCUCCAAGAUUUUUUAAAGUUAAACAAUGAGAUAAAUUUUCUUAUUUUGCAUGGGAAGAAGUAUGUAGUUAUAAUGUGUAGAAAGUAAAGAUAGAGAUAAAAGUGAAAAUAUUUCAAAAGUUAAACAAACACCAAAAAAAUGAAGUAAGAAAAUAUUUUCAAUAAACUAACCAAACACCUGAAAAUGAUGAAAGAGAAAUGAUUUUCAUGGAAAAUUACUUCCACGGAAAAUAUUUUCCCAAGAAAAAUAUUUUACUUCCAACCAAACAGACCCUUCAUCUCGUUGAUUGUCUCCCCCAGUGCAUACAAAUGUAUUAUGGGCAUUUUGGUGAAAGAAAGGCAUAAACCGAGUUCUGCACAACUAAAUUUUGCCAAUAGCAUAUGAAAAUAUGAAGAAGAAUAAUAAUAAAUGAAGGGUCUGUCUAAUAAGUAUUCAUAGGGAACCAUUGAAAUAUAUCUCAAGUGUCAUGUUUUUGGAAAUGUAAAAUUAAUAGAAAAAAUAAAUAAAUACAAGAGAGAGUAGAUAAAAUUAAAUAAGAAAAGUUAAUAAUUGUUAAUAGAUAUAUAUACAUAAUAGAUUAGAUGAACGUUAAAUAUGUUAACAAGUACCUUAUUAGCACCCGUUAAAAAAACCUAUAAAUGAAAGAUGUGAUCACCAAAUCAUUGACAAAGAAAUGUGUUGAAAAUGAAACAAGAAAGUCAAACAUGAUAAGGGAUCAAAAAUGGAAUUUAAUAAUUGCAGAUACUCCAAGAAGUUGAGUUGAAAUCAGUUAUCCGAUUUCAAAUUCACAACUUCUGCUGUCAAAGAACUACAAAGGGACUCAACUUCUGCUAAUUUAUAUUAGUUUCGAAACUCUUACAAGUACCCUAGCAUCUGAGAUUAUCACCGGGAUCAACACCCAACUGGUUACAAUAUUCAGCAUAAUACUCAACACGAGCACUAACAGUGUCCGGAUUUGCACCAUCACAUUCAAGCUGUCCGUUAACGGCACGAAUUGUAGCCCCAAAACCCUGGCCAGAAGUGAUAAGAUCAUGACAAUUGUUCAUCCAGAACCACAAGGCAGUUUUGAAUGAAAUAACAUUAUCUGUGGCCACAGUUUCAGGUUCAGUUAGUCCAUCGAACCCUAUGCUUUCACCUGCUGGUCCAUAGUUAAAGUUCCAAGAUAUUUGUAUUGGACCCCUGCCGUAAUAUCCCUUGCCUGGCACACAAGGGUACUGAGUGUUGCGCUCAUCACAAUAGUCUUUGGAAGGGCCGUCUAUCUCUUCUAUAUAGCACAUAUCUGCACAAUAUAGAGAAGUCUGUAUCAAUUAUCACUGCAUUCAAUUGCUUAUAUGAAAGCCACUCAUUGAUACAUUAUGGAUUUUAGAUAUUUUUACUAUUAAAAAAUCUAUAAUCUAAAUACAAAAUAAAUGAGAACAUAAAAAAAAUUAAUUAUUUAAAAUCAGAAUCUAUAGUCAGUUAUAAUAAUCAAUCAAGAACAACCCCAAAAAAUGUCAUCAAUAUUUAAGAAGGGACCAUAUGUGAUAAAGAAAUUAUAAAGUUAUAAGUAAUCACAGACUAAAUAAAUAACCAAUACAACAAAGUAGAAAAAAAAAAGGAAAACAAUAAUCCCUCUGCCCAGUUAUAAGAGACACACCCUCAUGAUAAAUUUCUUUUUUUUCUUUUUCAGUUAUGUCAUUUUAAGUUAUUUGACAAUAGAAAGUAUUUCAUAUUAAUGUCGUUAUCUUUGAAGAAAGUUCUUGGACAAUAGUGCACAGGACAACAUCCUACGUAGAACUGUACAAAGAUUUAGUAAAUAGGAUCUAAGACGUAGAAAAGUUGCUAAAAAUUUCAAAAAAACUAAAUCUCCUUGGUGGAGUUGUUCAAAGCUUACGUCCAGUCUCAUGAGUGACAUGAGCAAAGAAGGCGGCAAUCUCCCUUUUGGAAUCAUCAACUGAACCAACUGUUCCAAACUCAGAAUACAAAUUCUGAGCUUCAAGAAACGCCGAUCGAGUAUAGAACCCUUUUCCAGCACAGCUUGAACCAGCUUGAUCAGAAAUCCAGCUAAAGAAAGCGUCUGUCACAACAUCAGCAACUGAAACACCAUUAUUACCACCAUCUGAUGAAGCGGUGCAAGGGCCGGACUGGCAGCCUUUGCCACAAUAGUCGUCGCUGGUGCCACAAUAGCCCCACUGGCUGCAGCAUAAAUCUGGUUCACAGUCACAGUUUUGGCUUGAAAUCAGCUGGGAAAAGGACCCUACAAGAACUGCAAUGGAGAAAAUGAUGAUUCGAAAAUUCUUCAUUUCUGUACUUGAAGAAGGAGAAAAGGAUGUGGACAGAAAUUGUUUGAGUAAGAAGGAUAUUUAUAGCAUGGAGAACUGGAAAAGUGAUCAGCUUGUGUGAAGUAUGGAGAACUGCUAUUGUUGGAAAUCUUGAAGUUGAGCACUGAAUGGAAUGGAUAUAAAAUGCAAUAUUAGUGCUUGACUUUCAAUUAAUCUAUUGACUUUGGCACUGUCAAAAAGUAGCAACCUUCUUUCUUGGCAUUCGGAAUGGGAAUUGUGGAAAAGAAAAAUUUUGGCCAAUUGAUAUCAACAAUUGUGAGUACAAGUCACAAGUCACAAAUAUAAUGCGUGCAAAAAAGAUAACUUGAUGUUGUCUGUAUCAUCUGAUGUUAAUAAAGCCUAACUCUGUUGUAGUCCUAUUUCAGUCUCGUAUUUGAGUCAGAACACAGAUGAUAUUUGUACCAUUCUAGAUCCACGGGCUGCCCUACUACAAAUACUUUUCAUUUGGCUUAAAAAAAACAUUUUAAAGGGUGUAAGCUUUACAAUUAAAGCACGAUCUUUACCUUAUCAUGCAAAGUAUUGGACAUAUAAAAUUUUAUCAAACUGUUGUAGUGAAAAGAACUCAAAUGAUCAAAUUUUAUCCAGUUGAUAAAUAUAGAAUCCUAAAUAAAAUGCAUAGUCCUUUUUUUUUCCUUUAGAGUUCUUAUUGCAUACUAUAUGAAUUAAUUGGUAAAAUUUUGGUAGCGUAUAGGAAAUGAUACCAAUAUAAAAACUACAUUUACUACUCGAGGGCUUAUUAUGCUGCCCAAUUUUUUGGUUUCUACCAUGAGCUGAAAAAAAAUCUUUUCGAAGCAUAAGUUUCCCCAAAUUCUCAUAGACUUUACAAAUGAAAGUUAUUUGUUUCUUGUCGUUCAUUGACUCACCAUGCGUGUGCAGAUGAAUUAUUGAUUGGCCUUUUUGUGGCAGAAAGAUAAAACAGAAUUGAACCAAAGACCUCAUAAUUCCCUAAUUAGUCACUUCAGCCAGUUGAAUUAGAUCUUAUUCACAAGUUUUUUGUACUUCGGUAUAAUAGCGCUCCUGUUCCUUAGUCUCUUAUGCUUCGGUUUACUCCCAAUCUUAAUUGCCUUAACAUUGGUGCAUUUAGACCCUUGCAUUUGGUAAUUCAUAAUCUUAGUAUAGUUAUGAUCCUCAAAUAUCAUACCUUGAGAAACAUCACGGCUAAAAUUACCAACAGCAUAUUGAAACAUGAAAAGUAAAUGAAAGACGUGCAGAAACUUCAAUGGAGAGGCUUGUUGAGAGUGGAAACACCAAAGUCGAAAGCUCGACGAAUACGAUCAAGGGUUCAAAACUGGAACAUGCCUAUUCGUAAAUAGUCCAAGAAAUCGAAACAAGACCAACAAAAUCAAUUAUAUGAUUUCAAAACUUAACAACUUUCGCUUGUAAAGAGCAAGAAAGGUAAACACCUUUUGCUAAUUUUUAUUAAUUUCCAAUCAGUUUUAAGCCUUUAUAGCUCAACAUAUUACUCCCUUCCGAGCACUUUCGGCUCUCCAGAAGUACCCUAGCAUCUGAGAUUCGGACCAGGAUCAACACCCAGUUGGCGACAAUAUUGAGUAUAAUACCCAACACGAGCACUAACAGUGUUUGGAUUUGCACCGUCACAUUCAAGCCGACCAUUAAUGGCACGAAUUGUAGCCCCGAAACCCUGGCCGGAAAUGAUAAGAGAAUGACAAUGGUUCAUCCAAAACCACAAGGCAGUUUUGAAUGAAAUAACAUUAUUCCUGGCUACAAGUUCAGGUUGACUUAGUCCAUUGAACCCAAUGCUUUGUCCUGCUGGUCCAUAGUUGUAGUUCCAUGAUAUUUGUAGUGGACCGCGGCCGUAAUACCCCUUGCCUGGCACACAUGGAUACUGAGUGUUGCUCUUGUCACAGUAGUUUCUGGACGGGCCGCUUAUCUCUUCUAUAUAGCACAUAUCUGCAUGAUAUAGAGAAGUGGUAUUAGUUAUCAUUCCGUCGAAUUGCCAAAAAAGGAAAAAAUGAACGUUAGGUAAGACAAGGAUUGUCGGAUGAUAUGAUAAUGAAAAAUGUAGCAAAAUUUUAUGAGUUCUAAUAACAAUUAAUUGCAAAAUUAUAGAAUUGAAAGGAUUUAAGAAUCACAAACAAAAAUAUUUAUGUGGGAGAAAAGAGAAUAAAUAACUUAACUCAAAAUGUCAUUAAUAUUUCAAACAAAGAAGAAAAUCUCACCACAAUAAAAAUCUAAUAAAUUUUCUAUAGACUAUUUUAGGCUCUCUUAAAUUUUUAGAAAAUACUCCACCUAAUACUCUAGUGCUAAUUUAUGAGAAUCAUUGAAUAAGAAACAACACGAUUAAUUAUGAAAUAAAACACCAAUCACUAAAUAAUAAAAUUACUAGAAAUUGACUUCAAUAAAACUAAUGAUAAUUAAAUAGAAAAUUUUUGAAGCUUGGUUUAUUUUGCCAAAAAAAGAAAAGAAAAGAAGAGCCAUCAAUAUUUAUGAAUAGACCACAAGUGAUUUAAAAUUUACAAAGUUGUAAGUAAUGAUUUAAAAUUUACAAAGUUGUAAGUAAUCACAUGCUUACUAAAUUAUAAAGUUGACUACUACAACAAAGUGAAAAGAACGGAAAAUAAUAAUUUCUCUAUCCAAUUAUAAGUGGCACCCAUAUUCAUGAUAAAUUAUUACAAUAAUAAGUAUUUCUUGUUAAAAUUUUAGUUUUUGAAGAAAGUUCUUGGAUAAUAUUGCAAAGAAAAAUAGUCAAAACUUGGGGACAUCCGGUUUUCAAAAAUCCAAUAGACCAAAGUGUGCUAUACUUUCUCACCAAGUGGUUUAACACAAUUUGGACUAUUGAAUUUUUGAACAUGGGACUUACCCAAGUGUGAGUCCAGAAAAAUAAUCUAUAUAUUACUGUACCAACAUUUAGAAAAGUUACUAAAAAUAUUUUAUAGAAAGUUCCAAAGUAAUUCUCUUUGGUAGAGUUGUUGAAAACACUUACGUCCAGUCUCAUGAGUGACAUGAGCAAAGAAAGCAGCAACCUCCCUUUUAGAAUCAGCAGCAGAACCAGCAGUUCCAAACUUAGAAUACGACUUCUGAGCUUCAAGAAAUGCCGAUCGAGUAUAGAACCCUUUUCCAGCACAACCCGAAGCAGCUUGGUUAGCAAUUCCAUUAAAGAAAGCGUCUGUGACAAUACCAGCAACUGAAGCACCAUUAUUACCACCGCUGGGUGCAGCAGUGCAAGGGCCGGAUCGGCAGCCGGGGCCACAGUAGUCGUUGCUGGUGCCGCAAUAGCCGAAUUUGCUGCAGCAUAAGUUUGGUGCACAGCCACAGUUUUGACUUGAAAUCAGCUGUGGGAAGGCUCCGACAAGAACCAUAAUGGAGAAAAUGAUGGUUGGAAAAUUCUUCAUUUUUGUGCUUGAAGGAAGAGAAAUGGAUGUGGGCAGAAGCUGUUUGAGAAAAAAGGGUAUAUAUAGGGAGGAGAACUGGAAAAUGGAUCAGCUUGUGUGAAGAAGGGAGAGCUGUUAUUGUUGAAAAAAUUUAAGUUGACUAAUGAAUGAAAACAGAAAUCACGUUUGACUUUAAUUCGUGCAUUGACUUUGACAGUGUCAAUAAGUGGGAAUUUUUGUUCUUGGUUUCUAGAAUGGUAUUUGUGAAAGAUUGAUUUUGAUCAAUUGAUAUCAAUAAUUUUGGAAUUGAAUAAUGUAGACUCACAAGUCGCAACUACUGUGUGUAUUUUUAUGACUUGAAGUUGUCUACAGCAUUUAAUUUAGUGCUCAUUAAUUCAUUAACUUGCCUAACUAUGUUUUAGUCAUACUUCACAUUUGCAUUUGAGUUUAAGCACUCAAAAAUAUGAGACAGAUCAAUUUGUCAGUUACAAUUCAUGAAAUAAAAUAGUGUAGAACCUGUGUUAGAAUAAUUUUAGGUUAAAUGGUAAAGAAAAGCAACACUUUUACAUAGCAAUAUAAGUGGUAGUCAGUUUUGGAAAAGCUAAGAAAGGAUUAAAGCCCCGCUUGAUAACCUAAUUCAACACUUAAAUUUAUUGAAUUCAAAUUUUAAUAUAUUCAGACCAUUUGAUAACCAAAGAUUGAACAUCUGAAUUAAUUAAUUCGCACUGAAUUUUCUAGGUAAAACUUAUUUCCAAAAUUAAGUGAUAAGCUAUUCACUUAUCAUUGAAUAUGAUAUGCACUCAAAUAUAUUAGAUUUAAUACUUAACAACUCAAUAAUUUAACGGAUUUAAAUUUAAAUUUUCAAUUUUCAAAUUUGAGACUUCAAUUUUCACGCUUAACUUUUGUCAAACGCAUCCUAAUUAGGCCACUUGCAUAUCACGAAUGACAAAACCAUGUGGCUUCUGCUAGUACACGUUUCGACAGUAUUCCACUUCACGUGUUUGUUGGGCAUACUGGCAUGUCCAUUUGCAUCAUGUCCUAUUUCAUAACAAAAUAUUAUAUUCUAAAUAUAUAUGAAAUAUUUAAUUUAUAUAUGUUAAUUUUUUAAUACAAUAAUAUAAUGUACUUGUAAAUCAAAUAGUAUUAAGUAAAAUAACUACAUAGAAGCAGAUAAAAAUAUAACUGCAGUGCCCCUGUUAGAUUGAAUCUUUAACAAAUUGAAUGCUUUGAACUUUUUUCAUUCAGGAUUUCAGUGCUAUAAUUUAUAAACAGUAUUUCCAAAAAAGAAUUGUUAGUGAAGAUAUCAAAUUGGUGCCCCUAGUAAGUAAUUGUGUUCAGAAAACAACUAGAGUCAAAAGUCAAAUUUUCGUUUCUUUCCUGUUCUUGUCUAAAGACAAUUCUGCAGACAAAGAAGUUGGAAAAAAAAAUAUGCUCACAAUUUGGCAGGGCAAACCUCCUUGCCUAAAAAUUAAGAAAAAUCCACGCCUAAAAAUUAAGAUAAGAAAAAAAAAUCAGUUCAUUUUCUCCUCAUGUUCACUAUUAUCUUAUUAAAUUAAAGGAAACCACGCUUAUAAAUUAUAAUCACUUGCAUCAAAAUCCAACGGCAAUUUUCUCCAUUUUUUGGAAAGAAGAGGAAGGGGGAAAAAGGAAGAAGCUUCCGUAGAAAAGGAAAGAAUUGAGAAAUGUGAUAGGUACUCUGUCUCCCUCUCGGCAAGUGCGGCUUAAGCCAAGCACAGCUCACAGAAGUCCAUUGUUGAAUUAGUCUCCCUGAAAAUUUCUAGCCAUAAAAAUUUUAACUUUUCCUUUUAGUAUAAAUGGAAGAUCUCGAAGUGGGGACCUCUUAUUUACAUUUUCUCUCCUCAUAUCAUUCAACUCAUUUUUUCCCCGAAUUUCAACUUGCUACUCCAUAACUUAGCUUCAUGGAUCUAUAUUUAUGUUCUCAGAAAUGUGAUGUCAUACUUCUAGAUACAUUCAAAAGCGAUGAAUAGUCGAUCAUUUGGACAAUUGUAGUUUAAAGAACUAAGAAUUAGUGCAAAUAUCUAGUUCAUUGAAAACGUAUGGCCCUUAAUUUUUGUAUUUUGACGAUAUACAAGUCUGAAAUUCUAGAAAACAAAGAAAACUGCCAUCCUUGAACAAUUCUUUAGAGAUUUUUUGUUCUUUUUAUUUUUUGAGCAAAUGAAACAUCUUCCCGUUUAUCAUUGGAACAUAAGCUUUACAAAGGAGCAAAACCUCUUACUACAACAAAAAAUCUGGAGCGAGCUAUACCCAUUAUACAAUACUAUGCAUGUGAAAACAAACAAAACAGACAGAAUUCAACCAAGAUCAAUCUAGCAAACGUCCGUGAUCUAUCCCCCAUUCUAACAACAACUCCCAAUUUUCCUUACUACCAGGAGCUUUAGCCCAUAAGAGACAAGUCAAGUUGAACAAUUUUAACCACUGCCGAUUUAAUAAAAUUUGGAGUGAAACCCUCCAACGUGUACAGGGUUUGUCUUUCCAAAAAAACAAAAAACAAAAAACAAAACCGCUGCUGCAACUACUUCCAUUAUCAGUAUUCUGUAUACGAAAAUCAACAUUUAGUCUUUCCCAAAUUUAGUAUAUUUUAGUGCAUAAUUGAAAAAAAUUCUCUUGGCACAAGUGGAAAAUUAUAGAUUUGAAAUCAAUUACAAAAUUUCCUAGAAAAUAGACGCCCACUGAUCAACUAUGGCGCUUCGUAGUUCAGCUUUUCCAGUCUCAUACGUAGAAGUUGGUCCUAAUAGUGCAUUAAUGUUUCAUAGUUAAUCAGAAUUUUCUAUGACAAAAAAAAAGAAGAAGAUUCAUGAAGAAAAAUAAUCUAUUGGCUGUACUUUAUUUCGAUUUAGACAUCAAUAGUGCAAUGGCAAAAGGACUUUGUAGAUGAACCUAGUUGAUGUAAUGAAUUUAUGAUGAUUUAAUUAACUAAAAAGGCAAUCAAUUCGGUCUGCUUAAUGUCAUACUCAAGAGGUCAUCAUCUUUGUCAAAGGGUCUAUACAUUCCAUACAUUAGUAGUAAAUGUUAGUGGAUUUGUUACUAUUGCUGACCAUGUUAGCCACUGAUUUCUAUUAAAUCAUGUCUUUAGCUUCUUAUAAGCUUCUCUAUACCCUACCUAAUCUCAUACCAUUUUACUUUCUCUUGGAUUAUGUGGAAUGCCUACUUGACCGCAAUGUCUAUAUUUUAAUGAUACCAGUACAUUUUCAAAUCUUCAAUUAGCUUUUAAAGUAUCGAAGUUCAGUUCACUAAUUGGCCAUAAAGACAGAUCAAUAGCAAAGUUGAAAUAUGCCACUUAUCCUGAGACGUUGUAGAAAGUUGGAAUGUUAAUGUCGUCCCUUGUAAUCCGAAUAUGUGAAACUGAAGUUGUUGAAGGGUGGGGGAGAGUUGGGUUGGGUGGUACGGGGCAGGAAGUAUAAGCAAGAGGUCUCGAGUUCAAGUCCUCCCGCUUACACUAAAAAAAAUUAAAAAAAAAAAGAAGCUGUUGAAGGGUGAAUGAGUUUUUCAGUUGUAUACAAGCUGUAUAAUGGGGUUUUCAAUAAAAAGUUUAUCAUUUUCUCAAAAAAAGAAAAAAAAAAGAAGAAGGGUGAAUUGAGGAAGCUGAAUGCUAAGCGAUAUAGUUCUAUUAGUGAUAGAAUAUAACAGGUGUGUAUGGCCAGUUAUGUGAAGUGCAAUCGUUCUCCUUCAUUCACCUUUUGAUAUUACUUUACGGGCCAAAUAUAAGAAUGAGAUCUCUUGGGCUGGCCACGUCUUCUUCUUCUUCGUUUUUUUUUUCCAUUCUUCUUAUAGAUCUUUAGGCGAAUAAGCAAUCUUUGGGGAAAUAAUGUAGUAUAUUUGGACAUUGGGAUAAUUUAACAAAUCUCCAUUGAGUUUUAUGACAAAUUCAUCAUAGUUCCCCCUCAAAUUAUUGCAUUACACUUGUGUCUAUUAGCUAUUGAUUUCCAAGGUAAAUGCUGAAUUUCCCCUCUAGGUUUACCAUUGACACUUUCUAUACAAAGCGAUACAAAUUAUAUAUAAGAGAUUUGUGAAAGUGUCAUACUUCCGAGCUAUAACUCAUAAACAAAGGCAUUCGUAAAACCCUUUUGAUUCAAAUAUAUAGAUUUUUUUUUAUCCAACACCAAAAUUAUAUUGCCCAAUAAAAAAAGAAAACCUUUUUUUUUGGUUAAACCAAACUAUUAUUAUUGCAGCCCCAAAAAAGUACAAAGUUCGGGACCAGCCCUUCCCUAAGAAUACAAGCUCACACACCCUGCCCCACCUCUAAUUAACCCCUACCGCCGGCAUCUACGAAAAUUUGGAUACCCACACACAUCUAAUAUAUAGAUAUACUCACCUAUACACUUAACAAUUUAAUGUAUGCUAAAGUGAGUAGAAUAGGGUUUUGAAAAAGUACUCAAAAGUAUGCUACUUCCAUCAUUACCUUCUAGCACGCAUUGUGCAAACUCUUUUCAAAUAGAAAAAAGGGAAUGAAGAGGAGAUACAAAAAAGGGUUGCAAAUUCUUUAAAAUAUGGCAAGGGUAAGCAUGCAAGUAACAUAUAACAUGAAACAAACAUGUUAAGGAAACCUUAAAACAAGAGAGGUAACAGUAAGUUUGAAAACUUUGGUGCAGCUAAAUGAAGUCAAAAACCUAAAACAAGGUUGAUGGAAUUAUCCCUAGUAAACUCUAUGUGUCCUUCACCAAGUGAAAAAAUACUGUUCAAAAUUCUUAUUUCUAUCGGAACCAUUUCGAGGAACUCCAAUUCGGAUGUCAAUACUAAAAGAAAUUUUCCCUAUGGUACCCCUGAUUUUGAAAUUCACUAAUUAUUUGUAUAAUUGUAUCAUAUAUAUGCUUUUAUGUAUUGUGUAAUGAUUCACAUCAAAUUCAUGAGAAAUUUCGCAUCCCUCUCACAAAAGUUAGCAAAUGCAUUGUAUAUAGGAAGCUGAAAACCAAACAAGACUUUAUUAUUAGGUUAUCGAUCAGUAUUAUUGGUCCUAUCCAAGUGUCAUCACGUUUUGUUUAUUCAAGUGUCAUAAUGUUAUUGAUAGUAUAAUUGGGUUGCAUGAUUAUGGUUGAAAGUGUGGAAUAUGCGAUUAAACUCCGUGUUAGGAGUACUGGUUUUGCUGUGGGUUUUUUCGUUUUCUUUGUCAGCUGCGUGGGGGCUUUAGAGCAUAAGCCUUUGUUUUGUUUCUAAACAUCACCGCCAAAAUUGCCAAUAGCAUAUCGAAACAUGGACACUAAAUGAAAAGAUGUGAGGAAACUUUAAUGAAGAUAUGCCAAAGACAAAAGCUCGAAAAAAUAUGAUCAAGGGAUCAAAAUAGGAACAGGCGAACACCAACAAGUUAAGUCGAACCAAGAUCAACAUAAUCAAUUAUUUGAUUUCAAGAGUCAUAACUUUGCUUGUAAAGAACAAUUAAAGGUAAACAAUUUGUUGCUUUCCCCCCCUCCCCAAUCAGGUGUGUACCUCAACAUUAUUUCACGUCAUGAACUUGUUUUUCCUGGGAUAAAUACCCUAGCAUCUGAGGUUAUCACCAGGCUCGACACCCAAUUGUCUACAAUAUUCAGUAUAAUACUCAACUCGAGCACUAACUGUGUUUGGAUUUGCACCAUCACAUUCAAGCCGACCAUUAAUGGCACGAAUUGUAGCCCCAAAACCCUGGCCAGAAGUGAUAAGAUCAUGACAAUGGUUCAUCCAAUACCACAAGCCAGUUUUGAAUGAAAUAACAUUAUUUGUAGCUACAGUUUCAGGUUGGCUGAGUCCAUUGAAUCCAAUGCUUUCACCUGCUGGUCCAUAGUUAAAGUUCCAUGAUAACUGUAUUGGACCCCUGCCGUAAUAUCCCUUGCCUGGCACACAUGGAUACUGAGUGUUGCUCUCAUCACAGUAAUCUCUGGAGGGGCCGUCUAUCUCUUCUAUGUAGCACAAAUCUGCGCAAUAUAAAGAAAUUUUGUCACUCAAUUGAAAUGAUUGAUAAAGGGUUAGAAUCAAAGAAAAUCAGCAGGUCUGGAAUUUUUUGUAAAUUUUUAGAUUUGAUUGUUUUACUGAUGAAUUCAAUUGGUGAGAAAAGAAUUUAUCCCAUUUUGUAAAAAUUGGAUUGGACAGACUUAAAGUAAACACUUCUUUUAUGAGGUAAAAUUUUAGAAUGAUUUAACAUUAUAGGGUUAUACGAUAGAUAAAUAAAAAUUGGCAAUAGCAAGAUUAAGAUGGGACUAAAAUAUAUUUGGUUAAUAAAUUUGAAUUAAUUUACGGCCAAAUUUAGGUGAAAUAGUUAAUUCUACUUGGUAAAUUGGAAGUUCGGAAAUGUGUAUCUGUCAGUUGUCAUACUCAUGAGUAAGCCAAUCUUCACUUAAAAAAAAAAGUAAUCCAAAAGAUAAAGCCGCAUGAUCAUCUACUUUUACAUGCAGCAAAAUACACAAUCACCAUAAGCUUAGAAUGUAAAGGCAGAAAAACUUGCUUCUGUAGAUAUAAAAGUGACCACUACAAGAAAAGUAAAAAGAAGAUGGAGAUAAUAAUCCUUCUAUCCCCUUAUAAGGAUUAAACCUUCGUCAUGAUAAAUUAUUUGACAGUAAAAACUCUUUCAUAUUCAAGUUUUAUUUUUUGAAGAAAAAAUUCUUGGAUAAUAGUGCACAGGAUAAUUUAGAUUCCAAGAUAUACUAUCUAGAAAUUUACAGGAGCUACUAAAAUAGUAGAAAAUAUCUUCAAAAUUUAAUUUCCAAGCUAGUGUUAUUCAAAACUUACGUCCAGUCUCAUGAGUGACAUGAGCAAAGAAAGCAGCAAUCUCCCUUUUAGAAUCAUCAACAGAGCCAACGGUUCCAAACUGGGGAUACGAAUUCAGAGCUUCAAGAAAAGCUGAUCGAGUAUAGAACCCUUUUCCAGCACAGCUUGAAGCAGCUUGAUCAGCAAUUCCAUUAAAGAAAGCGUCCGUCACAAUAUCAGCAACUGAAACGCCACUAUUACCACUGCUCGGAGCAGCGGUGCAAGGGCCGGAUUGACAGCCAGAGCCACAGUAGUCAUUGCCGGUACCGCAAUAGCCGAAUUUGCUGCAGCACAAGUCUGGUGCACAGCCGCAGUUUUGGCUUGAAAUCAGCUGUGGAAAGGCUCCUACAAGAACUACAAUGGAGAAAAUGAUGGUUGGAAAACUCUUCAUUUUUGGAUUUGAUAAAGUAGAGAAGCUUGUGGGCAGAAGUUGUAUCAGAAAGAAGGAUAUAUAUAGGGAAGAGAACUGAAAACCGAUCAGCUUGUGUGAAGCAUGCACCGCUGUUAUUGUUGAAAAUAUUGAAUUUGAGCAAUUAAAGAAAACGGAAGACGAAAGCGUGAAUGGUUGACUUCUAUCGAGUGUAUUGACUUUGACAUUGUCAAUGAAGCGGAAACUUUCUUUCUUGGCUUCUAGAAUGGAAAAGGUCAAACGGGAAGAUUUUGGCCAAUCAUAUAAACAAUUGUGAGAAUAAGUCACGUAGACUAACAAGUCCCCACUAUAAUGUGUGCAAAAAUAUAAUUUGAAGUUGCCUAAAUCAUUUAAUUUGAUGCUUAUUAUUGAGUUUACUUGCCCAACUAUGUUUUAAUAAUAUUUCAAAAUUGUGUUUGAAUUAGAACAAAAAAAUAUGAGACAUACUUAUUUAUUUAAUUGCAAUUCCAGAAAUAAAAUCGUAUACAACAUGUAUUAGAAUAAUUUUUAGGGUAAAUGAUAAAGAAAAGAAAUACUUCUACAAAUUGACGUAAGUGAUCAUCAGCUUUUCGAGAAGUUCAGAAAGAAUAAAGUGGCCGAUAUAUAUAUCAUGCAUGGCAAACUAUGUGGCUUUUGUUAGUACACGUUAUGACUAUAUGUAUGUUUCAUUUGACAUGUUUGUUGGACGUGUUGAAUUGUUAGCAAUGAAAUGCUCCAAAAUGUUUUCAUGCAAGAUUUCAGCACUGUGGUUUAUAAGCAGUAUGAGGUCAUAGUGAAUUAUCGACAUAUCGUCACAUGCAGAGUCGUGAAAAUAUACAAGUCUUUCCCUAUCAUUAAUUAGUUGGUUAAAUGACAAUUUCUAGAAUGGAGCUUCAUGGUUGGCCAUGUCAAGAAACAUCUCGCAGUAAAUUGGGCGAGUUAAUAUGGUCCUCUUGUUUUACACAGGAUGUACUUUUCUUUUUCUAAAUAUUUCCCCUUAAACUCUCAAAUUGAUCAUAGUGUUAACUAAUUUUGCUCUGGUUUUAUUCUUGGUUCGCAAAAUUCAGUAAAACCAAAACAAACCCUUGUUACUGAAGAUAUCAAAAUGGUACCCCAACUAAGUAAUUGAUUUCGAAAAACACUCUGAACCAAAUUUCAAGUUUUGGUUUCUUUGCUCUUUUUCUACUGAAAGGCAACAUCCCCGGGCCAAGAACUUGAAACAAAUAGUAUGAUGCUCAAGUUUUCUAUGCUCUUAUGAUCAAGUCAAACCAUGCUUAUAAUCAAUUACAUAAAAAAAAAAAAAUCACGGGCAAUUUUGUUACUAUUUGGGAGGAGGAGGAAUAUUAAGCAAAAAAAUAUUCUAUUAAGAAAACGAUGAAGCAUAUUAUUUUCCAGGAAUAAAAAAUAACGAGCAGAAAAAAACAAAUAGUAUGAUGCUCAAGUUUUCUAUGCUCUUAUGAUCAAGUCAAACCAUGCUUAUAAUCAAUUACAUAAAAAAAAAAAUCACGGGCAAUUUCGUCACUAUUUGGGAGGAGGAGGAAUAUUAAGCAAAAAAAUAUUCUAUUAAGAAAACGAUGAAGCAUAUUAUUUUCCAGGAAUAAAAAAUAAAGAGCAGAAAAAUACAUUAGUUUGGAUGACAUUAGAACAUUUAGCAACAGGAUUAGGGAUGCAAUGGGAAGAGUGCCAACUGGGAAUCAACAGGAUGGGAAAAAAUACAGGGCGGGGUGGGGGGGAUUGGAGAUAUAAUAAAUCUAAAAUUUUGUUUCUUUAGGAAACUUACAUAAGUGAACUUAAUAUUUCCUAAAAUAAUAUUUAAAAGUUAUAUUUAUUGUAAGGAAAAUAGAUUUGCUUUAUUUUGAGAUACUUUUUAACUUAAGGAAACUAGAGUUAAUUUAUUUUAGGACACUCUUGUUAAGGAGAAAUUAAAGGAAAUUAACAAUCUAACUAAUGAUAAAUAUGUUUUUUUUAGGGCAUUCGGUUGGUGCUUGAGAACACACCCGAGUACUGCAGCGUCUGCUGGAGAUUAGAGCAUUCGGUGGAGGAGUGCAGGAAGGAUACUCAUAACGGUGCAGGAGCCUUGGUUAAGGGCAACCAACCGCAAUUUGUAUCGCAGAGUGAUACUGUUGGGGCUGUCAUGGAGGCAAAAGGCAGUUCGGUUGGUGCGUCGAAGCCGCCCGGGGGGGGGAACACUCCCAGCAGCGCUGAUGGAGGCUCCGCUCUCCAUCCCUGGUCGAGAUGGCAAAAGCCCAGCGGCAGCAGCUGCGGUAACAGGGGUGGUGCCCAGGGAGGCAGAGCUGACCCACGAGCAUCAGCCUACUCGGGUUGCUGGUGUGAGUGUGGAGCUCCUUGAGGGAAGCGGGCAGGAUGAUGGCGCGCCAGAGGGGGAGCGUUCCACAGCAAGGGAAGGAGCCUCGCUUGCGCAGGUGAAUGCUAGAGCGGAGAUAAUGGUGGAGGGGCGACGUGCGGCUGAGCUUCCAGUGGCAGCAGGCUCGAAGGACAGUGGGCAAGCUGUUGGCGCACCAGAAUGGGAUCAGGCUGAGCAGGUGGAUGCUAGAGUAGAGAUCAUUUUGGAGGGGUGCAGUGCGGAUGUCCAGACUGCAACGGGCAAUCUGUCUCCGCGGCCCAGCGCCUAUUAUGGGGAGUUGGCAGCUUCUCCCUUGGAGGCGAUGAAUGUAGAUCAGUCACGGGCAUUGGAGCCGGCUAUAAAACUCGGAAAAUCAAAGGGAAUAAGAGCGAUUUUCCCUUCCGACAGGUAGCUGCGUUCCACUUCAACAUCCUCCAAAAACGGAUUCCAGGUUCUUUCCCAUGAUUAAUAGCAUAUUUUGGAACAUUAUGGGGGUUUCCAAACCUCCUAAUUUGAGACGGUUGAAAAACCUUAUUCGAUUACAUAAAGUUCAGCUGGUAGCUAUAUGUGAACCGAAACUUGAUGUCACAAAUAUUGAGAGCAUCCGCUUAAAUUUAUCGUUUGAUGCUGCUGUUGUUAACUUGUCAGCAGAUGUUUGGGUCUUGUAUAAUUUUCCGUUAGUAUGCUCUAUAGCUGGGAAUUCUCAGCAACAUAUCUCCUUGAAUGUCCAUCAUCCAUGGCUACCUCGCUCCUUGCGAUUUUCUUUUGUGCAUGCCAGGUGUACAUUGGAAGAACGACGGGGGUUGUGGCAAGCACUUUUGGUGGACAAACCACGCGACCAGCCAUGGUGCAUCUGUGGGGAUUUCAAUGUGAUCAUAUCCCCUAGCGAAAAAAAAGGAGAUCGGCCUUUUCGUGUCUCGGAGAGGUUAGAGCUUCUGACCUUCAUGGAGGAGGCGGAAGUUUUUUAUGUGGGUUUUUCCGGCUCGAGUUUCACUUGGUGCAACAAUAGCCAUGGCCGGGCUCGGAUAUGGAAGCGAUUGGAUAGGCUAUUGGUUAAUGGAGAAUGUUCUGAAUUACCGUCAGCCGUGUCGAUCACUCACUUGGCUAGACAUCCAUCCGACCAUGCACCGCUACGAGUUUCUUUCACAUCCUGUGUAGAGAUAAACCUCAUGCGUUCCGCUUCCUGAAUGUGUGGACAUCCAGAGCAUCUUUACUUGAUGUUAUUUGAACGACUUGGCAACAGGAGUGUCGGGGUUCUCCCUUAAGGAUCUUAUGCUCCAAGUUGCUAGCAGCAAGGAGAGCUAUCCAAGAGUGAAAUAAGUCCUCCUUUGGGAAUAUAUUUGCAGUGUCUCGCGAAGCAGAGGCUUCGGUGCUUAGGGCGGAAGCACGGGUGGAAACUGAGGCAUCGGAGAAUGCUCAGAUAGAGCUUCAUAGGUCUCAAGCACAGCUCAACCGUGCUUUGUCAGUGGAGGAGGAGUUUUGGAAGCAGAAGGCUCGUGUCAAGUGGCUCCGACAUGGCGACUGUAACUCAAAGUUCUUCCAUGCCACCCUGAGACAGAGGAGGAUGCAAGGGCAAAUCCACAGGAUUAAAGAUGAGACUGGCAUAUGGGUGAAGACGGAUGAAGAUAUAUCACGUGAAGCGAUACGGUAUUUUUCUGAUUUAUUCUCUGCUCCGGCGGAAUCCUCAUCAGACUUGCUGCAUGUUAUCCCUGCCAACGUCACGGCGGAGGAAAACAUGAGCUUAGAGGCCGAUCCGUCUUUCGAUGAAGUAAAAAGAACUAUCUUUGCAAUGGACGGUGAUAGUGCAGCAAGCCCCGAUGGUUUCAUGGGUAAGCUUUUUACUUUUGCUUGGGAGGUGAUUGGUCAAGAUGUCUAUAAUGCAGUUUUGAGCUUUUUCUGUAGGGCUGAGCUCCCUCAUUUUAUUACAUCUACUUCUAUUGUCCUUCUCCCGAAGGGACCGAACCCUCAGGAUUUUUUGAUGUUCAGACCGAUUAACCUCUGCAAUUUCUUUAAUAAAGUAUUGUCCAAGAUCUUGGCUGAUAGGUUGGCUAAUAUUCUGCCAAGAAUCGUCUCACCCCAACAUACAGGCUUUGUUAAGGGCAGGAAUAUAUCAGAGAAUUAUUUUCUCGCCCAGGAAAUAAUGUCAGGGAUGCGUAGAUCGUACAGGGGUGGGAAUGUAGCAUUGAAGUUAGACAUGUCCAAGGCAUAUGAUCAUGUAUCGUGGGUAUUUCUCAUGAACGUAAUGCGGCAGUUUGGGUUUGGAGAAAGGUUUCUUGACAUGGUGUGGAGGUUGAUUUCUAAUGCUUGGUUUUCGGUUAUAAUUAAUGAAGCGUCUUAUGGCUUUUUCAAGUCGGGUAGGGGAUUACGGCAGGGGGAUCCGAUAUCCCCCGCGUUAUUCGUAAUUGGGGCGGAGCUUCUCUCACAGGCUUUAAACAAUCUCGUGUUACAUUGUGGCUAUAGGGGUUUUAAGGUCCCACGGGGGUGUCCCCAAGUCACGUACUUGGCCUUCGCUGACGAUGUAUUGAUUUUCGCUAAUGGGUUUGCUCGAGCUUUGCAGGAUAUUGUGCGGGUAUUGGAGCUUUACCAACAAUCCUCGGGUCAGUUGGUGAAUAGGCAAAAAAAUGGGUAUAUCGUCCAUCUCUCCGCCUCGAUUGCUAGACGGAGGGUGAUUGAGCAUCUCACUGGCUUUUCUAGGCAACAGGCGCCUAUUCGAUACUUGGGCUUCCCAUUGUACUUGGGCCAAAGUAAGGCUUAUUAUUACGGUGAGGUGAGUCAAGCAAUAAUCGGAAGAAUCCUCUCAUGGAAGUCCAAGUUUUUGUCUCAGGGGGGUAAGAUCAUCCUCAUCAAACAUGUUCUCUCUUCUAUCCCACUGCACUUACUAUCUGCUGCAGUAAUGCCGACUUCGGUGUUCAGGGUAAUUAAAAAGGUUUGUUCUGACUUUCUAUGGAGUUCGACGGAGAGGGGGGCCAGGUAUUACUGGAUCCACUGGGAGUUGUGCUUUUCAAAGGAGGAGAAGGGAGUAGGCUUCAGGCUUCUAAAGGAUGUUUACACAGCUUUAUCUCAUAAACCCUAGUGGAAAUUCCGCACGGGGACGUCUUUAUGGGCAAGGUUCUUACGUGCUAAGUAUUAUGGGGCUUGCCACCCUUGUCAAGUGGAGCUUAAAGUGGGCGUAUCAGCAACUUGGAAACGGAUAAUCAAUGUCAGCAGGGAGGCGGAGUUGUCUAUGCGAUGGUUGGUGAAUGCUGGGACCUGUGACUUCUGGUAUGAUAACUGGCUAGGGAAUGGAGCUCUUUUCCUUAAAGCUCCUGUUCAGGGGGAUUUAUCGUUCAGAGACUUUAUUGUUGACGGGAAGUGGAACUCGGUGGGACUUGCAGAAUACCUCCCAAGGGACAUCACAACUAUGAUCCUGCAACACUCGACCCCAGAGGGUGAGAGGCCCGAUGAGGUGGUAUGGGUGUCAACAACUUCAGGAUCAUUUUCGUUAUCCUCUGCUUUUCGUGAGGUAAGGCAAGCUCGGAAUCCCUCUUGGAUAUUUUCCCACAUUUGGCUCCCCCAACUCCCUGUAAAAGUUUCUUUAUUUAUGCUCCGUCUUUUGAUGCGGAGGCUCCCCCUGGAUGAUAUCUUGGGUAAGUUUGGCUUUCAAUUACCUUCCAAAUGUUUUUGUUCUUCCAUGGCAGCGGCGGCGGGAGAAUCUAUUGAACACAUUUUCUCAACGGGACAACUAGCGGUAGAGAUUUGGGGUGUCUUUGGAUCCUCGUGCGGUAUAUGUCUGCCGGCCGUAUCAUUGCGAGAGCGACUGGUCGCUUGGUGGUUGUCCCCGCACUCAGAUGCUCAAAGACGUCAUGUUGUUUCCAUCCUGCCAAGUUUCAUCUGUUGGCAUAUCUGGAAGGCACGGAACAAAGCAAUCUUUGAAGGGGUUGAACUGACUAGGGGGGAGAUUUGCCAUGGCAUUCUCCGGGAUAUUUUCGCAACGGUUGAGAUUAAAUUUCGUCAUGGGAUUGUAGCGCAAACAUUUGAUCAGUUUUGUGAAAGACUCUCUUAGCCGCCGCUAGUACUUCGGGUCCAGUUGGUCAAGUGGUAGGCAUCUGGAAGGGGGGUUUUCUCCCUUAAUACGGAUGGGUGCUCAAAGGGGAAUCCAGGGAUGAGUGGUGGUGGAGGAAUAUUACGGGAUUCAAAUGGUCAGGUGCUAGUAGCAUUCUCAGCCUCCCUGGGGGUCAAUACAAGCUUGCACGCUGAAGCAUUGGCACUUUUAACGAGGCUUCGCGUAUGCUUCCAGCAAGGGUUUGUACAGGUGCGAGUGCAGACAGAUUCACUGGUUCUAGUAGAUAUAUUACAACGGAGGUUCCAGUGUCCAUGGCUCAUUCGAAGAGAGGUACACCAAAUAUGGCAGCUAGUCGCGAAUCCUACACACUUUUCGCAUUGUUUUAGGGAAGCCAACAAAGUGGCUGACAUCUUAGCUAAUGUAGGUAUCUUGCAUCCGCAGGAUCAUGUAAGGGUGUAUCACCAACUCUGCUCUCUUUCACAGCUAGCAAGGGGGGAAGUUAGGUUGAAUAUGCUAGACUUUCCUUCUAUUAGACUUAUCAAAGGAUCGUCGUGAUGACCGGUCCUGGUCUCGGCUUGUAAUCUUCUGAUUGGGCAAUAAAAGUUUUUUCAAUAAAAUAAAUAAAUAAAUAAAUGUUUUUUUUGGGAGGGGGAUUGAUAAAUUUUUAAUCUGAAACAAAACUCUAUAUUGUUGUUUUGGGUGAGGGGAGGGAGGAGGGGGGACUGCCCCCACAAUAGAUCUUUUGUUUCAUUCUCUGUGUUAUUUUCUGUUUCACUUUUUAUUAUAUCAUUAUUUUUUCUUCAUAGACAUCAUAUUUUAUUUUCUUUAUUUCUUUAAGAUCUAAUAACUAUUAACUAAGUAAAAAAUAAAUACAACAAUCUAAAAAUAUAUAUAUAAUAGAAAAUUAGAAAAUAUAGCAAAAAAUUUAUUAAAAAAUCUCAUUUUUCAUGCAUUUUAAUUUUUUGAAUUUGUUAAAUUUGGUGUAUUACUCAGUUAAUAGUUAUUGGAUCCUAAGGAAAUUAAAAAAAAAAACUAAAAUAUGAUGUUUAUGAAGGAAAAAUAAUAAUAUAUUAAAAAAUGAGACGGAGAGUGGCACAAGGUGUGAGACAGAAAAUCCAUUGCAGGCUGCCCUGCUGGCCCUUUCUUAUGUCCGUCACUAUAUGGCUAGAAACAAGUACCUAUUGCUGAAUUAGUCUCUCCCUUCUAACUUCUAAGAAUUCCAAGGUUUUGUAAUGAUUCCGCAGGAAAUAAGACAAAAAUAGUUAGCCAACUAUUACCUUGCUGGAAUUGUUAUAACGGCUACCACUUGCAGAAAGAAGGUUACUGAUUAGUUAGUGGGGAAGCUUUCUAUUAAUAGGCCAAUACUAAUGUAAAGGGGCAUGCAAAUUCUGAUCAUUGAGAAUACAACUUUCCCGCUUCUUUCCCAUUCAUUCUGCUCCCUCUCUUUUCUCUCAACCUUUUUCUCUCUAUUCCUUUCUAUAUUUUUGUUCCUUAGUUGAAUCAACCAAUUCCCAACCAUUACAGUUUUUUUUUCUUGUCAAUCGACAACUUCUACAUUUAUCCUACUCCUACUCCUACUUUUUCUCCUAUUCUAACCUAUCUAAAGAAUGGCCUAACAGGGCCAAAAAUCCUAUUCCUAGUUCUAUUUCCACUCCCAUUCUAACCUAUUUAAGGGAGGGUCUAGCUGGAUCAAGGGGACCUAGAGAGAGUAGUCCCCAUCUCUAGACCAACGUCUGGAUUUGGAGGAAACUACAUACUAGUCACAAUUGCUAGAAAGUAAGAAUUGAAUUCUUGAUCUCUUACUCCAAGGCCUUUGACAAGUGACUAAUUUACACUAUAUUUGAAUGAUAUCUUAUGUUAUUUUUAGUCACUUUGGCUAUAUUAUUGGAAGAAAAUGGAUCAUUCUGGCUAUAAUUAGUUUAAAAUGCUCUUAAGUGAUUAAAUGAGAUUUUUGUCACUUUUACUUGCAUUUUGUCCAUAAUUUGUAUAGGAGUUGGAAAUAUAUUUCCUUUGGAUGAAGAGGAAGUUGACAGCUUUGACACAACUUCGUAUUUCGGCUAUAACUUGAGUUACAAUGAUCGGAUUGAGAUGAUUCUAGAACCAUUUUUAAGAUAAGAGAUAGAUGUACAAAUCUUAUGAAGACAUUGAAAUACAGUUUGAAGGUUUUCCCUAUCAAAAAUCUGAAUUAUAGUGCCAAUUUCUAUUGGUCGAAGCUGAAACAAGGCAGUGAGCAGUCAAGGGUAUUUCUGUCAUUUCUCCAUCUACACAAAUCCAAAUGAGGUGAUUCUUGAUGCAUUGGAAACAUAACUAAAAGGGUUACAAGUUUCAUGUUUUGGUCAAGAGUUAAUUCAACUUCUAUCAUCAAGAAAAGUUCAGUUGAAGUUGAGGCAAAAUUGGAGCAACAUUGAAGACUGGACAGAAAUUGCUAAGAAUGGCAGGGGAGCAAUCCGGCUGAAAAUCCGUCCGGAUUCUGGCCGGAUUCUAGUCAGAAAUAGCUGCUCUCCACUUGCACAACUUAUUUCCUCCUCCAAUAUUCAUAGCUAUUGAUGGACGUGUAACAACAACUUUGCAGCUGUAAAAGUGAUAUUUGAAGCCUUAUUUCUUGACUAAAUUAUCUAUAAAUAGCCAUGGACUUAUAAGGAUAAGGAGAGCUUGGGGGAGUGCAAGAAACACCACAAAAAUGUAGUUCCUUGGUUCUUUAGUGUAGAGUAGUGUAGGAUAGUUUAGUUUUAGAUAGUUUAUCCUUUCUUGUAUGUUAGCUAAAUGAAGAUGAAGAUGGAGAUGAAGAAGGCAAGGAAAGAGCUCAUGUGACAAGGAUUACUUUACCUUUCCAACUCUUUAUCUUUUGUACUUGAUUCUAAGUUUAGUUAAUAUAUAAGUUUUGGAUUCUAUGUUUAUUAUGUGUUUCUAAAGUUUAUGCCUUGGGCUUGGUUGAACUUUCUAUGAUUGUUAGUGUUUAUUAUUUGGUUAUUUGAUGCUAUUAUUUUGAGCAAGUUAUUGAGUACUUUACCUCUUUUAAAUCAUGAUUAACUUGGUACCAUUAAUUGUAAUUAUCUAAAGGUGUUGUUUCUUCAAUGAAAAUUGAGAUUUAACAGUAAUUCAAGAAGUGCUAAACCUAGAGAAUACACUCACGAGAGUAGAGGUUCACCUAUGUGGCUUUAGUGAUUCAUUUCAUGUAAUUUCAUAGAAGAAAUGAACUUGUAGCUAAUUUCUUAACCACGAGAGUAGGUAUGGAUUAGUUAUAAGUAUAGUUGAUUCACUACGAAAGUUGGUUUCACAUACAUAAGGAAAUUUCGCCAUAACUAGCCAAAAUAGUAGUACUCAAUGAUCCAAAAAUAACACUUGCAUGAGUAGUUAGGAAUACCAUAGACUAAGGAGCUUUCAUUUGUUAUUAUCUUGCAUAAGGUUAGCAUAGUUUUAUCUCUUUUAAUUCAUUGAUCGUCUAAAUAAUGGAGAAGCUUUAGUAGUGUCGGUAAUUGUCCAAUAUCAUUUGCAAGGGUAGUGAGGAAUUCCAUAUCUCUAGAAGCUUUCUAGUACUGAUUUUCAUUACUUUUAUAUUUAUGGUAAUCUAGAUAAUAAAGGAGUUCGAAAAACACCGGUAAUUGCAAUCUUCCUUGUGGGAUCGACCCUUAAUACCCUAUACUCGCUCACGAUUCGUAUACUUACGAUAAAUCGCGUGUGGGAUAUUUAAGAAUUAUAAAUGUAAAACUUGAUUGUGGAUAAACUUAUUGUAUAUGUAUACCCUGCGCACGUCAGCCUUUAUGGUGGCCAACAGCCCAAUAGGACAUUGGUUACAUGACAUCAUACUUCUAGUACAUGAGAAUACAUUAAAAAUCAAUCGCUUUCACAGUUCCACUUCAGACAAUUAAGAAUUACUAUCCAUUGGAUAAAACUAGUUUUAACCUUCAAAUAUCUUAUUGCAAGUAAGCCUUCUAAAAUAUGCUCACGAUUACUAUAUUUUUAGCAUUUUCACUAUGUAUAAGUCUAGAAUUGUAUGAUGAAAAGAAUUUCCAUCAAUCAAUAACUACUUAAGACUUUAUUGAGCCCAAUGACUAGCUUCUGAUAUAUUUUUGAAAGUGUACACUUUAGGUCGUUAAACCAUCAUUUUCAAGUAAAAUUACAGACCUAUUAAGCAACAGUUAAGAAAUUAUAGAUUGCACAAUACUAAAUUCACAGAAAAAUGAAAGAUUACUAAAUGAGGAUAAAUAUAUAGUUGGGAGGUGGAGCUAGAAACAAAAUUCAGUACGGAUAAACAUACUGUUAAAUUAUACUACUUUCAGUGUAUAAAAAAAGUUACAAUAACUUUUCAAAUGAAUUUCUUGUGUGUUGGGAGCACAUCAAUGAUGGAUCUAAGGGGGGGCUGGGGCCCCCCUCGACCCAUGUUUUGAAAAGUUUAAUUCAUAGUGUGUAAAUAUAUAUAUAAAAUAAUGUUGGCCCCCCUUAAUUUUUUCCAAUUUUAAUUUAUAUUAUGAGAGUUUAUAUUUAUAUAUAUAUAGUCACCUUUGAAUUAAUUUUUUUAUUCAAAAAAGUUAUUUAUUUUUUACUAAUUACUUAACUUUCAAAAAAUUAAACAUACUAUUUGAUGAUCCAUAGUAAAUUGAUCCAAUUUGACAUAUUAUAAUAAAAAGACCCAAUUCACAAUAUCAAUGGGUUAAAACAAAAAUAAUAAUUUUAUUGGCCCAUAUGCAAAUAUACAACUUAACCCAAUUGAAUGAUUGUCUAAGUAUAUACAUAGAUAGGGGUGGCAAUGGGGCGGGGAUGGGGCAGGGGACACCUCCCCCAACCCCCGCCCCCGGCUUCCCCCGCCCCGCCCCGCUUCCCCCCACGGGGGCACUCGUAGGGUUAAAAAAAUUUUAUUAUGUAAUUUCAUUAUAAUUAAAUUUGAGCAAAUAAUCAAAUAUUAAAAUAUCAACACAUCACCAAAUUAUUAUUCAUUGUAACUUCACAAUUGAAACUCAUAAAAAUAAUUAAACAAAAGUUAUUUGAAUACAAUCUAAUAUGAUAAAACAAAUAUAACUAAAAUAAUCAAGUUUUCACUUUUGAUACAAAUACAAUCACUAAAUUAUUAUUGUGUUUUUUUUAGAAAAAAGUGUUAUUGUAUUAAGUGUAGUUAGAAAUUUAACAUAAAUGUAUUAAUAAAUUUAGUAUAAAUAAUUAAUAAUUUUUAUUAAUAGACAUGUAUAAUUAGUAGUAUAAUUGAUAAUAUCAUUAUAUAUAUAAUUAUGUACAUAUAUAUAUAUAUAUAUUUUUCAAACAGGUGGCGGGGCAGGGGUGGGGCGUACUCCCCUGCCCCCCGCCCCGUUUCUAAACGGGGGGAAAAAUUCCCCCCCCCGGCCUUCGCCCCAACCCCCACCCCACUAAUCCCCCGCGGGGCGGCUGUCCGCCCCCGUUGCUAUCCGUAUACAUAGAAAAGAAAAUUGCUGAAAAAUUUAUCAUUGAUUCAAUCAUAGAUGAAUUUAGUUCUAUGAAAGAAUGUAAAGCUCAAUUUACUUUAAAAUAAAAGGUUCAAAUUUUAAGUUAUAUUAACAUAACUUUUAUCUUGUUUUAAUUGAAAAUAGAUAUAUUUAUAUUGCAUAGUUAUAUGCUUUCUUUUCUUUUUGCAUAGGUGACAUAUUGGAGUUUAUGUUCAUAAUGUGCAUCUUGGAUGGUUUGCAAUGCUAUAAGACAUUUAAUCUAAUGUUAUUUCUUGUCUUAAUUUUCGUUAUGACUAUAUUGCAUAUUUAUGAAAUAGACAUACACUUAUAAUUAAAGUUAAUAUUGGAUAUUUUUAGAUAAUAUAUAUUUAAAUAGUUGAAAUUUAUUUUGAACAUAACAUAUUAAGAUAAUUUUGUUAGAAAAUCCCCCCCCCCUCACGAAGAAAAAAAUCCUAGCUCCAUCACUGGAGCAGAGAAAAAGAAGGAAAAGAGGAAUAAACAUAAAGUUGAGUUUUUGUUAGUUAUUUUUUAUUUAUUUGUAAGAGGUGAAAUGAGUUGUUUUUUAUUUUUAAUCUAUUGAAAUGGUGAGGACAAAGUGAUAAACAAAGGAUAAUAUUAGAUACAUAUUUUAUUAGAACAUAGUGGGGAAAAUAUUAUCUAACAACGACAUGAAUUGUAUAUAAGUUAUAUGCUUUUGGUGGGUCAGUGGAGGUUAUUGUCUCCAUUGUAUCGUUUCCUAGAAUCAGUAUAUUCUAGUAAAUGAUUCUAGUUAUAUGUAAGUGAUUUAUAUUACUAAUUUUUUGUUACAAUUUUUAGAGAAUAGUUGGUUGAUUCUUAAAAAUAGAGCGAAGUCAACAACUAAUGCGCUUCAUAGUUAAUAGAAGUUUCCAAGAGGGCACCAAGUAAUAUUUUCAUAAUUGAUUAGCUUGGUUUUCAAGUGCAUAUAAAAAGAUAUCCAUGAAGACCUCCCCACCCAAGGGAAGACUGUAAGUUACGAAAACGUUUACUUUACUCUCAACAAAAUGUUGAGCAUACUUUAUUUUACUUUCGACAUCAUGCAAUGAUUAAAGGAUUUUGUAUAGGGACCUAGUUAAUUCAAUAAGCUUUAUGAUGGUUUAAUUGACUAACGGAGGAAUUUGCUCAGCCUAGUAACUCUGGUACUCAAGUAAUCAUGACCUUUAUCUAAAGAUCUACACAUUCCAUAUUGAAGUAAAUGAUAAUGGAUUUAUUACUUUUGUUGACCAAGUCAAGCAAAAAGCUGUUAUCAAAUCAUGGUUUUAGCGACUUAUAAGUUUCUUGAUAUCCCAACUAACCUCAUAGGAGGGCUACUUUAUUUCUUUUUGGUUACUUUCUAAUGCCUAGUUGCCUGUCGGAUAAAAUAUUGCCUUCACGGAUUGAUUCCAAAACUUGCUCAAAAACAUCUAUUUAUUUUUAAAAUAUUGCUUAUACUAUAUUUUGAACCAUUCAAUUGCAAAACACAAACAAUUUUUCUUAUGGUGCCUUCUUGUCGUUGAAACUAGGAAGCUAACCAAACAUUUGAAGCAAAGUGAUAAACAAUUAAUAGCAAACUAUAUUGGAUCUUCGAAAGGAAAAUUGAGGCCUCAUCUAUGAAUUUAACAUUUUCCGUUGUGAUGACAUCCGAAAUUGAUUGUGAGAAGAUUUUACAAACGCUAAAAGAGUAUCUCCAUUUAAUUGUGGAAAGGAAUUUGAUUUUGUCAAAUGCACAGAUAAUGGAAAUGACAAAAUAGCAGCACUAUCCUUGUCAUUAGGAAGCACUCAAAAGUUACGUAUUAAAUGGGAGUCUAACGUACAAGCAAUGAAACACUAUUGUAUUUGCGAUAGUAUUGAUAAAAAUUAAGAUUCUAUAGUCUUUGGAUCAUAAUGAAUUCAACGUUGGAUGACACAAUAAGUAUUCUGAAUUCUUAAAUUAUAAUAAUGUUAAAUAUUUAAAAUAGAAGCUGAUAUCGUUAUUAAGAAAUACACAUUGAAGGAAUAGUUCUCUAAGCGAUAAAAAUUUUCCAAAAGUAAAAGAAUGAAUGAUCAAAGUUUUCCAUCUUUGCCCGAUGACUCGUCUCUUUCCAUUUUACUUUCCCAAAGGAUAGCAUUUAAUAGCCUCGUGCCUGCUCUCAUUUUAAUCCUAAAAUAAGUGAUCAUGGGCUUCUUUGAGAAUGGGCUUGGUCUAAAUAUUGAACGCUCAAAACAGACUUCUUUUGUUGGAGGCGGCUUUCACUAGAGAGCGUGGGACUGAUUCAGAGUUCUUUUUUUUUUUGUAGGAAAAGGGAGACUGAUUCAGACUUCUUGCUAUCAUAGUUAUUAAACCUACCUUGGAGAGGAAUCCGGUGAAGGAGGUGGGUCAACGGAUUAUUGGUUCAAUCAGUGGAUGAGUAGUUGAAUUGGUGGGUUACUAAAUAUAUUUAAAUAUUAUGUCUCAUAAUUUUUUCAUAUAGGGUAUCUGGUUUAAACUACAAUGAACUAUACCAAGCAAAUGGUUAUUUAGGGUGUGUUUAAUAAAAUUAAAAUUUGAAAUUAAAAUCUGAAAUGUGAAUCUAUUAAGUUAUUAAAUUGUUAAGUGCUAAAUCUGAUACAUUUGUGUGUGUGUAUAUAUAUAUAUAUAUAUCAUAUUAAGUAAUAAGUGAAUAGUUUAUCACUUAUUUUUAGGAAUAAAUUUUGCCUAGAAAAUUCAUUACUAUUUAAUUAAUUCAGAUGUUCAAUUUUUUAAUAUGUUAAGAUCUGAAUCCAUUAAAUUAAAGUGUUGAAUUGGAUUAUCAAACAGGGUUUUAGUCUAAUUCAUUAUAGUCUAAUUCAUUAUAGAAUGAUUAAUUAUUAUAAAAAUCUAUAAAAUCAAAAUUAAAUUAGUAAUCCACCAAAUUUCAAGUGCAAAUAUUUACCUAUAUUUAGUGUAAUUAUUUAGUUUAUUUAUGAAUUUUAAGUGCAAGAGGUUAUUAGGAACAAUAUUUGCCUUUAAAUGAAUUGUAUACUAUGUUAUUUUUGAAAUCCAUUUCAGAACUUAUAGAGUUUGAGAAAUAAUAAAUUUUAUUAAAAUAUCCCAAAUAAUUUUUAUUUUAGAGAAAUUAUAAAAAUAAAGAAACAAUUGACUAACAUAUAAUAUAAGACAGGUGAAUAACUAGCAUGUCAGCUGUUCACCUAGCGGUAAGUACUCGUUGUUUAUAUGCAUGAGGUUUUGAGUUUGAACCAUUAAAAAAACACAAUCUUGUCUAAUUUUUCCAAUAGCAACUAAUGUUCUACCUGAUUCAACCGGUCGGAUUUUCGAUUUAAUCCGGUUGAACCAUUGAUUUGUUGACAAGUCAAUGAGACUUGUUCACAUUCAAUCCAAUUAGAGACCCGAUGUUGUUUACUGAUCAGGCUUAAUAACUAUGCUUGCUGUGUUUCCUAGGUUUGCAAGAUUGAAUUCAAGGUUAAUUGUAUUCAUCUCCUUUUUGGUUAAACCAAAUUACAAAAAUCUUUUAUAUUGUUUGACCAAAUUAAGAGUACAGGCAAAGCCCUUGACCAAAUUACAAAAAUCUACCAUAUUGUCUGACCAAAUUAAGAGUACAGGCAAAGCCCUUGAUGGCAAAACAUUUAUCAAAUGCGCCCUUAUAUCAAUAGCUGUUAAAAUUGAUGCUUACAUUAACAAAAACCACAUAUUUGAAAGCCCCAAAAUAACCUUUUACACCUUGAGUUAAUUACACUUAUCUUUAUAUUUGGCAAUUGGGUGGGUUGAACGGAUUUUGGGCGGGUUAAUAUUGGAUUUUCACUUAAAUGGAUUAUACCCAACCCGUCCAACUUUAGAUUUGGUUGAUUUUGGGUUGGGUCAUAUUGGGUUAUUUCAAACCCAUGACCCAAAAAUAACCUAUUAUAUUAAUUAAUACAUAACCUUUUUUCACAUUCAUUUUAACAUACAAAAAAGAUUUUUUUCACACAUAUAAACACAUUUUCACAUACAUAAAUGUAUUUUCAUACACACUCACUUCUUAAGUUCCUUGAAAACACAUCAUAAAUAGAAUAAUAUUUUAUAUUACUUGUAUUGUAAAUUUUAGAUAAUAAAUGAUGGGGGUUGGGUUCUGCAGCAGGUUGCGUGAUGAAGUCGUAGAUGAUGUUGGGAGUACUGGGAAAGGAUGGAUGAUGAUGAUGGAGGUGAUGAGGAGGUGGCUCCGCCAUUAUACACACAGAGUAUACAUGAAUGAGGAUGGCGCCGAUGAUGACUGCACUCACUUCUUAUUAUAUGUAUCCACAUUAAUAAUUCCUAUGUACACAUGAAACUCUGUGUGUGUGUGUAGAUACAAUAUAUAUAUAUAUAUAUGUAUGUGGCGGGACUUAAAUUAUAUAUAUAUGGGACAUAGAGCCACUGCUACUGGUCUAUAGUAUAGUUCAACAACAACAGCAGCAACGGCAUUCGACUACUCUGUUAGUGCAGUGUAUCAGCAGCUUGAGGUUAAAAAAGGUUAAAAAAGAAAUUUGUACAAUAUUAUAUGUACACGAAAUAUUGACAAACAAAAGCAAUCAUGAAAUAUUAAAAAAGAAUGCAAUUAGAAUAAAUUUAAAACUCUAUUUUACGUACACGAAAUAUUAACAAACAAAAGCAAGUAGCAACUUGAGAACAACCACAAAAAAAAAAAGAAAAAAAGAAGGAGGAAAAUAACAUACUCUUAAAAGGCAUAAUAAAUUAUUAUAAAAGUUGAGUAAGUUUAACUACUGUUAUAAAAGUAAAAUAGCUAUGAGUUUUUAUUUCAAGUUUCUUUUUUCUUUUAAAUAAAAAUUAAAAAAAUUGAUUGAAAAAAAAAAAUAUAUAUAUAUAUAUAUAUAUAUAUAUAUAUAUAUAUAUAUAUAUGAGAAUUUUGAAUACAAAUUAAUCAAUGAAUUAUUAACACAUGUCCAAAUGCAAAUAGUUAGAUAUAUGUGUAUUGAAUCUUGUAUUUAUUAUUUUCAAUUACUUUUAAACAAGUUAGAUAUUGAGUACCCAAAUAAAAAAUUCAACCCGUCCAAUGAAUAAAUUGGAUUGUUCUUACCCAACCCAAUAAAACCCAUAACCCAAUUAACCCAACCCAUCAUUUAAAAUUAAUGGACGGAUUUUGGGCUUUUUUGCUAGCUCCACUUAUCUUCCUUGGAUUUUGUCCAAACUACUUUCAUCUCUCGUGAGGGUUGUACAAAUGACAAGUAAAGCCUAUUAUUGUCCAAAUCAAUUCAAAGCUAUAAAUAACCCAAUACUUUUCAAAUACACCAUAGUCAACUUAAUUAGUUGCAACAAACUUCUAAAACAAUUCUCAAAUACCGAUUAGUUACUACCUUUUUCUUUUACCAUUUUUUCUCCUCGUAGGUUAUAGUGUUACUCCACCUAAAAACUUGAAUUCGAUUUUCGCACAUCGUUGGGCCUUGCAUGAUGUCAAAUAUCAACAGUAUUUUCGGCAAUUGAUUCUUUAGUCGCAACUGCUAUGUACAAAAUUGAAACUUUUCUCCUUGUUAGCAUGCAAAUUAUCAAAAUCCAUUUUUCAAAUAAAAGACAGUAUAAACUUAAAUCCACCUUAGCACUAAAAUUUAAGGUUUCUAUAUAAACGAUAUUUUGGAAUUCAUUAGUAAAAGUCCAAGAAAAAAUUAUCUAGAAAUUUUAGAAUAAAAGCUUAACAUCUUAAUAUGGAUAAAAAGAAGACAAUCUAAAAAGAAAGUUCCGUCUAAGCUAAGUCAAUCCUUGCUGAUGGUUCAUGAUUUUGGAGGAAAUUGCUCCAAAUGCGAGACCUGGCAAGAUGAUAUAUUCAGGCUGUAGUAGGCAGUGGGCGCGCUAUACAUAUGUGGCAGGAUUCAUGGCAUCCACAUGGACCUCUGUUACAAUACUAUGGGUAUGAUAUUGUUAAGGGUAAAAAACAAAAAAAAAAAAUUCUCCUGUAGCAAACCUAAUACAUAGAAAAGCUCUCCGUAAUUUUAAAACGUACAACAUGACACCUCAUGUUUUGAACUAAAUUGUAAAGGUGAAUGCCUUAUUGGAACCUAAAAAAAAUUUUAUACCUAAUUUUUAACAAAUAUACAUGUUCUCCCUCUUAACCCUCAAUUCUCUUUAUAUAGAAAAUAAAACGAAUGAUUUUUUUGAACUGUUUUUUACUUAAUUAUAUGAAGGCAUUUUGGUCACUUCAUCCAUUUCUGUUAAGUUUAACGGAUUCCGUCACUUUUACAAUUUAGUUCAAAGUAUGGAGUGUUGUGUUGUACAUUUUGAAAUUACGGGGAUUUUUCUAUAAAUUAGAUUUACCACGGGGGCUCUUUUGUUUUUUACCCUAUUGUUAAACAAUUUAAUAGGUUUGAGAAUGCAAGACUGGCUUCAAUUGUGAACACAAGUGCUUGGUGUUGGCCACAUGGUAGAAGAAGAACCUCUCAAGCGGAGGAUUUGAUCCAUAAACUUCCCUCUGCUUGUGUACCUCUCUACCCAGGGAAGAUGAUACCUUCUCAUGGUUAUGAGAUAAAACUGGAAUGUUACUACAAAGUCUGUUAUUGCUUCUUUGAGAGAACAUUGUAUGAAUGUCGAGUGGUAUAAACUGGGGUGGUUUAAGCAACAUAUCCUAGACAUACAUUUAUCGCUUGGCAACAUAUUCCUAGACAUGCAUUUACAAACAAGCAACAUAUUGUUUGUAAAAAUAGUUUGGCUACAAAAGAUAGGUUACUUAAAUGGGGUAUGCCAGCUUAUGUUUGGAGUAGGAUACAACAGUGCUAUUUGCUUUAUGGAGGCGUAUAUGGUUGGUCUGUAGGAUUGGCAUUGUGGGUUGGUUUCCUGUAGAAUGAUGAAUUUGUUACCUCAGUCAAAAGAUUGGCUCUUGGGGGUUUUUAUUUAUUUCCUUUGGCAUGAGCGCAAUCAAAGGCAGUUCAAUAGUAAGGUGUCGAAUGCUGAUUAUGUGAUACAGCAUAUAAUUACUACUGUUAGGCAAACUAUAAUAGGCUGGCGAAGGGUGCAAAGGACACAUAGCAGCUGGGAGUUUGGCAUUGGCUGGAAUUUUGAAUAGCAGUUUUUUUUCUUAGAUUAAUAUUUCAUGGUUAUAAUAUUUGUUUUCAUUAUAGUAUGGUGUCUUGUUCCGUUAAGCUUGUAUAGGGCAGCUUUUCUUGUUGUUGGAACCAUUCCUUGCUUAUCUAAUGAAAAGAGUUAUUUUGCCUAAAAAUAUAUAUAAUAUUCUUCUUUAUUUUUCUUACUUGCCCAACCCUUCUCACACCCUUCCCAUCCCCAAGUGCUAGGUUAUACUAUUCACUUAGGCCCUGUUUAAUAACUAAUUCAGUACUUAAUAUUAAUUGAUUCAGAUCUUAAUAUGUUCAAAUGCAUUUGAUAACAAAAUAUUGAACAUUUGAAUUAAUUAAGUGGCAUUGAAUUUUCUAAGCAAAACUUGCUUUUAAGAAUAAGUGAUAAGGUAUUCACUUAUCAUUGAACGUGAUAUACACUACAAUGUAUUUAAUUUCAUACUUAACAAUUCAAUAAUUUAAUGGAUUCAGACUUUAGAUUUCAGAUUUCAGUUUUCAAAUUUUAGUUUUAUCAAACACACCCUUAAUCUAAAUAAAUUUAUUUUUUUGAAACCAAAUUAUAUAUCUAAAAUGUAGCGGACACUUGUCAUAUGGAGAAAUUGGGUUAGGUGAGCUUCGUAGCGGCCACAAUGAGCUGUAGCAAAGAAAAAGGGGAAGAGGUUUUUUUUAAAAAAAAAAUUUUAUCUUUUAUUUGUCAUUUCUUAGUAUUGAGCAAUUAAUUAUUUUCUUUUAAUUUGGGAUUCAAUUUUUCUUGGAUGAUAUCAUGAGUUUUCUUAUGAAUUGUUUGCUAUUCAAAUGAUUAAAUUUAUAUGGCCAAACUAUAUGGUAACUCUUGUAAUAUAGACAAACGUCAAGACAAGAAAAUGUUGGUUUUUCAAAAGGCAUUUUUUGUCAUUUCGCUCAUUUUGUUGGCUGAGUUUAGACGCUGUCACUCAUGGGUAAAUGUAGAUGCAUCACGUGCAAUUUUAAGUUGACCAUAACAAAUAAAGAAAUCCAAAAACAUGAAGUUUCAAAUAUUAAUGAAGCUUUUUGAAAAUAUAAAUAUGAACCGUCACAAAAUAAUUAUUAAUACCCAUAAUACUUCAAAUACUAAUAAUUUUGGCACUCAACAAUAAGGUUUCAGCCAAUCCUCCACUAUUUUUUACUCCAUGAAAAUGACUUUAAUGAUAGACAUUUGUGUUUUUUUUAACCUCCCACCCCUCUCCACGCUCUUCCCACCCCCAACUAUCAGGGCCAAAAUUCGAACUCUCAACUUGACACAUAUGUUUAUGUAUUUGUUAAGUAUAUGGUUUACUGCCUUGGCAAAGAAAUAUAUGAACUAAUGCACAUGUCAUGAUUUUCUAAGUUAAAUUAUCUUGGCGUUUUAAAUUCUUUAAGCAAUGUGAUAAAAUACAAUUUUAUUGGUUUAAAAUAUAUAUAUUUCUUACAUAUCUGUUAUCACUUGUUGUUCAAGAUUAUUUUUAAUGGAAAUAGUUUAUUCAAGUUUUUUUCUUCCUCGUCUCUUUGGCCAGGUUUGGCAUAUAAAUUAUGAGAAAACAUAGAUUAUGUAUCUUAGUUAUUUUGGUGAAGGCAAAGUACGAAUUGAGUGUCUCAAAGUCAAUUUGGAGUUCCAAAUUCAUUGGUUCAUUGGUUCCAAGUUCCAUUAUUUUUUGGACUCUUCUAGGAUCACAUACUUUAUGCAUGAUUUUGGAACUUGCAAGUAUAAACAAAAAGUGUUACUCUCAAAUGCAAAAGAUUUUCAUAUAUAUAAUAGCCCAAGUGUCUAAAAAAUAACUUGUGGAUAUGUCUAAAUUGUAAGAAAAGGAACGAAAAAAGCAUUUAGUUUGGGAGGUUGGAAGUACUUCCAAAUCACAUGUUUGAGAAUAUGUUAUUGCCCCUCUUUUCCUACAUGAAAUUCAUAUUGGAAUUGAUAUAUCAUUUUUCCGGUGCGAUGUUUAAAUUAUUGUUCAUGCAUGCUGAUGCGUGGAACCAAAGAAGAAAUUAACAAAAAUAGCAAAAGAAACAAACUCAAACUUAAUCCAUAGUACAAUACGUUCAUAGAUAGGAUGUCAUAGAUUACACAUCUUGGUUUACAGAUCCACUCAAACUCAAGCAUAAUUACAAUACAUCAGACUUUUAUUCCCACCAUCUUGGUUGAUAAAAGCACACACAAACCAAAUAGAAACACAUGAACACUUAAUUAAGCAGAGAAUAACAGCUUCUGCAAUCUGCGUAUCGCAGCUUGAUAGUCUGAUUAGUUCUUUCCUUGAGAAAUGAAAAUGAGAUCACUUUGAGACAUCCAAUGGCAUGCUUCACUUUGGCCAGGAGAAGUUUUCAAUAUCUUCAAGGCCACAUGAUCAGGGGACCAGCCUGAAGUAUCCAUAUGACAUACCACCGUGACUGUAUUAACUGGAACUUUGGUCCUAGGUUCAACAACAUCUACUGCAUAGACUUCAAUAUUGGACAGCAAAUGGCAGAAAUAUGUUGCAAAAGGAAGAAAUAAUUGAUGACAUGCCACAGUUUUUCCAUAUUUAAGCUUUUCCACGCGUCCAACCAUCAAUUCUUUUCUAGAACCCUCUGUGUUUUUCGAUGCCAAUGCCACCAAAUUCUUGUCACCUAUGGCAGUUUUUGAAAAUUCAAUCAUUUCCUCAAGGGAUUUUGCACAGCUCUGAGGCUCUUCCUUAAGAGCAG
rnacentral:lncRNA from 1 species